UGGUUGCCAAUAAAAAGGAUUAGGCUCAAAGGGGACAACUAAGGAUAUAUUUAGUACAAAGGUGGGAUUUUUAGGCCAAGUGGACUUCAAGAACAUCAAAGAAAGCCUAAGAUCAUUUCUCCAACCAAACUCAAUCAAGACCAACAUUUCAAGACCAACCGGGCAAGUUCUAGGUGACAAAAGCAAACACAAGGCAUUAUUCAACAACUCACCACACAUGGCCUGCAAAUCAAUCAAGAUGGUUCAAAAUCUUCCUUUUCAAACUACAAGUAGCAUUGAACAUUUUAACCGCUAACGAAUCAAAAGUCACAAAAAGAGUUGUAAGAGUUGUCACAAAAUCAUUCAUGACAUGCUCAACCUUUUAAAAAUGGAGAGGUAUGCUCAACAUUAUUCCCAUGCAUGACUAUGCUUUUAGUACCAACCAAGUCAAAACCUUCCCAAAAAGACGAUGAUUUUGCCCUUAAGAAAGCCGUCAACCAAUCCAUCAUUAGGCAACCUCAUGCAUCUAUUCAGGAACAGCUACUCAGACUUCGCCACAAUCAACGCCAAUCAAACACUCACAAGCAAUCGACGAUUUACCCUUAAGAAAGUCAUCACUCUCUAUCCAUCAUCGGGCAUCGUCAAUCCAAAUCUUCUUAUCAAAACAAAAAUCAAGAAGCUACAAACUACAAAUCAAAAACUAAAAUAGACCAAUCCAACACAAUAUCAACAGAAACAUCCACAAUAUCAAAUCCCGUCAAGGGCACACCAAUCCAUAACAAAGAAAGAAAAGUAUGCCCGAUAAGGGCAUAAUCACUGUAUGCAGAAACAAUCAACAAAAUGACUACAAGGGAGGCACCCCCAACUGAAAAUGAGAUUGUGUUCUCACAGUCAAAAUAUCAAAAGAGAAUACGAGGGACUCCCUGAACUGCAUCACUAUGAGCUCGAGCCGGUAGGAAAUGUGAGUUCCUUCUCAUCCGAAGCACUGCUGCCACAUAAGCUCCUCUUUAGCUUUAUAGAUGCUACAAAGGGGAAAACCAUCAGAAAACGGGAUGAAAAGAAGUCGCACUCUGAUUAAAGAUCCAGCACAAAACAAAUAGCACAUCAGGUGUGUAAUCACAUUAUUGAGAAAGUUGGAUGUGGAGAGGAUACAAAUGAGUGGGACAAGCUAUGGGAUGGCACACAACUCAGGAAAAUUCAAUGUUAAUAGUGGUUGGGAGAUUUUGAGAAAUGCAAGUAACAGGGAGAAUUCAAGUUCAUUUGGGAAAAAGGAAUUCCUUUUAAAGUCUCUUUUUUCAUAUGGAGGUUAUGGAAAGAGUAGCUCCCAAUUGGUAAAUUUCUAAUACGAAUAGCCCUGGUAGAUGAUGUAAGGUGUUGUGAAACAUUAGCCAAAGAAUCCUACGAGCAUCUUUUUAUUACUUGUUAAGUAGCUACCAGUUGUGGAAAACUUUUGCAGCAGCAGCAGGUUUGCGAGGCCCUUUCCCACAUCUGAAAAGACACCAUGUUUAAAAUGGUGGAAUGCUACAUGUUCUGUCAAACUCAGACUACUUUUUAAUGCUGUCCCUACUUUUAUAAUGUGGCAAAUUUGGAAGAGGAGGAAUAUGAUAAGGCAUGGUGGUAAGAUGUCUGUGCAAGGUAUGAUGAUGGAGAUAAAUAGGAACCUUCACUACUUGGCAAUUACAAGGUAUCCUUGGUUGAGGAACAUCUCUAAUAGUUUGCCUCUGAUAGUGAAAUUCUUUGAAGCCUAUACCCCAUUAAUUGAAUGUAGAGUGGUGAAGUGGAAACUACCUAACGAAGGUGUCUAUAAGUGCAAUUCAGAUGGAACUUCAAAGGAAAUCCGGGACCUAGUGCAAGUGCUUUCUGCAUUAGAAAUAAUGCAGGAGAGUUUAUAGUUGCUGAAGCUAAAAGCUAGGAAAGUGCUACAAGUUUAGAGGCAGAAGUAGUGGCGUUGAGAAGUGGACUGGAAUUUUUGUAUUUUAAACAAUUUGCUGCCUGUUAUCCUUGAAACUGAUUCCUUCGCAGUCAAACAGACACUAGAUGGAAUAUGGGGAAGUCCCAUGUAACAUAUAGAGAUGUGGAAAUCGAGCAUACACUAAGGGUAACAUGCUGGUGGAUUUUUUUUGCUUAUCAAGUUUUCUGUUUUGUAGGACUCAAAGAUUAACUUAUAAUUCAAUACAAGAAGUCCAAAAUGAAGGAAAAGAUAUAAUAAACAUGGAUCGGAAUUAAAUUCCCAAUAUACGGCUAACAAGAUGUCUAAAUGAGAACUUCAGAAUGCUACAAUAACGAUAUUAUGCAAGAACUGUAAGAGCUCGCAACAAUCACAAAGAUUUUCACUGGAAGAGAAACAGACUUACUAGAUCGUGUGUGAAAGUUGCAAUUGGAUCUGAAUUUUUCUCUCCUCUUUGGCAGUGGUAUUAGUUCUCUGUGAGCUCAACCUGCCUAGAAAGGGAAUUAAUCUGAAAUGAUUUCAAUUUACAGCGUCACGAAAUUCAGUUUUGUACAAUUAAAUAUUCAACCAAGAACACAAUUUAAGAUUCAAGAUUUAACACUGAUGGUUUUUACACUGUGAAGUUUGAGUAAAAUGUAAGUUUCUACUUGUCGAUGUGUUCUGUUGUGGCCUGUGGGUCUUGACAACCUCUUCUUGUCAUGUUAGGAAGAUCAAGAAACUGCAAACAGGAUGUACCGCAUAGCAAGGGCAUCUGAAUUUUUGGUGAUCGCUGGGAUUGGUAUUAAUGAACUGAAGAUCACAAAAAAGGCACUAGUAUGGCCAUUGCAGAAAUGUCGGGUCAUUGAUGUUACUCCUGUGAACUAUACUUUUGAAGUCAAUGCUAUGAGUGCUGAGAAGCUGCCCUUCCUUCUCCCUGCUGUUUUCACUAUAGGUCCAUGUGUGGAUGACCAUGAGAGACUUAUCAAAUAUGCUAAACUUCUAUCCCACCAUGCACGUGAUUCACACGAUGCGAAGGACCUUGUUCAAGGUGUCAUUGAGGAAGAUACUCGUGUCUUGGCUGCUUCCAUGACCAUGGAGGAAAUCUUUAAAGGCACAAAAGAUUUCAAGAAGGAGGUAUUUGACAAGGUUCAGCUUGAGCUCAACCAAUUUGGCUUGCUGAUUUACAAUGCUAACAUUAAGCAACUGGUCGAUGUUUGAGGGCACGAAUACUUUUCUUACUUGGGGCAGAAAACUCAAAUGGAAGCUGCAAACCAAGCAAAAAUUGAUGUUUCUGAGGCCAAAAUGAAGGGUGAGAUUGGAGCUAAGGAGCGAGAAGGUCUCACACGUCAAAAUGCUGCCAAAAUUGACGCUGAGACAAAGAUCAUAUCCACCCAAAGGGAUGGUGAUGGAAAGAAAGAGGAGGUUAAAGUGAAGACUGAUGUUAAGAUAUAUGAAAAUCAGAGAGAAGCUGAGGUGGCUGAGGCGAAUUCUGUUCUGGCAACCAAGAAGGCUGGGUGGUCUCAGCAAGCAAAAAUGGCUGAGAUCGAAGCCCAGAAAGCUGUAGCAAUACGGGAGGCUGUAUUACAACAAGAAGUUGAGAGAAAGAAUGCAUUGACUAAGACAGAGAGCCUGAAAGCACAACAUCUCAGUAAGGCUACUGUUGACUAUGAGAUUAAGGCAAGUCCAUCAUGUCACAACACUUCUCUUUUAGUACCUUGGGGCAGAUUUUUUUUGCUAAUCAAGUUUUCUGUUUUGUAGGUACUCAAAGAUUAACAUAUAAUUCAAUACAAGAAGUCCAAAAUGAAGGAAAAGUUAUAAUAAACAUGGAUCGGAAUUAAAUUCCCAAGAUACGGCUAACAAGAUGUCAAAAUGAGAACUUCAGAAUGCUACAAUAACGAUAUCAUGCCAGAAACUGUAAGGGCUCGCAACAAUCACAAAGAUUUUCACGGGAAGAGAAACAGACUUACUAUAUCGUGUGUGAAAGUUGCAAUUGGAUCUGAAUUUUUCUCUCCUCUUUUCUCUGUGAGCUCAACCUGCCAAGAAAGGGAAUUACUCUGAAAUGAUUUCAAUUUACAGCAUCACGAAAUUCAGUUUUGUACAAUUAAAGAUUCAACCAAGAACACAAUUUAAGAUUCAAGAUCAGACCCAGCUACACAUUGAAUCUGAAGUCAUAAGCAAUCAUUAACUAUCAUAAGAAUGGCGAUUGCAGACGAGUUGAAUUAAGGUUGGAAAAAAGAACAUCUGGCUUAGGAAACGACACCCAAAAGAACAAGAAAAUUGAGAUUUUGUAUUAGAGAAAAAGGGAAAAUGGGUGAAGGUACAAAGCAUCUGCUUAUUGUAAGAAUGAAAUAAAACAAAGAGCAAAGCAAAACUUUAAAUGUAUAACCCCUCAAUUCAAGAACGAAAAGGGAAAAUUGUGAAACCUGAAUUGUUAAUCUCCAUUACUAAUCUUCUUGAAAAGGAAAACGACACCCAAAACCUCCAUUGCUAAUCUUCUUGAUGCUACUGAGAGUAACAGAUGAUCCAAAGAGAUGGAAGCACGGAGGCAAAAGGAAAUAUUUCAAAAGCAUGCGUGAUGAGCCGUUACACUUCUGCUCAUCUUCGCUUCUUGCUUGUGAGUUUGAAAAAAUAAAUAAACACAAUGGAACUAAUAAAUAAAUAAUAUACUCAAUAUUUGUUUAUUUUUCGACAUUUAUUUUAACACAUGCACCAAAAUAAAUAAAUAGUAAUAAUAUAGUUAUGAUUAGGGUUGGGCGUUCGGUCGGAUUAGUUCAUGAUAUUCGGUUCGAUUUUUUUAUUUUCGAUUUGGUGAAAAUGUAAAUCAAAACCAAAUUGAAAUAAGUUCGAUUUGGCUCGAUUUUCACAAUUUUGGUUCGGUUUGUUUUUUUUUAGUUUAUGAGAUUACAUUAGAUAUGUUGUUAUGAACAAAUUCACCUCCUUGUAAAAUUUCAAAUAAGGUGUGAUUUGAUCUCUGAUAGAACGUACACAAUAAUUAGAUGAUUUUUAAAAUUUUAGGACCUCAUUACUUGUUAUACAUCUUCAGAUUUAGAUGUUAUACGCUCAUGUUCAGUUAAAACAUUUCCAAAUAAGCAUACAAGGUCUCUGUCUCUGAAUGUGAGAGACGAGGGUGGUCGACAAGUGGUUUGUGUGAGUCAUGACGACAGCGACAGCGAUGGCGACGACCUAUGGUGUGCAUAAGUCACAUGAUAACAACGAUGGAUAACAGAGAUGAGCGGAUUGUGGAGAGGUUAAUGGUUAGGACUUAGGAAUUUCAAUUUUAAUUUUGGAUUAAUUUUAAAUUGGGUUAAUUUUAAUGGGUUGUGGGCAGUAGCCAUUUGGGGGAGUCCAGGGCUCAAGGCAUGAGUUCAUGUGAGUAAAUUACAUUUUGAUUUUUUGGUUUAACCGAAUUAAAUUAUUCAAAACUCGAAAAUCGAACCGAAAAAAGUAAAAUUUCAAUAUCUUAAAUUGAAACCAACCGAUUAAAUUGAAAUCGAAAUUUAAAAAAAUUCAGUUCGAUCGAUUUUUUCGAUUUGAACCGAAAUAUGUCAAGCCCUAGUGAUGAUGUACAAUAACUUAUUGUACAUAUAUUAAUGAUGAAAACUUGAAUAGAUACGAAAUUAUACUAGAUGUCCCUCAAAGUGUGUCAUCUUGGUUUUUUGUCUCUCGUAGAAAAAAUCUUCAAGACUAGUAAUUUUUCUUCAGUAUCUCUUUUGAACUUGGCAGCAAAACUUACUUUAGCAUUUUAACUAAACAGACGUUUAAAUACCUCUUAACAACUUUCAAGUUAAUUAAAUUACACCCUAAUGGGUGACGUGACAAAGUGAGUUGACUCACUCUCCCAAAUGCGCGUGAAGAUAUUAAAAAAAAUUAUAAAAUCAUACACAUGUCAUUUUCUAUAGGUCAAUAUAUAAUUAGUAUUUUAAAUAUUAUUUUAUUGAUACAUUAACUUUUUUAAAAAUAUGUGAAUUUUUUUGGUGGCCCAAAAAAAUUAAUUUUCUUUUUCUUUAUUUUGUUGUCUUCCCCAAUAUAACUUCUUCUCCAUUGAAGCAUCACCACUUCCUUCAUCUUCAACUUUGUUCACUACUUCCAUUUCACCAAUCCUUUAGUAAUCCAUAAAAUUCAACACCAAUAUCUUUUAUUGACGUCAAUUUCACAAAUAUAACAAUUUACAUAAAUUUUGAGUGAUCUGUUUUUAUUUUUUUUAAUUUCCACAAGACAAAUUUGAGGUGGGGGGAGAGGGGAGGGAUUCGAAGAAGAAAAUAUGGUAUUGUAGUAAUACUUCUCUAAAGUUAUUUAAAUUUUUUUUUGAAUUUUUUGAAUGAUCCGUUUUAAUUUUUUUAAUAGAUUCAAAGAGGGGAAAGGGAGGGGAGGGGAGAGGAGGAAUUCGAAGAAGAUAAUGUUGUAUUGUAAUGGUUCUUCUCUAAAGCUAUUUUUUAAAAAUAAAUUGUGAAGAGGCAGAAAAAAGAGCAGUGAAGGGAUAGAAAUGAUGAAGAAGAAAGAAGUGAGGGGAGGGGAAAUAAAAAUGGGUCUUUGAUUUUAGAAAAUGUAUUUUUAAUUAAUUAAUUAAUUAGUGUAACUUAAUUUUAAAAAGUGUUAAAGAAAAAAAUGGUUAAUAAACAAAAAGAAAUAAAUAAAAGUAAUGACGUGGUGGUGACAUGGCUAUGUUGUGGCGCUUACAUGGCUAUGAUAUGGCAGGUGAGAGUGGUAUUAUAUUCAUUUCAAAAUUGUUAAGGGGUAUCUAAAUGCAUGUGUAGUUAAAGUUUUAAGGUAAAUUUUGUUGCCAAGUUCACAGGUGAUUUGAUGUGUUUUUUUUUUCUUUUCUUUAUGUAUAGAACAAAUAUAAUGUUGUCCCUCUAUACCUCAAAUGUUUUUAAACAACCUCCAUGUUCAAUUGUCUUUCACUAUUUUUUCUUCUUUUUUUUCAUUCUUGAGUUUUAUUAUUUUUCUUUUAUUUAUAAUUUUUUUCUUUUUUUUUCUUAACUCUUAUUAUUUUUGCUAAUGAAUUGAAAGUUGAGUAGAAGAUCUUCUUUCUUUAAUGUAACGAUUCUUCUAGUCAUUUUGUAAAUUUUACUUGUUUUCUAUAGCUUAGCCCUGCUUACAACCUUUUUCAUGGAUAAUUUAUAACUUGCGGGAAUAAGUGACGUGAUUUUUGAAAUAUUUUUUUGUUUUUAAUAAAUAGAAGGGAAAAAGAGAAAGAGUUUUGUAUGUCGUUCUAUUUUUAUACCUGCCUGUCUGCCUAUCUAUCUAUCUAUCUAUCUAUCUAUCUAUCUAGCUAGCUAGCUAGCUAGCUAGCUAGAUGUCUGUCUGUGUAUCUAUCAUCUCUAUCUAUCUAUUUAUCUAUCCAUCCAUCCAUUUAUUUAUUUUACUAGUUUCAGGGCACGUGUGUAUAGUAUAUAUAGUAUACGAUGUUGUAAAAUAGAAUUAAUAUUACUAAAUUAAUUAUUUUUAGUAAAUAAUUAUAACUUAAAAAACAUAGGACAAGUGCUUUAAAAUGAUUAAUACGUAUUGUUAUAGAGUUACUUGUAUUUUGAGAUCAAAAUGACCAGAUAUUUUUGAAACAUUUCAAAAUACAUUCAAAGUUCAAAUAUGGGGAGAAAGUGACACUUCUUUAUUAGUAUUAUUAUUUACAUAACUCAAUUUUGUAAACAAAUCUAACCAACAAAAUUUAAAAAAAAAUAUCAAUACAAAAAAUGUCACCAAUAGUCUUUCCUCUUGAGGUUAUGAACAUAAAUGAUGGACACCAUUUAAGUAUAAUUUUCUCUCUUAAAUAUUCAUAUUUCAAAUUAAGUAUGUGCAUGAAACUAAUAAGGAUUACCAUAAAUAUUUCAAUAUUUUAUCUUUAUACGUAAUCUAUCUUUUACCAAUUAAUACUUGAGUACGACUAUCAUAGAGAGGUAAUUCUACAAAAAAGGUACUUUAUUGUUAUAACGAAUGAUGGUUAAAUUGAGGUUUGAGUGCAUGUCAAAUAUUUAGCUUGACAAUUUCUUUCUUUUAGAUAUACAUAUAUAUUUAAGUAGCAUAAUUUAAUUUUAAUAUAUAUAUAGCAUCACCUUUGGUGAAAAAUAUUUCAUUUCUUUAAAUUUCUACCGUAUCUUUGUAGAAUUGUAGUCUUCUCCUUUUUCCUGCUGCAUACAUACCAUAUAGUUGUUGUUUUAAUGAAAGUAUCUAGUAUCUUAUACAAGUUAUAUCGUGAUAUAAAAUAUUAAACUUUUUCAAUAAUAAAAAUUAAUAGAUGAAUAAAAUUUAAAUUAUUGUUUAUAGAAUCUUUAAUUUGAAUCAAGAUUAUUUUAUGAUCAAUCACUAUUUACUUAUCUAUUUUUAUAUAGCUAACAAGGAGUGUAUCAUGUGACCUAAAAUUUUCUCAAAUUAAAUGAACAAAAAAUAAUAGGAGAAAAUAUAUGGAAAGAUACAUAGCCAAUGAAGAUGGAAGACGGAAAUAUAGUUUCAUGUUAUAUUCACAAUAGAGUUCUAUUUGAUUAAAAUCUCUUGUAACCAACACUUUACUUUUUCGUUCAUUUUUACUUACAUAUCUAUUAAAAUAUAUAUUAUCAUAUUAUAAGUAAUAGUGAAAAUCUAUUUUUGAAAUAGUGAAUUUAACAUCAAAACUAAUAAUUCAACGAACUAAUGCUCAUUGUUUUAGCCAAAUCAGAAAGAAAUUAUUUUAUUUGAGGGUAAAAAAGAGAAAAUGGCCAAAUCCCUCCUCAAUCUAUAACCAAAUUCUCAACUACACACUUAUAUUUUAUGAGAGUCCUAUUACCCCCUUGAACUACUUUAAAGCGAAAUAUAUACCACCCUUAAACUAGAUAACCACAUUCUUUGUAUGUGGCGUGCACACGCGCUACAACUGUCAAAUAUCAUUAUCAUUAUUAUUUUAAAAGUAAAUGUUAUUCUUCUUUUUCAUUGCCAACAACAUCAUCUUUACUCUUCUCUUCUCCAGAUAUUGAGACAUGAUUUUUAUUUCUUUUCACUGUAAACUCCCCUAAACCUUUAUCUCCCUCCACCCCAUUUCUCCCUAGACACCCCACCCCCACCCCCACCCUCGUCUUCCAUAACCCACAAAUUAGAUCUCAAUUCAAGAUUCAUAUCAACACUUAUCAUCUCUUUUUCGGGUAAAAGAAAAUCAACAAUAUUUAUCAACAACAUCACCAUCACAACAACAAUUUUAUCAAGUCAUUUAGAUCAACCCCUUCACCUCUCCCACCCAAAUUCUGCAAUCUUGGCACCAAUUUUAAGUUCGAAGUUUUUGCUAAUCAUCUUGGACUUGAGUACAAUUAUGCCCUUUUGAAUCCUUCUUUAAAUAGUGUAGGAUUUAUGCCUUUUAAACUUGAGGAAAUAAUUUGGAUUAUCAGGGUUGAGCAUAAUCGACUGGUGGUUGCUGCUCAAGUUCCUAAAAUCGUUAUUGGGUGUAGUUUGAAUUCUUCAUCGAAAAGUAAUAGAGAUUAGAUAAUAUCUGAAGGUUGGUGAAUUUUAUUAGAGUAAAGAGAUUAAAGACGAUUUAAUUUUAUUCACUAUAUGAGUAAUAUAAUAAUUUUAAUGCUUAUUUGGUGAUUUCGAUGGUGAUUUACAAUGUUAAGAAUUGUGAGUAAAUAGUGUGACAAAUAAUGAGAAAGUACUAAAAGAUGGGUGAAGACAUUGGCUGCUAUGGUAGUGGGCUAGUGGUGGUUCAACAAUGGUGAUGAAGAACAUGUAAGGUGGGGUGAUUUUUUUGAGUGAUGAGAGAGAAAAUUAAAUAAAAGACAAAAGUAAAAAAUUAUAUAGUAAAAAAAAAGUCAAAAUAUUUUUAAAAUAUCUUUUUAUCAGUUUUUUCAACUUUCACAUGCCUUCAAGAGUGUGAGCACACUCUCUGUGCCAUGUCAGCACUUAAGGGUGCAUUUAUACUACUUUAAAAUAGUUUAAGGGGUAAUAGGACCCCUAUAAAAUAUAAGUGUGUAGUUGAGAAUCCGGUUAUAGGUUGAGGGUGUAUUGGACCAUUUUCUCGGGUAAAAAAUAAAAAACCAAAGAAGAAAUAUCUUACCCAAAUCAUGUGACUUUAUUCAUAUUUUAUUAUUAUUAUUGUCUUCCCACAACAUUUCCUCACCGUUAACUCAUAAAAAUCGUAAGAAAAUAUACGAGUGUCAAUUUAUGAAUGAUUUGCUACAAUUUGUUCACCAACUCCAUCUUAUGUGGUACCUCGGAUUUCAUUGAAUUUUGAACUUAAUCAACUAUUACAAAUAACCCUGAGAUUUUUUUUAAGAAGUAGAAGAGUAGAAAACUUUAAAAAUCGUAGUUUAAAAGUGAGAGGAAACCCUCUAUUUAUAGCUAACAAAUAGUAGUAUUAAUAGGUGCUAAUUGUUCCUUAUCAGAAAAGUUGACCUUUCAUAAAAGUCACUGCUCAUCGGAAAAAUCACAACCUUUUGCAAAAGUCACAACUCAUCGGAAAAGGCACAACCCUUUGAAAAAAAUCACAACCUUUCAGAAAAGUCAUAACUCUUCGAAAAUGUCAAACAUAAAAUUUUCUCAAAUUAAAAUGAACACAAAAUAAUAGGAAAAAAUAAUAUGGAGCGAUAGAUAGCAAAUGAAGAAGGAAGACAAAAAUAUAUGUUCAUGCUAUAUUCACUUUAGAGUUCUAUUUGAUUAAAAUCUCUUGUCACCAACACUUUACAUUCUUCGUUCACUUUUACUUACAUAUCUAUUGAAAAUAAUUAUUAUCAUGUAUAUAUUAUCAUACUAUAAGUAAAAGCGAAAAUCUAUUUUUGAAAUAGUAGAUUUAACAUCAAAACUAAUGAUUCAAUGGACUAUGUUGAUGCUCGGUGCUUUAGCAAAAUCAGAAAGAAACUGCUUCAUUUGAGGGUAAAAAAAACAAAUAAAAAAUCAAAGAAGAAAUAUCUUACACAAAUCAUAUGACUUUAUUUAUAUUUGUUUAUUAUUAUUGUCUUUUCCACAAUAUUUCGUUACUGUUAACUCAUGAAAAUCGUAAGAAAAUAUACGAGGUGACUUUAUGAAUGAUUUGCUGCAAUUUGUUCACCAACUCUUUCUUAUCUUGUAUCUUGAAUUUCGUUAAAUUUUUAACUUAAUCAACUGUUACAAAUAACCCUUGGAUUUUUUAAGAAGAAGAAGAAGAGUAGAAAAUUUUAAAAAAUUGUAGUUUAAAAGUGAGAGGAAACCCUCUAUUUAUUUCUAACAAAUAGUAAUAUUAAUAGGUGCUAAUUGUUCCUUAUAAGAAAAGUUACAACCUUUUGUAAAAGUCACUGCUCAUCAUAAAAAUCACAACCUUUUGCAAAAGUCACAACUCAUCGUAAAAGACACAACCCUUCGGAAAAGUCAUAACCCUUUGAAAAAAAUCACAACCUGUCGGAAAAGUCACAACUCAUCAAAAAUGUCAAACAUAAAAUUUUCUCAAAUUAAAAUGAACAGAAAAUAAUAGGAAAAAAAAUAUAUGGAACGAUACAUAGCUAAUGAAGAAGGAAGAAGAAAAUAUAUGUUCAUGCUAUAUUCACUAUAGAGUUCCAUUUGAUUAAAAUCCUCUUGUCACCAACUACUUUACUUUCUUCGUUCAUUUUUACAUACAUAUCUAUUAAAAACUUAUUAUUAUCAUGUCUAUAUUAUCAUAUUAUAGGUAAUAGUGAAAAUCUAUUUUUUAAAUAGUGGAUUUAGCAUCAAAACUAAUGAUUCAAUGGACUACAUUGAUGCUCCUUGUUUUAGCAAAAUCAGAAAGAAACUGCUUAAUUUGAGGGUAAAAAAAAAAAAAACCAAAGAAGAAAUAUUUAUUAUUAUUGUCUUUACCACUACAUUUUGUCACUGUUAACUCAUGAAAAUCGUAAAAAAAAUACGAGUGUGAAUUUAUGAAUGAUUUGCUACAAUUUGUUCACCAGCUCUUUCUUAUGUGGUACCUCAAAUUUCGUUGAAUUUUGAACUUCAUCAAAUGUUACAAAUAACUGUGAGAUUUUUUAAGAAGAAGAAGAAGAGUAGAAAACUUUAAAAAACUGUAGUUUAAAAGUGAGAGGAAACCCUCUAUUUAUAGCUAACAAAUAGUAGUAUUAAUAUGUGUUACUUGUUCCUUAUCAGAAAAGUUACAACCUUUUGUAAAAGUCAAUGCUCAUCGGAAAAAUCAGAAUCUUUUGCAAAAGUCACAACUCAUCUGUAAAGGCACAACCCUUCGGAAAAGUCACAACCCUUUGAAAAAAUCACAACCUUUCGAAAAAGUCAGAACUUGUCGAAAAUGUCAAAACCCGUAAAAAAGUCUCAUCGGAAAAGGUACAACCCUUCAGAAAAGUCACAACCCUUUGAAAAAAUCACAACCUUUCGAAAAAGUCAGAACUCAUCGAAAAUGUCAAAACCCGUCAAAAAGUCGAAACCCUUUGGAAAAGUCACAUUUGUUUGAGAAAAUCGCAACCUUUUAAUAUGAAAGGGUAUUUACAUUUAAUAUAAUACAAAUAAUUAAAUUAAUAAAUAAAACAAAUUGAGUAUUUUUAAUUAGGGGUAUUAUAGUAAUUCAACAUUCAUUUUAGGAGUUCAUACUUUUAAGGUAGUAUAGAUAUUAUAUUAAAAGCACACACAUUUUCACAUUUAAGGGUUGUGAAAUUUCCAAAGAUUUAUAAUUUUUCCGAUGAGUUGUGACAUUUUCAAGGGUUGUGACUUUUCUACAAGGUUGUGACUUUUCCGAAGAGUUGUGACUUUUUUGAAGGGGUUGUGACUUUCCAAAGAGUUAUGAAUUUUCGAUGAGUUGUGACCAUUUUUUUUUUGAUAAGGCACAAUAAGCAUUUUUCUUUGUUGGCUAUAAAAAGAGGGAUUUCCUCAAAUUUUUUAACUACAAUUUUUUUAAUGCUUUUCAUUGUUCUUCUUCUUAAAACACUCAAUAUAGUAUAUUUUCUAUUAUAUUAAAAGAAGACACCAUUUUACAUUGAAUGGUUACAACUUUUCCAAAGACUUGUAACUUUUUCAAUGAGUUGUGACCUUUUCGAAAGGUUGUAACUUUUAUGAUAAGAAACAAUAUGUGUAUGCUCAUACUACCCAUUGUUAACUAUAAAUAGAGGAGUUUCCUCACAUUUUUAAACUACAAUUUUUUUUAUGUUUAUAUUCUUCUCUUAAAAAAAACUCAAGUUUGAUUUACAGACGUUGACAAUUUCAAAGUUCACUGAAACUUGAUCACUUCCUAACAUGAAUGUUCAAAUUAAUAGGCGGAAUGGUCUGGGAGACCCUUGUACUUGGCUCCGUUUGUAUGUUGGACCCUUAUACUUACGACUUUGUCAAUCGAACCCUUAAACUCGCUGAAACACAAUUAUUAAACACCUCUGACCAUUGAUUGAACACAUGUGACAUUAAUAUUGCUGACUUGGAAUGAUGCGUGGUUCCACGCGUUUUAAAGAAAGUGUCUGAAAUUUAUAUGAAAAAAACAAUUAAAUUUUUUAAAAAUAAAUAAAUGAAAAACACCAAAAAAAACAUAAAGGCAGUUAUCUUCUUCAAGCAGCCUGUCGCUGCUGCCCCCCCCCCAACCAACCCCCCAACCAAAUUUCUUAAACCCAUUCCACUUCUUUCCUUCUCUCUUUGGAUUCACCCACCAUUUCCCUUCUUCUUCUUAACACCCCGCACACUGUCUCACCCCUAAAUAUUUUCUCAAAAUUCAUUCUUUUUAAAAAUUUCGAUUUCAUGCGUAGUCUUUGGUGAUAGUGGGUAUUGAAAAAUGAAAAACUUCAUUGAUAAGCUUGAUGAAGCUUCAAGAAUAAUAAAUGGGUUUUGUGAAUUUAUGAAAUAAAUUUGAAAUUGUAUAGAGAUUUGUUGGGUUUAUGUUUGUGAACAAUAUAGUGUAAAAUUCAAGUCAAAUAGUUAAGAAUUCCACCAAUUUAACAUGAAUUUGGUGCUCAAUUUGAGAGCAAAAAUGGAGAAAAUAAUGUUCAAAAUUUCUAGCAUAUGCAGAAGUACUCUUUUUAUUUUUAUUUUAUUUGUUUAAUAUUUAAUUUAUUGUGUGUCAUUAAAAAUGACGUGGAAUUCUACCUGUAAAUGAGUGUACCACACGCACACACAUAGGAUGAGGAAAGAGUUUAAAAUAUUGUGUUUCAGUGAGUUAAAAGGUUUAGUUGACAAAAUUGUAAGUAUAAGGGUCCAACUUACAAACAGAACAAAGUAUAAGGGUCUCUCAAGUCAUUCUGCCAAAUUAAUAUAAUACUCUGACUAAAAACAUCCAAUUUAGUAAAUAUUCUAUAUUUUAUAUCAAUAUUUAUUUAUAUUAUAUUACAUUGAAAGUAAGAACUCCAACGAUACAAUAAUAACUAAGUUAAUGGGUCAAGUCUAAUAUUUAUUUAAUACCUUAUACCACUUGGCCCAUGUAAUAACCCGUUAGGUCAUUUUGAGAAUUUGGACUAUUUUGACUCUUCCCGUAAAAUUUUAGAUGAAAAUUUUGAACAAUUCAGUAACUACGCUUAUUUAAUUGUCAGAAAUUUUUUAAUUAUUAAUUUAAUUAGAAAGUAAUGGGCCAAGUCUGAAAUCUAUCCUAUACCCUUUACCACUUGGCCCAUAAAAUUAAAUUAAGUUAGUGGGUUUUGCCACUUUAAAUACCUAAUUAGUUUAUUUGAAAAAGGAAAAGAAUUGUGGCAGAAAACUUCCCUCUGCAGACGAACGAGAGAAGAAGAGAAAACAAAAUAAAACCAUACUUCGAACUUCAGGUAAGCAAAAAAUUAGUGCACAUUCUUAAUUUUUCUAUAGCUUGCUAUGUAUAUGAAAUAUAUGGCGUUCUAUUUAAAUUGGGUGGACAAGGAAUUGAAAUUGUUUUCUCUAACUACGAUGUCACGAGUGGAGGAAUAAAUUGAGGACUUGUGAUAGUUGAAUGUAAGGGUAAUAUUUAGGUAAUGAUAAUUUAAUAAUUAGGAUAUAAUGAGUGAGUGUGGGGAUAAUCAUUGACAGAGAAGGAUGUCUGCAUAAAUGAAACAUGUAUAUAGUUCCAUUAGUUAUUAUUUUAUCUUAUUUCGUGGGUAAGGUUACACGUGAGUAGCUAUUGGCUUAAAAUUUUGAAUUUUCAUAUAGUUAUUACUAUUUGAAGUUUUAAUAUGUGGAUAUAGGUAACAAAUUUUUGGUGGUAUUGUAUUAUAUGAAUAUCAUUAGAUUCAUGAUAUUUGGGGCUUAACUCUAGCCUUGAAAUUUAACAAAUAUGUGUUUGACAUAUCAGUUGACACCAAAAUUAGGAGUUUGAUUAUCGAUUAGUGUAAGUUUGGGUCUAGGCUAGACAUAUAUUAAUAUGGGUGUCUAUAGACUCAUUUGUUUAAGAAUAUUUCAUAUUUGAUAGAUUCAAAACGUUCGAAAGCUUUGCGAAAGGGGAAGGAAAAAUCUUGAGGAUUUGUGGCACGUGUUCGACAUUCAAGGUAUGUUAAGACUUUCAGACUUCGUUGAAGGACAUUUUUCUAUUUAAAGAUUAAAAAUGAAAUAGACCAUGAGUAAGGGCGAAAGAUAGGGUCUUGUACCAAUGGUGUGAUGGGCAAUGGUACGAGUAGUGGUGUUAUAAAGGGAAAGCUUAUCACUAUAGAAUGUGGAUUGUAAUUCGGGAAUGCCAAAGAACAUGGACAUUAGCUGAUGUAUUGUUGAUUUCUUCUGUGUGAUUGUGUUUUUUUUUGGACCCGUAAAUUUGUUAUAGCUGAGGUGAUUACAUAUCAUAUUGAUAUUUGAUUGAUUGAGAUGCAUCAUCAUCCUUUUUCAUUGAUAUUAUAUUGUGCACAUGUAUUGACAUGAGACUGAGUAUAAGUUAGGUACGUGGAGAUCAUCCGUGCCGGGGAUUGUGAGAUGUUAAGAUUAUAAUUUGAGUACGUGGAGAUCGUCCGUGCAGAAAUUGUUAGAUUUUAUGAUAGUGCGUUGAUAUCGUCCCGCACAGACACGUGGAGAUCGUCCGUAUCGGUAUAUGGAACUCGCGAGUUAGAUUUUAUGAUAGUGCGUUGAGAUUGUCUGCACAGACACGUGGAGAUCGUUCGUGUCGGUAUAUGGAACUUGCGAGUCCGCCAUGGGUCCGAUGUAUUUCCGAGGAUAUCAUGGAUAUGCAGUUCUUCUUCUUCUUCUUCGGUAUAUGGAACUCGCGAGUCCCCCAUGGGUCCGAUGUAUUUUUGAGGAUAUCAUGUAGAUACAGUUCUUCUUCUUCUUUUUCUUCCUCUUCUUCUUCCUGUUCUUCCUCUUCCUCUUCCUCUUAUGAGAGGAUUUUUGAGAGGGAAUUGGGUUUCUUCUGGGGAUUUAGAAACAAUGAUUUGGAAUGACUUAAUUAAGGGUCUAAAGUAUUUAUAUAGGUGGUCUAAAUUAGGGUAAAAUGACACCACUUAAUCCCUAAUUAAUUUCGAAAAGUUCCACUUACCCCUCACUUAACCGCCUAAGACCAACACAUUGCCUCACCCACAAGACCACGCCCACGGGUCGUGGCUGGACCCAUGGGGUGUGGUGGUCAAUCAUGAGUUGUGGUCUGUGGGUCUUCAUUUGGGCCCUUGACCCACAAAGCCAACCACAUGGCGUGGACCCAUCCACGAGGCGUGGGUCCUGCCCGUGGUUACUGCCCUAGGCAGAUUUCAGGAAGGGCUCACCCACGCUGCCCACUUACGGGCGUGGUUCCAUCCACGGGGCAUGGAUGGCCUCGUGGGUUGCACUGUUUUGGGCAGUUCUAGGGUCUUCCUCAAGGACCCUUGGUUGGUCCUUGGGGUCAUACCUUGACGUUCUAACACGAAACCCUAUAUUUUUAGGUACGGGGAGGUACAUUCAUGACUCUAACCCUCACGUCAAGCUCUAGUUUAGCUUACUAGUUUCUGGGGUGUUACACUAUCAAUCAUUAAUUUUACUCUAAUACCUCUUUCUCAAGCAAGCAUAGAGAGCUAAGCUAGAACCGAAUUUGCAACUUCAGUUCAUCAAUUAAAACACGAAAAAACAAUUGAACCCAUUUCCAAACAACAUUAAAUUCAGCAAUUAACAUCCAUAAGCUAAUUAAUGCAUUCGACUACAUGAUCACACCCCUUAGAUAAGGAUUUUUAGCCAAACAUAGCAAAAAGUGAGAAAUCGUUACCAAAAAGAUUGUCCAUCCAAAUUGUUAAAAAUCUGCAAUACUCAAUGCCCGAAUUAAAGCUAGAAUCCUAAAACCUCAAAUUCGAGAUCCAAAUGUUCUCCAAGGUGUUCAACAAUGUAAAAAAUGUAAAAGCUCUCAAAAUUUGGGGAAUACACACUUUAUUAGUCGGGAAUACACACUCAAAAACUUAGAAAUACACACUACUUGUAGACAUUCAUGUUGUCCUAAUCGAUUGGGUUUUACUUGAGGACAAGCAAAUGUUUAAGUUGGGAGUGUUGAUGAGUCGGGAAGUUCGACUCAUUUAGGGCUUAUUAUUCAAUGAAUUAGUGUCCUCAAUGCCUAUUUUGUGCUCAUAAGUGAUGUUAAUGUGUUUAUAAGCAACAAUGAAGGCUUAAAAACAAGACAAGGCCAUUAUGUUGUGAAAAGGAUCGAAAAAGUUGGAAAACCUGAAGAAAUAAGAAGUUGGAGCUCGCAAAAGCCACUCAACGACUUUUCGCGUGAGCCUCCUGCUCGCCAAAAUUUCCAGUGAAGUAGCUCAUGUACCAGGCCAACUUGGCGAGCAAAAGAUGAUUCGGCGUGUCGAAUGGAUCAGUGAUCACGACCCAGCUCGCCUAAUCUUCUAGAACAAUUUGAUGCAGGAACCAAGACACACUACAAGAAAAAGCUUUAUUUAAGACCAAUAUUUAUGGACGAGUCAAUAAUCCCGUCUCUAAAAGUAGAUGUAUUGGGACGAGAUUUUAUUUUGGUCUUUAAUUAUGUAUGUUUUUGUGAAGGUACUAAAUUUGGUCUCUAGAAAAAGUAGUAACUGGUCCCAAAUCAAAAUUUAGGGGUCUUGAGAAAUAUAUAUUGAAAGGCGGGAACUGAAAUGUAUAAAAAAAACAUCUUUUUUCACCAAAAUUAGGCGCCUAAAAGAUCAGUAAUACUGAUAGAUCAAAAUUCUAAAAGUAAAAGAAAAAAAGUGAUCGUGAAAUCAAAAACCCUAGCAAUGAUCUUCCCUAACAACAAUCUUCCCUUACAACGAUUUUUGGAAACGCACUGGUUUACCUAGCAAGAAACACAAUAUAGGUCUGUGUUUUCUCAGAACAGAGAAAGCAGAGGUCUGCGCAGCAGUGAUCUUCACUCAAUCACUAUCUUCUAUUCACUCGAAUCUCAGGUAUUCCUCCACUUCUAUGAGUUGAUUUGAUUUCAUCUGUGAAGUCGAUUAGUUUUUUGUAUUGUUCGAGUUAUAUCUCUUCUUUUUUAAACUCUUGUUCUGUUAGACUAGCUGCCGAUUGUUUUCUUAAAGAACAUGAAGUUUUGUAGUGUGAUAUGAUCCAAAAAAUGAAGGGGAUCAGUCCUUAAUGAAUUACGUUACAAUUUUGUUUGGGUCUGAAGCUGAUGAACUAUGUAAAACGCAAUAGAACUAAUGUAAAUUACCUCAUGUGGUGCUGCACAUUAAAGGUUGAAAGAGUGAUAACUUCGUUUGCAUCUGAAACUUGGGUUCUUUAAAGCUUCGUUUGCAUCUGAUGAAACUUGGACUCUUUAAAGGUUUAAAGGUUGAAAGAACUAAUGUAAAUGACUUCCUGUGGUGCUGCACAUUAAGUUAUAGUUUCGUUUAAAGCAUUCUUUCCUCUUUUUCUAGCUAGUUCUCUGAUUUCUCUCUACUUGUAUCUCAGCUACGCAUCCUCUUUUGCAAGUUUUUUUUUUCUGCUCAAAAUUUUAAUUGUUGAUUGUUUUCUUCCUAUAGCAUAGUGUAUAGUGUGUGCCUAAAGAAUUGAUCAUAUUUUUACGAUGAAAUUCAUUCAAGCUAAUGAAAGAUGAAGUAUGACAUAAAACUUAUGUAAAUUACCUCUUGUAUAUGAUGUACAUAGUAGGUAGAAACAACGAUAGUUUCAUUUAGGUUUCAAAACAUGGAAAACUUGAGAUUUUCAAGAAGAUAUGUUCUAGCAGUACCACCAUAUUUUUUCCAUUCUUGUAAAACUGAAUCACUAGUUGUUAUCUAUUUGUUCAAGUUUCACGUAAGCCUCCUCUUUUGGGACCUGCUUUUUUCUUCUUCUAUAUAUUUGAUUUGUUUGAGUUACACUACUUGUUUGAUUUCAUCUGUGAAGUCAGUUUGUUGUUUGUAUUGUUUGAUUUAUAUCUCUUCGUUUUUGAACUAUUGUUUUGUUAGACUAGCUGCUGAUCGUUUUCUUAAAGAACAUUAAGUUUUGUAGUGUGAUAUGAUCCCAAAAAUAAAGAGGAUCAGUCCUUAAAGAAUUAAGUUACAGUUUUGUUUGAGUCUGAAGUUGAUGAACUAUGUCAAAAGCAAUAGAACUAAUAUAAAUGACUUCCUGUGGUGCUGCACAUUAAAGGUUGAAAGAGUGAUAGCUUUGUUUGCAUCUGAAACUUUGAUUCUUUAGAGCUUCAUUUGCAUCUGAAACUUGGAUUCUUCAAAGCUUCGUUUGCAUCUGAUGAAACUUGGACUCUUUAGAGGUUGAAAGGCUGAAAGAACUAAUGUAAAUGACUUCCUGUGGUGCUGCACAUUAAGUUACAUUUUCGUUUAAAGCAUUCUUUCAUCUUUUUCUAUCUGGUUCUCUGAUUUCUGUUUACUUGUAUCUCAGCUAUGCAUCCUCUUUUGCUAGUUUUUUUUUCUACUAAAAAUUCGAAUUGUUGAUUGUUUUCUUCUUAUAGCAUAAUGUAUAGUGUGUGCCUAAAGAAUCGAUCAUAUUUUUACGAUGAAAUUCACUCGAGCUAAUGAAAGAUGAAGUAAGACAUAUAACUUAUGCAAAUUACCUCUUGUAUAUGGUGUACAUAGUAGGUAGAAAUAACGAUAGUUUCAUAUAGGAUUCAAAACUUGGAAAACUCGAGAUUUUCAAGAAGAUAUGUUCUAGCAGUAGCACCAUAUUUUUUCCGUUCUUGUAAAACUGAAUCUCUAGUUGUUCUCGAUUUGUUCAUGUUUCAUGUAAGCCUCUUCUUUUGGGACCUGAUUUUUUCUUCUUCUAUAUAUUUGAUUUGUUCGAGUUACACUACUUGUUUGAUUUCAUCUGUGAAGCCAGUUUGUUAUUUGUAUUGUUCGAGUUAUAUCUCUUCUUUUUUGAACUUUUGUUCUGUUAGGCUAGCUGCUGAUCAUUUUCUUAAAGAACAUUAAGUUUUGUAGUGUGAUAUGAUCCCAAAAAAGAAGGGGAUCAGUCCUUAAAGAAUUAAGUUACAGUUUCGUUUGGGUCUGAAGUUGAUGAACUAUGUCAAAAGCAAUAGAACUAAUAUAAAUGACUUCCUGUGGUGCUGCACAUUAAAGGUUGAAAGAGUGAUAGCUUCGUUUGCAUAUGAAACUUUGAUUCUUUAAAGCUUUGUUUGCAUCUGAUGAAACUUGAAUUCUUUAAAGGUUGAAACAACUAAUGUAAAUGACUUCUUGUGGUGCUACACAUUAAGUAAAAGUUUGUGGCAUGAUAAGAUCCCAAAACGAAGUUGAUCAAUCCUAAGAGAAACAAAUGUUCCUAAGGAAACAAAACAGUGAACUACUCUUAAAUAGAGGCACUCACAGGUCAUGCAUUAAGACAAUGUUCGGAGAGAAGAUAUAUGAAUUUUUAUUCGACUCAAGAAAUCUAUUCAGAAUUACAAGUGAACGAAUGUUUACCUUUUAAUACUAACAGAGCACACUGUAAAGUGUCUUCAGUUAUUAAAUCUGAUCCAAAUAUAUAGGCACGUGCAACUAAUUCUUAAAAAGAUUUCUAUCUAACUAAAAUAAAUUAGUAAUUGCAAAAGGCACCAUUGAAUUAUUAUCUACUGUAAAUGGAUCAUAUUUUAGUGUUUUGUGUGUGUCUAAGGAAUCGAUCAUAUUUUCUUACAAUAAAAUUAACUCGAACUCACAAAAGAUGUAUAAAGCAACAGAAUUGAUACAAAUUACCUCAUGUGGUGCUGUACAUAGAAGGUAGAAAUAGUGAUAAUUCCAUUUGAGUUUCAAACUUACCAAACUUGAUAUCUUUCAAGAGAUACAUUCUUAUAGUUGCACCAUAUAUUCGGUCAUUCCUAUCAAACUCAAUCACAACAAAUUUAUCAAAAAUUUAUAAAAAUAUAUUGUAAUUAACUUUUAGAAGGUUAAAGAUGCAACUGACUUCUUACAGUUAUACUUCAUGUGAUUCCAUAUAUAGAAGGUAGAUACAAUGACACUUCUCUUUGGGUCCUUGAGAAAGAGAACACGGAACCCAAAUCCCCUUGUUCUACUCAUCAAGUUAUGCAAGUCUCCCAAACAACUGAAACAUGUAUGACAAUUUACAAAUCCAUUCACUAUCAAUCUGUUGAACUAAAUUUUAUUGCUACAGUUCUUACUAAAUUAUAAAACUAUAGGAUCAUCUAAUCCAAGAAAUGUAAAAAGAGUGCGAGGGAGCAACAAGUGUAAAGAAGUUGCAUCACUUGAAGCUGAAAAGAGGCUGAAAGUAACAUUUUACAAUAAUAGAACAGUUGGAACAAAUAGCAAUCUGUUUUCAAGGCACCUGGGAAAAAUAAUUUGUGACUGUAAUAUGUGUCCAUUGGGAGUACCAUCGUGGAGGGACAUUAAGCAACAAAAGUUGGAUCACAUGUGGGCAGCUAUUGAGGUACAAUUACGAAUUACAUCAUCAUUAUAUUUAUAUUCAGCUUUUUUGUGCUCUGUUAAUUAUUACAUGAAUCUAAUCAACUAACCAAAAAGAUAAAAAGAAGGAUAUCUACUAAGAAGAUACAUUGGUGUAACUACCAUCUGGUGUUUAACUUGAUGAAUUAGAACUUACUAUUCUUAUAUUUCCAACAUUAACCGUUGUUGCACAUAUUUUUCUUUCUCAAUUUUAUACAUAGUUUUUGUAUAGUUGACGCACAAUAUUCACUCUCCUUUUGUAGGAUAAAUUUGAGAGUGUUGACUUCAAUGAUCAUCGUGAUCAUAUAUUUGGAUGGAUGAAUGAGUUAUGGAACAAAUGGAGAGGAUACUUGCAUGCUACUUAUGUGAAGAAUAAGCCAAUUGCUCAGGCUCUUAAUAAUAUUCCAAAGGGAGUAGAAAAGAAGAAAUGGGAGUGGUUAGUUAAGGAACAUUUUUCUUCUGAAAGUUUUCAGGUAUACCUAGAGAUCUAAUAGCCUAUAUCUUUCAAGUAUCCAUUUUGCAACUCAUCGUGAUAUUUAGAUGUGAAACUAUCUCUAAACUUGGUAAUAUUUCUUAGAUAUGGCUUUUUAACGUACCAAUACAGGCGAGGAGCAAUAGAAAUGCAGAAAAUUGAGCUAUGUUAAAGAUGUUUCAUCACAUUGGUAGCAAGCCUAUUAGAGAGAUUAUUUAUCAGCAGGUAUUAUCGAAAAAUAAUUUUCCUAAAUAAAACGUUUAAGAAGUUCUAUUUGCGGAUAGUCGUUUAAGCAUUUAGUGUAUAGCUAAACUCUUAGAUGAUUGAUCGUGUUUAAAGGAAUUUCUUCACUUCUGAGGUUCUUUGUUGGUGAUUUAUUUUUUCUCUUAGCUGGUGGCUGUUUGAUCACCUAUAUAAGUUAGUUUUGUUUAGUGAGCUUUAUCACUUUUGCUGGCAGGACAAAAAUCUAUGACUAACUCCCUUCCUGCAUAAGUUAGGUUGAUUCUUCCUAACAUUUUAUCAAGAAGUGGAUGAGACAUUCAAUAAUUCUAUAUAUGAAUCUUUAUACAUAAGACUGGGAUAGUGCUGAUUUGUUGAUAAACAGAGUUGUUUUAUACAUUAUGUUUCGAGUUAUUUUCAUGUUUGUGUCGUUUCUUUCUAGACAGAAAUUGGAAACUGAUUUGCAUUGAGUUUUAGCCGUUUAGCAGCUACAACCGUAGUAAUAGAUACCACAUAUGAAAUGCUUCAGUUGUUCCGAGUUAUUUUAAUGUUUGUGUCGUUUCUUCUCUAGAAAAAAAUUGAAAAACAGAUACGCAUUCAGUUUUAGCCUUUUAGAUGUCUUGGAAAUUGUUGCUUCUUGUGUGCUAGCAUAUAUAAGUUAUAGAACCAUUACACUUGACCAUAUACAAAAUCUCUCGACCCGUAUAGACACUCAACCAUAUAUAAGUUCUGCUUUGUCCACUAAGAAUAAGAAUACAAGAUAUAAAUGGCAGGAAAGAAGUAACAACGCAUUGUAGCCUCAAAGUAACAACAUCCUAGCCAUAUACAAAAUGUCUCUCCCCCUAUAAGACUUAUCCUUUAUGAAUAGGCCUUUAUCGAUGCAAGAAGAACUUUGACAUCACUCUCAGGGUUAUUAAGAUAAUUUUUUGAUAUCUUUUGCUGUUGUACAUCAUGUUUUCCAUCCAUAUACAGAAUAUCUCAGCAUAAAGUCUAGCAAAACAGAGAUUUGAGUUGCACCUUCAUCUGGUUUAGAGGAUCAAGUAACUAGCUAAACCUGUAUCAUUAGAAUUGCUUAACAGAUCAUUGCCUUCUUUAUCUCUAUUUUUUAAUUUUCUACACGUACAAUUGCAGGCACACAGUUUGAGAUUGUUUGGCUUCUACAAGGAUUAAUGAUGAGAAGAAAAAAGUGAUAACUUGUUUGUUUCCCCUGCUACAAUAAUAACCUACUGGUUUAUAGCUGAAACAGUGAUAUACAUCAUACGUGUUUAGUUACUCUGCAACAACUUCUUUCCCCUAAAACCUAAUAUAAAUCUUCUUGGUGGAGAAUUUCUCCAUUUGUGCUAGCUUAUGUCACUGAAUUUGUGCUUUCGGUAUAGAUUUGGAUUCUUGGUGAAUGCAUCUCAUCAAAGUUUUCUUAAUCAAUUUUUCUUAUGUUGUUGCAGCUUGUUGAUAUUCUGGAUAUCCCUUGGUUAAUUUUAGAGUUCUUUUGUGAAGAAUGAAGCUCAAGUCAAGAUGCAAGUUUAGAAGAUGCACACGACCAUUAUUAUUUUGCUAGGAAAGUUGUGCAAGACAUGAAAUCAUAGUCUAGCUCGGGAUAUUGUUAAUUUGCUAAGAUUUUUUUUGUCAAACAAAUAUUGAAACUAACACCAUGGGAUAUUUACCUAUUUUUAUAUUUAUAUCAGCCUUUUCUCUAGAGAUUUACCAUAGCAAUCUUAUAUUUAUUGGUAGAACUUAUAAUACUUUUGUGAAAUGAGGAUCCAGAAUCAAUGGUGGACAAUUAGAGACCAAAAUUUUUGCUCGUCUCUAAAAGUUCAUCUAAGAUGAGAUAGUUUCUUGUCUCUAAAAGUUUCAUCUAGGAUGAGACAACUUCUUGUCCCUAGAGGCUCAUCUAGGACGAGGUGUUGCUUGUCUCGAAAAACAAUCUAGGACGACGUGGUUGCUUGUCAAGAAAAAGUAAUCUAGGAUGGGGUAGUUGAUCGUCCCUAAAGAGUAAUCUAGGACGAGUUAGUUUCUAGUCUCUACAGGGUUUAGUGACCAGAAAAUGACUAGUUUUUAAGGAAGAAAAUCAUCUAUUUGGGACGAGAUAUGUAGUCUUUAAAAGUACUUUGGUGACCAGCUUUGAUUCCGUCCCUAAGCACAUUUAGCGACCAGUUAAUGGAACCCGUCCCAAUUAACCUUUAGCGAAGAAGCAUUUUAGGACGGGUGGCGACCAGCCUUUUCCCGUCUCAAAAGACAAUUUGGGACCAGAUUUGGACAUUCUAGGACCAGAUUUCCCUUCCUUAGAGACUGUUUUUCUUGUAGUGACAAUAAGCUGAGAAGAAGUGCAACUCGGUAGAUCGUCGAGUCGAUCGAUGAUACCGAAAAAUGAAUUUAUACGUUCCCAAAAACUCAGCAUGGAAUCCACUCGGUGAAGCUAGUCGGGAUCACCGAUUGACUCGGCGAUCCGUCGAGUUGCACUUCUUCUCGCCUUAUUGUCUUGGCUCCUGCAUCCAAUUGUUCUGGAAUAUUAGGCGAGUCGGGUCAUGAUCACCGAUCCAUUCGGCACAUCAAUGAAUCUUCUUUUGCUCGCCAAGUUGGCUUUGUACAUGGGCUACUUCGCUGGAAAUUUUGUCGAGCUGGAGGCUUACUUGGCAAGUCGUCGAGUGGCUUUUGCGAGCUCCAUCUUUUCUUUUCUUCAGCUUUUCUAACUUUUUCGCUCCUUUUCGCAACAUAAUGACCUUGCAUUGUUCUUAAGCCUUCAUUGAUACAUAUAAACACAUUAACAUCAGUUAUGAGCACAAAAUAGGCCUUGAGGACACUAGUUCAUUGAAUAAUAAUUCCUAAAUGAGUUGAACUUCCCGACUCAUAAACACCCCCAACUUAAACUUUUGUUUAUCCUCAAGUAAAACAAAAGAUUGAUCAGGCCAAUAUGGAUGUCUACAAGUAGUGCUCUUGGGACUCAACAUGAAUGCACACAAGGUUCAAUCUACACAUGCACUGUUCAAUUGUGCACUGAAAGUUUCAAACCAUGACUAACACUCAUCAAAUAGAGUUCAAGCUCGCAAUGCUCACUUCAAAUGCAACUGCAUGCUCAACAAGAGUGUUCAAAUGUCUUCACAUCAACAAUGAUUUCACGCUUUCACAAAGCCAAUCAAAGAUUACGAUUAAGGAAUCAAAAUCAAUUCUCACACUCCCAAUGAGAAAAACGUGCACGAUUUUACCCAUAGGCCUUCCCAUAUUUUCCAACCAACACAUCAUUCGGCUCAUGCAAGAUCAAAAAGGUCUUUCAAGGCUUGUAAUUGGGCUGAGGGUACGAGUAUGAUCAUUUUGGCUUAGUGGCUUCUACCUUCACGAAGCAUGGCUCAAAUUUCACUUGUUCUCCUUUUCUUUCAUUCUUUUCACCUUCACAGCUCAUCCUUGGCAUAUUCAAAGCACACGAAAUUUUUGGUAUCGAUUAUUAGACACCCCUUUUAUUUCCACAACAUUACACACUUCAAAUUUUAUCAUUUCUUUGCUUUUUUUUCAUUUUUUUUAAAUGGAGAGGUUCCAUCAUUUUUAUACACAUUCCUUCAAGGAGGAAUUUUCAUGAACUUCUUGCUCUAUUUUCUUCCUUAUUCUUACCACACUCCCGACUUAGGCUUUUUGCCAAAGUUGGCUAUUCAAACAAACUAAUGCUUCAUGAAGGUUUUAGGUGGAGAGGAUAAGGUCAUUUGCGUUCAUGUUUCAUCCAAAAAAAGGUUAGUCUCAAAUGGUGCCAAGCUAGGUUCACACACUCACAAGGUUGUCACACAAAGGUAUAGCAAUUAGGUUCACUCUAAAUUUUUUAUGCAUAAGAUCAUUUCCUCCAUUCACCAAAAUUAGUCAAUCGGACCAACGGAGCAAGUUCUAGAUAACAUUGAUGUGAGGCCAAAAUACAUAUUUUUAAUCAUUAUUUGCCUCAUAUUUAGUAUUUAUAUUUGUCCUUUUUGAGUAUGAAUUUUAUGGAUUGUGCUUUAUAGUAUAUUUUAUUUGUAGGAUUAAAUUGGUGGAAAAUGAAGAAGUUUGGAGCUAAAACCAAUUAAAGAUGGAAGGUUAAAGAAGAAAAUCAAACAGGCAGCUUAAUGGAUUAAAUUAAAUAUAAUAAUAAUAAUAAUAUAUAUAUAUAUAAGUGCAGCGAAGAGAAAUUCACUCAGUAUAACACUGCUGCCACGUGGCAACCAGUAAAGGCAGCAGCAACCCAUGGCAGCGCAACACUGUUUCACACGGAAUUAAAUUCCUUUUAGGUUUUGGGUUCCUAAUUUAUUUUGGACUCAAUUAUUUUAUUCAGAGUUUUCUAUAUUUAUAAAUAGUCCAUAAGAAUAAUUAUUAAUUUAUUAAGGGAGGAUGAUACAAUAUAGAAAAUAAUUUUUGAUUUAGGGUUUUAUCUUUUCUUCUCUUUUAUUUAUUUUACAUCUUUUCUUGGAAUAAUUCGUUGUAAUUGCUCUAUAUCUAUGUGGAGUUAAACUUCUCGUUCUUGGAUUAUAUUUUCUUACAAAAUGAUUGUUUAGUAAUUUUGAUUCUGCAUAAUUGUUUAUCAUAUUGGUUGUUCUAGUCUUGUGGUUACUAUUUCCAUGCUUGAUCAUAGAGAUAAAUAUAUUGUCUACUCUUGAACUUGGGAGAGGAAUGGAGGGAUAGAAUGUGGAAUAUAAGGAGCAUAAUCUUUUCUUGCAUAUCACUUGAAUUGAUUUGUGUCUAGGAUAGGGAUAUACCUAGGUACCUUGCUUGGCUCAUACGGAAAGACAACGUAAUGCUCCAUAGUUGGUUCAGUCUAUCCCCGCUCAACGAUGUAGUUAGACUGUCAAUUGUGGUAGACGGUUAGAGGUCGGGAGAUCAUGACUAUAUUAUCAACCCCGUGAAUCAAUAACUAGAUAAUAAAAUAAGUUGAUGAAAUUGAUGCUAAGCAUGAUUGUUAGUUAAAUCAUAAUCCUAGAUCGAUUCAUUCAUUGAUUGUGUAAACAUCAAUUUUUUCUUAGUUAAUUACUUUUUAGUUAUUUUAUCUUUAUUUUUAGUUUAGUUAAUAUAUAUUCGUCUUUUGAAAUCCUCCCUUAAAUAAAUAAUUAAUAUAAUUAAUAAGAAUAAUUAAUUGACAAGUCCUUUGGGUUCGAUAAUCCGAUUCUUUUAAGAGCCACUAUAUUACUUGCACGACACGUACACUUACGUGUGCAAUUGGUAGCAACAAGUUUUUGGCGCCGCUGCCGGGGACUUAGAAUUAAUUGUUUUUCUAGGUUAAACUUUUUCUUUUUAUUUAUUUAAGUUUUUUAUAGAAAAAAAAAACAAAAAGAAAAAAAAAAUUCUUAUGUUAUACUUUUUUAUUAGUGUCACUUUUUUUCUUUCGAUCUUGUUUUUGUAGAUGAGGGGAAAUCUAAGUACCCAAGAAUUUGAAGCAAAGUAGCAUGUUUGAGCUUAAGUGUGGGGUGCGUACGACCCUUGAUGGAAAAAAAAAGAUUGAAGAGAACAUGCAACUAUCUAGGCCUAGAGGCCUCAGGGAGUUCUUUCUUUCAUUCUUAGCUUGUGUAUUGAAUUGUUGCACUGGGGACAGUGCCAUGUUUUAAGUGUGGGUGGGGGAAUGAAUUCCUUGUUUUUACUGCUUUAUUGAGUCUUUUCAUUUUUUUAGGAUGGGUUCCUUGGCUUUUGUUUUCGGUUCUUUUUCUGAGGAUAGUCCUUUUGAACCGAGUGUCUUUUAUUUUUUAGGAAUAAGUUUUCUUUUAAUUUAUUUUUUUGAGAGAAAAGAAAAGACCCUUUUGAUGGUGUGAUACUUGCUAUUUAGGACUAAUUUUUGAGUAGUACUUUCUUGGGAAUGCUUGAUUGAUAAGGAAAUUGCAGACUCUUUAACACCUAAACUCAUGGUUGUGACUUUGUAUAUAGCUUAUUUUAUUUUGUAGUUUGUUAUGAUUCUUUCUCUCUUAGAAGUGGAAUUGAUCCAUCUUGAUUGAUACUUGUGCCAUGUGUGGAGAGAAUUUGUAUUUUCUAUGUUUUAUAUCUUAAUCUAGAACUUUCCCUGCAUGUUAUUGAAGAGAAAUAAAAAGUGUUGCUUUGUUUAGGAGAUCAUAAUAGGCUUUCUUUGUUUUGUCUUGUAACUUUUAGCCUUUUUAGAUACAUAUCACUAGUAGCCCCUUUGAGCCUGUAGUUUUUUAUCGGUAGCCAUAUUUUUGCCUUGACUUUUUGUUGGAAUCCCUAGUUUUUGCACCCUGCUUCCUUGAGCACUGUAGCAGACUUAUUAUAUUUGUUAAAUCUGAAGAAAAAUGGAUGGUUGAGUGAAAAAAGUAAUCAAUGAUAGCUACAAAGUGAUUAAAAAGCCCUCUUUGAAAGAAUGUGACAUGAAAAAGAAAAAAGAAAAAAAAAGAGAAAAACAAAAUUAAAAAAAAAAUAUUCUUUGGAAAAAAAAUGAUUGAAGCAAAAAAAACGCUCUCUUCUCUCUUAUGCAAACCCUAACCCAAAUCUCCCAGCAACACCUAUGGCCACUCCGGCCACUGGCAAGUCGUCUUUGGCGACUGGUCAGACAGUCCCUUUAACGUUCAAUGAACACUUCCCCAACCUUACUCAUAUAACACGUCUAUCCAAUCCCAAUUGUGGCAUUAAGGAUCCUAAUACUCUGCCUAGCGAACAUGUCGUGCAUAAUGAUGAUACAAUCAGAUUUAAGGAAGGAGAGUAUGCAGCUUUGGUAAAACCUAGUGGUAUGAAUGCAGUUGAUUCAAACAAAGGACUACCAGCAGUACCUUUGAAAAAACCUACGUUUAACAAUGGUAUUCCUCGGGUUACUUGGAAAGAGGAAGAAGUAACACGUAUGAACAUUAUGGAGAAUCUACAAUAUGCUGUGAUAGGAAAGUUCUCUUAUGGGUGGUCUGAGCUAGAUGAGUUGAGAAGGAUUAUCCCUAAACAAUGCAAUAUAAAAGGAGCAUGUCAAAUAGGUUUGCUGCGACUUAGGCAUGUUUUGAUGAUAUUCGAAUUGUUUGAAGACUUUGUGAACAUGAUGUCCAAACCUUCCUAUUACAUUACUGAUAAUGCAGGAUUAUACUAUCCAAUGGGACCCUUGAUUUAUGAUGAGAAGUUCAGAGUUGAUGAAGAAAAAUCAUAGGCUAUGGCAUGGAAAUCCUUCCCUGAUCUUUGGCUUAUUUUUUUUUGGGAGAGAACCUAUUUUUUCAUUUGCAUCAGCAGUGGGUAAACCAAUUCAGUUAGAGACAGCUACUAUCAACAAAACUAGACCUAGUUGUGCUAGGGUUUAAGUCCAACUAGACUUAAGUUAGGUGAUCUUCCUAAGUUUGUGGAAUUGGAGAUUGAGAAUGAAGAGAAAACCUCGUCAAGGGUGGAAAAGGUGAAAGUGGUUUAUGAUAUGCUCCCUAAAUAUUGUAAAAGAUGCAAAUUACAAGGACAUAAUGAGGAAGAAUGUAGAAUCCUACAUCCUGAAUUGAGAAAGCAAGAACAUAAUGCAAAUAUGGAAUUGAAGGACAAAGAAUUGAGCAAACCAUCAAGGUUCCUUAAAAAACAAUGGAACCCUACUAAUAGAAGAUUCAUCAGAAACACUGAUAAGGAGGUUACUACUGCAGGCAUGGAACUAGAGACGGAUGUUAUUGUGAGUAACAACUCAUUUACUGCUCUUAAUGAAGAACAAGAUGAAGGAGAAAAAAAUAAAGGGGAGGGCGGGGGGGGGGGGGGGGAAAUGAAUACAAAAGAAUGGAUUACAAAUUCUUUCUACAAAAAUACAAACACAGUAGGUGAUCAAGCUAUAAAUAACAGUGCAACAAAUAUCAUGGCAGGGGUGAUGAAGUCCAACAAUGUGCUGCCUUCUCAAGAGCCUGAGGAUCAAGAUAAAGCUCUGGUUAUUCAUACACACCUGCAGAAUACAGAGAAGGUCAACAAUGAUAAUGAAGAUCAACUUGAUGAAUGUAUACAAAGGAAUGUAGUAAGUGAGGAACAAAUUAAUAUUACUGAAACAUGUUUUCAGGAAGCUGGGGCUUUGGAUAAAGCAUUAGUAAUUCACAAGGACCAUCAGGUCUUACAUGGGGACAUGUUAGGAGGACAUGAUGAUGUGGUUUUAGAUAUGGUGGAGUUUGAGGAGGAUCCUCUUCUGUGUUCUGAGGAGGUAGGUAACAUGUGCAGUUCAGCCAAUAGAGAGAAGCUCCUUACAGGUUGCUCACUUGGCAGUCAAGAGCAAAUGCACAAUGUUAGGAGUGUAAGAGAAGUUCAUAAUGCAGUAGUCAAUUUUUCAGGGGCAAUCAAACAAAGUUCUCCUAUUAAAGAAUUACAUGGCUUGGUUUCUCAUAAAACAACAUAUAAAGAAAGCAAAAUGGUCUAGUGAUAGACAGGGAUGAAGUUGAAAAUCAAAGUGAUCAUGCACAAGUUAUAAAUAAUGCAGGAGGUUCCCCUCAAGGGAAAUCAAAGAAGAAGAAGAGUAAGCCUCAAGGGGAAAAGUCUACUAGGACUAACCCUAUGUGGUCUGAUAGAGCUAUGUUGAAAUGAUCUUUAUAGCAUUAAUAUGGAAUAUUAGAUCAGUUAGAUCUAAUCAUUCUUUCCAUAGAGUAUAAAUGCUUCAUAGACAUCAUAAAUUUGAUUUGGUUGCCUUAAUGGAACCUUUUCAAGAGAUUAGGAAGAUUCAACAGUUUAAAAGGAGAUUAGGCAUGGCCUAUGCAAAUUAUAACAUCAAUGGGAAGAUUUGGUUGUUUGUCAAGGAGGAUAUUCAGGUGAACGUUGUUUCUGAUUCUGAACAACAAUUGACUAUUGAAAUGCUAUUCCCUAGUGGGCAUCAGAUGGUCAAUACUCUUGUCUAUGCUAAAUGUACAGCUGCUGAAAGACUUCCAUUGUGGGAGGAUAUGUAUGCAAUUGGGCAAAAUAUGAAUUUCCCCUGGUUUGUUGGAGGGGACUUUAAUGUUAUUAUGGAUGCAGAAGAAAAGAUAGGUGGUCUACCUGUCUAUCCAAAUGAGGUGGAGGAUGUGCUUUUUGUAUCAAUUUUUGUGAACUAUUUGAUAUUAAAUUCAAAGGUAGCCCUUUCACUUGGUGGAAUGGGAGGUCUGAUGGUGAAUAUAUUUUUAAAAGAUAGGUGGUCUACCAGUCUAUCCCACUACACUAUUUAACAGUUUAUUUUAAAGGUAUAUAUGUGCCCACGUGGACACGUUACUAUUUAUAAUUAUAAAAUGUUUAUGAUGUCCACGUGAGCACAUAUAUAUACCUUUAAAAUACACUAUUAAAUAGCUUAGGGGGGUAAAAGGUCCUUUUCAAAGUUUGGUAUCGUUACAACAAUUUCGGUCAAAGUUUUGAUAUAUUUCAGACCUUUUUCCCUAUUUUUUUAGAAGAUCUCAAAUAAUUCCCCUUCAUUUUUUAGAAAAAAAUAAUUAAAUAUGAACAAUUAAUGUGAAAACCAAAUGAACAAAAAUAUGAUUCAAAAUAAAUAAGAAUACAUUUAAGCAAAUGAAUCUAUAUUGAGUCGUAAUUUUCAAAUUAAACUAACAAAAAUUUUACAUUUCAUUUUACCCUUGAACUUUGCGAAACAAAUCAAAUGUACCCUAUGUGAAUUGUAUUCUUAUAGUAAUAAUUAAAAAAAUUAAAUUAAGUUUUCACUUUUGUCAGCCUAAAGAGAUAUAUUUGAGUCAUUUUUUAAUAAUAAGGAUAUAUGUAAGCCGUUAUUUUUAAACCAAAUGGUAUAUCAAUUUUAAAUUUCAAGGUUAAAAAAUAAUUAGACCCUUGUUUCUUUAUUAUUAUUAUUGUUUUAUUUUUUAAAUUCUUAUUGUUAUUAUCAAGGCCUAAACCCUAAACCACGCUUGGAGUAUUUCUCAGGCUUUCACCUUUGAGGUUUUCUGAGGCUAUGAAUGAGGAUGCCCACGUGUUUUUGACUACUUGCCGGGAGCAGCUUUAUACAUUUGGGACUGGUGGAGUCGAGAGAAGCCAACUUCACUACUUAUCAGUUAGAUGGGCCAACCAUACAGUCUUGACAUACCUUCAUUCAAACUAGACCAGUUCAUUCCCUUUGGUCAGGUCACUUGGACCGAGUUUUUUUAGGCCUUUUUGGCUAGGUUCAUUCCUUGCAGUGUUAGAGAAAUCACCUCUGGGAUCAUUUCUCUAGGCUGGAGCAGGCUCUCCAUGAUUGUGUUAGAGUAUAAGGCAAGGUUCCACGAGCUCUCUCGCCAUGCCAUUAUGAUUUUACCUAUUGAGGACAAGGAGAGAGUUUGAUGUUGUAUGUGGAUUGAGGUUCCAGCUACGGAUUGAGCCUCAAUCUAUGAUCUCUGGUAUUGUUCCUUUUUGGAGAUUGUCGAUCACGCCCUCACUAUUGAGCAGCGUGAGGCCCAAGGGGGCAGCGACAAGAGAGCUAGAUACGAGGGCAGCUACAACAGAUCAUGUUCCAGGUCCAGAGACACAUAUGAUAGGAUUCUACAGUCACGUAGGCCUAUCUAGGCCUCAUUAAAGAUUUCAAAGGGUGACUGGUAUAGCCGGAGUGAGGUCGGCUCCAGUCAGAGACAUGAGUCCCAUUCUUGUGCUUCAGACUGUGGUGGACGUUCUUCUAGGAGUCGAUCAUCCCCAAGUUAUUUUGAUUGUGGAGAGUUGGAUCACUGGGACAUAUAUUACCCUUUGCGUAGGCAGAUUACUUUUGCUCCACAGGUAGCUCCACCAGUAGCACCUACAACUAGGGUUGAGGUCAGUGUAAACACCUAAGUUUAAACUGAACCCAAGAUUUUACACCAUUUUAUUACUUAAAUGAUUUCUUGUAGGUUAAAAUUUAAUUAUCUAAAGUUUUACUUCUUCCUAGUGAAUUUAUUUUAAAUUGUUGAAAACUACAAAAUAGAAUCCCUUUUAAGGAUACAUUUGUUUUUAAUAUUAUUAUUAUUAUUUUAAAAGAAAGAAAACCUACCAAUAUAUAUACACGUCUUUCAAUUAAAUAUUAUAGUCAGUUAAUACUUUUAAUUGAUUUUAAAAUUUAUUACUUUAAGAAGAAAAUAAAGAAGAAGAACAAAAAGAAAGAAAAAAAAAGAACAUACAAAAAGAACAAUUUUUUUUUUAAAAAGGGAAAAAGUAAUAAAGGGGAAAAGAGGAAGAAACCAAAACGUGUAAAAUAAUAAAGAAAAAAAAUAAAACAAAAUGUUCAGUAAAAGAAGGGAAAAAAUGCAAAAAAUAAAAAAUGAGAAAAGAAAGAAAAAGAUAAAAGGGAAAAAUCUUUCUAAAAAAUAGUCCUAAUCCCUUUAGAAUUUUCAUACAAAACUAAUCCCAAAUUCCAUAAAAAUUUAUCUCCAAUUUUAAAUCCAACUCAAAAGACAAUCCUAAAAUUACUCAAACUCUAAAAUCUCACUCCUACACAAUCCCUAAAUUUUAGCAACUAGAUGCCUAUAUAUACUCUACCCACAAGACAAUUCAAGAGACAAAUUCAAAUACAACAAACACGCAUAAACCACAACAACAAAAAAAAUCUUCCUUUAUUUACCUUUUUUUAAAAGAAAAGAAUUUGAGAAUUAGUGAUAUCAAGUUUGAGUCCUUGUUUGAGUUUUCAUGUGCGGUUCUUGAUUCAAGAAAAUAUCUACGAAAGUUCAAGAUUAAAAUUUGUUAAGGUCCAUCUCAUGACCUUACUCUAUUUUGUUUGAACUAAGUUGCAUGCUCAUACAUAAUAUUUUUUUAGUAUAUAAUAUAUGAUCGCUUGACCUUCGUGGAGGAGCAAGUUGCCAUUCUUGCCAGGUGUGACACUUGCACUUGAGAGCCAUUCCUAUGGUUAAGGUCCGUUGGAGGCAUCGUCCAAUUGAGGAGGCUACCUGGGAGAUCGAGCACGAUAUGCGGGAGCAGUUUCUUGGCUUUUUGAGCCUUCUAGUACUUCUUGACUCUUAGUUUCGCGGACUACCAAUGUUGUAAUGACCUUCAGGUCAUUUUUGUGUUUACGACUCAUGUUCGCCGUUUAGAGCAUUCUUGUAGCGACCCCAAGUCAUUUAUGACUUGCUGGGACUGAUAGUUUGGUCACCUGGUCGUUCGCUUAUUUUUUAUCUGAGUUUUAGUCAGUGUUAUGAAAGGCGCUCGCCAUUUCGCCAAAGGCGAGAGGCGAGGCGAGGCCUCAUCGCCUAUUAUAGGAGCGGCGAUGCGAUUUCAGAAAGACGAGAAAUGGCGAUAGAAAGGCGAGAGGCGAUAUGGCAAGGCGGGGCACCAUGCGUCGCCUGUUUGUUUUUUUUUGUUUUUAAAAAGGUCAGAUUUAAUAAUUAAAAGGUAAAAUUAGGGUUUUUUUUUGGUGUUUUUGCAAACCUGGGCUCCUCUUCUCUUUAUUGUGACUUGCACGAUCUCUUCUCCUCUUCCAUCGCGACUCUCUAGCCUUCGAGAGGACGAGACCUUCGCUGCUACUCAGUCCUCUGCGUCGCGAGUCGCGACUCUCAGGUACAAUCUUCUUUUUUUUUUUCCUUCUUUAGUUGUUCUCUUGUUCUCUACUCUGUUUUUCAAACAGUGGUGCAUGGCUCCGUUUUUCUUUUUCAAUUUGUAGCUAAUGAACUGACUGCCAUUCUGUUUCUGCCUAUAUUAUUUUUAAAAAAAAAUUCAAUCCUUCUAUAUUUAUUUUUUCACUACUCAAUUUAGUUUUAUAUUUAUUUUUUCACUAUUCAAUUUAGUUUUAUACUAAUUAAUGUAAUAUUUGUUUGUCCAUAAAUAGUGAAUUCAACGACGUCUGAUGGUAACAAAAAGGACAUUGGUGUAUUGCGCCUCAAUUGUCUUAUGAAUUAUUGAGUCAUUCAAGUUCUAGACUUUUAACAUCUACUAUUAAUUUUACAAUUGAAAUAUGCUAAUGAAUGUUAUUGCUAUUGAAAUUUUGGAUAUUUAUAUAUGCCCUUGUCGCCUUUCGCCGUCCAAAACACUGGUUUUAAUGUUUUGGAGCUUUUGAACCUUGAACGGUCAGUUUUGAUCAAAAUUCAAGAAGAUGACCUCACAAUCCAAUUUUGACGAUUCCAUCACCUCUGAAAGGGUCAUUUUAGGUUAGUAGCAUGGUCGGCAUGAAUUUUGAAGCUUUCCGUGGGAGUCUGUGCGAUUAGGCAUUUUAACUUUCAAGUUAAGACUUAAGUUUGACUUUAGUUAACAUUCUGAGUAAACGAGUUCGGAUGAGAAUUCUUUCAAUGCGGUUAGCUCUGAAAUGUUGAAUUUGGACUAGAACAGCCUUUCAUUUGGAUCCCGAGGUUUCCAGGCAUAUUCCGAACCCCCUUGUGGAUUUUGGCUUAAAAUGGAGUUUGGGUGUGGGACCCACUUUUUGCUGAGAUAACCUCGUAUGGGAUUUUCGACUGCUCGAUUGAGUCCGGAAUAUCAAAUUUUGGUAGGGUUGCAUAUUUCGUUUGCAUGCAGGGGGAUUCAAAUAAAUUCAGAGUUUAAGCAAACUAGCUGAAGUGUUGAUAUCUGGUGCAAGCUUUUAGCGACCAAAAUUGGACUUUUAGCGACCAGAUCAAGGAUAUUUAUAUUGCGAACUUGCAGCCUUAUUUUUUAUUUUCAAAAGGCGAUUUCCCCUCAUUCGAGCUCCAGAUUGAGUGAUUCAUAGUCUUGUGUGACCGUUAAGAGCGUGGCUACUUGAGUUUCUGACUAGAAUCUGUUGAGGAACCUCAUCGCUUCCUCAUUUCUUGAUUUUUUUUUUCCCUAUAAAGAAACUCUCUCUAAAAAAUUCUCUUUGAAGGAGACACACUACCAGUUCUGCCGGAAUGGCUGCAUAACCGCCGGUGGAGCCUUGCCGACCGCCAGACCUAUGACAAAAGAUGGACAACAGCACCACGCACAAAACCCAACUGGAAUCACCUGCUAAUUCCUUUCCUAGCUCUAUGAAUCUGAGAAAUAGUGUCGCAAUCCUUGUUCAAGUUUCGAAAGAAGAGAUACUUUGGGCACAAAAAAAUAUUUCCAUGUCGCAAGCUGGGUUGAUUCAUCUAGUUACGAUAGAUGGAGAUGAAUUCCCCCAUAAGGAUCUACAUACAAAGAUUCAGCCAAUUCCACCUUGCCAAUCCCGAGUUCUAGCAUAGCGAUUUCGGGGGAAAUGCGAUGGAAUCGCCUGAGCUGCGCACUAGAUUUCGAACUGAUUCCAAGGGGAUAAACAACAAAUUAAGCACAAGGGAGGAUUCACCAGGUCAAGGCGCAUCUAAAGAUGUAAUGGUAGCCAAUUGCAACGGCGAUGAAAGUCUCACCGGAAUUUUUGUUGAAGAUGUCGGAGCUCCAGUGAGCCAAGAGUUUCAAACCCAACAUCAAAAUGAUCAGGAAAGGGAGAUACACCACCCCACCUCUAAAAUCUCAAGUGUGGAUGCAUUCUACGAAUCAAACAAGGGGAUCAUAAUCCCUGAAGAACAAUAAAGGACAAAUUUGGACAAGGAAGUUCAGGUCACCGAGCUAAAUGAUUCACAUAGUGAUAUGAGACAGCUAAAUGAUCAAAAUAGGAAUUCUAAUAGAGAACAAAUUGAGGAAGCUCAAAGCUUCUCAAAAUUUUCCUUUAGAGUAGCUAAACGUGAUCUUGCAGAUAAAGAAGCACCUCGAGGGAGUCAACAUGGUAAGAACAGUGAGGGGAACAAUGAAGAACAAGGCUGGAAUCAACAAAAGGAAAAUAAGUUUCCCUCCACCCCUGUUCAGCAAAUGCGUAGCAACCAAGAAAUCUGAGCUUGUCCCUGAACCUGAUCCAUUUACAGUCGUUCAGUCUUAUGCUACCAGGUUAAGAGCCAACCAAGCCAAGAAUGAAGUUCCCAUUGAGCUAUCUAUCCCUAAAAUCAUAACUAGACAAGGUCUUCCUGCAGUUAUCAUCAAAAAGGAAGAUUACAUGGUAAAUCUAGAAGCUAGAUAUAGAUUUACUUUAGUGGGAAAAUUCACCAACACUAUGCCUAAAAUUGAGCUUAUUCGCAAAAGCUUCAUCCUCCAAACUCAAUUAACUGGAGGAGUCAAGAUAGCUCAUUUCAAUGCAAGGCACAUUUAUAUUGAUCUUGAUAAUGAGGAGGACCAUGUCUCUGUAUGGAACAAACAGAAAAUGUAAAUUGAAAGGCAACUAAUGAGACUGCAAGUCUGGACUCCUACCUUUACUCUGGAAGAAGAAACUCCCAUUGUUCCUGUAUGGAUUACACUUCCUGAGUUGCCUUGGCAUUAAUAUAACAAGGAAUUUAUCACAGCCUUAGUAUCUCCUAUUGGUAAGACCUUAUACUUAUAUGCAACAUCUCUCCAGAAAACUAGAGGAAAUGUCGCAAAAGUAAGAUUACAAAUGGAUGUUACCAAGGAAAGACCCCCCCCCCCNNNNNNNNNNNNNNNNNNNNNNNNNNNNNNNNNNNNNNNNNNNNNNNNNNNNNNNNNNNNNNNNNNNNGCACAACAUUGGGUGUUACCAAAGGAAACCCCCCCCCCCCCCCAAUGUUUGGAUGGGAUUUGAUGAAGAGGACUUCACUAUUGGGAAAUGGCAAGCUAUUCAAUAUGAGGGACACCCUGAUUGUUGUUCCUAUUGCAAACAUUAAGGCCACUUGCUCCAUGUGUGCAAAAUCAAGCUAGGGGAUGAAGACAAUAAGAGGAGAAAAGAAGCUGAAGCUGAAAACAAAACCAAAAACAAAAGAGCUGAUCCAACCACUAAUCAGGUAUCUUCUAAUCUAAAUGAUACUCAAUUAAUGCUAAUCUAGCCUGUACUAGUAAUGAAGGUGCCAAGGACAACCAUCAGCAAUUGAAUAAAAAUAUGAAGAACAACAAAUUGAGGACUGGCAAACUCAAAGAAGAAAACUUAAAAAUCAAGCCAAAAAAUGAUCUACAGAACAAGGUUGAUAAACCUAUUUCUCUAAGAUAUUAGCAAAAUAAUGACCUGUAAACUCACAACGUUUCACAAUCAGGUAUUGAGUCAAUGCUCCCCCAACUCCAACUCCUUAAUCAACAGCAAAUCAAGCAUUGCAAGGACCAGGUAUUGACUCAAUGCUCCAACAACCCCAACACCCCCAACACCCCCAUAGUAAUGCUUUUGUUGUAAUAACUGAUUCUGAAGUUUUGGGAGGUGAAGAUGGGGGAUUGAAGGAGAACAUCACUAACCUGAAGGAAGGGGAUCCAAAGAGGAGGGAUUUGUCUCGUGUUCUGCAUGAGAACCUUAGUGCCCCCGCUACCACAGUUCAGUGUCCAAUCAAUGUGAUAGAUUGAGUCUUUAUUAUAUCAGAUAGGGGUGCUCAAUUCACUUCAAGCUUUUGGAGGACUUUUCAUGAUGAGUUAGGCACUCGUGUUGACCUUAAUACAACUUUUCACCAGCAGAAUGAUGGUCAGUUGGAGCGUACUAUUUAGGUCCUUGAAGAUAUAUUGCUGGUUUGUGUCUUAGAGUUUAGAGGUCAGUAGGACCAGUUCUUGCCUUUGGCGGAGUUUGCGUACAACAACAGCUACCAUUCUAGCAUUUAGAUGAACCCGUUUGAGCUUUUAUAUGGUAGGAGUUGUCGCUCUCCAGUUGGUUAGUUUUAAACUACACAACCUAGACCAUGUGGCACAGACUUGAUUCAGGAGGCUUUGGAGCAGGUGAGGGUGAUUCAGGAUAGACUUCGGGCAGCUCAGAGUAAGCACAUGAGUUAUGCGGAUCGUAGGCGGCCUCCUUAGGGAUUCUAUGUUGGUGAUAGAGUCUUCCUCCGUGUGUUAUCCAUGAAAGGCGUGAUGAGAUUUGGGAGGUGAGGAAAGCUUAGCCCUAUGUAUAUUGGGCCUUUUGAGAUCCUUCGGACUGUUGGAGAAGUUUCCUAUGAGUUAGCUAUGCCUUCGAUGUUCUUAGUUAUCCACCCAGUUUUCCAUGUGUCGAUGCUGCACCGGUAUGUUCACGAAGAGUCUCAUAUGCUUCAGUAUGAUGCAAUACAGUUGGAUGAUCGCUUGAUCUUCGUGGAGGAGCCAGUUGCCAUUCUUGCCAGAGAUGUGUGACACUUGCGCUUGAGAGCAAUUCCUAUGGUUAAGGUCCGUUGGAGGCAUCGUCCAGUUGAGAAGGCUACCUGGGAGACCGAGCAUGAUAUGCGGGAGUAGUUUUUUCUGGCUUUUUUGAGCCUUCAAGUGCUUCUUGACUCUUACGAAGCGGACAAAAGUCUUUUUUUGUAGUGGAUGUUGUAAUGACCUUCAGGUCAUUUCAGUGUUUACGACACAUGUUCGUCGUUUAGAGCAUUCCUGUAGCGAUCCCAAUUCAUUUAUGACUUUCUGGGACUGAUAGUUCGGUCACCUGGUCGUUCGUUUAGUUUUUAUCUGAGUUUUAGUGUUUUGGAGCUUUUGAACCUUGAACGGUCAGUUUUGAUCAAAAUUCAAGAAGAUGACCUCAAAAUCCAAUUAUGACGAUUCUAUCAGCUCUGAAAGGGUCAUUUUAGGUAGGUAGAAUCGUCGGCAUGACUUCCAAAGCUUUCAGUGCGAGUCUGUGCGAUUAGGGGUUUUAACUUUCAAGUUAAGGCCUAAGUUUGACUUUAGUCAACAUUCUGAGUAAACGAGCUCGAAUGAGAAUUUCGUCAUUGCGGUUAGCUCCGAAAUGUUUAAUUUGGUCAGAAGCAGCCCUUCGUUUGGAUCCUGAGGCUUCCGAGCAUAUUCUGAGCCCCCUUGUUGAUUUUGGCUUAAAAUGGAGUUUGGGUGUGGGACCCACUUCUUGCCGAGAUGACCUCGUAUGGGAAUUUGGACUGUUCCGUUGAGUCCAGAAUAUCAAAUUUGGUAGGGUUGCAUAUAUCUUUUGCAUGCACAGGGUUUUGAACGAAUUCAGAGCACCCAAUUGGAGAAUUCGGAGUUUAAGCAAACUAGCUGAAGUGCUGGUAUCUGGUGCAGGCUUUUAGCGACCAGAAAUCAAACUUUUAGCGAUUAUAAUUGAACUUUUAGCGACUAGAUCUCGGCUAUUUAUAUAGCGAAUUUGUAGCCUCAUUUCUUAUUUUCAAAGGGCAAUUUCUCCCUCAUCCGAGAUCCAAUUUGAGUGAUUCAUAGUCAUGUGUGAUCGUUGAGAGCGCGGCUACUUGGGUUUGUGAUUAGAAUCUGAUGAGGAAUCCCAUUGCUUCCUCAUUUCUUGAAUUUUUUCUCCCUAAAAAAACUCUCUAAAAUAUUUUCUCUGAAGGAGACACUACCAUUUCUGCCGGAAUUUUUGUUGAAGAUACCGCAGUUCCGGUGAGGCAAGAGUUUCAAACCCAACAUCAAAAUUAUCAGGAAAGGGAGAUACACCACCCCACCUCUAAAAUCUCAAGUAUGAAUGCAUUCUACAUAUCAAACAAGGGGAUAUGAGACAACUGAAUGAUCAAAAGAGGAAUUCUAAUAGAGAACAAAUUGAGGAAGCUCAAAGCUCCUCGAAUUUUUCCUUUAGAGCAGCUAAACGUGAUCUUGCAGAUGAAGAAGUACCUCGAGGGAGUCAACAUGGUAAGAACACUGAGGGGAACAAUAAAGAACAAGGCUGGAAUCAACGAAAGGAAAAGAAGUUGCCCUCCACCCCCUGUUCAACAAAUGCCCAUCAACGAAGGAAUCAAAGGUAAGUAUUCUAACACUUCUUCAAGUCCUAUGCUUUUAACUCAAUAGGUGUAGUUGAUACGUAAAUGCAAGUCAUUGCAAGUGAGCAAAAUUGUGAACAACUAACUUCAUAUAUGCAGAAUAGUGAUCAAGGGACUAACACUUCUGAUAUACCUCCCUCAAAUAAGCCCAAAAACAAUGAAAAUACCAAGGAUCAUGAUAAUAGUCAUCAGUCUCAAAAACUUCCCACAUCCACCCCUCAUGACCUCAAUAAACUCACUUCCAAUUUUGAGAAACAUACUCCUAACCUUCAGAAUAAACAGCAUGUGCAUCCAGAAAACUCCCACAGAAACACCAAUCAUGUGACUUUGUCCAAUACCUACAAAUGGAUGUUACCAAGGAAAGACCCCCCCCCCUUCCCCAUGUUUGGAUUGGAUUUGAUGAAGAGUACUUUACUAUUGGUAAAUAACAAGCUAUUCAAUAUGAGGGGCUCCCUGAUUAUUGUUCUUAUUGCAAACAUCAAGGUUGUUCCAUGUGUGAAAAUCAAGCCAAGGGAUGAAGACAAAAAGAGGAGAAAGGAAGUUGAAAACAAGAUCCAUCUAAACCUUCUAGUUCCACCAACACCCCGCCCCUCCCCGCGGCAGACCAAACACCAGGUUCUAUAUUCAUCAAAAAAUUUCCAAUGACUAGUACAAUUAUUUGGAAUGCUAGGAGUAUCAAUACCCAAGGUGCAAUGGAAAGAAUCAAAUCUCUCAAAAAGAUCCAUCAUACAUUAAUUAUUUCUCAUUUGGUUGUUUUGGUCUCAGGAUGUGGAUUGUAACAUUAUUGACAAUGAUGAGACCCUCCACGGUCCAUUAAGGUGCUCGUGGUAGGUUUCCAGCCCCAUGCAGGCUUUACUUUGACGGACGCCUAGACAGCCCGUGGUGAGGUUGACGGGCCAUCAAAGUAGGUCGUCAAGUGGGUCAAGUUAGUAAGGGUCCUCCCCUAGCUACUCGUUAAGGGCCACGGGCAUCACAACGGCCCGUGAAGCCCCACAUGGACCGUGAGGUCGUCCGUGAAGGGUUUUUAAUAGAUUUAAAGUUUAGGGUCAACUUCAAACGAUCAAAUCUUUUAAUUAUGUGGCCCAUGACCUAUCAAAUUAAAGGUCUCUGAGUCCUUUUUCCAACGCCACUGAGUUUGCCCAAUUCCCAUCUCGGAGUAAAAAUUUAUUCCCGAAAUAGUGAAGCACUGUCAGGUUGAAUUUCUUCACGACCCGUUUGACGGGCAGUGGUGGUCAUGACAACCCGUGAUGGGCUUCCAGUGAGCCAAUUCGGCAGUUUUUAAGUCAGGGGUUAUUGGGUCUUUUCCCAAUUGUUUUAACUCAAUACUCAGUCAUUUUUUACUUAUACCCAAAGCCCUAUAUAAUGAUUCUAAACCCCCAAAUGACCCAAACUAAAUUAUUCUCUCAAAUUCUCAAAAGAAGAUUAGACUCCUCCCUUCAAAUAUUUCUCCCUCUGGAACUUGAAGAAGAAAGAGUUGUAGCUAGGAUCAAGGUCAAGUCUCCAUUCCUUAAGAAUUUGUGGGCUUUGUUAUCAAGGUAUGAUGGCUUUUUAUUCAUGGAAUACUUUCAUCCAUGGAGUCCCCAAGAUUCGCCAAUUGAAAAGUAGAAAUUCCCCAAUUUGAGUUAGAGUUUUCUUCUAAUGUUGUGGGUCUUGAUCCAAUUGAGUGGAUUAUGAUUGUUUAUGAUUGAAUUGAUAGGAUUACAUGUUUUUAGGAUGAAUUUACAUGUAUCCAUGCCUAACCCAUCUAGAAAAAUGAAAUUGAUGUAAAUGGGUUUUAUGUCAUGAAAGGAGAAUUUGUGGGUUUAGAUGUAUUCUUAUAGGAUUGAUGAGAUACAUAAAGAAUUCUUUGAGAUUGAAGCAUAUAUGAUGAUUUAUGCUUAGAAUUGUCUUAAGAUUUAGGCAUAUAUGAAGCGUAUAAGAUGUAGGGCUUUGAAAGUAAAGCUUCUAUUAUGAAUUGAUGAUUUAGAUGUAAAUGUUGUGGAAGGGAUAGUUCCCAUAUAAAUUGCUUAUGUAUGAAUGUGAAUGGUUUUCUCACAUUGAAUGAUUCUAGGUUGAAAGGCUUGCUCACCUAAAAUGAAUCUAAGAACUUAUGAAUUAUGGUAAUAAGACCUUGGAUUGGUAAUGUGAUACCUUUCCAUGGAUAGCUUGGAUUGGUAAUGUGAUACCUUCCAUGGAUAUCUUGGAUUGGUAAUGUGAUGCCUCCAUGGGUAGCUUGAGUUGGUAAGUAGAUGAUGCCAUCUCAUGGUAGCUUGAGUUGGUAAGUAGAUGAUGUCAUAUCACGGUAGCUUGAGUUGGUAAGUAGACGAUGCCAUUUCAUGGUAGCUUGAAUUGGUAAGGAGGUGAUACCUUUUCAUGGUAGCUUGAUUUGGUAAAGAGAUGACACCUUUCCAUGGUAGCCUGGAUGGUAAUGAUGAUGUGCUCUUCCAUGGACAAUGGCUUAGCUUGGAUCGGCAAGAUGGCGUGCCUUCCAUGGAUAAUGAGAACAACUAAGAAUUGACUACUUCUCACAUCAAGUUAUCAUAGUUAUGAUGAAACAAGGUUCUUCAAGGAAGUAUCACAAGUAUGUUUAAGAUGAGAUUCACUUGUGUUGAUCAUGGUUUAUGACUUAUGUUGUUUAACUCAAGCUUGUGUUGAUGUUUUUACAAGCUACCAUAUUUAGUACAUGUUUGUACUAACGCAUACUCUUGCCUACAUUUCUUAUCCAAAUGUAGGGUUCGACGAUCUCGACUCGCAUCCCCGUGGCUAGGAUCUUAGUAGAGGCAAGACUUGAAGAUUAGUGAGUCCUCAUAGCAUUGAGGAUAUAUCCACCAUUUCCUUAUGAUCUUUCAUUUUAUGUUUUGAACAUUGUUGUAUGGGCAGUGUCCUAAGAUAUUCAUGUUUUAGAUGGUUUUGAGACAAAGUGUAAUAGACUUCUACUUUUGUUAUAAAACUUUGAUGUUGUUGAAAAUGUUUUAAAUUUCCGCUCAUUUCUAUUAUCUUAUAUUAUGAACGCUAAGUAGCUUGUAUGAGGCCUCUCGGGGUCUUGUACGCCUUGUUAUAUCUAGGGGGUACCCCUGGGUCAUGACAAUUACCCUAUCAUAUGAGUAAAAGUUUUGAAUUCAUUGGAGUAAUUGAAGCUUGUGGGCUUAUGGACCUUGGCUCUAAUGGACAAAAAUUCACUUGGUCCAAUCAAAGAGGCAUUAAUUUCAGAAUUUGGAAGAGUCUGGACAAAGCUAUGGUGAAUGACAAAUGGUUGGGGAUCAUGCCCCACACAUCUAUCAAUCUUCUACCCUCUGUAGGAUAUGAUCACUAUCCCGUUCUGAUGGAAAUGAAUGAAAUUCAGCAUAUACCUAUCAGAUACUUUAAGUUCCUUAAUUGCUGGGAUGAUCAUCACUCAUCCCUGGAUAUUGUGAGUGCUGGAAUAGAGAGAUGGAGGGCAAUCCUAUGUGGCUCUUCCACCAAUAAAUAAAAAGACUUUCAGCAACCCCUAGUAACUGUCGUGAAGGAAUUUGGUGAUAUUCAUGCUAAUGUCAAAGAUUAUGAGGAAAAGGUUAAAAUUGCUGAAGAAGAGCAUAUUUCCAAGAACACUGAAUAAUCCAGAACUUCUCUUCAUGCAAUUAAUGCUGAAUAUAUCAGAAUUCUCAAGAUGAAGGAAUCUAUCCUCAAGCAGAAAACUCAAUUACAACGGUUCAAGGAGGAGAUAUGAACGCUGCUUAUUUUCACGCUUUGAUAAGAGGCAGGAGAAGGAAGCUUCACAUCCAUAAGAUUCAAAAUGAUCAAGGUGAUUGGGUUCAGGGUGAGGAAGAUAUUACUAAAGCUGCCAGUGAUUAUUUUCAGAAUAUCUUUACUGGUGAGGAGAAGUUUAUUCAUGAAGAGGCUCUGAAUAGCGUUCCUAGAAUGAGAGAUAACAAUACUCUUCAAGCUAUAUCAACUAUGGAAGAAUUGAAAUGUGUAGUUUUUCCAUGAACCCCAACUCUACAGCUGGUUCUGAUGGUAUGAAUGGGAAGUUUUUCGAUCUUACUGGGAUAUCAUCAACAAAGAUCUGCUGUCAGCAAAAGAGGUAUGGUAUUAUCUCAAGACUGAGUAUGAAGGAGAUGAAAGAAUUCGAGGGAGCAAGUGUUAAAUUUAGUACGUCAGUUUAAGCUGCAAAGGAUGAAGGAAAGUGAGACCAUAAAUGAGUAUUCUGACGGACUUCUUAAUAUAGCAAAUCGAGUCAGAUUGUUGGGUUCCACUUUUAACGAUUCAAGGAUUGUUGAGAAAAUCCUUGUAAUAGUACCUGAAAGAUUUGAGGCUACUGUUACAACCUCAGAAAACACUAAGGACUUGUCCAAAAUUACACUAGCAGAGCUCUUAAGUGUUUUUCAAGCACUAGAGCAACGGCGUGUAAUCUCACAUAAAAGAGUUGUUGAAGGAGCCCUAUUAGUUAAACAUCAAGAUGAUGGAAGAAACAAGAAGAAGCAGAACAAGAAGAUACAAUGACAUAAUAGUGAGAAUUUUGCUAAAAGAAAGAACGCUAACGAUUCUCCUUGUCGGCACUGUGGCAAAAAAGGGCACCCUCCUUUCAAAUGUUGGUGGAGACCUGAUGCAAAAUGCAGCAAGUGCAAUCAACAGGGUCAUGAAGCUGUAAUUUGUAAAGCCAAAAUUCAGCAGCCUAAAGUUGAAGCUCAAGUUGUUGAUCGAGAAGAAGAAGAUCAUCUCUUUGUUGCAACUUGUUUCACAAGCCUAGAUUCAAGUGAAAGUAGGUUAAUUGAUAGUGGUUGCUCUAACCACAUGACUGACAUCUGAUAAGAUGUUGUUCAAAGAGUUGUGGAACACUGAGACAAAGAAAGUUAGAAUUGGAAAGGCCAGGGCGCCAUAGCCAUUACAGUGGCUCUAGAACUAAGUUUAUCCCAAAUGUUUUGUAUGUUCCAGACCUUAAUCGAAACCUUCUCAGUGUUGGUCAAUUAGUGGAGAAUGGAUUCAAUAUGUUCUUUUUAAACAAAACUUGUGUGAUAGAAAGAUCCAUCCGGCGAUGAGAUAUUCAAGGUCAAAAUGGAGGGGAGGUAUUUCCCUCUCAAUCCUUUGGAAGAAGAGCAGACAACUUUUCUUAUGUCAGGCAACUCUACAGAAGUUUGGCAUAAAAGAAUGGGUCAUUUUCAUCGUCAAGGUAUGAUGUUCUUUCAAAGAAAGGAACUUGUGAAUGAUACCAAGAUUGCAGAAUCGGUUGAAAAAUUGCCAAGCUUGUUUACUUGGAAACCUUUCCCAAAACAACUUGGAGAGCAUAAAAAAAGCUUCAACUCAUUCAUACAGACCUAUGUGGACCUCACAAAACACCAUCUUUAAAUGGUAGUCUGUAUUUAUUGAUGAUAUAACAAGACUGACCUGGAUUUUUUCUCUUAAAAUUCAAGUCAGAGGUAGCUGAUGUGUUUUGGAAUUUUAAGACAACAGUAGACAAUUUAUUAGAUCCAAAAGAUCUAGUAGAUGAUCCUCCUGUUAGAGGCAUGCGGUUGAUCUCUAAUAUCUAUCGGAGAUACAAUACUACAAUUUGUGAGCCCGCAAGCUAUGAGGAAGCAGAGGGGAUGACAAAUGGGUGGCAACAAUGAAGGAGGAGAUGAUGAUGAUCGGAAAAAAUCAAAUCUAGGUGCUUGUUGAGAAACCUCUAGACAGAAAGAUCAUUGGUGUAAAAUGGGUCUUCAGGACAAAAAUAAAUGUUAAUGGCUUCAUCAACAAACACAAAGCGAGGAUUCUAGUGAAAGGUUACGCUCAGAUCUUUGGAGUAGACUACUCAGAACUUUCACACCAGUUGCUCGACUUGACACAAUCAGAUUGCUACUAGUCAUUGCAGCGGAAAAAGGUUGGAAAGUUUAUCAACUUGAUGUUAAGUUGGCCUUUCUCAAUGGUCUUCUCCAGGAGGGGAUUUAUGUUGAGCAACCAUAUGGUUUUGUUGUCAAGGGGGAAGAAAAUAAGGUUUGUUUGCUAAAUAAAUCUCUCUAUGGUUAGCAAGCACCAAGAGCUUGGUAUAGCAAGAUUGACGAUCAUUUGCUAAGUUUAGGCUUCAAGAAGAGCCUAUCUGAGUCUACACUUUAUAUUAAGUGUUCAAGUGUAGACAUACUGAUUAUUUCUUUGUAUGUUGAUGAUCGCUUUUUCACAGGAAGUAAGGUUUUCCUAAUUGAGGACUUCAAGUUGGAAAUUAUGAAGGUCUUUGAAAUGACAGACCUUAGACUGAUGGUGUACUUUCUUGGAGUGGAGAUCAAGCAAAAUGAAGACAAUGUGUUCAUUUGCCAGAGAAAAUAUGCUCAAGAAAUCCUAAAGAAGUUUCAUAUGGAAGACUGCAAAGUUACGAGUACUCCAAUGAACCAAAAGGAAAAGUUUUCCAAAGAUGAUGGAACAGAAAAGGUGGAUGAGGCAUAUUAUAGAAGUCUUAUUGGCUGCUCGAUGUAUUUGACUGCAACUAGACCUAAUAUUCUAUAUGCAGUGAGUUUUUGUCUCGGUUCAUGCAUUGUGCAAGUGAUUUACACUUUAGAGAAGCUAAAAGAAUUGUCAGAUACAUCAAGGGAACUAUCAACUAUGGCGAUAAGUUUCACAAAAGUCAGAAGUUUAGACUUAACGGAUUCUCCGAUAGUGAUUGGGGUGGUGCACCUGAUAUGAAGAGUGUGAGAAAUAUAGGAAAAGAAUAUUACUGAAUUAUUGUUGUUUCUACAUUAUUACAUUGAACCAAAAAUAUUAUUGAAUUGUUGUUGUGUCUACAUUAUUACAUUGAGAUCCUAUUUAUAGACACCCUAGAAUACAAUCCUUUACCAAGUAGGAUACUAUUUACUAUUCCUAUUUCUAUUUGUAUUCCUAUUCCUAUUCUAAAUAGAAUUGUAUAAACUUAUUCCUAUUCUAACACUCCUCCUCAAGCUAGUGCAUACAAUUCAUGUACCUAGCUUGUUACAUAUGUAAUUAAUACGAAAGCCAAUGAAGGGCUUUGUGAAAUAUCUGUAAGUUGAUCAGUCGACUUCACAAAAUUGACAGUCAAUCUCAAUGUGCUUGUCUUCUCAUUAAAUACUGGAUUUGAUGCAUAAUGUCAGUCAAUCUCAAUGUACUUAAUCUUCUCAUGAAAUACUGAAUUUGAUGCAUAAUGCCGAUAAAACACAGAGUGAUAAAAUUACAGUGUUGAACUUUCCAAACCAAACUUCCAAAGACUGUUCAGACCAUAAAGUGACUCACAUAAUCGACAUACAAGGCUACUAAACUCCCCCUGAGCAACAAAGUGCUCAAAAUCUAGUAUAAAGUAUAUGGAUCAUGUUGGAAUCAAUAGAUGAGUCGAUAUUAAACAAGUCACCAAAAAAUUGGUCGGAACAUGCUUAUAUGCCGGAGUAUAAGAUUUGAUGGCUAAAAGUGGUCACAAACUAAGAAAUAAAAUUAUAUGGGUAGGGUCAGAAUGAUGUCACGACCCAACUAGAGAAAGGAAUUAUAUAGGAUAGUUCGAAUUGAUGGAACGACCCCAUUGAAAAAGAGAAAUAAUUGGGUAGGGUCGGAAUGAUGACACAACCCUACUGAUUUUUUUUAUACAGGUAGGGUUGGAAUGAUGGCACAACCUUACGCAAAUCAGAUUUGAGGAGUCACCGAAAAGACGAAUGGAACUAUGCAAAUCAAAUCUGAGGAGUCACUAAAAAGACACAUGAUGCUAUGCAACUCAGAUAUGAGAAAAUAGUUCAAAGAAAAUCCACGGUACUAUACAAAUUAAAUAUGAAAAGUAGUCUGGAGAGAUGCACGGUGCUACGCAAAUCAGAUAUGAAAAAAAGGUAGUCACCGAAAGGAUGGCACGGUGCUACACUAAUUAUAUAUAAGAAAGUAGUCACGUGAAAGAUACAUGGUGACCCAACUUUUGCUAACAUAAUCAUUGGCCAGACGGGCAACAUAUAUGGGUGCCAACCGCCGGCAGCGGAAACUCUUUGAUUUUCUACCAAGAUCGUAGAGGCUCUGAUACCAUGUGAGAAAUAUAGGAAAAUAAUAUUAUUGAAUUAUUGUUGUUUCUACAUUAUUACAUUGAACCCUAUUUAUAGACACUAGAAUACAAUCGUUUACCAAGUAAGAUACUAUUUACUAUUCCUAUUUCUAUUUGUAUUCCUAUUCCUAUUCUAAAUAGAAUUGUAUAAACUUAUUCCUAUUCUAUUCCUAUUCUAAUAGGAUUGUAUAAACAUAUUCCUAUUAUAACAAAGAGUACUUCAGGUUUUUGUUUCAUUCUUGAGUCAGGAGCUUUCUCUUGGUAUCCAAGAAUAAAGAUAAAGAUAAAGAUAUUACUACAAUCAACAGUCGAGGCAAAUUAUUGAUGCAACAGCAGCAGCUGUGAAUCAAGCACUAUGCUUGAGAAAAAUUAUGUGUGAUAUGAAUAUGGAGCAAAAAGAAGGGACUGAGGUUUAUAUUGAUAACCAAGCUGCAAUUUCUAUUGCUAAUAAUACAGUUUUUCAUGCAAAAACAAAGCAUUUCAAUAUUUAAUUGUUUUUCUUAAGAGGCGCAGUUUUUCAUGCAAAAACAAAGCAUUUCAAUAUUUAGUUGUUUUUCUUAAGAGGCAUGUAGAAAUAUGGAGAUGUGAAACUUCUUUACUACAAGAGUGAUGAGCAGGUUUCCCCCUUUCCCACUUCAAGACUUCUCAGAUCCAGAUAAAACAACACAAUUAUUAAUAGGGUGGGGUUGAUGGAGCAUUGAGUCAAUACCUUGCUUAUUAUUGGCAUCCUUGCUUUGCUUGUUAUGAAAUACUUUAUGGGCAACACUGGGAAUGAGGACAACAACACUACCAUGGGGUUGAGGGGUGGGAAGCAUUGAGUCAAUACCUUGCUUAUUGUUGGCAUCCUUACUUUGAUUGUCCUGAUAAACUUUAGGGUCAACACUGGGGGUGGGGACUGCAACACUACCAUAGGGUUGAGCGGUGGGGAUCAUUGAGUCAAUACCUUUUUGUUGUUCCUUACUAGUCUAAUUCUGAUGUGGUACUGGUUUAUAAACCUGAUUUUGUUGGUUGUUUUGGUGAUUCCUCUGAUUGUCCUGAGGAUAGCCUAUAAAGUUCUUUUGUGUUUGCCAUUGGUCUUCUUGCAUUAUUUGUUGAUCCUGGUGAGUUCUUGAUGGCUGUUCUUUGGUACCUGAAACACUAAGCAGAAAUAUUAUUUUUAACAGGUUGAGAAUUAAUUGGUAGAGUAGUUACCUGAGUGUCAUUUCAUUGUGUUGUUUUGGUUUUGUUCUUGUUUGCUGCUUUAGCCUCCUUUCUUAUUCUAUAUUCAUCAUCUCUCCUCUUGACUUUACAUGUAUGAACUUUACGGCCUUGGUGUUUGCAGUAAUCACUAUCUUGACUUGUUGGAGCCUGUGGAAAAAUAGAUGUGCAUGCAAAUAUAGUGGAAACAAAUCUAAUAUGCCUAGAGUGAUAUACUUGGUGCAUAAAGACAUCAACAACCUCCUACUCAUCAACUUUCCUUACAUCAGAUGGCCAUCCAAGUGGCCUGAGUUGAUACAGUUUGUAGGAAAUUACUUCCAUGAUAUCAAAAUUACAAAGGUAAGUUAAUUUAAACCAGGAAAGAUAAGAGCUGGUGGUAUUGUAAGACUUGCCCAAAGUGAUUUAAUCUAUGCUUUUGCUACUCCACUAGGCCAUGGUACCAACAACCAUGCAUGGAUUGAAGCUGCUCAAUGGGGUAUAUCUUGGUGUCUAAAUAAUGGUUUUAACCAGGUGAUUUUGGAAGUAGACUCCGAGUUAGUGGUUCACUGGAUAAAACAACAAGCUGCUCUACCUUGGAAUUUGCAGCAUGUGAUCAAUUCCAAUCAUUUUCCUGUAAUCACACCUUUAGAGAGGCUAACUUUAUUGCUGAUGUUUUAUUUAAAACUAUACAUAACAGUGAAGUCCCUCAACAUUACUUCCAUGCCCACCAGCUACCAAAAGAAGCUAGAGGAUACUACAUGCUGGACAAGAGUGAGAUGCCAAAUUUUAGAAGAAGAAAGAUGAAGAAGAUCAAAGAACCACCUUGACCCAUGACCCACCUCAAGGGUCACUAAAAAUAAACUCUAAGUCAUAAAUCCUAAACCUUCGAGCCUAACCCUAAACUCUAAUCUCUAAACCUUAAACCUUAGGGCAUAAACUGUAAACCCUAAACCUUUGGGCCCAGGGGCGAAUCUAUGUGUUAAAUUUGGGUCACCGGAACCCGUGGUCAUCCGACUAAACUCGAUAUAUUAUUUGUAUAAUUAUUAAAGAUUAUAUUAAAUAAAAACUUGUGGAACCCGUUCUCAAAGUCGCUGGAUGGUUCAUUGGUUUGACAGUCAGAUUUUAACACCAAGGUCAUGAGUUCGAUCCCAGCCAAACACAAUUCUCUUCAAUUUUUUUAUUAUCUAAAACUACACGGUUUUUUUUAAUUAAUAAAAGCGAAAUUCUAAAGUUGUUUUCAAAAUAUGAAGUCAGUAUAAUUGUAAAUUGAUGAUAUUUUUUUGUGGUAAUGUAAUAUUUUAUGUUUUGCUCGCUUAGUUAUUGUUAUUAUAAAUUUUUUGAUCCUAUCUUUAAAGCAAUGGUGCACCUGUUUUCUUGAAAUCUUGGAUUCGCCUCUAUUUGGGCCUAACCCUAAACUCUAAUUCCUAAACCCUAAACCUUAGGACCUAAACGCUUAACCUCUUAGGGCCUAAACCCUAAACCUUAAACCUUAGGGCCUACAUCCCAAACCUUAAAUCUUGGGGUGAAAACCCUAAAACAUAAACCAUAAAUCCAAAACCCUAAGUCUCAGAGAUUUACCCUAAGCCUUAAGCCCUAAACCUAAACCUUAGGACCUAAAACUUAAACCUUGUGGCCUAAAUCCUAAACCAUAAACUCUAAAUCUUAGGGCCUAAACUCUAAAACCUAAAUUAUAAACCAUAAACCACAAAUCUUAUGAUCUAAACCCUAAAUCAUACACCUUAGGGCCUAAACCCUAAAUCCUAAAACCUAAACCUUAGGACCUAAUAUCUAAACCCUAAAUCCUAAACCUUAGGGCCUAAACCCUACACCCAACCCUAAAUUCUAAACUCUAAACCUUAUACAUUAGGGCCUAAAAUUUAAAUCCUAAACUCUAGUCUUAGGGCCUAAACCCAAAACCCUAAGCCUUUGGGCCUAAACGCUAAACCCUAAACCUUAGGACAUAAACCCUUAAAUCAUUAACAAUAAACUUUAAGCUUUAGUGCCAAAACCCUAAACCUUAGGGUCUAAACCCUAAACCAUAAACCAUAAAUUAUGAAAUCUAAGCCUUAGUGCAUAAACUAUAAAACUUAGGGCCUAAACUGUAAACCCUAACCCCUUAAUCAUAAACCAUAAACCCUAAACCCCAAACCUUUAACCCUAAACUUUAGGGCCUAAACUAUAAAUCAUAAACUCUAAACCCUAAACCCUAAGCCCUACACCUUAGGGACUAAACCCUAAACUUUAGGGCUUUAACAUUGAACCCUAAACCCUAAACCUUAAUGCCAAAACCCUAAAACCUAAACCAUAAAUAUACCUUAGUGUUUAAGCCCUAAACAUAAUAGAGCAAUUGGGACAUGACCCGAAACCACUUUGUGUAGAGUAGACUGCUUUAGAUUACUAAAUUGGCAAUAACAUUCGGUGGAAACCAAUAUCAUUUAUAUUCCAAAGGAAUUAAUAUGGUUGUCUCGUUUAAACCAAGUGUAAGUUCCACAUCAAGCUGCAAAUCAACUAGUCCCACGCCCACCGUUCAAUAUGAAAAUCCCCCCAUAGCUGAAGUUCUCCUAAUGCAGUCCUAUAUAUAUUAAAUUCACCACAGAUAGGCAAUGGCCCCUCCAUCAGACUUCUGACGUCAACUAAUUCCUCUCAUACCAGUCUUCAUUCUAAUUUUCUGUUAGAAGCAUACACACAAGUGAUAUGGCAUUCAAAAUCAUUUAAUUGGGCCUAAAAUCUAAACCCUAUACCUUAGAAACUAAACCUGAAACCUUAACCUUAGGGCCUAAAUCUCAAAUCCUAAACCCUACAACAUCAACCCUAAACCCUAAACCCUACUCAGACUUUGCCACAUCCAACAACAAUCAAACACUCACAAGCAAUCGACGAUUUACCCUUAAGAAAGUUGUCAUUCUAUCCAUCAUCGGGCAUCAUCAAUCCAUAUCUCAAAUAUUUAAACAAAAACAAAGAAGCCACAAACUACAAAUCAAAAACUAAGAUAGACCACCCUAAACCUUAGGGCCUAAACCCUAAACUCUAAAACUUAGGUCCUAAACCCUAAACCUAGUGCCUAAACCCUAAACUAUAAACCUAAUGGCCUAAACCCUAAACCCUAAACCUUAGGACCUAGACCCUAAAGCCUAAAAUAUAUACUCUAAACUCUAAACCUUAGACUUUAAUCACUAAACCAUAAACCAUAAGCCUUAAACCCUAAACCCUAAAUCAUAAAAUCUAAACCUUAGGUCCUAAAUCUCAAAUCCUAAACAACAUCAACCCUAAACCCUAAACCUACGUGCCUAACCUAAACCCUAAUUUCUAAACCUUAAACCUUAGGGCCUAAACCCUAAACCCUACUCAGACUUCGCCACAUCCAAUACCAAUCAAACACUCACAAGCAAUCAACGAUUUACCCUUAAGAAAGUUGUCAUUCUAUCCAUCAUCGGGCAUCAUCAAUCCAUAUCUCAAAUAUUUAAACAAAAACAAAGAAGCCACAAACUACAAAUCAAAAACUAAGAUAGACCACCCUAAACCUUAGGGCCUAAACCCUAAACUCUAAAACUUAGGUCCUAAACCCUAAACCUAGUGCCUAAACCCUAAACUAUAAACCUAAUGGCCUAAACCCUAAACCCUAAACCUUAGGACCUAGACCCUAAAGCCUAAAAUAUAAACUCUAAACNNNNNNNNNNNNNNNNNNNNNNNNNNNNNNNNNNNNNNNNNNNNNNNNNNNNNNNNNNNNNNNNNNNNNNNNNNNNNNNNNNNNNNNNNNNNNNNNNNNNNNNNNNNNNNNNNNNNNNNNNNNNNNNNNNNNNNNNNNNNNNNNNNNNNNNNNNNNNNNNNNNNNNNNNNNNNNNNNNNNNNNNNNNNNNNNNNNNNNNNNNNNNNNNNNNNNNNNNNNNNNNNNNNNNNNNNNNNNNNNNNNNNNNNNNNNNNNNNNNNNNNNNNNNNNNNNNNNNNNNNNNNNNNNNNNNNNNNNNNNNNNNNNNNNNNNNNNNNNNNNNNNNNNNNNNNNNNNNNNNNNNNNNNNNNNNNNNNNNNNNNNNNNNNNNNNNNNNNNNNNNNNNNNNNNNNNNNNNNNNNNNNNNNNNNNNNNNNNNNNNNNNNNNNNNNNNNNNNNNNNNNNNNNNNNNNNNNNNNNNNNNNNNNNNNNNNNNNNNNNNNNNNNNNNNNNNNNNNNNNNNNNNNNNNNNNNNNNNNNNNNNNNNNNNNNNNNNNNNNNNNNNNNNNNNNNNNNNNNNNNNNNNNNNNNNNNNNNNNNNNNNNNNNNNNNNNNNNNNNNNNNNNNNNNNNNNNNNNNNNNNNNNNNNNNNNNNNNNNNNNNNNNNNNNNNNNNNNNNNNNNNNNNNNNNNNNNNNNNNNNNNNNNNNNNNNNNNNNNNNNNNNNNNNNNNNNNNNNNNNNNNNNNNNNNNNNNNNNNNNNNNNNNNNNNNNNNNNNNUAUCUUAAAUCAUUUGGAGUACAAGGAGAAGUUUAUGAUCUCCUUUGUCUAUGCUAAAUGUAAUGAGAAACUGAGAAGACCUCUAUGGGACAGGUUACUUCAUUUUUCCAGUUUAGAUACUCCAUGGAGUACCAUUGGAGAUUUUAAUGUGAUUACCUCUCCGGAAGAAACAUAUGGAGGCCUUCCCUACAACAUGAACAAGAGUUUUGAAUUCAUAAGUGUGAUAGAAGCCUGUGGUUUAAUGGAUUUGGGGUACAAUGGUCAACAUUACACUUGGUGCAACCAAAUAACUGAGGCAGCUAGGAUAUGGAAAAGGCUAGACAGAGCCAUGGUGACAGAAAAAUGGCUAGAGGUGAUGCCUCAAACUACUAUAUCUCACCUUCCUUCUGUUGGUUCAGAUCAUACACCUUUACUCAUGGAAAUUGUGAGCAGAACUGACAACAAAAUAAAAUACUUUAACUGAUUUUCUGAACACAGUGAAGGCAUGUUGGGAGAGAGAAAUUCAAGGGAACCCUAUGUGGAAACUCCAUCAGAAAAUGAAAAGAUUGGCUUCCACUUUGAGCAAUUGGUCUAGAAGUGAAUAUUGGGAUAUCUUCAAGAAUGUGAUGGAAUAUGAAGAAAAAGUCAAAGUUGCAGAAGAGGAGGUCAUUCAGAAUAAUUCAGAAGAGAACAGAGCUAAGUUGCACCAGACCAAUGCCAACUACAUCAAAUUCCUAAAACCAGGCUUCUAUUAUGAAACAGAAGACUCAGCUUCAGUGGUUCAAGGAAGGAGAUGUCAAUUCUAAAUAUUUUCACACUAUCAUGAGGGGAAGAAGAAGAAGGUGAUUCAUUCACAAGAUUUGCAAUGACAAUGAUGAAUGGGUUCAGGGGGAUGAAUAUAUUGCCAAAGCUGCCUGUGAUUAUAUCCAGCAUUUUUUCACUGGUCAUAACAACAGAAUUAAUACUGAGAUUCUCAAUUGCUUAGACAGGAGGGUCUCACCAGAACAAAACCAAAUGCUCCAGGAGAUGCUACCCUGGAUGAAGUUAAGCAAGUAGUUUUCUCUAUGAAUCCUAAUUCUGCCCCUGGCCCUGAUGGAUUUGGAGGAAAGUUUUUUCAGGCAUGCUGGGAUAUUAUCAAGGAGGAUCUGCUUUCUGCUAUCCAUGUUUUUUUCUGUGGUGCCAUCAUUCCUAAAUUUAUGUCUCAUGCUUGCCUUGUUCUUUUGCCCAAGGUUGACCAUCCUAAUAAGUUCAGUGAAUUCAGACCCAUAAGUUUGAGCAACUUUACCAACAAGAUCAUCUCCAAACUUCUUUGCCUCAGAAUUGCUCCUAUACUCCCUAAUCUUGUCUCUGAGAACCAGUCUGGCUUUGUAAGGGGUAGGAGUAUUUCUGAGAAUAUCAUGUUAGCACAGGAGAUCACUCAUGGCAUUAAAAAACCCAAUGAAGGAGACAAUGUGAUAAUCAAGCUAGAUAUGGCUAAGGCAUAUGACAGAGUGUCUUGGUCCUAUACUAGCUUGGUUCUUAGGGCUAUGGGAUUUGGUGAGAUUUUUAUUGACAUGGUGUGGAGAAUCAUGAGUAAUAACUGGUACUCUAUGGUGGUGAAUGGGACCAGACAUGGCUUCUUCCAUCAAACAAGGGGACCCACUAUCACCAGCAUUAUUCAUUUUGGGUGCAGAGGUUCUUACUAGAAUGCUAAAUCAGCUUCAUCAGAUUCAGGGCUACAAGGAUUUUCAGAUGGAACCUAGAGGACCUCAAAUCAAUCACUUAUGCUUUGCAGAUGAUGUGAUUUUGUUUACUGCAGGUACAAGGAACUCACUGAGACUAAUUAUGAAGACUCUUAAUACUUAUGAAAGGGUAUCUGAUCAACUGAUCAUCAAUAAGGAUAAGAGUCACUUCAUGGUUCCUAGUAACAGUCCCAAUGACAUUAUUUGCAUGAUUAAAGAGAUCACUGGCUUCACUCAGAAGAAUAGCCCAAUUACUUACUUAGGAUGUCCUUUGUACAUUGGGGGGAAAAGAAUCAUCUACUACUCAGAUCUUGUGGCUAAAGUGGUUAAAAAGAUCAGUGGUUGGCAAUCCAAGAUUCUUAGUUAUGGAGGAAAAGUCACCUUAGUGAAACAUGUACUUCAGUCAAUCCCUAUUCACACCAUGGCUGCUAUUUCACCUCCUAAGAUCACCAUUAACUACAUUAAAAGAAUUACUGCUGAUUUCUUUUGGGGGUGGGAAAAGGAGAGAAAGAAAUACCAUUGGGCAUCAUGGGAAACUCUAAGCCUACCUUGUGAUGAAGGUGGUAUUGGGGUUAGACAAUUAGAGGAUGUUUGCACUUCACUACAAUAUAAGCAAUGGUGGAUAUUCAGAACCAAAAACUCAUUAUGGGGGCAGUUUUUGAAGGCCGAGUACUGUAAAAAAGCUAAUCCAGUAGCCAAAAAGCUUGACACUGGACAGUCAUUGGUUUGGAAUUAUUUGAUGAGGAACAAGAAGACUGUAGAGGAACAGAUCACAUGGAAAAUUCACUCUGGGAAUUGCUCCUUCUGGUGGGAUGACUGGACAGGGGAGGGUCCUUUGGCCCAGCAGUGCAGUGAAAUCAACAGUUUAAACAACCCUCCUGUUUCAUUUUUCUUGAUGGAUGGUCAUUGGAAUGAAACUAUGUUAAGGUAAAAUAUUCCUCCCAACAUGGUGCCUAAAGUCAUGGAAACUCAUAUCCAUUAUCAAGCUGGAGUGACAGAUGAAGCUGUUUGGAAGCCAACUGAGAAUGGGAAUUUUACUUGUUCAUCCGCUUGGGGUCUGAUCAGGAAGAAAGGAACCAAAACCAAACUCACUUCUCUUAUCUGGAAGAAGAACAUUCCCUUCAAAGUGUCAUCUUAGUGUUUAAGCCCUAAACAGAAUAGAGCAAUGGACAUGACCCGAAACCACUUUGUGUAGAGUAGACUGCUUUAGAUUACUAAAUUGGCAAUAACAUUCGGUGGAAACCAAUAUCAUUUAUAUUCCAAAGGAAUUAAUAUGGUUGUCUCGUUUAAACCAAGUGUAAGUUCCACAUCAAGCUGCAAAUCAACUAGUCCCACGCCCACCGUUCAAUAUGAAAAUCCCCCCAUAGCUGAAGUUCUCCUAAUGCAGUCCUAUAUAUAUUAAAUUCACCACAGAUAGGCAAUGGCCCCUCCAUCAGACUUCUGACGUCAACUAAUUCCUCUCAUACCAGUCUUCAUUCUAAUUUUCUGUUAGAAGCAUACACACAAGUGAUAUGGCAUUCAAAAUCAUUUAAUUGGGCCUAAAAUCUAAACCCUAUACCUUAGAAACUAAACCUGAAACCUUAACCUUAGGGCCUAAAUCUCAAAUCCUAAACCUUACAACAUCAACCCUAAACCCUAAACCUACGUGCCUAACCUAAACCCUAAUUUCUAAACCUUAAACCUUAGGGCCUAAACCCUAAACUCGAAACCCUAUACCCUAAACUCUAAAACUUAGGUCCUAAACCCUAAACCUAGUGCCUAAACCCUAAACUAUAAACCUAAUGGCCUAAACCCUAAACCCUAAACCUUAGGACCUAGACCCUAAAGCCUAAAAUAUAUACUCUAAACUCUAAACCUUAGACUUUAAUCACUAAACCAUAAACCAUAAGCCUUAAACCCUAAAGCAUAAAGCAUAAAAUCUAAACCUUAGGUCCUAAAUCUCAAAUCCUAAACCUUACAACAUCAACCCUAAACCCUAAACCUACGUGCCUAACCUAAACCCUAAUUUCUAAACCUUAAACCUUAGGGCCUAAACCCUAAACCCUACUCAGACUUCGCCACAUCCAAUACCAAUCAAACACUCACAAGCAAUCAACGAUUUACCCUUAAGAAAGUCUUCAAUCUAUCCAUCAUCGGGCAUCAUCAAUCCAUAUCUCAAAUAUUUAAACAAAAACAAAGAAGUCACAAACUACAAAAUCAAAAACUAAGAUAGACCACCCUAAACCUUAGGGCCUAAACCCUAAACUCAAAACCCUAUACCCUAAACUCUAAAACUUAGGUCCUAAACCCUAAACCUAGUGCCUAAACCCUAAACUAUAAACCUAAUGGCCUAAACCCUAAACCCUAAACCUUAGGACCUAGACCCUAAAGCCUAAAAUAUAAACUCUAAACUCUAAACUUUAGACCCUAACCACUAAACCAUAAACCAUAAGCCUUAAACCCUAAAGCAUAAAGCAUAAAAUCUAAACCUUAGGUCCUAAAUCCUAAAACCUAAACCAUAAACACGAAACCCUAACCCAUAAACCAUAAACCAUAAACAAUAAAUUGUAAACCUUAGGGCAUAAUCCCUUUAACCUUAGAGCCUAAACUCUAAACCCUAAAUCAUAAACCAUAAACCAUAAACCAUAAAUCCUCAACCCUAAACCUUAUGGCCUAAACCAUAAAUCCUAAACCCUAAACCUUAGGUCCUAAACCAUAAACUCUAAACCUUAAACCUUAGGGUCUAAACCCUAAAUCGUACACUAGGGACUAAAUCCUAAACCCUAAACUCUCAACCCUAAACCUUAUGGUCUAAAAUCUAAACCAUAAAUUCUAAGUCCUAAACCUAAAUCACUAAAUCAUAGUGCCUAAACCCUAACCUUAGGGUCUCAAAUCUAAACAUUAGGGACUAAACCCUAAACCUAAUUAGGGCAUUAACCUUAAACCCUAAACUCUAAACCUUAGAGCCUAAAUCCUUAAGCGUAAACCAUAAAUCCUAACCCCUAAACCAUAAAUCCAAAACCUUAGGGUUUAAACCCUGAACCCUAAACCAUAUAUCAUAAACCCUAAACUAAGAGGGCCUAAACCCUAAAUCCUAAGCCAUAAACCCUAUACUCUAGACCCUAAAUAUUAGGGCCUAAAUUCUAAACCCUUAACCCUAAAUCAUAAACCCUAAACCCUAUGGCGUAAACCCUAAACUCUGAACCCUGAACCUAAACCCUAAACCCUAAAUCCUAAGACUUAAACUCAUGGUCUGAGUUGUUGCCUGAAAAUGACCACUUGAAUCAGCUUCUUUAUACACAGGAUUCACUUUUUCUUGUUGAACUAGAGCAUUAACCUCAACCCUGCAUGAGUUCACCUUACCCUCAUCAUCACUGUGAACCAAUUCAUACCCCUCCAGACUCAUAAUAUAGAGAAUCUUCAGCAUCAGGGUCUAUAUCUUCAAUCAAAAUUGGACUCAGAUUCUGACUGUCAUUCUGAGUAGUCAUGUUGAUCUUGUUGUUGAUGUUACCUUGUAUCAUAGGAGCUUGGUGAGCUGUGGUAGUAGGAGCUCUAAGGUCAAUCCUAGAGUCAUCCAUAUUAGAACUACCACCCCCUUUUGGUUCCCCUUUCUAAAAGUUAGUGAUUUUCUCCUGCAUACCCCCUUUCACACCUCCAGACUUCUCAGAUCCAGAUAAAAGAACACAAUUAUUAGUGGGGUGGGGUUGAUGGAGAAUUGAGUUAAUACCUUGAUUAUUGUUGGCAUCCUUGCAUUGCUUGUUAUGAAAUACUUUUGGGGCAACACUGGAAAUGGGGCCAGCAACACUACCAUGGGGUUGAGGGGUGGGGAGCAUUGAGUCAAGUCCUUGCUUAUUCUUAGCAUCCUUGAUUUGAUUGUCCUGAUAAACAUUAGGGGCAACACUGGGGUGGGGACUGCAACACUACUAUCGGGUUGAGGGGUGGGGAGCAUUGAGUCAAUACCUUUUUGUUGUUCCUGGCUGGUCUGAUUCUGAUGUGGUACUGGUUUAUAAACCUGACUUUGUUGGUUUUUUGGUGAUUCCUCUGAUUGUUUUAAGGAUAGCCUCUAAAUUUCUUUUUCUUUUAUGUCUGCCAUUGGUCUUCUUGCAUUUUUUGUUGAUACUGAUGAGUUCUUGCUAGCUAUUCUUUGGUACCUGAAACACUAACAGAAAUAUUAUUCUUAACAGACUGAGAUUUAAUUAGUAGAGUAGUUACCUGAGUGUCAUUUGCUUGGGUUAUUUUGUUUUGUUCUUGUUUGCUGCUUCCACCUCCUCUCUUCUUCUAUAUUCAUCAUCUUUCCUCUUGUUGUUCUUGUUUGCUGCUUCCACCUCCUCUCUUCUUCUUUCUAUAUUCAUCAUCUUUCCUCUUGACAUUACAUGUAUAAACCUCUUAUGGCCUUGGUGUUUGCAGUAAUCACUAUCUUUACCUGUUGGAACCUGUGGAAAAAUAGAUAUGCAUGCAAAUAUGGAGGAAGCAAAUCUAAUAUAACUAAAGUGAUAUACUUGGUGCUUAAAGACAUCAACAACCUCCUACUCAUCAACUUUUCUUACAUAAAAUGGUCAUCCAAGUGGCCUAAGCUGAUGCAGUUUGGAGGAAAUUUCUUCUAUGAUAUCAAAACUACAAAGGUAAGUUGGUUUAAGCCACCUAAAAAUGUGGUUAAAAUCAACUCUGAUGGUAGUGCAUUAGACAACCCAGGAAAGAUGGGGGCUGGUGGUAUUGUCAGAGAUGCCCAAGGUGAUCUAAUCUAUGCUUAUGAUACUCCUCUAGGCCAUGGUACCAACAACCAAGCAGAGAUUGAAGCUGCUCAAUGGGAUCUAUAUCUUGGUGUCUAAAUAAUGGUUUUAACCAGGUGAUUUUGGAAGUAGACUCUGAGUUAGUGGUUCACUAGAUAAAACAGCAAGCUGCUCCACCUUAGAAUUUGCAGAAUGCUGUAGCUAACCUUAAGAGAACAUGUGAUUAGUUCCAAUCCUUUUCCUGUAAUCACACCUUUAGAGAGGCUAACUUUGUGGCUGAUGUUUUAUCCAAAACUAGCCAUAACAGUGAAGUCCUCAACAUUACUUCCAUGUCCACCAGCUACCAAAAGAAGCUAGAGGAUACUACAUGCUAGACAGGAGUGAGAUGCCAAAUUUUAGAAGAAGAAAGAUGAUGAAGAUCAGAAAACCACCUUGAUCCGACAGCUUUCCUUAUGAUACAAAAGGGAACAUAUACUUUCAAGAAGAGCUUUAAAGGAAAAAAAUACACACAAGGACAUCACAAAAUCAACUAAACUCAAAUUCUCUAGAAUCCCUUGAAACCCGGCCUAAGAUCAUUUUAAGUACUCCCUUUGUUUCAAUUUGUUUGUCUUACCUUCCUUUUUAGGAUUUUUAAAAAAGAAUGACUCUUUUCUAAUUUGAAAACUCCUUAAUUUCAUUAUCCCGCAUGGUAUGUUUGUGACCAGAAAAUCAAAGAACAUCUUGGUACAGUAUACAGUUUUAGUUUUAAGACUACAAAUUCAAAAGUACUAUUUACUUUCUUAAACUUUAUGUCAAGUCAAACAAAGAUAAACAAAUUGAAACUGAGGGAGUAACAAUCUUUGAUCAUUUUUAGUAUCAACUAUACAUGCAGGAUUACGAUAUUCCAUUACCAGCAAGAAGACACAUUCAAACAUGCAGUUGCAUUGACUAAAAAUAGUAAAUUCAGUAUAACCAAUUCAUAAAAUUGCACUACUUGGGAAUAUACUACAGGCAUCUCUCUCUCUCUCAGUCACACACACACUAUCAGAUAAAGAAAGGAGUUUACUUUUGUAAUGUUGUUAGAACUAGAUUUAGACUCCUCAAUGAGCACAAUGUGAAUGAGGAAGAAAGUGUAUAUUUGGAAAGCAUUUCGAUAUGAUGCAACUAGAUCAGCAAGCGAACACUCAUCCUCUUCACUGUCAUUCUUCUCUUCAUCAGCAUUUCCAUCCUUCUGUUGAGACACCCUCCAGAGAGAAUCCACAGUAGGGAGCAGCACACUGAGAUUGGACCUAAGUGACUCCACAAGAUUUUGCUUACAGCCAGGAGUAAGGCAAGGAAACUCCUUCAUUAACGAAUACACAAGAUCGAACACAUCCUGCUCCUCCACGCAGAAUAGCUCUUUGUCAGAUAAGUCAAAGGAGACACAUGUUUAAUUGCAAACAAAAAACAGCAAAUUUAGAGAAAUGAGUUGGAAAAAUCAAAAAAGAAUGACAACCCAGAUGGAAAAUUCGAAAAGAAAACAAAAAAAAAGAGAAACCAGAUGGGAAAAUAGCAAGGAAUGUGAACCAAGUAGGAAAAUCGAAAAAAAGAAUGAGAAAGAAUUUCAAAAGAGAUUGAAAAUUUGGUCUUGGGAGUUUCGGUAAGGUGAAAACCCAAGAUGGGAAAUACAUACGAUGAAUUCUACCAAUUCAGAAGGACGAAGAGCACUAACUAAAGUGGGAUUUUGAACUGAGGGGCGACUACAAUCUGAGUCUUCCUCUUCAAGAGGGCCUAAACAUUUUUGGUACUAGGUUUGAAGAUUUCUAUAGCGUAAAAUGGUGGGAAUUUCCUGAUCUGAUUUUGAAUAAGCAUAAAGCGAUAAAGGGGGGAGGCGGGGUGGGGGUGGGGAGUAGAGUUUGAAAUGGGAAAUGUGGGUGUAUGAGAGCGGGAAGAUGAAGAGGAAAGGCACAAAAUUAAAUAUUUAAUUACCAAAACCUAGGCAGAGAAUGCACCAAUCUUAGCCAAUGGGAGGCAAGCAAAGGCCUUGUAGCAACUUCUAACCUAGUAAUCAGCAUGAUCUUGGCAUAGAAAACAAUGUGUAGACUAUUGCUAGGCUUGUUAUUUCUUUUAAAGGGACUUGGAUAGAGAACCGGAACAAUAACAACUACUAUGUCUCAAUAUCAAACAAGUUGGAUUCACGAACAAAAAUAACUUUGUAGAAAGACCAAAAUCAAAAGUGGAACAAAAGAAGUUCAUAAAAUAUGGAGAAUUGAAUCCCAUAUGAUCAGAGUGUACUGGAACUCAAUCAAGAACUGAAUCUUACAUUUUUCAGGAAAAUGAUCCACAACAUGAUUAGGCUUAGAGGACCAUUGACCAUUAAAAAAAGUUAGCAUACAAUGCAGUUGAAAGGAAAGUCAACUGUCCCGAUGUAAUUGAAAAUGCAAGGAAACGUUUAAUUCUAAGAGGCUGGUCUAGGACCUUCGCCAGAACCUGGUUAUUCUUCUAGUGGAAUUGGAAGUAUCAAGAUUUUGAUCACUUUUGCUGCUGUUCUUAGUUCUGGAUGUAGUGGAAUUUGAAGUAUCGAGAUUUUGAUCACUUUUACUGCUGUUGUUAGCUCAGGAUCUAGUGGAACCUGCAAAUGUACAAUUGUUAGUGUUUGUAUAGGAUAUAGGAUAUAGGAUGUUGUAAGGAACCUCUGGUGCGAUUUAUAUAGGAUUGAACUUCAUUUUCAUCAAUUAUUGAAUCAGUCACCUCACUGGAAGCAUGAGAAUUUGCUUCCGACUUAGCACAUGGUGGUUCCAAAGGUGAACAUUCUGUUUGCACUUCCAUUGAUGGAUCUGUGACUUCAGAAUCUGUUACAUGACUAAGAAAAUGAAGUUACAGAAAAUUCAAGAUAACCAAAUCAGGAACUAAGCCCACUCCUUUCCAUUAUAGAUCAUAUGAAACGGAGCAGAUGCAACAAUCCUGUUCCAUGUUGGCUUCACUCAUUUUGUCUAUACAGUUUGCACAUUGACUUUGAAAGUUUUAUCAGUCAGUUUCACCACUAGCCUCUUUAUAUAUCUCCAUCUCUCUCAGCAAAAUAACUUUAGAGCUGUUUUUAUCAAUAUCUACUCAUAAAUGUACAAUUCUGAAAAAACCCAUCAUUUAAAUUUUAUAUGGAUUUUUGAAAGAAAAAGUUGUAGUGAAGGAUCAACUAUUUAUAUAAGUUACUACCACGUAAUAACUUGUUAACAGCUACUACAUCCUCUACAUUGUUUUAAAAUUACUUGUAUAAAUUAAAGAGACAAGUAUGAGAAGCUCUAGUAAUUCCCUCCGCCAAAAAUAUUUUCAAAAUGAAAACUUUGUAAAUGAAACAUGAAAUAGUAAUAACUACAUAAACAGGCAAUAGAUUUGGAGAAAACUACCUUUAGUAAUUUCAGAUUCACCGAUUUCCUCUUCUUCUUUUUCAGUCACUGUGAUGCUCUCCAAGGCUCUCCACUUUCUGUUGAUGGCUUUGAGCAUUUUUGGCAGUAAGUUCUUACUCCUUCCUCUCAAUGUUGAAUUUAUUCAACUUUUCUUCAAACUCCUCAAUGCAUGAUUCGAGUUCAGGUUUAGCAAACCUCUUCCCCUAAAUGAAGACAUUCAAAUAGGCAGAUAAAGUUCACUUGGUUUCGUCAAGCGCGUUAGCGAAAGGUACUUUCCCUGCCAGAAAUUGCAUUUUCAGCUCUUGACAUCUUUUUGCCUCAAGUUCACUUGGUUUCUUCAAAUAUCUCCUAAAUCAACUCUCCAUUUAAUUUUCCUGCAAAUAAAGAAAAUCAAAACCACAAGAAGCUCUUCUUUCAACACACACCACAAAUGAAUUUCCCUUUCUCAAUUAAGCACAAAGGUAAUGGCUUUGGUUGGUACUAACAAAUAGUCCACAUGCAAAAUUUUCACAAAAGAAAUCCCUCUCAUUCUCAUGAAACAUUUCCAAAAACCAAGAAUCAUUUAUGUGACAACAACUCAAACUCAAGAAAUCACUCAACUCAUUAACUCUUUCACAUGCUCACUUGACUCAAUUAGGAAUUUUCAAAAUCACCACUUUUUCAACUUACAUGCCCUCACAAAAAGAAGUGUCCCAAAACCCCACACACAUAUAAACAAGACAAGGGACAAAGAUGCAACACUCACACUCACAAAGAAUCAUCUCAUGCACACAAAUGUCACACCAUAGGCUUGCCCAUAUUUUCAAUCAACAUUGACUCAACUCCAUUUGCUUAGAAAUCUCAAAGGACUUUGUUAAGCUUGUAAUGUAGGCUUAGGGAAGGUUAGGAUAUCAUUUAGGUAUAAGUGACUACACCCUCCUUGAACACUACACAACAACUCAUCGUUUCCAACUUUCUCCACUUCUCUUCACCAUGCACAUUCCACACUACUUUUUCAUUUUUCUUUUCUUAUUUCCACUCUAGAUGCCCCACAUGCAACCAUUUUCAACUUUUCGAGAAUUCAAGCCUCAUUUAUUCAUUUUCUUUCUUUCUUUUUCAAAGUUUUUUCUUUCUUUAAGACUUCCCAUCCAUCCUUCAAUUUCUCUUCUUUUUUUUUCUUUUUUUUUUUUUAUAUCAAGCCCUCAUGUGGUAAGCAUUCCUUCAAUGAAUUUCCCAUAACCCCCCCAACUUAGGCUUUUAGCCUAAACUUUCAAAACCUCAAGUUCAAGGAGGGAAGGGUUCAAAAGAGGGUUACUUUUUCAAAAAGGCUAAGGCUUGUAAUGUGGUUGCCAAUAAAAAGGAUUAGGCUCAAAGGGGACAACUAAGGUUAUUUUGUACAAAGGUGGAAUUUUUAGGCCAAGUGGACUCAAGAACAUCAAAGAAAACCUAAGAUCAUUUCUCCAACCAAACUCAAUCAAGACCAACAUUUCAAGACCAACCGGGCAAGUUCUAGGUAACAAAAGCAAACACAAGGCAUUAUUCAACAACUCACCACACAUGACCUGCAAAUCAAUCAAAAUGGUUCAAAAUCUUCCUUUUAAAAAUACAAGAAGUAUUGAACAUUUUAAUCGCUAACGAAUCAAAAGUCACAAAAAGAGUGGUAAGAGUUGUCACAAAAUUAUUCGUAACAUGAUCAACCUUUUAAAAAUUGAGAGGUAUGCUCAACGCUAUUCACAUGCAAGACUAUGCUCUUAGUACCAACCAAGUCAAAACCUUCCCAAAAAGACAAUGAUUUUGCCCUUAAGAAAGUCGUCAACAAUCAUGCAUCUAUUCGGGAACAACUACUCAAAAUUCGCCACAAUCAACGCCAAUCAAACACUCACAAGCAAUCGACAAUUUACCAUUAAGAAAGUCAUCACUCUCUAUCCAUCAUCGGGCAUCGUCAAUCCAAAUCUUAUUAUCAAAAGAAAAACAAAGAAGCUACAAACUACAAAUCAAAAACUAAAAUAGACCAAUUUAACACAAUAUCCACAGAAACAUCCACAAUAUCAAAUCCCGACAAGGGCACACCAAUCCAUAACAAAGAAAGCAAAGUAUGCCCGACAAGGGCACAAUCAUUGUAUGCAAAAACAAUCAACAAAAUGACUACAAGGGAGGCACCCCCAACUGAAAAUGAGAUGGUGUCCUCACAAUCAAAAUAUCAAAAAAGAAUACGAGGGACUCCCUGAAUUGCAUCACUCUCAGCUCGAGCCUGUAGGAAAUGUGAGGUCCUCCUCAUCCGAAGCACUGCUACCACAUUAACUCCUCAGCUUUCCCUUUAUAAAUGCUACAGAGGAGCAAACCAUCAGAAAACGGGAGGAAAAGAAGUCACACUCAGAUCUAGCACAAAACAAAUAGCACAUCAAGUCUCACAAAGCCAGUAAGAAAAUACAAGCAAGAUGGUUAACACAAUGCUACAAACACAUCAUCAACAACACCAUGGCAGUGGAAAAUCAAGUCCUCGAUAUAGUGGGGAAGGAAGAGAGAAAACCCACAACAGGAUGCAACGUCCUCAAGAUAAUGAAAUCAAUAGCAAGAGUAGUCCUCAAUAUCAAAUACUGAAUAAUGAAGCAACAGUUACAACAUUUGAGAAAACAAACCUGUAGCAGAUGCGGAGCAAGUCGAGAAAGAGGACCUAGCAUUGGCAGAGUUCCAUGAACCACUUCAAAUGGAUUUUACUAGUGUUGGGGUAGUAGGUGAUGAUUCUGAUAUGAUUGCAAGGUACCCACUGUGUCCCAGAAACAAUUGUUGAUUAAGACUAAUGAUCAACACAAGGAGAUUGUACCUGCAACAAAAGCACAAUUAGAAUUGGCCCAAAAUCAAGCUUCUCCCAUGCAAGUACUACAUGAAAUUGUUUCUCAUCACCUAACGGGUAUCACAGGAGUUGUAGUACAGAUAAAUAAUCAGGAUAAAGAUGGUAAAAGAGAAGAUAAAGAGGAAAGAGAGGGACAUCAAAAUAUCAAUCAGUUGGUGAAGGAUCCUGAUUUAUCUCCACACGCAUUCUUAAAAGCUAAAAAGUGCAAGGCCAGAGUUAAUAGUAAACCUACAAGGACACUUCCUAGGAGGAGUGGAAAAUCAAGUAUUAAUGAAUCUAAAAGCUUUAUUUUGAAACAUUAGAUCUGUAAAAUCCUAACAUUCUUUUCACAGAGUGCAAAUGCUACACCGACAUAAUGGUUUUUCCAUUAUUGCAUUGAUGGAACCAUUUCAAUAUAUUAGGCAUAUACAAAGUUACAAGAGGAUAUUGGGCAUGCAUUAUGCAAACUAUAAUCAAAAUGGAAAAAAUUGGGUUUUUGUACAAGAGCAAUUCAUGUAGAAGUACUGGCAGAUUCAGACCAACAACUCACUAUUCAGCUUUCUUUCCAAGGUAAUUACCACUACGGUAUAUGCUAAGUGUGAAGCUACUGAGAGAUUACAGUUGUGGGAUGAUAUUUACCUCUUGAGUCAGAACAUGAGACUUCCCUGGCUUGUUGGUGGGGAUUUCAAUGUUAUUAUGAAUGAUGAGGAGAAGAUUGGAGGACUUCCUGUAUAUCCAACUGAAUAUAAUGACUUUGCUUUUAACAUUAAUUCCUGUGAUCUUUUUUAUAUUAAUUCCUGUGAUCUUUUUUAUAUUAAUUUCAAAGGUAUCCCUUUUACAUGGUGGAAUGGGAGAAUAGAUAAUGCUUAUAUUUUCAAAAGGCUGGACAGGAUUGUUCUUAAUCAAGCUUUUCUGGGCCUUUUGGGAUGUGUAGAAUUGGAUCAUCAGGCUAGAGUUGGAUCUGAUCACGCCCCUUUGCUAAUAUCUCAUAAUUAGGUUUUAUAACUCUAUUUUUAGAUAUUUUAAUUAUAUUUAGGUGAAUCCCCACACCCAUAUCCAUACAUGAAUCCAUAUCCCCGAAUCUUAAAAAUUUGAUCAUGAAGGAUCCGACCUCUAGAUCCGAACCCGUAUCAGACACCCGCACCCGAGUCCGAGCAACUUAGUGUGAAUUAGUUGAGGUCACAACGAAGGUGGAAUGACAAUUUGCUAAAUCAUCUUUUUCCGGAGGAGGUAUGUAAUCACAUUAGUUAUAAAGUUGGAUCUGGAGAGGAUAUGAGUGGGACAAGCUAUGGUGGAUGGCACACAGCUCAGGAAAAUUCAAUGUUAAUAGUGCUUGGGAGAUUUUGAGAAAUGCAAGUAACAGGAAGAAUUCAAGUUCAUUUGGGAAAAAGGAAUUCCUUGUAAAGUCUCUUUUUUCAUAUGGAGGUUAUGGAAAAGGAGGUCCCAAUUGGGGAAUUUCUAAUACGAAUAGCCCUGGUAGAUGAUGUAAGGUGGUGUUGUUGUAAAACAUUAGCCAAAGAAUCCUACGAGCAUAUUUUUAUUACUUGUCUAGUAGCUACCACUUUGUGGAAAACUUUUGCAGCAGCAGCAGGUUUGCGAGGCCCUUUCCCACAUCCGAAAGACACCAUGUUUAAAUGGUUUAAUGCUACAUUUCUGUCAAACUCAGACCACUUUUUAAAGCUGUCCCUACUUUUAUAAUGUGGCAAAUUUGGAAGAGGAGGAAAAAGAUAAGGCAUGGUGGUAAGACAUCUGUGCAAGGUAUGAUGAUGGAGAUAAAUAGGAACCUUCACUACUUGGCAAUUACAAGGUAUCCUUGGUUGAGGAACAUCCCUGAUAGUUGGCCUCUGAUACUGAAAUUCUUUGAAGCCUAUACCCCAUUAAUUGAAUGUAAAGUGGUGAAGUGGAAACUACCUAACGAAGGUGUCUAUAAGUGCAAUUCAGAUGGAGCUUCAAAAGGAAAUCCGGGACCUAGUGCAAGUGCUUUCUGCAUUAGAAAUGAUGCAGGAGAAUUUAUAUUUGCUGAAGCUAAAAGCUUGGAAAGUGCUACCAGUUUAGAGGCAGAAGUAGUGGCGUUGAGAAGUGGACUGGAAUUUUGUAUUUUAAACAAUUUGCUGCCUGUUAUCCUUGAAACUGAUUCUUUCACAAUCAAACAGAUACUAGAUGGAAUAUGGGAAGUCCCAUUAUCAUGGCUUGUGAAAUCAAGAUGAUAAGCAGAUUAAGGGCUCAUAGUGAUGUGGAAAUCGAGCAGACACUAAGGGAAAACAUGGGAGUGAAUUUUUUUGCUAAUCAAGUUUUCUGUUUUGUAGGUACUCAAAGAUUGACAUAUAAUUCAAUACAAGAAGUCCCAAAUGAAGGAACAAUUAUAAUAAACAUGGAUCGGAAUCAAAUUCCCAAUAUAAGGCUAACAAGAUGUCAAAAUGAGAAUUUCAGAAUGCUACAAUAACGAUAUUAUGCCAGAAACUGUAAGGGCUCACAACAAUCACAAAGAUUUUCAGUGGAAGAGAAACUUACUAGAUCGUGUGUGAAAGUUGCAAUUGGAUCUGAAUUUUUCUCUCCUCUUUGGCAGUGGUAUUAGAUAUCUGUGAGCUCAACCUGCCGGGAAAGGGACUUAGAAAUGAUUUCAAUUUACAGCGUCACGAAAUUCAGUUUUGUACAAUUAAAGAUUCAACCCAGAACACAAUUUAAGAUUCAAGAUUUAACACAGAAGCACAAUGCAAGAUCAGACCCAGCUACACAUUGAAUCUGAAGUCAUAAACAAUCAUUAAUUAUCAUAAGAAUGGCUACCCCAAUCCAAGAUUCCAGACGAGUUGAAUUAAAAUUGGAAAAAAAAACAUCUGGGUUAGGAAAUGACACCCAAAAGAACAAGAAAAUCGAGAUUAUGGAUUAGAGGAAAAGGGGAAAUGGGUGAAGGUAAAAAGCAUCAGCUUAUCAUAAGAAUGACAUAAAACAAAGAGAAAAGCAAAACUUUAUAUGUAUAACCCCUCAAUUCAAGAAGGAGGGAAAUUGUGAAACCUGAAGUUGCUCAACAGGGAAAGGGCCGUCUUGAACAUCCUCGAUUUCAUCAUUUUGGUCUUGCAUACCUUCUGAUUCUUGUGCUGCUGCUCCAUUGCUAAUCUUCUUGAUGCUACUGAGAGUAACAGAUGAUUGAAAGAGAUGGAAGAAUGGAGGCAAAAGGAAAUAUUCAAAAGCGCAAUGAGCCUCUUUAUAUAUCUCCAACUCUCUUGCCAAAAUGACUUUAGAGCUUUUUUAUAAGUAUCUACUCUUUAAUGUAAAAUUCUAAAAAAAACCCAUCAUUUAAAUUUUAUAUGGAUUUAUGAAAAAAAGGUUGUAGUGAAGGAUCAACUAUUUAUAUAAGUUACUACCACGUUAUGUUUUGUUUACAGCUACUACUACCUCUACAUUGUUUUUAAAUUAUUUGGAUGAAUAAAAGCACAAAUGACUUGUAUAAAUUAAAGAGAUAAGCAUAAAGCUCUAGUUCCCUACGGCAAAAAUAUUUUCAAAAUGAAAACUUUGUAAAUGAAACAUGAAAUAGUAAUAACUACAUAAACAGGCAAUAGACUUGGAGAAAACUACCUUUAGUAAUUUCAGAUUCACCGAUUUCCUCUUCUUCUUUUUCAGUCACUGCGAUACUCUCCCCAAGCUCUCCACUUUCUGUUGAUGGCUUUGAGCAUUUUUGGCAGUAAGUUCUUGUUCCUUCCUCUCAAUGUCAAAUUUAUUCAACUUUUCUUCAAACUCCUCAAUGCAUGAUUCGAGUUCAGGUUUAGCAAACUUCUUCCCCUAAAUGAAGACAUUCAAAUAGGCAGAUAAAGUUCACUUGGUUUCUUCAAGCGCGUUCGCGAAGGGGUACUUUCCCUGCCAGAAAUUGCAUUUUCAGCUCUUGACCUCUUUUGCCUCAAGUUCACUUGGUUUCUUCAAAUAUCUCCUAAAUCAACUCUCCAUUUCAAUUUUCCUACAAAUAUGAAAAAAACCCAUAUUAAAAGCACCAAUUCUAAACUAAAGCAAGCCAAAAUAACUACGAAAAGAGCCUCAAAUGAGUGGGAAUCCACCACUCAUCAACAACCUCGACUUAGAAACUUUCUUUGUCCUCAAGUAAAGAAAAUCAAAAACACAGGCUCUUUUUUGAAAACACACCACAAAUCAAUUUCCCUUUCUCAAUGAAGCACAAAGGUAAUGGCUUUGAUUGGUACUAACAAAUAGUCCACAUGCAAAAUUUUCACAAAAGAAAUCCCUUUCUUUCUCAUGAAACAUUUUCAAAAACCAAGAAUCAUUUAAGUGACAACAACUCAAACUCAAGAAAUCACUCAACUCAUUAACUCUUUCACAUGCUCACUUGACUCAAUUAGGAAUUUUAAAAAUCACCACUUUUUCAACUUACAUGCCCUCACAAGAAAGAAGUGUCCCAAAACCACACUCACAUAUAAACAAGACAAGGGACAAAGAUGCAAAACUCACACUCACGAAGAAUCAUCUCAUGCACUCAAAUGUCACACCAUAGGCUUGCCCAUAUUUUCAAUCAACAUUGACCCAACUCUAUUUGCUUAGAAAUCUCAAAGGACUUUGUAAAGCUUGUAAUGUAGGCUUAGGAAAGGUUAGGAUAUCAUUUAGGUAUAAGUGACUACACCCUCCUUGAACACUACACAACAACUCAUCAUUUCCAACUUUCUCCACUUUUCAAACACAUGCACAUUCCACACUACUUUUCAUUUUUCUUUUCUUAUUUCCACACUAGAUGCCCCACAUGCAACCACUUUCAACUUUUAGAGAAUUCAAGCCUCAUUUAUUCAUUUUAUUUCUUUCUUUUUCAAAGUUUUUUCUUUCUUUAAGACUUUCCAUCCAUCCUUCAAUUUAUCUCUUCUUUUUUUCUUUUUUUUUAUAUCAAGCCCUCAUGUGGUAAGCAUCCCUUCAAUGAAUUUCCCAUAACACCCCAACUUAGGCUUUAGCCUCAACUUACAAAACCUCAAGUUCAAGGAGGGAAGGGUUCAAAAGAUGGUUACUUUUUCAAAAAGGAUAAGGCUUGUAAUGUGGUUGCCAAUAAAAAGGAUUAGGCUCAAAGGGGACUACUAAGGAUAUAUUUAGUACAAAGGUGGGAUUUUUAGGCCAAGUGGACUUCGAGAACAUCAAAGAAAGCCUAAGAUCAUUUCUCCAACCAAACUCAAUCAAGACCAACAUUUCAAGACCAACCGGGCAAGUUCUAGGUGACAAAAGCAAACACAAGGCAUUAUUCAACAACUCACCACACAUGGCCUGCAAAUCAAUCAAGAUGGUUCAAAAUCUUACUUCCCUUUCAAAAUACAAGUAGCAUUGAACAUUUUAACCGCUAACGAAUCAAAAGUUACAAAAAGAGUUAUAAGAGUUGUCACAAAAUCAUUCAUGACAUGCUCAACCUUUUAAAAAUGGAGAGGUAUGCUCAACACUAUUUUUUUUUUUGAAAUUAAGAGGUAUGCUCAACACUAUUCACAUGCUCAACUAUGCUCUUAGUACCAACCAAGUCAAAACCUUCCCGAAAAGAUGACGAUUUUGUCCUUAAGGAAGCCGUCAACCAAUCCAUCAUCAGGCAACCUCAUGCAUCUAUUCGGGAACAGCUACUCAGAAUUUGCAACAAUCAACGCCAAUCAAACACUCACAAGCAAUCGAUAAUUUACACUUAAGAAAGUUAUCACUCCCUAUCCAUUAUCGGGCAUCGUCAAUCCAAAUCUUAUUAACAAAACAAAAACAAAGAUGCUACAAACUACAAAUCAAAAACUAAAAUAGACCAAUCCAACACAAUAUCAACAGAAACAUCCUCAAUAUCAAAUCCCGACAAGGGCACACCAAUCCAUAACAAAGAAAGAAAAGUAUGCCCGACAAGGGCACAAUCAUUGUAUGCAAAAACAAUCAACAAAAUGACUACAAGGGAGGCACCCUCAACUGAAAAUGAGAUUGUGUUCUCACAGUCGAAAUAUUAAAAGAGAUUACGAGGGACUCCCUGAACUGCAUCACUCUCAGCUCGAGCCGGUAGGAAAUGUGAGGUCCUCCUCAUCCCAAGCACUGCUACCACAUAAGCUCCUAAGCUUUCCCUUUAUAAAUGCUACAGAGGAGCAAACCAUCAGAAAACGGGAGGAAAAGAAGUCACACUCUGAUCAAGGAUCCAGCAACAAAUUGAACAUCAGGUCUCACAAAGGCAGCAAGAAAAUGCAAGCAAGAUGGGUAACACAAUGCUACAAACACAUCAUCAACAACACCAUGGUAGUGGCAAAUCAAGUCCUCGAUUUAGUAGGGAAGGAAGAGAGAAAACACAACAGAUGCAAGGUCCUCAAGAUAAUGAAAUCAAUAGCAGGAGUAGUCCUCAAGAUCAAAUACUGAAUAAUGAAGCUGCAGCAGUGACAAUAUUUGAGAAUAACAAACCUGUAGCAGAUGUGGAGCAAGUUGAGAAAGAGGCCCUAGCAUUGGCAGAGUUCCAUGAAUCACUUCAAGUGGAUUUUACUAGUGUUGGGGUAGUAGGUGAUGAUUCUGAUAUGAUUGCAAGGUACCCCUGUGCCAGAAACAAUUGUUGAUUAAGACUAAUGAUCAACACAAGGAGAUUGUACCAGCAACAAAAGCACAAUUAGAAUUGGCCCAAAAGCAAGCUUCUCCUGUGCAAGUACUACAUGAAAUUGUUUCUCAUCAGCUAACAGGUAACACAUAAGUUACAGAAGUUACAGUAAUAAUCAAGAAAAAGAUGUAAAAAGAGAAGAUAGAGAGGAAAGAGAGGGAUAUCAAAAUAUCAAUCAGUUGGUGAAGGAUCUUGAUUUAUCUCCACAUGCAUUCUCAAAAGGUAAAAAGUGCAAGGCCAAAGUUGAUAGUAAACCUACAAGGACACUUCCUAGGAGGAGUGGAAAAUCAAGUAUUAAUGAAUCUAAAAGCUUUAUUUUGAAACAUUAGAUCUGUGAAAUCCCAACAUUCUUUUCACAGAGUGCAAAUGCUACACCGACAUAAUGGUUUUUCCAUUAUUGCAUUGAUGGAACCUUUUCAAUAUACUAGGCAUAUACAAAGUUAUAAGAAGAGAUUGGGCAUGCAUUUUGCAAAAUAUAAUCAAAAUGGAAAAAAUUGGGUUUUUGUGCAGGAGUAAUUCAUGUAGAAGCACUGGCAGAUUCAGAGGAACAACUCACUAUUCAGCUUUCUUUCCCAAGUAAUUACCACUACGGUAUAUGCUAAGUGUGAAGCUACUGAGAGAUUCCAGUUGUGGAUUGAUAUUUACCUCUUGAGUCAGAACAUGAGACUUCCUUGGCUUGUUGGUGUGGAUGUCAAUGCGAUUAUGAAUGAUGAGGAGAAGAUUGGAGGACUUCCUGUAUAUCCAACUCAAUAUAAGGAAUUUUCUUAUUGCAUUAAUUCGUGUGAUCUUUUUGAUAUUAAUUUCAAAGGUAUCCCUUUUACAUGGUGAAAUGGGAGAAUAGAUGAUGCUUGUAUUUUCAAAAGGCUGGACAGGAUUGUUCUUAAUCAAACUUUUCUGGGCCUUAUGGGAUGUGUAGAAUUGGAUCAUCUGGCUAGAGUUGGAUCUGAUCAUGCUCCUUUGCUAAUAUCUCAUAAUUAGGUUUUAUAACUCUAUUUUUAGAUAUUUUAAUUAUAUUUAGGUGAAUCCCCACACCUGUAUCCAUACAUGGAUCCAUAUCCCCGAAUCUUAAAAAUUAGAUCAUGAAGGAUUCGACCUCUAGAUCCGCACCCGUAUCAAAUACCCGCAACCGAGUACGAGCAACUUAGUGUGAAACAGUUGAGGUCACAACGAAGGUGGACUGACAAUUUGUUAAAUCAUCUUUUUCCGGAGGAGGUGUGUAAUCACAUUAUUGAGAAAGUUGGAUGUGGAGAGGAUACAAAUGAGUGGGACAAGCUAUGGUGGAUGGCACAUAGCUCAGGAAAAUUCAAUGUUAAUAGUGCUUCGGAGAGGUUGAGAAAUACAAGUAACAGGAAGAAUUCAAGUUCAUUUGGGAAAAGGAAUUCCUUUUAAAAGUCUCUUUUUUCAUAUGGAGGUUAUGGAAAAGAAGCUCCCAAUUGGGUAAUUUCUAAUAAGAAUAGCCCUGGUAGAUGAUGUAAGGUGUUGUUGUUGUGAAACAUUAGCCAAAGAAUCCGACGAGCAUCUUUUUAUUACUUGUCCAGUAGCUACCACUUUGUGGAAAACUUUUGCAGCAGCAGCAGGUUUGCGAGGCCCUUUCCCACAUCCGAAAGACACCAUGUUUAAAUGGUGGAAUGCUACAUGUUGUGUCAAACUCGGACCACUUUUUAAUGCUGUCCCUACUUUUAUAAUGUGGCAAAUUUGGAAGAGGAGGAAUAUGAUAAGGCAUGGUGGUAAGAUAUCUGUACAAGGUAUGAUGAUGGAGAUAAAUAGGAACCUUCACUACUUGGCAAUUACAAGGUAUCCUUGGUUGAGGAACAUCCCUGAUAGUUGGCCUCUGAUAGUUAAAUUCUUUGAAGCCUAUACCCCAUUAAUUGAAUGUAAAGUGGUGAAGUGGAAACUACCUAACGAAGGUGUCUAAAGUGCAAUUCAGAUGAAGCUUCAAAGGAAAUCCGAGACCUAGUGCAAGUGCUUUCUGCAUUAGAAAUGAUGCAGGAGAGUUUAUAUUUGCCGAAGCUAAAAACUUGGAAAGUGCUACCAGUUUAGAGGUAGAAGUAGUGGCGUUGAGAAGUGGACUGGAAUUUUGUAUUUUAAACAAUUUGCUGCCUGUUAUCCUUGAAACUGAUUCUUUCACAAUCAAAUAGAUACUAGAUGGAAUAUGGGAAGUCCCAUGUAACAUGGCUUGUGAAAUCAAGAUGAUAAGCAGAUUAAGGGANNNNNNNNNNNNNNNNNNNNNNNNNNNNNNNNNNNNNNNNNNNNNNNNNNNNNNNNNNNNNNNNNNNNNNNNNNNNNNNNNNNNNNNNNNNNNNNNNNNNNNNNNNNNNNNNNNNNNNNNNNNNNNNNNNNNNNNNNNNNNNNNNNNNNNNNNNNNNNNNNNNNNNNNNNNNNNNNNNNNNNNNNNNNNNNNNNNNNNNNNNNNNNNNNNNNNNNNNNNNNNNNNNNNNNNNNNNNNNNNNNNNNNNNNNNNNNNNNNNNNNNNNNNNNNNNNNNNNNNNNNNNNNNNNNNNNNNNNNNNNNNNNNNNNNNNNNNNNNNNNNNNNNNNNNNNNNNNNNNNNNNNNNNNNNNNNNNNNNNNNNNNNNNNNNNNNNNNNNNNNNNNNNNNNNNNNNNNNNNNNNNNNNNNNNNNNNNNNNNNNNNNNNNNNNNNNNNNNNNNNNNNNNNNNNNNNNNNNNNNNNNNNNNNNNNNNNNNNNNNNNNNNNNNNNNNNNNNNNNNNNNNNNNNNNNNNNNNNNNNNNNNNNNNNNNNNNNNNNNNNNNNNNNNNNNNNNNNNNNNNNNNNNNNNNNNNNNNNNNNNNNNNNNNNNNNNNNNNNNNNNNNNNNNNNNNNNNNNNNNNNNNNNNNNNNNNNNNNNNNNNNNNNNNNNNNNNNNNNNNNNNNNNNNNNNNNNNNNNNNNNNNNNNNNNNNNNNNNNNNNNNNNNNNNNNNNNNNNNNNNNNNNNNNNNNNNNNNNNNNNNNNNNNNNNNNNNNNNNNNNNNNNNNNNNNNNNNNNNNNNNNNNNNNNNNNNNNNNNNNNNNNNNNNNNNNNNNNNNNNNNNNNNNNNNNNNNNNNNNNNNNNNNNNNNNNNNNNNNNNNNNNNNNNNNNNNNNNNNNNNNNNNNNNNNNNNNNNNNNNNNNNNNNNNNNNNNNNNNNNNNNNNNNNNNNNNNNNNNNNNNNNNNNNNNNNNNNNNNNNNNNNNNNNNNNNNNNNNNNNNNNNNNNNNNNNNNNNNNNNNNNNNNNNNNNNNNNNNNNNNNNNNNNNNNNNNNNNNNNNNNNNNNNNNNNNNNNNNNNNNNNNNNNNNNNNNNNNNNNNNNNNNNNNNNNNNNNNNNNNNNNNNNNNNNNNNNNNNNNNNNNNNNNNNNNNNNNNNNNNNNNNNNNNNNNNNNNNNNNNNNNNNNNNNNNNNNNNNNNNNNNNNNNNNNNNNNNNNNNNNNNNNNNNNNNNNNNNNNNNNNNNNNNNNNNNNNNNNNNNNNNNNNNNNNNNNNNNNNNNNNNNNNNNNNNNNNNNNNNNNNNNNNNNNNNNNNNNNNNNNNNNNNNNNNNNNNNNNNNNNNNNNNNNNNNNNNNNNNNNNNNNNNNNNNNNNNNNNNNNNNNNNNNNNNNNNNNNNNNNNNNNNNNNNNNNNNNNNNNNNNNNNNNNNNNNNNNNNNNNNNNNNNNNNNNNNNNNNNNNNNNNNNNNNNNNNNNNNNNNNNNNNNNNNNNNNNNNNNNNNNNNNNNNNNNNNNNNNNNNNNNNNNNNNNNNNNNNNNNNNNNNNNNNNNNNNNNNNNNNNNNNNNNNNNNNNNNNNNNNNNNNNNNNNNNNNNNNNNNNNNNNNNNNNNNNNNNNNNNNNNNNNNNNNNNNNNNNNNNNNNNNNNNNNNNNNNNNNNNNNNNNNNNNNNNNNNNNNNNNNNNNNNNNNNNNNNNNNNNNNNNNNNNNNNNNNNNNNNNNNNNNNNNNNNNNNNNNNNNNNNNNNNNNNNNNNNNNNNNNNNNNNNNNNNNNNNNNNNNNNNNNNNNNNNNNNNNNNNNNNNNNNNNNNNNNNNNNNNNNNNNNNNNNNNNNNNNNNNNNNNNNNNNNNNNNNNNNNNNNNNNNNNNNNNNNNNNNNNNNNNNNNNNNNNNNNNNNNNNNNNNNNNNNNNNNNNNNNNNNNNNNNNNNNNNNNNNNNNNNNNNNNNNNNNNNNNNNNNNNNNNNNNNNNNNNNNNNNNNNNNNNNNNNNNNNNNNNNNNNNNNNNNNNNNNNNNNNNNNNNNNNNNNNNNNNNNNNNNNNNNNNNNNNNNNNNNNNNNNNNNNNNNNNNNNNNNNNNNNNNNNNNNNNNNNNNNNNNNNNNNNNNNNNNNNNNNNNNNNNNNNNNNNNNNNNNNNNNNNNNNNNNNNNNNNNNNNNNNNNNNNNNNNNNNNNNNNNNNNNNNNNNNNNNNNNNNNNNNNNNNNNNNNNNNNNNNNNNNNNNNNNNNNNNNNNNNNNNNNNNNNNNNNNNNNNNNNNNNNNNNNNNNNNNNNNNNNNNNNNNNNNNNNNNNNNNNNNNNNNNNNNNNNNNNNNNNNNNNNNNNNNNNNNNNNNNNNNNNNNNNNNNNNNNNNNNNNNNNNNNNNNNNNNNNNNNNNNNNNNNNNNNNNNNNNNNNNNNNNNNNNNNNNNNNNNNNNNNNNNNNNNNNNNNNNNNNNNNNNNNNNNNNNNNNNNNNNNNNNNNNNNNNNNNNNNNNNNNNNNNNNNNNNNNNNNNNNNNNNNNNNNNNNNNNNNNNNNNNNNNNNNNNNNNNNNNNNNNNNNNNNNNNNNNNNNNNNNNNNNNNNNNNNNNNNNNNNNNNNNNNNNNNNNNNNNNNNNNNNNNNNNNNNNNNNNNNNNNNNNNNNNNNNNNNNNNNNNNNNNNNNNNNNNNNNNNNNNNNNNNNNNNNNNNNNNNNNNNNNNNNNNNNNNNNNNNNNNNNNNNNNNNNNNNNNNNNNNNNNNNNNNNNNNNNNNNNNNNNNNNNNNNNNNNNNNNNNNNNNNNNNNNNNNNNNNNNNNNNNNNNNNNNNNNNNNNNNNNNNNNNNNNNNNNNNNNNNNNNNNNNNNNNNNNNNNNNNNNNNNNNNNNNNNNNNNNNNNNNNNNNNNNNNNNNNNNNNNNNNNNNNNNNNNNNNNNNNNNNNNNNNNNNNNNNNNNNNNNNNNNNNNNNNNNNNNNNNNNNNNNNNNNNNNNNNNNNNNNNNNNNNNNNNNNNNNNNNNNNNNNNNNNNNNNNNNNNNNNNNNNNNNNNNNNNNNNNNNNNNNNNNNNNNNNNNNNNNNNNNNNNNNNNNNNNNNNNNNNNNNNNNNNNNNNNNNNNNNNNNNNNNNNNNNNNNNNNNNNNNNNNNNNNNNNNNNNNNNNNNNNNNNNNNNNNNNNNNNNNNNNNNNNNNNNNNNNNNNNNNNNNNNNNNNNNNNNNNNNNNNNNNNNNNNNNNNNNNNNNNNNNNNNNNNNNNNNNNNNNNNNNNNNNNNNNNNNNNNNNNNNNNNNNNNNNNNNNNNNNNNNNNNNNNNNNNNNNNNNNNNNNNNNNNNNNNNNNNNNNNNNNNNNNNNNNNNNNNNNNNNNNNNNNNNNNNNNNNNNNNNNNNNNNNNNNNNNNNNNNNNNNNNNNNNNNNNNNNNNNNNNNNNNNNNNNNNNNNNNNNNNNNNNNNNNNNNNNNNNNNNNNNNNNNNNNNNNNNNNNNNNNNNNNNNNNNNNNNNNNNNNNNNNNNNNNNNNNNNNNNNNNNNNNNNNNNNNNNNNNNNNNNNNNNNNNNNNNNNNNNNNNNNNNNNNNNNNNNNNNNNNNNNNNNNNNNNNNNNNNNNNNNNNNNNNNNNNNNNNNNNNNNNNNNNNNNNNNNNNNNNNNNNNNNNNNNNNNNNNNNNNNNNNNNNNNNNNNNNNNNNNNNNNNNNNNNNNNNNNNNNNNNNNNNNNNNNNNNNNNNNNNNNNNNNNNNNNNNNNNNNNNNNNNNNNNNNNNNNNNNNNNNNNNNNNNNNNNNNNNNNNNNNNNNNNNNNNNNNNNNNNNNNNNNNNNNNNNNNNNNNNNNNNNNNNNNNNNNNNNNNNNNNNNNNNNNNNNNNNNNNNNNNNNNNNNNNNNNNNNNNNNNNNNNNNNNNNNNNNNNNNNNNNNNNNNNNNNNNNNNNNNNNNNNNNNNNNNNNNNNNNNNNNNNNNNNNNNNNNNNNNNNNNNNNNNNNNNNNNNNNNNNNNNNNNNNNNNNNNNNNNNNNNNNNNNNNNNNNNNNNNNNNNNNNNNNNNNNNNNNNNNNNNNNNNNNNNNNNNNNNNNNNNNNNNNNNNNNNNNNNNNNNNNNNNNNNNNNNNNNNNNNNNNNNNNNNNNNNNNNNNNNNNNNNNNNNNNNNNNNNNNNNNNNNNNNNNNNNNNNNNNNNNNNNNNNNNNNNNNNNNNNNNNNNNNNNNNNNNNNNNNNNNNNNNNNNNNNNNNNNNNNNNNNNNNNNNNNNNNNNNNNNNNNNNNNNNNNNNNNNNNNNNNNNNNNNNNNNNNNNNNNNNNNNNNNNNNNNNNNNNNNNNNNNNNNNNNNNNNNNNNNNNNNNNNNNNNNNNNNNNNNNNNNNNNNNNNNNNNNNNNNNNNNNNNNNNNNNNNNNNNNNNNNNNNNNNNNNNNNNNNNNNNACUCAAAGAUUAACAUAUAAUUCAAUACAAGAAGUCCCAAAUGAAGGAACAACUAUAAUAAACAUGGACGGGAAUCAAAUUCCCAAUAUAAGGCUAACAAGAUAUCAAAAUGAGAACUUCAGAAUGCUACAAUAACGAUAUUAUGCCAGAAACUAUAAGGGCUCAAAACAAUCACAAAGAUUUUCACUGGAAGAGAAACAGACUUACUAGAUCGUGCGUGAAAGUUACAAUUGGAUCUAAAUUCUUCUCUCCUCUUUGGCAGUGAUAUUAAUUCUCUGUGAGCUCAACCUGCCGAGAAAGGGAAAUACUUAGAAAUGAUUUCAAUUUACAGAGUCACGAAAUUCAGUUUUGUUCAAUUAAAGAUUCAACCCAUAACACAAUUUAAGAUUCAAGAUUUAACAUAGAAGCACAAUUCAAGAUCAGACCCAGCUACACAUUGAAUCUGAAGUCAUAAACAAUCAUUAAUUAUCAUAAGAAUGGCUACCCCAAUCCAAGAUUUCAGACAAGUUGAAUUAAAGUUGGAAAAAAAACAUCUGGGUUAGGAAACGGCACCCAAAAGAACAAGAAAAUUGAGAUUAUGGAUUACUGGAAAAGGGAAAAUGGGUGAAGGUAAAAAGCAUCAGCUUAUCAUAAGAAUGACAUAAAACAAAGAGCAAAGUAAAACUUUAUAUGUAUAACCCCUCAAUAGGGAAAGGGCCGUCUUGAACAUCCUCGAUUUCAUCAUUUUGGUCUUGAAUACCUUCUGAUUCUUGUGCUGCUGCUCCAUUGCUAAUCUUCUUGAUGCUACUGGAGAGUAACAGAUGAUUGAAAGAGAUGGAAGAAUGGAGGCAAAAGGAAAUAUUCAAAAGCGCGAUGAGCCUCUUUAUAUAUCUCCAACUCUCUUGCCCAAUUGACUUUACAGCUUUUUUAUCAAUAUCUACUCUUAAAUGUAAAAUUCUAAAAAAAACCCAUCAUUUAAAUUUUAUAUGGAUUUUUGAAAGAAAAUUGUAGUGAAGGAUCAACUAUUUAUAUAAGUUACUACCACGUUAUGUUUUGUUAACAGCUACUACCUCCUCUACAUUGUUUUUAAAUUAUUUGGAUGAAUAAAAGAACAAAUGGCCCGUAUAAAUUAAAGAGAUAAGCUUAAGUUCUAGUUCCCUCCGCCUAAAAAUUUUUCAAAAUGAGAACCUUGUAAAUGAAACAUGAAAUGGUAAUAACUGAAUGAACAUACAAUAGACUUGGAGAAAACUACCGUUAGUAAUUUAGAUUCACCAAUUUCCUAUACUUCUUUUACAGUAACUCUGAUGCUCUCCGAGCUCUCCACUUUCUGUUGAUGGCUUUGAGAAUUUUUGGCAGUAAGUUCUUGUUCCUUCCUCUCAAUGUCGAAUUUAUUCAACUUUUCUUCAAACUCCUCAAUGCAUGAUUCGAGUUCAGGUUUAGCAAACUUCUUCCCCUAAAUGAAGACAUUCAAAUAGGCAGAUAAAGUUCACUUGGUUUCUUCAAGCGCGUUCACGAAGGGUACUUUCCCUGCCAGAAAUCUUGACCGCUUUUUGCCACAAGUUCACUUCGUUUCUUCAUAUAUCUCCUAAAUCAACUCUCCAUUUCAUUUUCCUACAAAUAUGAUAAAAACCCACAUUAAAAGCACCAAUUCUAAACUAAAGCAAGCCAAAAUAACUACGAAAAGAGCCUCAAAUGAGUGGGAAUCCACCACUCAUCAACACCCCCGACUUAGAAACUUUGUUUGUUCUCAAGUAAGGAAAAUCAAAAACACAAAGGCUCUUAUUUGAAAACACACCACAAAUCAAUUUCCCUUUCUCGAUGAAGCACAAAGGUAAUGGCUUAGGUUGGUACUAACAAAUAGUCCACAUGCAAAAUCUUCACAAAAGAAAUCCUCUCAUUCUCAUGAAACAUUUUCAAAAACCAAGAAUCAUUCAAGUGACAACAACUCAAACUCAAGAAAUGACUCAACUCAUUAACACUUUCACAUGCUCACUUGACUCAAUUAGGAAUUUUAAAAAUCACCACUUUUUCAACUUACAUGCCCUCACAAGAAAGAAGUGUCCCAAAACCACACACAUAUAAACAAGACAAGAGACAAAGAUGCAAAACUCACACUCACGAAGAAUCAUCUCAUGCACACAAAUGUCACACCAUAGGCUUGCCCAUAUUUUCAAUCAACAUUGACCCAACUUUAUUUGCUUAGAAAUCUCAAAGGACUUUGUUAAGCUUGUAAUGUAGGCUUAGAGAAGGUUAGGAUAUCAUUUAGGUAUAAGUGACUACACCCUCCUUGAACACUACACAACAACUCAUCAUUUCCAACUUUCUCCACUUUUCAAACCCAUGCACAUUCCACACUACUUUUCAUUUUUCUUUUCUUACUUCCACUCUAGAUGCCCCACAUGCAACCAUUUUCAACUUUUGGAGAAUUCAAGCCUCAUUUAUUCAUUUUAUUUCUUUCCUUUUCAAAGUUUUUUCUUUCUUUAAGACUUUUCAUCCAUCCUUCCAUUUCUCUCUUCUUCUUUUUUUUCUUUUUUUUUUCUUUUAUAUUCAAUGAAUUUCCCAUAACACCCCAACUUAGGCUUUUAGUCUCAACUUUCAGAACCUCAAGUUCAAGGAGGGAAGGGUUCAAAAGAGGGUUACUUUUUCAAAAAGAAUAAGGCUUGUAAUGUGGUUGCCAAAAAAAGGAUCGGGUUCAAAGGGGACAACUAAGGAUAUAUUUAGGAGAAAGGUGGGAUUUUUAGGCCAAGUGGACUUCAAGAACAUCAAAGAAAGCCUAAGAUCAUUUCUCCAACCAAGCUCAAUCAAGACCAACCGGGCAAGUUCUAGGUGACCAAAGCAAACACAAGGCAUUAUUCAACAACUCACCACACAUGGCCUGCAAAUCAAUCAAGAUGGUUCAAACUCUUACUUCCUUUUCAAAAUACAAGUAGCAUUUAACAUUUUAACCGUUAACGAAUCAAAAUUCACAAAAAGAGUUGCAAGAGUUGUCAAAAAAUCAUUCAUGACAUGCUCAACCUUUUAAAAAUGGAGAGGUAUGCUCAACACUAUUCACAUGCAUGACUAUGCUCUUAGUACCAACCAAGUCAAAACCUUCCCAAAAAGACGACGAUUUUGCCCCGAAGAAAGUUGUCAACCAAUCCAUCAUCAGGCAACCUCAUGCAUCUAUUCAGGAACAACUACUCAGACUUCGCCACAAUUAAUGCCAAUCAAACACUCACAAGCAAUCGGCGAUUUACCCUUAAGAAAGUCAUCACUCUCUAUCCAUCAUCGGGCAUCGUCAAUCCAAAUCUUAUUAUCAAAACAAAAACCAAGAAGCUACAAACUACAAAUCAAAAACUAAAAUAGACCAAUCCAACACAAUAUCAACAGAAACAUCCACAAUAUCAAAUCCCGAGAAGGGCACACCAAUCCAUAACAAAGAAAGAAAAGUAUGCUCGAUAAGGGCACAAUCACUGUAUGCAGAAACAAUCAACAAAACGACCACAAGGGAGGCACCCCCAACUGAAAAUGAGAUUGUGUUCUCACAGUCAAAAUAUCAAAAGAGAAUAUGAGGGACUCCCUGAACUGCAUCACUAUGAGCUCGAGCCGGUAGGAAAUGUGAGGUCCUUCUCAUCCGAAGCACUGCUACCACAUAAGCUCCUAAGCUUUACCUUUAUAGAUGUUACAGAGGAGAAAACCAUCAGAAAACGGGAUGAAAAGAAGUCACACUCUGAUCAAAGAUCCAGCACAAAACAAAUAGCACAUUAGGUGUGUAAUCACAUUAUUGAGAAAGUUGGAUGUGUAGAGGAUACAAAUGAGUGGGACAAGCUAUGAUGGAUGGCACACGGCUUAGGAAAAUUCAAUGUUAAUAGUUCUUGGGAGAUUUUGAGAAAUGCAAGUAACAGGAAGAAUUCAAGUUCAUUUGGGAAAAAGGAAUUCCUUUUAAAGUCUCUUUUUUCAUAUGGAGGUUAUGGAAAAAGAAGCUACCAAUUGGGGAAUUUCUAAUACGAAUAGCCCUGGUAGAUGAUGUAAGGUGGUGUUAUUGUGAAAAAUUAGCCAAACAAUCCUACGAGCAUCAUUUUAUUACUUGUCCAGUAGCUACCACUUUGUGAAAAAUAUUUGCAGCAGCAGCAGGUUUGCGAGGCCCUUUCCCACAUCCGAAAGACACCAUGUUUAAAUGGUGGAAUGCUACAUGUUUUGUCAAACUCAGACCACUUUUUAAUGCUGUCCUUACUUUUAUAAUGUGGGAAAUUUGGAAAAGGAGGAAUAUGAUAAGGCAUGGUGGUAAGAUGUCUGUGCAAGGUAUGAUGAUGGAGAUAAAUAGGAACCUUCACUACUUGGCAAUUACAAGGUAUCCUUGGUUGUGGAACAUCCCUGAUAGUUUGCCUCUGAUAGUGAAAUUCUUUGAAGCCUAUACCCCAUUAAUUGAAUGUAAAGUGGUGAAGUGGAAACUACCUAACGAAGGUGUCUAUAAGUGCAAUUCAGAUGGAGCUUCAAAAGGAAAUCCGGGACCUAGUGCAAGUGCUUUCUGCAUUAGAAAUGAUGCAGGAGAGUUUAAAUUUGCUGAAGCUAAAAGCUUGGAAAGUGCUACCAGUUUAGAGGCAGAAGUAGUGGCGUUGAGAAGUGGACUGGAAUUUUUGUAUUUAAAACAAUUUGCUGCCCGUUAUCCUUGAAACCGAUUCUUUCGCAGUCAAACAGACACUAGUUGGAAUAUGGGAAGUCCCAUGUAACAUGGCUUGUGAAAUCAAGAUGAUAAACAGAUUAAGGGCUCAUAAAGAUGUGGAAAUCGAGCAUACACUAAGGGAGGGCAUCAUGCUAGCGGAUUGAAUCGAGCAUACACUAAGGGAGGGCAUCAUGCUAGCGGAUUUUUUUUGCUAAUCAAGUUUUCUGUUUUGUAGGUAGUCAAAGAUUAACAUAUAAUUCAAUACAAGAAGUCCAAAAUGAAGGAAAAGCUCUAAUAAACAUGGAUCGGAAUGAAAUUCCCAAUAUACGGCUAACAGGAUGUCAAAAUGAGAACUUCAGAAUGCUAUAAUAACGAUAUUAUGCUAGAAACUGUAAGGCCCCCCAACAAUCACAGAGAUUUUCACUGGAAGAGAAACAGACUUACUAGAUCGUGUGUGAAAGUUGCAAUUGGAUCUGAAUUUUUCUCUCCUCUUUGGCAGUGGUAUUAGUUCUCUGUGAGCUCAACCUGCCGAGAAAGGGAAUUACUCUGAAAUGAUUUCAAUGUACAGCGUCACGAAAUUCAGUUUUGUACAAUUAAAGAUUCAACCAAGAACACAAUUUAAGAUUCAAGAUUUAAGACAGAAGCACAAUUCAAGAUCAGACCCAGCUACACAUUGAAUCUGAAGUCAUAAGCAAUCAUUAACUAUGGCGAUUCCAGACGAGUUGAAUUAAGGUUGGAAAAAAAAACAUAUGGGUUAGGAACGACACCCAAAAGAACAAGAAAAUCGAGAUUUUGGAUUAGAGGAAAAGGGAAAAUGGGUGAAGGUAAAAAGCAUCAGGUUAUCAUAAGAAUGAAAUAAAACAACGAGCAAAGCAAAACUUUAUAUGUAUAACCCCUCAAUUUACCUCCAUUGCAAAUCUUCUUGAAAAGGAAAACGACACCCAAAACCUCCAUUGCAAAUCUUCUUGAAAAGGAAAACGACACCCAAAACCUCCAUUGCAAAUCUUCUUGAAAAGGAAAACGACACCCAAAACCUCCAUUGCAAAUCUUCUUGAAAAGGAAAACGACACCCAAAACCUCCAUUGCAAAUCUUCUUGAAAAGGAAAACGACACCCAAAACCUCCAUUGCAAAUCUUCUUGAAAAGGAAAACGACACCCAAAACCUCCAUUGCAAAUCUUCUUGAAAAGGAAAACGACACCCAAAACCUCCAUUGCAAAUCUUCUUGAAAAGGAAAACGACACCCAAAACCUCCAUUGCAAAUCUUCUUGAAAAGGAAAACGACACCCAAAACCUCCAUUGCAAAUCUUCUUGAAAAGGAAAACGACACCCAAAACCUCCAUUGCUUAUCUUCUUGAUGCUACUGAGAGUAACAGAUGAUCCAAAGAGAUGGAAGAAUGGAGGCAAAAGGAAAUAUUUCAAACGCAAGCGUGAUGAGCCGUUACACUUCUGCUCCUCUUCGCUUAAUUGACAAAACAAAUAAAAACUAAAUCCUGCUAAAUGGAACUAAUAAAUAAAUAAUAUACUCAAUAUUUGUUUAUUUUUUUCUACAUAUAUUUUAACACAUGCACCAAAAUAAAUAAAUAGUAAUAAUAUAGUGAUGAUUAGGGUUGGACAUUCGGUCGGGUCGGUUUAUGAUAUUCGAUUCAGUUUUUUGGUUUUCGAUUUGGCUCGAUUUUCGCAAUUUAAACUCGGUUUUUUUUUUUUCGAUUUAUGAGAUUACAUUAGAUAUGUUGUUAUGAACAAAUAAACCUCCUUGUAAAAUUUCAAAUAAGGUGUGAUUUGAUCUCUGAUAGAACAUACACAAUAAUUAGAUGAUUUUUAAAAUUUUAGGACCUCAUUACUUGUUAUAUAUCUUUAGAUUUAGAUGUUAUACGCUCACGUUCAGUUAAAACAUUUCCAAAUAAGCAUACAAGGUCUCUGUCUCUGAAUGUGAGAGACGAGAGUGGUCGACAAGUGGUGUGUACGAGUCAUGACGACAGCGACAGUGAUGGCGACGACCUAUGGUGUGCAUAAGUCAUGAUAACGACGAUGGAUAACGAAGAUGAGGGGAUUGUGGAGAGGUUAAUGGUUAGGACUUAGGGAUUUCAAUUUUAAUUUUGGAUUAAUUUUAAUGGGUUGUGGGCAGUAGCCAUUUGGGGAGUGGGAUGUAGGCGUCCAGGGAUCAAGGCAUGAGUUCAUGUAAGUAAAUUACAUUUCGAUUUUAUGGUUUUACCAAAUUAAAUUAUUAAAAACUCAAAAACCGAAAAAACUAAAAUUUCAAUAUUUUAAAUCGAAACCGACCAAUCAAAUUGAAAUCGAAAUUUAAAAAAAUUCAGUUCGAUCAAUUUUUUCGAUUUGAACCGAAAUAUGUCAAGCCAUAGUGAUGAUGUACAAUAACUUAUUGUACAUGUAUUAGUGAUGAAAACUUGAAUAGAUACACAAUUAUACUAGAUGUCGCUCAAAGUGCGUCAUCUUGGUUUUUUGUCUCUCGUAGAAAAAGUCUUUAAGACUAGUAUUUUUUCUUCAGUAUCUCUUUUGAACUUGACAGCAAAACUUACUUUAGCAUUUUAACUAAACAGGCAUUUAAAUACCCCUUAACAACUUUCAAGUUAAUUAAAUUACACCCUAAGGGGUGACGUGACAGAGUGAGUUGACUCACUCUCCUAAAUGCGCGUGAAGAUAUUUAAAAAAAUUAAAUUUAUAAAAUCAUAUGCAUGUCAUUUUCUAUCGGUCAAUAUAUAAUUAGUAUUUUAAAUAUUAUUUUAUUGAUAUAUUAACUUUUUAAAAAAUAUGUGAAUUUUUUUUAUGGUUCUUUAUUUUGUUGUCUUCCCCAAUAUAGCUUCUUCUCCAUUGAAGCAUCACCGCUUCCUUCAUCUUCAUCUUCAUCUUCAACUUUGUUCACUACUUUCAUUUUACCAAUCCUUUAGUAAUCCAUAAAAUCCAACACCAAUAUCUUUUAUUGACGUCAAUUUCACAAAUAUAACAAUUUACAUAAAUUUUGAGUGACCUGUUUUUAUUUUUAUUUUUUAAUUUCCACAAGACAAAUUCGAGGUGGGGGAGAGGGGAAGGAUUCAAAGAAGAAAGAAUGGUAUUGUAGUAGUUCUUCUCUAAAGUUAUUUAAAUUUUUUUUUGAAUUUUUUGAGUGAUCCGUUUUAUUUUUUUUAAUUCUCACAAGGCAGAUCCAAAGAGGGGAAAGGGAGGGAAGGAGAGAGGAGGAAUUCGAAGAAGAUAAUGUUGUAUUGUAAUGGUUCAUCUCUAAAGCUAUUUUUUUUAAAAAUAAAUUGUGAAGAGGCAGAAAAAAGAGCAGUGAAGGGAUAGAAAUGAUGAAGAAGAAAUAAGUGAGGGGGAGGGGAAAUAAAAAUGGGUCUUUGAUUUUAGAAAAUGUAUUUUUAAUUAUUUAAUUAGUGUAACUUAAUUUUAAAAAGUGUUAAAGAAAAACAUGGUGAAUAAACAAAAAGAAAUAAAUAAAAGUAAUGAUGUGGUGGUGACAUGGCCAUGUUGGCGCUUACAUGGCUAUGAUGUGGCAGGUGAGAGUGGUAUUAUAUUCAUUUCAAAGUUGUUAAGGGGUAUCUAAAUGCAUGUGUAGUUAAAGUUCUAUGGUAAAUUUUGUUGCCAAGUUCAAAGGUGAUUUGAUGUAUUUUUUUUCUUUACGUAUAGAACAAAUAUAAUUUUGUCCCUCUAUACCUCAAAUGUUUUUAAACAACCUCCAUGUUCAAUUGUCUUUCACCAUUUUUUCUUCUUUUUUCAUUUUUUCAUUUUUUUUUCUUUUAUUUAUAAUUUUUUUUUUCUUAACUCUUAUUAUUUUUUGCUAAUGAAUUGAAAGUUGAGUAGAAGAUCUUCUUUGUGUAAUGUAAUGAUCCUUCUAGUCAUUUUGUAAAUUUUACUUGCUUUCUAUAGCUUACCCCUGCUUUCAACCUUUUUCGUGGAUAAUUUAUAACUUGUGGGAAUGAGUGACGUGAUUUUUGAAAUAAUUUUUUUUUAAUAAAUAGAAGGGAAAAAGAGAAUAAAUUAAGAGUUCUUUUGUUUUUAAUAAAUAGAAGGGAAAAAGAGAAAGAGUUCUAUAUGUUUGUCGUUCUAUUUGUCUGCCUGCCUGCCUAUCUAUCCAUCCAUCCAUCUAUCCAUCCAUCCAUCCAUCCAUCCAUUUAUUUAUAUUAUAUUAUAUUAUAUUAAAAGCGGACACAUUUUUAUAUUUAAGGGUUGUGAAAUUUCCAAAGAGAUAACUUUUUCGAUGAGUUGUGACAUUUUCAAAGUGUUGUGACUUUUCUACAAAGUUGUGACUUUUUUGAAGGGUUGUGACUUUCCAAAGAGUUGUGAAUUUUCGAUGAGUUGUGACAUUUAUUAAGGGUUGUGACUUUUUUUUUUUGAUAAGGCACAAUAAGCAUUUUUCAUACACUACCCUUUGUUGGCUAUAAAAUGAGGGGUUUCCUCAAAUUUUUGAACUACAAUUUCUUAAUGCUUUUCAUUGUUCUUCUUCUUCUUAAAACACUUAGUGUAGUAUAUUUUUUAUAUCUUAUAUUAUAUUUAUUUGUUUAUAUUAUAUUAAAAGAAGACACCAUUUUACGUUGAGUGGUUACGACUUUUCCAAAGACUUGUGACUUUUUCAAUGAGUUAUGACCUUUUCGAAAGGUUGUAACUUUUAUGAUAAGAAACAAUAUGUGCAUGCUCCUAAUACCUUUUGUUAACUAUAAAUAGAGGAGUUUCCUCACAUUUUUAAAUUAUAAUUUUUUUAUGCUUAUAUUCUUCUCUUCUUAAUAAAAACUCAAGUUUGAUUUACAGACGUUGACAACUUCAAAGUUCACUGAAACUUGAUCACUUCCUAACAUGAAUGUUAAAUUAAUAUAACACUAUGACUAAAAACAUCCAAUUUAGUAUAUAUUCUAUAUUUUAUAUCAAUAUUUAUUUAUAUUAUAUUACAUUGAAAGUAAGAACUCCAACGAAACAAUAAUAACUAAGUAAUGCACUUUGGAGAAGGGAGGAUAAAGUAUAUUAUUUAAGAGGUGUAACACAUAGAUAUUAAGAGUUGCUAGCUAGCUUUCAGUAGUAAUCAUAAGAAAGUUUACAUUCACUAUUCAUAGGAACUUAUACUUUAUCAUUCAUUUUAUCUUAAUUUUUUUAUUUAAUAAUAUUCACAUUAUUUUUCAAAAUUGCGUACAUGGUUUGAUAUUCACGUGCAGUGCACUCGAGUCAAAACUAGUAUAUACAUAUAUAUAUAUAUAUAUAUAUAAAGUGCGAGGCUUAGCAAUGCAAGAAAUUUCUAACAACGUGAUGGAACAAAUUUCUAACUCCUCCAUACAUGUGACAAAAAAAACAUCAACAAAAAUAAUUGUUGAAGGAAGAAGUGGAACUCUGUAUAAAGUUAAGAUCAAUGGGGGUGAGUAGAAAUAAAUGCUUAGUUGUUGACCAAGAAAGAAAGAAAUGAGAGUCUUUGGGCAUUGCUUAAGCUAAGUCAGACUUGAAAGUUGGGACGAGUGUUAUAUAACUAGUGAUUUACAAGUGUAAAGACCCGUGGGUUCGUUUUGGGAACUAAAGCUUCUUAUUCAGUAAAAGACUCUUUCGGUAGGUUCUAAAUGGAUAUAAUGGAACUAAUUGUUUAUUGGAGUAAUUUAAUUGAUGAGUAAUAUUAAAUAAAUUUUUUUGUUAAUAGUUAAUGGGUCAAGUCUAAUAUUUAUUUAAUACCUUAUACCACUUGACCCAUGUAAUAACCCGUUACGUCAUUUUGAGAACUUGGACUAUUUUGACUCUUCCCGUAAAAUUUUAGAUGAAAAUUUUGAACAAUUUGGUAACUACGCUUAUUUAAUUGUCAGAAAAUUUUAAUAAUUAAUUUUAUUAGAAAGUAAUGGGCCAAGUCUGAAAUCUAUCCUAUACCCUUUACCACUUGGCCCAUAAAAUUAAAUUAAGUUAGUGGGUUUUGCCACUUUAAAUACCUAAUUACUUUAUUUGGAAAAGGAAAAGGAAAAGAAUUGUGGCAGAAAACUUCCCUUGCAGACGAACGUGAGAAGAAGAGAAAAUAAAAUUGUACUUCGAACUUCAGGUAAGCAAACAAUUAGUGCACAUUCUUAAUUUUUCUAUAGCUUUCUAUGUACAUGAAAUAUAUGGUGCUCUAUUUAAAUUGGGUGGACAAGGAAUUGAAAUUGUUUUCUCUAAUUACGCUGCCACUAGUGGAGGAAUAAAUUGAAGACUUGUGAUAGUUGAAUGUAAGGGUAAUAUUUAGGUAAUGAUAAUUUAAUAAUUAGGAUAUAAUAAGUGAGUGUGGGGCUAAUCAUUGACAGACAAGGAUGUCUGCAUAAAUGGAACCUGUAUAUAGUUCCAUUAGUUAUUACUUUAUCUUAUUUCGUGGGUAAGGUUACAAGUGAGUAGCUAUUGGCUUAAAUUUUUUAAUUUUCAUAUAGUUAUUACUCUUUGAAGUUUUAAUAUGUGGAUAUAGGUAACAAAUUUUUGGUGGUAUUGUAUUAUAUGAAUAUCAUUAGAUUCAUGAUAUUUGGGGCUUAACUCUAGGCUUGAAAUUUAACAAAUAUGCGUUUGACAUAUCAGUUGACACCAAAAUUAGGAGCUUGAUUAUAGAUUAGUGUAGGUUUGGGUCUAGGCUGGACAUAUAUUAAUAUAGGUGUCUACAGACUCGUUUGUUUAAGAAUAUUUCAUAUUUGAUAGAUUGGGAACAUUUAGAAGCUUUGCGAAAGGGAAAGGAAAAAUCUAAAGGAUUCGUGGCAUAUGUUCGGCAUUCAAGGUAUGUUAAGACUUUCAGACUUCGUUGAAGGACAUUUUUCUAAUUAAAGAUUAAAAAUGAAAUAGACUAUGGGUAAGGGCGAAAGAUGGGGGUCUCUUACCAAUGGUGUGACGGGCAUUGGUACGAGUACCGGUGUUAUAAAGGGAAGCUUAUUACUAUAGAAUGUGGAUUGUAAUUCGAGAAUGCCAAAGCACAUGGGCAUUAGCUGAUGUAUUGUUGAUUUCUUCUGUGUGAUUGUGUUUUUUUUUGGACCCGUAAAUUUGUUAUAACUGAGGUGAUUACAUAUCAUAUUGAUAUUUGAUUAAUUGAGAUGCAUCAUCAUCUCUUUCAUUGAUAUUAUAUUGUGCACAUGCAUUGACAUGAGACUGAGUAUAAGUUAGGCACAUGGAGAUCAUCCGUGUCGGGGAUUGUGAGAUGUUAAUAUUAAAAUUUGAGCACGUGGAGAUCGUCCAUUCGAAAAUUGUUUGAUUUUAUGAUAGACACGUGGAGAUCAUUUGUAUCGGUAUAUGGAACUCGCUAGUCCCUCAUUAGUCAUAAACUGCCGAUGUAUUUCUGAGGAUAUCAUGUAUAUACGGUUGACCCUCUUCUUCUGUAACGACUCGUAAAACGAAUAAGUGAAACUAGAGCCUAACUUGUGUGUGUUGGAGUUUCGUGUGAGGUUUGAGGGUGUAUAAUGUUGUCCCGAGCCAUGGUUGAGGGUUUUGGGUGUUAAACGUCAAGGUACGACUCCCCAAGGACCACCCUAGGGGUCCUUAAGGAGGACCCUUAGCCUAACCCCCAAGACCCCAAGGAAACUUGAAGGUUGCCAAAAGUAUGGUGACCUACGGAGGGGGACCACGCCCCGUAGGUCCAACCACGACUCUUGGACCUGUUUUGUAGGUCAUGGCCCCCAAAACCAAGCCUUAGCCACAAACCACGACUGACCAGGAUGGGGUGUGACCCAAUCCACGGUCCGUGGUUUGGUGUCGUGAGUCCCCACCUGGUUUGUUGUCUUGGUUCGGCCAAGGCAAUGGUGGUUUGGUAAAUUCCUCCCUUGGUUAGUUUAGUUCAUGGACGGUUAUUUUAGGUUAAUUAAAGUAUUUUAAGAGUAUUACAAGUAUUAAACUCUAUUUUUCAACUCAUUAUUCAAAAUCACAAAAUAGAACCCACCUCUCUUCUCAAAAGUUCUCUCUAUAGAAACCUCCAUUGGAGGUGAAGACUUCAAGCUUCCAAGGUCAAAUCUUCAAAUUUUUCAAGGAAUGUUCAUGGAUUUCUUCCAUAAAAGGUAUGGUGGUCUUCAUCCUUGACUUAGUUUCUUUCAAGGAGCCAAUUUUAAAAGUGAUUUCAAAUCUCCAAUGUUUACCCAAAAACCCUAAAUUUCAAUCUAUGCAUGGGUUCGAUUCUAAACGUUUUCCAAAGGCUUUAUUGCAUUGAUUUAUGAAUGGAUUGUGGAUUUAAAGAUUAAUUAAGAUGAUUUCUACCUAGAACCCAUGUUUUCCCCCAAAUUCCUAUGUUGUGAUUUGUGAUUGGGAAUUGAUUGAUUAUGAAGUAUGUGAAUUGUUUAUGUGUUUAUGGAUAUAGAAUGUUGAAAUUAUGUUAUUGAUCUUGCCUAAUUGCAUUGAUCUAAGGUGUGUGGGUGAAUGUGAUCCAUGUCCUUGAAAGGCAAGGUAUGAAGGUUAAGGUAUGAAUAUGAUGUGAAGGAUAUGUAUGUGAAUUCAAUGAUAGUAUGAUGAUCAUGUUUAGAAUGCAAUUGUGUUAUGAUUGAAGGCUUAUUCUCAAUUGACACUCAUGAAUGAUGAUGAUAGAAUGUGAAGAGUUUCUUCAAUGUAUUGUUGGAUCUUGAAUUGGUAGGCUUAAGACAUCCCUUUUCUUGUAUUGAUGAAUGUGUCUUUGACUUAAUGAAUAUGAAUCGAUAGGCUUAUGUCAUUCCUUUCAUAAAUGAUCUAAUAUAAUGACGACUCUUGAAUCGAUAGGCUUAUAUCAUUCCUUUCCUAAUGAGUUAAUGAACUAAUAAUGUACCUUGAAUUGAUAGGCUUAUGGCAUUCCUUUCAUGUUUAUACCAAAUGUAAUGAUGAACCAUGAAUCGAUAGGCUUAUGUCGUUCUUUUCAUGAGGAUUCAAAUGAGCUAUUCUAAUAAUGAACCAUGAAUCGAUAGGUUUAUGGCAUUCCUUUCAUGUGUAAUAAUGUACUUUGGGUCGAUAAGCUUAUGUCAUUCCUCUCAAGUACAAUAAUGUAAUGUAAAUGAAAUACUCUAUGGGAAUGUAGGCUAAGCACAGAGUGGAUAUGGUAAGAUGGAAACUCUCCCAAUGUAAGGCUAGGGUUCCAAUGAACAUCUUCCUAUCCCAUAAACUAUGUGCCCACAUAGGUCCUAGCUAGUGGAUCCACUUAAGUUAAAUAUUACCGGUUUAUAUUAGGCAAGUAGACCACCUUAUUACGGUGUGGGGUUAUAUGACACUGGAUUCCAUGUCAAGCUCACAUGGUCUAUGUCGGUUAAACGCUUAUUCCCAUCAUGUGAGAUGUGCAUUAUGGUUUCUUGAUGAGGUCUAUGAAGUGUGGGUGGUAGUAUGGGAUGCCAUCUAUGCAUUGCACAAGUAGGCUUUGAGAGGGUCAUAGUGAGUUCUCUAAGUCUUAAUGGCUAAUGUAUGAAUGUGUCCUAAAUGAAGCAAAUGAAAAAUGUUGACUCAUAUAUGCUUAAAUGUAAAGAUGCAUACUAUACUUGGAUUGUAUUAUGAGUUACUUCCUUGUUAUGACUUAUUGUAUAUGAAUGUGCCUUGCCUAUGGUGACUUUAAAGGAGUACUUAGUGUGAGUAGUAGUAUGGGAUGCUACUUGCACAUUGCACAAGUAUGACUUAGAGUUGUCUUAGGUGAUAGUCCUUAUGUGAUGAUAUGACUUAUGUAAUGUUUAUACCUCUUAUGUAUGAGUAUUGUAUGAAGAUGGAAAUGUUGAAUGGUAAGUUCACUUUUGGUGACUUUAAUGUGGUACUUUAGUGUGGAUAGUGGUAUGGGACGCUAUCCAUACAUUGCACAAGGUAUAGCAUGAGGGUUACUCGAGGUGAAGGCUUAAUGUGAAGGUAAUGGGUUAUAUGUUGAUUAUAUCUCUAUUGUGAGAAAUGACUUGUAUGUUGGUUAUGUUUGAAUAUUUCACCUCUUAUGCUUAUGUUCAUGAAGUUUUAUGAAAAUGGCAUGAAAACAUGACUUUCAAAUAAAAUGUCCGUUUUAAACAUGGUUUUUGCAUGGCUAUCAUACUUAGUACUUAAUUGUGCUAACCCAUUCUUCUCCAUGUUUUACUACAAGUGUAGGUUCCGGCAAGUGAGUUGCUUUCUCUCUAGAUCAAGGACUUGGAUUUGAGAUUCUCCAAGACUUAGUGGUAUGUCCUUAUAGAUCGAGGACAAGUACUUGAUGUUUCCAUUUCUUUCAUGUAAAAAACUAUUGUUAGACUUUUCGAUUGUAAAGGGCCGUGACCCUACUUAUGUUUAGGAUGUUGUUUUUAGAUGGCCAUGUGAGACAAUAGACUUCUGCUGUGUUUUUCAAAGUGUUUUAAAUGAGUAUUUUGAUUGUAUGAUUUUAAAUAAAGUUUUAAUUCCGUACUAUUUUUUAUUAUCGAAUGCAAUGAAAUGCUAUGAGGCUUGUAUGAGACCCCUUCGGGGUCGAGUACGCUGUGUCGCAUCUAGGGGCUAGCCUUGGGUCGUGAAAAACAUUGUUUUAGAGCAUAAGAUUUUGGAAAUGGUUUUUAGGGUUGAUGUCUCACAAGCCACGUCUAGUAGAGUCUUGUUCAUCAGUGUGAGUCGUGACACAUCUAUGAGUGAGAGGCUAUAGGGCGUUAGGAAGUUACACUUCUUUCAUUAUUCUUGAAGUCGUGCCAUAGAGUUUAACUCUAGAAUGUCUUUCUCUUAUUCCUUAUCCGAUGGUCUUUAGGGUAUGACCAUUUGAAAAGGCUUAUGCUAGAAGGAGUGAGGGAGAAGGUUGGUUGUGAUGCCAAUUAUGGCUAUGUGACUUGUUAGAUUUUGAGGUGAUAGAUUGUAAUGUUGUCCUUAGUAUGAAUGGGUUGCUUUAUGGUUAUGCAUAGAUGAUGGUAGAACCCAUCUUAGUUAUGAUGAGUUUUGAGGUAUGUUGAAAGAUUUGAUGAAUGAGGUGCCUUAGAAAUGUUUUGAUGGGAUGAGUGAGUAGACUUCUCUAAGAAGGGUAGAAGUUUAACUCACCUUGGUUUAGAAUCAUCUUGUGUGAUGAGUGUGAAGGUUUGGUGAUGACUUUCUCCGACCUUAGAAUGGAAAGAAGUGAAGUUUAAAAGAGCUUGUUUAGGCUUACUCCCAAGUGGGGGAUAAUGGGCAUAAAUGGUAAGGUCAUUGAGUGUCUUUGAUGUUCAUGAGUUAAGAUUGCUUGAUAUUCUCACCUUAAGAGGUGUAGUGAGUUUGAGGAGUUUAUACCCGAUGUGGUAGACUCAUAUGAGACCUUGAUUGGUGUUGGUAAGGUUGUUUGUGAGCAAGAGUUGCUUAAUGAAGACCUUCCUAGUUUAAAGGCACUGAUAAGUGAUAGUUCCUUAAAGAUUGUGAAUGUUGUGUUGAGGUUCCUAUGUUGUUUUCAUGUUAGCCUUAGUUGGGUUUUCCCCUAAGUGGGGGAUAUUAUGUUGAAUAGUAAGGUUGUUGAGAGUUUUGAUAUCCUUAUCUCUUUCCUAAAUGCGCAUGAAGAUAUUAAAAAAAAUUAAAUUUAUAAAAUCAUACACAUGUCAUUUUCUAUAGGUCAAGAUAUAAUUAGUAUUUUAAAUAUUAUUUUAUUGAUAUAUUAACUUUUUAAAAAAUAUGUGAAUUUUUUUUAUGGCACAAAAAAUUAAUUUUUUUUUCUUUAUUUUGUUGUCUUCCCCAAUAAAGCUUCUUCUCCAUUGAAGCAUCACCGCUUCCUUCAUCUUCAUCUUCAUCUUCAACUUUGUUCACUACUUCCAUUUUACCAAUCCUUUAGUAAUCCAUAAAAUCCAACACCAAUAUCUUUUAUUGACGUCAAUUUCACAAAUAUAACAAUUUACAUAAAUUUUGAAUGACCUGUUUUUAUUUUUAUUUUUAAUUUCCACAAGACAAAUUCGAGGUGGGGGAGAGGGGAGGGAUUCGAAGAAGAAAAUAUGGUAUUGUAGUAGUUCUUCUCUAAAGUUUUUUUUUUUUUUAAUUUUUUGAGUGAUCCAUUUAUAUUUUUUUAGUUCUCACAAGGCAGGUCAAAAGAGGGGAAAGGGAGGAGAGGAGAGAGGAGGAAUUCGAAGAACUUAAUGUUGUAUUGUAAUGGUUCUUCUCUAAAGCUAUAUUUUUUUUAAAAUAAAUUGCGAAGAGGCAGAAAAAAGAGCAGUGAAGGGAUAGAAAUGAUGAAGAAGAAAGAAGUGAGGGGGAGGGGAAAUAAAAAUGGGUCUUUGAUUUUAGAAAAUGUAUUUUUAAUUAAUUAAUUAGUGUAACGUAAUUUUAAAAAGUGUUAAAGAAAAAAAUGAUGAAUAUACAAAAAGAAAUAAAUAAAAGUAAUUAAGUGGUGGUGACAUGGCUAUGUUGUGGCGCUUACAUGGCUAUGAUGUGGCAGGUGAGAGUGGUAUUAUAUUCAUUUCAAAGUUGAUAAGGGGUAUCUAAAUGCAUGUGUAGUUAAAGUUCUAAGGUAAAUUUUGUUGCCAAGUUUAAAGGUGAUUUGAUGUAUUUUUUUCUUUAUGUAUAGAACAAAUAUAAUUUUGUCCCUCUAUACCUCAAAUGUUUUUAAACAACUUCCAUGUUCAUUAAUUAUCUUUCACCAUUUUUUCUUCUUUUUUAAGUUUUUUUAUUUUUCUUUUAUUUACAAUUUUUUCCUUUUUUUUUUCUCAACUCUUAUUAUUUUUUGCUAAUUAAUUGAAAGUUGAGUAGAAGAUCUUCUGUAACAUCUCGCAAAUUGAAAUAGCUAGGAAGAAGCUAAGAACUGGAAAUAGUCAUUUUUGGAAGUAAUGAAAAAUCUGGAAAAUUGUUUAAGUUAGGAAAACUGAAUUUUUGGUCAACUUCAAACGACCAUAACUCGUAGCUCAGGAUGAGUUAGGUGUAGAUCUAGAUAUGGUUAGAAGGCUCUUGGAAUGAUCUUUCCAACGCCGCCAAGUUUGCAUGAUUCCGAGUUUGUAUGAGUAAGUUAAUCCCUUUGGAAGUAGGGCUAUUGAAUUAAGGAAAUGUCCAAUCCGGAUUUUUAAAGGUUAUUUUAGUCUUUUCAUGGCCCUAUUAUUUUAAUCCAUUUUUAGGAGUUUAAUAUGGGUCAAAUCAGAUUUUAGUCAGUUUUAGAAUGUGGAAUUUCACGCUAGGGCUAAGGAGAAGAGAAAAGAAGGAGGAAGGGCAAGAUUCUUCAAGAUCGAUCAAGAUAGUUGGGAUUUUCGCCAAGGGUUUAUUCCUACCAGGUAUGUGAGGCUUCCAUAACGUUGGGAUUUAUUUAUUUCAGUUGGAUUCGUCCUAAAGGAGUUUGAAUAUUGAUGAUCUUGAUACCUAUUCUUGAAUUCAUAUAUUGUUCUUGAAUUUGACUGAGUUGGGAAGUUUCUGAAAUUGUUACGUCGUAUUAUAGAGUCGUUUCGAGUUAGGUUCUUAGGUACAUUUGUUGGGUAUAUGUAUCUAAAAGUAAUUUUAAAAAAAAGAACCGAGUUUGGGUGAAUUGGGGCUAGAAAACGAAGAAGAAAUUUCGUCGAACAAAAUCGAGCAGUGGUGGCGCAUCGCGGAGCUGGUUCCCAGAAUUGGGAAUUUUCGUUUCGCGUCGCAGAGCCGUCACAGAGUCUUCUGCCUCAAAAGUCGUUUUCGAAACUAAAUUUUAAAAGCUGCUUAAAGUUGAAAGUUAAGUGCUAAGUUGAAGAAAAAAGGAUUAAUAUUUAAUUUUGGUCUUUUCUCACGUUUGGCCAUCAUAUAUCAUUCCUAAACAUCAUGAGAUCUUUCCAAUCACAAAUACAAUUCCUUGAAUCCAUAAUUCAAUUCAAGGACCAGUUAAGAGUUAAGUCAAGAGCAGUUAAGAUCAAAGUCGAGAGUCAAGUUAAUGGAAGUCCUUCAAAGUUUUCAAAAGUCUUUUAUAAAUNNNNNNNNNNNNNNNNNNNNNNNNNNNNNNNNNNNNNNNNNNNNNNNNNNNNNNNNNNNNNNNNNNNNNNNNNNNNNNNNNNNNNNNNNNNNNNNNNNNNNNNNNNNNNNNNNNNNNNNNNNNNNNNNNNNNNNNNNNNNNNNNNNNNNNNNNNNNNNNNNNNNNNNNNNNNNNNNNNNNNNNGAUCAGAUCUUUUGCUCCAUUUUUCACUUGCAAAAUUUUCAGAUUUCUUAAGUUUCUCUAAGGUCUGUCUUGGCUUCAAUCAGCAGCCCUAAAACACACUACACCAUUUUAGGUCUACAGCCACAAAACAUAAAGAGCUAGUAUCAUAUUUUGGAAGUAGUAUUGAGCACCGAUAUGGGGGAGCGUUCAGAGAACCCACAUCACCCAUAAACCAUGUAGCCAUCAUGGGUAGAAAACUGAAAACUGUUUAGAUGAAUCUUUUUCGCAUAGACUAGUGGAUCCACUUAGUAGUUCAGGUCUUGUACCUGUGGCAAGGUAUAGGAUGCGCUGGCAGCAUAAGGAAGAUCGUUGUAUCAUCACAAUAGCUCUUAUGUGNNNNNNNNNNNNNNNNNNNNNNNNNNNNNNNNNNNNNNNNNNNNNNNNNNNNNNNNNNNNNNNNNNNNNNNNNNNNNNNNNNNNNNNNNNNNNNNNNNNNNNNNNNNNNNNNNNNNNNNNNNNNNNNNNNNNNNNNNNNNNNNNNNNNNNNNNNNNNNNNNNNNNNNNNNNNNNAAAAAAAUUAAACAUUAAUAAAUCAUAAAACAUUAAGAGAAAAACACGCUUCUCUUUCACUGAAGAACUGAUCGAGCUGAAGAGAGCUGAAGACGUUGUCUGAAGAACCAAAGAGCUAGAUGUACCGAUUCUCUUCUCCGAUUCCAAUUUCGUCAAGCGUAAGUACGAUUCUCUUCUACGAUACCGAUUUCGUCAAGCUAAGUACUAAAAAUAGUCUUCUUGUUAUUGAUUGAAUUUUUGUUUUGUGUUUAGAAGAGGGGAAUAAGAAGGAAUUGAUUACUUUGGGGUUGUUGGAAAGAUGAACUGAAGCUAAGUCUCUCUGUGUCACACUUUUCUCUCAGAUUUCUCGUUGCCAAACUCUAUUUCAGAAAGAUUUAUGGCGGAAGAGCUGAAGUGCUGAAGAGAAUCUCGCUGAAGAAUACGAUUUCCAUCAUAGUUCUUGCUGAAGAACACGAUUUUGUUGGACUAGGGUUUAUCAGGUAAGAAUUCUAUCUUUGAAAGUCUAAAUUUUAGCUUUAGGAUUUUUCUAUUCUUGUAUUUUUUAUAUGAUUUUUGGGAGUCUAGCUCAUAUUUUAGCUUCAUUAGUUGAUUUUUGGGAGUGUAGCUCAUAUUUUAGCUUCAUCAAUUUAGUCUUUGCCCUGAGUAUUAAUCACUAAAUAAGUAUAAAUGGGAUGAUUCUUCACUUCAGAAUUUCCUUUUUAUUAGGCUUAUAAGCUGAUUAUGGCUGAAAUUGUCCAUGAUAGUUUCGAAGUUUGAGUUCAUGUAAUCAAUUUUGAACUCUUACAGUGGAUAUGCUUUGAGUUCAAACAUGUAGCUAACCAAUACAUUACAUGAUAGUUUAGAAGUUUGAUUCUUCACUUCAUGUAAUCGAUUUUGAAUCUCCUAAAUUAGAAGUUUGACUCAUUUAUUUAGUGAUUUAAAUUCGCUAAUACCUAUAGAUGAGGGAAAUACAACUUAACCGUUGCUCCAGAUAGACUCCCCUUCAAAUCAGUGCACUACACUUUCAUUUUUCAAUUUCUGCAUCCACUGACAAAAAAAACAGAACUACUACAUAGAAGUGAAAAGUUGAGAGGGAAAAAAGAAGAAGAAAAACAGAGUAUUUUUCUUCUUCUUAGAUUAUUCUUUGUUUUUGUAAAGAUUGUAAUUGCUGUUUUUUGAUUAAAAAGAAAAUUGAUUCUGGUCGGUUCAAAAAAAGUUCCAUAAUUUAUUGUUUUAGAGACAGCUUGUUGAUUCUUCUCAAUUAUAAUAGUUAUGUUCUUUCCUCAGUUUUCAUAUGUUUGGUAUACUAGUAGUUGUUCACAACAUUCAUUACUCAUAUGGGUUGGUGUCCCUUUUUUAUUUUUAUUUUGUGUGUGAAUGUGAGUUGGUUUCUUUAUAAUAAAGUUUCAUUCUUUGAAUUUUUCUUUUAUUUGAUUUUACUGUGUAAUUGCUUUUUCUGUUUCAGAUCUAUUUUAUGCAUUAAGAACAAAUAAAAUAACCAUUCAAGGAAAGAACUUCCAUAUGGUCUAGUAGUUGCCUUUGUUUAAGCUUAGACAGAUAAAAGGAAAUCCCCUAAUGUUUUUUUUUGUCUUCGUUGAAAUUUGAACCUGAGACAUCGUGAUUGUCAGGAUGCGUAUUUGUUGUUAUGAUGGUGGUUUCUGAAGUCAUUUUCUGUGUAUUUUAGUGUCGUUUUCUUUAUAUUGCUGUUAUACAGUAUAAACAACUUUAAUAGAGAUGAAGUAAAAAGAGGAAAAUAAUUGGAUAAAUAUGAAGUUUGUCAUCUCCAUUUGGCAUCUCCAUUUUUCUAAGAAAUAGCUACCCUUAGCAGUAGAGGGUAUUGUUGGUAUGUGUAGUAUUUAUGAAUAAUGUCCAGUCUGUGACUCCAUUUGGAGAGGUAGUCAGCUGUUUAGUUUGCUUUUCUUUCUUCCUACUUAUUUUCUAAUGAUCAUGUAUUUUGUGAAAAGUUUGGUUCUUGGUAUCCUCAUGCUCUGUUGUUUAGUGCUUAUGUUUUCAAAACUGAUUUGUUUUUGCUUUUCUUGAGCCGAGGGUCUAUCAGAAACAGUCUAUGGGUAUGUUUUUGUUGGUUCUUGGUACCCUAUAUCAAUAUGAUUGAANNNNNNNNNNNNNNNNNNNNNNNNNNNNNNNNNNNNNNNNNNNNNNNNNNNNNNNNNNNNNNNNNNNNNNNNNNNNNNNNNNNNNNNNNNNNNNNNNNNNAAGGAAAAGGAAAAGAAUUGUGGCAGAAAACUUCCCUUGCAGACGAACGUGAGAAGAAGAGAAAAUAAAAUUGUACUUCGAACUUCAGGUAAGCAAACAAUUAGUGCACAUUCUUAAUUUUUCUAUAGCUUUCUAUGUACAUGAAAUAUAUGGUGCUCUAUUUAAAUUGGGUGGACAAGGAAUUGAAAUUGUUUUCUCUAAUUACGCUGCCACUAGUGGAGGAAUAAAUUGAAGACUUGUGAUAGUUGAAUGUAAGGGUAAUAUUUAGGUAAUGAUAAUUUAAUAAUUAGGAUAUAAUGAGUGAGUGUGGGGCUAAUCAUUGACAGACAAGGAUGUCUGCAUAAAUGGAACCUGUAUAUAGUUCCAUUAGUUAUUACUUUAUCUUAUUUCGUGGGGUAAGGUUACAAGUGAGUAGCUAUUGGCUUAAAUUUUUUAAUUUUCUUAUAGUUAUUACUCUUUGAAGUUUUAAUAUGUGGAUAUAGGUAACAAAUUUUUGGUGGUAUUGUAUUAUAUGAAUAUCAUUAGAUUCAUGAUAUUUGGGGAUUAAAUCUAAGCUUGAAAUUUAACAAAUAUGCGUUUGACAUAUCAGUUGACACCAAAAUUAGGAGCUUCAUUAUAGAUUAGUGUAGGUUUGGGUCUAGGCUAUACAUAUAUUAAUAUAGGUGUCUACGGACUCGUUUGUUUAAGAAUAUUUCAUAUUUGAUAGAUUGGGAACGUUCGGAAGUUUUGCGAAAGGGAAAGGAAAAAUCUAAAGGAUUCGUGGCACAUGUUCGGCAUUCAAGGUAUGUUAAGACUUUCAGACUUCGUUGAAGGACAUUUUUCUAAUUAAAGAUUAAAAAUGAAAUAGACCAUGGGUAAGGGCGAAAGAUGAGGGUCUCGUACCAAUGGUGUGACGGGCAUUGGUACGAGUACCAGUGUUAUAAAAGGAAAGCUUAUUACUAUAGAAUGUGGAUUGUAAUCCGAGAAUGCCAAAGCACAUGGGCAUUAACUGAUGUAUUGUUGAUUUCUUCUGUGUGAUUGUGUUUUUUUUGGUCCCAUAAAUUUGUUAUAGCUGAGGUGAUUACAUAUCAUAUUGAUAUUUGAUUGAUUGAGAUGCAUCAUCAUCCCUUUUCAUUGAUAUUAUAUUGUGCACAUGUAUUGACAUGAGACUGAGUAUAAGUUAGGCACGUGGAGAUCAUCCGUGCCGGGGAUUGUGAGAUGUUAAGAUUAAAAUUUGAGCACGUGGAGAUCGUCUGUGCGAAAAUUGUUUGAUUUUAUGAUAGUGCGUUGAGAUCGUCCGCACAGACAGGUAGAGAUCGUUUGUAUCGGUAUAUGGAACUCGCUAGUCCCCUAUGGGUCAUAAACUCUCGAUGUAUUUCCGAGGAUAUCAUGUAUAUACGGUUGACCCUCUUCUUCUAUAAAGACCCGUAAAACGAAUAAGUGAAACUAGAGCCUAACUUGUGUGUGUUGGAUUUUGGUGUGAGGUUUGAGGGUGUAUAAUGUUGUCCCGAGCCAUGGUUGAGGGGUUUAGGGGUUAAACGUCAAGGUACGACUCCCCAAGGACCACCCUAGGGUUCCUUGGGGAGAACCCUUAGCCUAACCCUCAAGACCCCAAGGAAAUUUGAAGGUUGCCAAAAGUGUGGUGACCUACGGAGAGGGACCACACCCCGUAGGUCCAACCACGAUUCGUGGACCUGUUUCGUAGGUCAUGGCCCCCAAAACCAAGCCUCAGCCACAAACUACAGCUGACCAGGACGGGGCGUGACCCAAUCCACGGUCCAUGGUUUGGUGUCGUGAGUCCCCACCUGGUUUGCUGUCUUGGUUCGGCCAAGGCAAGGGUGGUUUGGUAAAUUACUCCCUUGGUUAGUUUAGUUCAUGGACGGUUAUUUUAGGUUAAUUAAAGUAUUUUAAGAGUAUUAAAAGUAUUAAACUCUAUUUUUCAACUCAUUAUUCACAAUCACAAAAUAGAACCCACCUCUCUUCUCAAAAGUUCUCUCUCUAGAAACCUCCAUUAGAGGUGUAGACUUCAAGCUUCCAAGGUCAAAUCUUCAAGUUUUUCAAUAAAAUUUUCGUGGAUUUAUUCCAUAAAAGGUAUGGUGGUCUUUAUCCUUGACUUAGUUUCUUUCAAGGAGCCAAUUUCAAAAGUUAUUUCAAAUCUCCAAUGUUUACCCAAAAACUCUAGAUUUCAAUCUAUGCAUGGGUUCGAUUCUAAAUGUUUUUGAAAGGAUUUAUUGCAUUGAUUUAUUAAUGAAUUGUGGAUUUAAAGAUGAAUUAAGACGAUUUCUUCCUAGAACCCAUGUUUCCCCCCAAAUUCCUAUGUUGUGAUUUGUGAUUGGGAAUUGAUUGAUUAUGAAGUAUGUGAAUUGUUUAUGUGUAUAUGGAUAUAGAAUGUUGAAAUUAUGUUAUUGCUCUUGCCUAAUUGUAUUGAUCUAAGGUGUGUGGGUGAGUGUGAUUCAUGGCCUUGAAAGGCAAGGUAUGAAGGUUAAGGUAUGAAUAUGAUGUGAAUGAUAUGUAUGUGAAUUCAAUGAUAGUAUGAUGAUCAUGUUUAGAAUACAAUUGUGUUAUGAUUGAAGGCUUAUUCUCAAUUGACACUCAUGAAUGAUGAUGAUAGAAUGUGAAGAGUUUCUUCAAUGUAUUGUUGGAUUUUGAAUUGGUAGGCUUAAGGCAUCCUUUUUCUUGUAUUGAUGAAUGUGUCUUUAACUUAAUGAAUAUGAAUCGAUAGGUGUAUGUCAUUCCUUUCAUAUAUGAUCUAAUGUAAUGAUGACUCUUGAAUUGAUAUGCUUAUGGCAUUCCUUUCCUAAUGAGUUAAUGAACUAAUGUACCUUGAAUCGAUAGGCUUAUGACAUUCCUUUCAUGUGUAUACCAAACGUAAUGAUAAACCAUGAAUCGAUAGGCUUGUAUCAUUCUUUUCAUGAGGAUUCGAAUGAGCUAUCCUAAUAAUGAACCAUGAAUCGAUAGGCUUAUGACAUUCCUUUCAUGUGUAAUAAUGUAUUUUGGGUUGAUAGGCUUAUGGAAUUCCUCUCAAGUACAAUAAUGUAAUGUGAAUUUUCACUUUAUGGGAAUGUAUGCUAAGCACCGAAUGGAUAUGGUAAGAUGGAAACUCUCCCAAUGUUAGGCUAGGGUUCCAAUGAACAUAUUCCUAUCUCAUAAAUUAUGUGCCCACUUAGGUCCUAGCUAGUGGAUCCACUUAAGCUAAAUAUUACCGGUCUUACCUUAGGCAAGUAGACCACCUUUUUACUGUGUGGGGUUAUAUGACACCGGAUUCCAUGACAAGCUCACAUGGUCUAUGUCGGUUAAACGCUUAUUCCCAUCAUGUGAGAUGUGCAUUAUGGUUUCUUGAUGAGUUCUAUGAAGUGUGGAUGGUAGUAUAUGAUGCCAUCCAUACAUUGCACGAGUAGGCUUUGAGAGGGUCAUAGUGAGUUCUCUAAGUCUUAAUGGCUAAUGGAUGAAUGUGUCCUAAAUGAAGCAAAUGAAGAAUGUUGACUCUUAUAUGCUUAAGUGUAAAGAUGCAUGCUAUACUUGGAUUGUAUUAUGAGUUACUUCCUUGUUAUGACUUAUUGUAUAUGAAUGUGCCUUGCAUAUGGUGACUUUAAAGGAGUACUUAGUAUGAUUAGUAGUAUGGGAUGCUACUUGCACAUUGCACAAGUUUGACUUAGAGUUGUCUUAGGUGAUGGUCCUUAUGUGAUGAUAUGACUUAUGUAAUGUUUAUGCCUCUUAUGUAUGAUUAUUGUAUGAAGAUGGAAAGGUUGAAUGGUAAGUUCACUUUUGGUGACUUUAAUGUGGUACUUUUGUGUGGAUGGUGGUAUGAGACGCUAUCCAUACAUUGCACAAGGUAUAGCAUGAGGGUUACUUGAGGUGAAGGCUUAAUGUGAAGGUAAUGGGUUAUAUGUCUAUUAUGUCUCUAUUGUGAGAAAUGACUUAUAUGUUGGUUAUGUUUGAAUAUUAUGCCUCUUAUGCUUAUGUUCAUGAAGUUUUAUCAAAAUGGCAUGAGAGCAUGACUUUCAAAUAAAAUGUUCGUUUUAAGCAUGGUUUUUGCAUGGCUAUCAUACUUAGUACUUAAUUAUGCUAACCCAUUCUUCUCCAUGUUUUACUAUAAGUGUAGGUUCCGGUAAGUGAGUUGCUUUCUCUCUAGAUCAAGGACUUGGAUUUGAGAUUCUCCAAGACUUAGUGGUAUGUCCUCAUAGAUCGAGGACAAGUACUUACUGUUUCCAUUUCUUUUAUGUAAAAGACUAUUGUUAGGCUUUUCGAUUGUAAAGGGCCAUGACCUUACUUAUGUUUCAGAUGUUGUUUUUAGAUGGCCAUGUGAAACAAUAGACUUCCGCUGUGUUUUUCAAAGUGUUUUAAAUGAGUAUUUUGAUUGUAUGGUUUUAAAUAAAGUUUUAAUUUUGUACUAUUUUCUAUUAUCGAAUGCAAUGAAAUGCUAUGAGGCUUGUAUGAGACCCCUUUAGGGUCGAGUACGCCGUGUAGCAUCUAGGGGUUAGCCUUAGGUCGUGACAUCUUCAGCAUCAUCUUCUUCUUCUUCCUAGAGAGAGAAUUUUUGAGAGGGAAUUGGGUUUCUUUUGGGGAUUUAGAAAUAAUGAUUUGGAAUGACUUAAUUAAGGGUAUAAAGUCUUUAUAUAGGUGGUCUAAAUUAGGGUAAAAUGACACCACUUAAUCCCUAAUUAAUUCCGGAAAGUUCCACUAACCCCUCAUUUAACCGCCUAAGACCAACACACUGCCUCACCCACAAGACCACACCCAUGGGUGGACCCACGGGGUGUGCUGGUCAAUCAUGAGUUGUGGUUUGUGGGUCUUCAUUUGGGCCCUUAACCUACGAAGACAACCACAUGGCGUGGACCCAUCCAUGAGGCGUGAGUCCUGCCUGUGGUUACUGCCUUGGACAGAUUUCAUGGAGGGCUCACCCAUGUUGCCCACCUAUGGGCAUGGUUCCAUCCAUGGGGCGUGGAUGGCCUCGUGGGUGGCACUAUUUUGGGUAGUUCUAGGGUCUUCCUGAAGGACUCAUGGUUGGUCCUUGGGGGUCAUACCUUGACGUUCUAACACGAAAGCCUGUAUUUUUGGUACGGGGAGGUACAUUCAUGACUCUAACCCUCACAUCAAGAUCUAGUUUAGCCUACUAGUUUCCGGGGUGUUACACUAUCAAUCAUUAAUUCUACUCUAAUACCUCUUUCUCAAGCAAGCAUAGAGAGCUAAGCUAGAACCGAAUUUGCAACUUCAGUUCAUCAAUUAAAACCCGAAAAAACAAUUGAACACAUUUCCAAACAACAUUAAAUUCAGCAAUUAACUAUACCCAUUAGCUAAUUAAUGCAUUCGACUACAUGAUCACACCCCUUAGGUAAGGAUUUUUAGCCAAAAAUAGCAAAGAGUGAGAAAUCGUUACCAAAAAGAUUGUCCAUCCAAAUUGUUAACAAUCUGUAAUACCCAAUGCUAGAAUUAAAGCUGGAAUCCUAAAACCUCAAAUCCGAGAUCCAAAUGUUCUCCAAGAUGUUCGACAAUGUAAAAAAAGUAAAAGCUCUCAAAAUUUGGGGAAUACACACUCUAUUAGUCGGGAAUACACACUCAAAAACAUAGAAAUACACACUACUUGUAGACAUUCAUGUUGUCCUGAUCAAUAUUGGGUUUUACUUGAGGACAAGCAAAUGUUUAAGUUAGGGGUGUUGAUGAGUCGGGAAGUUCGACUCAUUUAGGGCUUAUUAUUCAAUGAAUUAGUGUCCUCAAUACCUAUUUUGUGCUCAUAAGUGAUGUUAAUGUGUUUAUAUGCAACAAUGAAGGCUUAAGAACAAGGCAAGGCCAUUAUUUUGUGAAAAGGAAAGAAAAAGUUGGAAAACCUGAAGAAAUGAAAAGUUGGAGAUCGCAAAAGCCACUCGAUGACUUUCCGCGUGAGCCUCCUGCUCGCCAAAAAUUCCAGCGAAGUAGCCCAUGUACCAAGCCAACUUGGCGAGCAAAAGAUGAUUCUGUGAUGCGUCGAAUGGAUCGAUGAUCACGACCCAGCUCGCCUAAUCUUCUAGAACAAUUUGAUGUAGGAACCAAGACAAUAAGGUGAGAAGAAGUGCAACUCGGCAGAUUGCCGAGUCCAUCGAUGAUCCUGACUAACUUCAACGAGUGGAUUCCAUCUUGAUGAAAAAAAUAUAUUAAGAGAACAUGCAACUAUCUAGGCCUAGAGGCCUUUGGGAGUUCUUUCUUUCACUCUUAGCUUACGUAUUGAAUUGUUGCAUGGGGGACAGUCCCAUAUUUUAAGUGUGGGGUGGGGGAAUGAAUUCCUUGUUUUUACUGCUUUAUUGAGUCUUUACAUUUUCUUUAGGAUGGGUUCCUUGGCUUUUGUUUUUGGUUCUUUUUUCUGAGGAUAGUCCCUUUGAACCGAGUGUCUUUUAUUUUUUAGGAAUAAGUUUUCUUUUAAUUUUUUUUAGAGAAAAGAAAAGGCCCUUUUGAUGGUGUGAUACUUGCUAUUUAGGCCUAAUUUUUGAGUAGUACUUUCUUGGGAAUGCUUGAUUGAUAAGGAAAUUGCAGACUCUUUGACACCUAAGCUCAUGGUUGUGACUUUGUGUAUAUAUAACUUAUUUUAUUUUGUUUUUUGUUUUGAUUCUUUCUCUCUUAGAAGUGGAAUUGAUCCAUCUUGAUUGAUACUUGUGCCAUGUGUGGAGAUAAUUUGUAUAUUCUAUGUUUUACAUCUUAGUCUAGAACUUGCCCUGCAUGUUAUUGAAGCGAAAUAAAAAGUGUUGCUUUGUUUAGGAAAUGAUAAUAGGCUAUCUGUGUUUUGUCUUGUAAAUUUAGCUUUUUCAGAUACAUAUCACUAGUAGCCCCUUUGAGCCUGUAGCUUUUUAUCGGUAGCCAUAUUUUUGCCUUGACAUUUUUGUUGAAUCCCUCAUUUUUGCACCCUGCUUCCUUGAGCACUGUAGCAUAGACUUAUUAUAAUUUUUAAAUCUAAAGAAAAAGGGAUGGUUGAGUGAAAAAGGUAAUCAAUGAUAGCUACAAAAGUGAUUAGAAAGCCCUCUUUGAAAGAAUGUGACAUGAAAAAGAAAAAAGAAAAAAAAGUGAAAAACAAAAUUUUCAAAAAAAUAUUCUUUGGAAAAAAAGAUGAUUGAAGCAAAAAAAAUGCUCUCUUCUCUCUCAUGCAAACCCUAACCCAAAUCGCCCAGUAACACCUAUGGCCACUCCGGCCACUGGCCAGUCGUUUUUGGCGACUGGUCAGACAGUCCCUUUAACGCUCAAUGAACACUUCUCCAACCUUACACGUCUAUCCAAUCCCAAUUGUGGCAUUAAAGAUCCUAAUACUCUGCCUAGCGAACCUGUCGUGCAUAAUGAUGAUACAAUCAGAUUUAAGGAAUGAAAGUAUGCAGCUUUGCUAAAACCUAGUUGUAUGAAUGUAGUUGAUUCAAACAAAGGACUCCCAUCAGUACCUUUCAUGAAACCUACGUUUAACAAUGGUAUUCCUCGGGUUACUUGGAUGGAAGAAGAAGUAACAUAUAUGAACAUUAUGGAGAAUCUGCAAUAUGUUGUGAUAGGAAAGUUCUCUUAUGGGUGCCUUGAGCUAGAUGAGUUGAGAAGGAUUAUCCCUAAGCAAUGCAAUAUAAAAGGAGCAUGUCAAAUAGGUUUGCUGCGACAUAGGCAUGUUUUGAUGAUAUUCGAAUUGUUUGAAGACUUUGUGAACAUGAUGUCCAAACCGUCCUAUUACAUUACUUAUAAUGCAGGAUUAUACUAUCUAAUGAGACCCUUGAUUUAUGAUGAGAAGUUCAGAAUUGGUGAUGAAACAUCAUAGGCUAUGGCAUGGAUAUCCUUCCCUGAUCUUUGGCCUAUUUUUCUUUGGGAUACAAGCUAUUUUUUCAUUGGCAUCAGCAGUGGGUAAACCAAUUUAGUUAGAACGACUACUAUCAACAAAACUAGACCUAGUUGUGCUAGGGUUAAGGUCCAACUGGACUUAUUAGGUGAUAUUCCUAAGUUUAUGGAAUUGGAUAUUGAGAAUGAAGAGACAAUCUCGUAAAGGGUGGAAAAGGUGAAAGUGGUUUAUGAUAUGCUCCCUAAAUAUUAUAAAAGAUGCAAAUUACAAGGACCAAAUGAGGAAGAAUGUAUAAUCCUACAUCCUGAAUUGAGAAAGCAAGAACAUAAUGCAGAUAUGGAAUUGAAGGACAAAGAAUUGAGCAAGCCAUCAAGGUUCCUUACAAAACAAUGGAACCCUACAAACAAACAGAAGAUUCAUCAGAAACACUUAUAAGGAGGUUACUACUGCAGACUUGGAACUAGAGAAGGAUGUUAUUAUGACUAACAACUCAUUUAAUACUCUUAAUGAAGAACAAGAUGAAGGAGAAAAGAAUAAAUGGGAGGUGGGGGGGGGGGGAAUGAAUACAAAAAAAUGGAUUACAAAUUCUUUCUACAAAAAUACAAACACAAUAGGUGAUCAAGGUAUAAAUAACAGUGCAACAAAUAUCAUGGCAGGGGUGAUGAAGUCCAACAAUGUGCUGCCUUCUCAGGAGCCUGAGGAUCUAGAUAAAGGUCUGGUAAUUCACACAGACCUACAAAAUACAGAGAAGGUCAACAAUGAUAAUGAAGAACAACUUAAUGAAUGUAUACAAGGGUUGCAGAUCAACAACAAAAUGGUCUAGUGAUAGACAGGGAUGAAGUUGAAAAUCAAAGUGAUCAUGCACAAGUUGUAAAUAAUGCAAGAGGUUCCUCUCAAGGGAAAUCAAAGAAGAAGAAGGGUAAGCCUCAAGGGGAAAAGUCUACUAGGACUAACCCUAUAAGGUCUGAUAGAGCUAUGUUGAAAUGAUCUUUAAAGCAAUAAUAUGGAAUAUUAGAUCUAAUCAUUCUUUCCAUAGAGUACAAAUGCUUCAUAGACAUCAUAAAUUUGAUUUGGUUGCCUUAAUGGAACCUUUUCAAGAGAUUAGGUAAAUUCAACAGUUUAAAAGGAGAUUAGGCAUGGCUUAUGCAAAUUAUAACAUUAAUGAGAAGAUUUGGUUGUUUGUCAAGGAGGAUAUUCAGGUGGAGGUUGUUUCUGAUUCUGAACAACAAUUGACUAUUAAAAUAUUAUUCCCUAAUGGGCAUCAGAUGGUCAGUACUCUUGUCUAUGCUAAAUGUACAGUUGCUGAAAUACUUCCAUUAUGGGAGGUUAUGUAUGCAAUUGGGAAAAAUAUGAAUUUUCCCUAGUUUGUUGGAGGGGACUUUAAUGUUAUUAUGGAUGCAGAAGAAAAGAUAGGUGGUCUACCUGUCUAUCCAAAUGAGGUGAAGGAUUUUGCUUUUUGUAUCAAUUCUUGUGAACUAUUUGAUAUUAAAUUCAAAGGUAGCCCUUUCACUUGGUGGAAUGGGAGGUCUGAUGGUGAAUGUAUGUUUAAAAGAUUAGACAGGGUUGUGGGUAAUCAGGCUUUUCUGGAAAGAUUGGGUCAUGUGGAUUUUGAACAUCUGGCUAGGACAAGGUCAGAUCAUGCUCCUAUGUUGUUAUGUUGUGGGGUUCAGACUUUCGAUGUCCACAAUCCUUUUAGAUUCCUUAUUUUUUGGUCUGAAAAGGAAGGGUUCAAAGAGCUAAUUAGGCAGAAUUAGGUUGCUGAUCACUCUGAUGAAGUGUUUGUUAAUUUAAAGAUCAAAAUGAAGAAGACUAAACUAGCUCUUUCUAAGUGGAGCAGGGAAGUUCUUGGGGAUAUUUUCAAACAAUUAAUUGUAAGGGAGGAAAUUCUGAAAAUCAAAGAAAUUUUUUUCGAGGAUAUUCCUACUGCUACUAGCAGAACUAUUCUAAAUAGAGCUCAAGCAUAAUAUACAAAAUACUUGAAGUUUGAAGAAGAUUUCUGGAGACAAAAGUCUGGGAUGCAAUGGUUUAUUGAAGGAGAUAGGAACACCAAAUUCUUCCACAACAUUGUAAAAGGUAGAAGGAGAAGAUUAGAAAUCUCCAAAAUACAGAAAGUUGAUGGUUCAUGGGCUGAAGGCAGUGAGGUUGGGGAAGAGGAUGUCAAAUUCUAUCAAGAUCAAUUUUCCUGUGAUAAGCAGGAGUCUAAUUUAUCCCUUGUGGACUUAAUUCCCUCUUUGAUUAAGGAGGAAGAUAAUGAAAUACUAAAUAGGAUUCCCACUUCUGAGGAGGUUAAAAAAGUGGUAUUUGAACUUAAUGGGAAUAGUACAAGUGGACCUGAUGGACUGACUGGGCACUUCUAUCAGGUUUGCUGGCAUAUAGUAGGUGAUGAUAUUAUGAUGGUGGUGAUUGAUUUUUUUAAAGGAUGAUGCUCCCAAAAUCCAUCACUCAUACAAACCUUGUGUUGAUUCCUAAGAAAGAUAAGGUGCCUUCAUUUUCUGAUCUACGGCCUAUCAGUCUUAGCAACUUUAUUAACAAAGUUAUUUCCAAAGUUGUUCAUGAUAGACUGGAAGUAUUCUUACCUUCUCUUAUUUCUUCUAAUCAAUGCGGAUUUGUCAAAGGAUGAAGUAUUAUAGAAAAUGUCCUACUUGCUCAGGAGAUCAUUGUGGAUAUCAGGAAGAGAAGUAAAGCUAAUAAUGUGGUGUUUAAACUUGACAUGGCAAAAGCAUAUAAUAGGGUAGAUUGGAGCUUUUUGAUUAAAGUGUUGGAAAAAAAGGGCUUUAACAAAGUGUUUACUGAAAAAAUAUGGAGACUAGUGGCCAAUGAUGAGUUUGAUGUUUGGACUCAUUUAGGGCUUUAUUUACAAGGAUUUAGUGUCCUCAAAUGCUCAUUUUGUGCAAAUAACUGAUGCAAAACCCUUGAUUUCCAAGUACAUGGAUUGAGGAACAAAGCAUGAACACUAACUUGCUAAAAGGAACAAAGCGAGCUGAAAGAACAAAGAAAUAAAAGCCUGGUGAUCGCCAAGUCCCUUUUGCGAGUCACCGAAUGGCCUCUUGACCGCCUAAAGUUCUAGUGUGCCAAUCCCUGAAGGAGAAAACCAAGUUAGCGAGAGAAAGGAGCAGUCGGCGGAUCGUCGAGUGAUUCCGCGAUGCAGAGUUAGAUCACUUAAAGUUAUAAACCUGGAGGAUGUUGAAGACCAAGGCAAGAGGGCGAUGGAAUGGACCAAAGUGUGGAUCGGUGAGCCCGACUUACUGCGCUGAUUGGUCAUUCGCUGCAUAAUUUUGGCAGCUAUAAAUACAUUUUUGAACAUUUAGUUUAGAAGCUUUUUAUCAUUAGGAAGUAUCAAAUUUUGAGUUUUUCAUUUGUUAGAGUAAUUUUACAUUGAACUCUGAGCAUAUAGACAAGUUUUCCUUAGCUUUGAAGAAUUGAGGUUUUUCACUUUUGAGAAAUUAAAAGUGGGUCUUUGAGAUUCUUCAACUUGGAGCAUUGUAAGGAUGAAAUUAAUCUUACCCAGUUGAUGGAAACACAAUUUGGUAACGAUUUUUAUCUUUUUAUGAUGAUUUGCUAAAACCCCAAUUCUUGGGGUGUGAUAAUGUGAUUAUGGGCUGAUUUAGUUUAUGGGUAUUGCUAAUUGUUAGUUUAAAUGUUGUUUAAAAGUGAUUUCAAUCAUUAAUUGUGGUUUAAUUUAAAGAAUUAUAGUUGCAAAUGCAGUUCUACCUUCAUGUUUUUGGCUUGCUCGAGAGAGAGGUUUUAAAAUCAAGAUUAUUGAUUCAUGGUUUGUGGGUAUUGGGUUGUCAUGGGUUCCGCUCGAGAGAGUGAAUCCUAAACCCUUUUUCACACAUUCAGCUCGAGAGAGUGAAUGGACUAAAGUGUAGGCUGUUCUUAUUUGCAUGCUUGUCGAUGUUCGAGAGAAAUCGACCUGAUUCUGGGUAAAUUAUUCGAGAGAAAGUUAAUCCCCUCUAAAGUCUAGCUUAUUCACUAAUUUACAACUAUUUUCUAAUAGUUGCAAUUACCCAUUUGUCUACAUUAGCCUAUAAUCAAAUGACAUCCCAAGAACCCGUCUCAUUAUUGCUAUUUCGUGUUAUUUGUUGUUGUUGUAGCUGAUAGUUAAAACCAAAACCCUCUGUUAUUUGACAUUCGUGUCACCCAUUGUUUUAAAUUAUGUCUUUAUUCGAUAAUGUCUAUACCUAUGGCUGAUUUGAGCACAUUCGUACUUUCCUAUUGAAUCUUAAACACGUACCACUCCAUGUGGGAUUCGACCCCAACUCAUUUAGUUGGGUUAUAGAUUGACUAAUGAUCGUUGACUCUUAGAACUGGAUUAAGUGUCUUUGAUAGCGUUAUUCAAUCAAAAUGGCGCUGCUUCCGGGGAGUGGUGUUGGUUAAGAUUCUUUAGUUAAGUUGAAUUUUGUUCUUGUUAGUUAUAGUUGAAUCUACUUACUUUUAGUGUUGGUUUGUGUGUUGCUAUUUUAAACAGAGGAAAUGAAUGUCAACGGGAGCAAUGGUAGCGAAGUGGGUCACCCAGAUAACAUCGGUAACCUCAACGAUGUUAAUAAGCUGAAUGUUAAUGACCCUCAUCUAAUGGGUGGAAUUGGUGCCAUUCGCUUACCACCGGCUGAAAGGAAGGCGGUGUUCCACAUUACAAGCACCAUGUUGCAGCUCUUGCAAUUGAAAGGGUUGUUCGAUGGGUUGGCUUAUGAGGAUCCCCAUGAGCAUAUAAGAAAUUUUGUUGAUGUUUGUGGGCCGUUCUCCUUCAAGAAUAUAUCCCAAGAGUCGGUCCGGUUGAGGUUGUUCCCAUUUUCUUUAAUUGGAGAAGCAUGUAAGUAGUUGGCUGAAUUUCCCAGAGAAUCAAUCACUUCGUGGGAAGAGCUUGUCACCGCAUUUCAAGUGCGGUUUUUUCCUCCUUCGAAGAUGAUGACACUUCAGGAUAGCAUCCAAAGCUUCAAGCAUUUGGAGGGUGAGCCAAUCCAUGAGACUUGGCUACGAUUCAAGAAGUUAGUGUUGCAAUGCGCGACUCAUGGUUUGCCCGACAAUGUUUUGCUGCAAUAUUUUUACCAAAGCCUUGAUUUGGUUAACAAGGGUGUAGCUGACCAACUUUCUCCGGGAGGUUUGAUGCAAUAACCUUACAUUAUAGCAGUCCAGCGUUUGGAUGGUAUGACCACAAUUAAUCGGGCUUGGUUGUAACGACCCGAAAAAUGAUAGAGUGAAACUAGAGCCUCACAUGUGAAUUUGGAGUCGAGAACUUAAUGAAAUGUUUAUAUUUGAAUUUGACCCAAAAAGUUCUUAAAAAUGUGCUUCGGAAGUUACCGGAAACUUGUUUAGCUGUAUAUAAAAAGAUCCGUUUCGUUUUUCGAAAAUCCGACUUCAUAUUCUUGUUUAGGGGGUCAAAUUGAGUGGGAAAUGGGUCUAACCCAAAUUUUAGAGCAACCGUAUCAAAAUCCAAAAUUUCCAAGUGAAGCCUUUUUCGAAGGUCUACUUUGGAGGGUCNNNNNNNNNNNNNNNNNNNNNNNNNNNNNNNNNNNNNNNNNNNNNNNNNNNNNNNNNNNNNNNNNNNNNNNNNNNNNNNNNNNNNNNNNNNNNNNNNNNNNNNNNNNNNNNNNNNNNNNNNNNNNNNNNNNNNNNNNNNNNNNNNNNNNNNNNNNNNNNNNNNNNNNNNNNNNNNNNNNNNNNNNNNNNNNNNNNNNNNNNNNNNNNNNNNNNNNNNNNNNNNNNNNNNNNNNNNNNNNNNNNNNNNNNNNNNNNNNNNNNNNNNNNNNNNNNNNNNNNNNNNNNNNNNNNNNNNNNNNNNNNNNNNNNNNNNNNNNNNNNNNNNNNNNNNNNNNNNNNNNNNNNNNNNNNNNNNNNNNNNNNNNNNNNNNNNNNNNNNNNNNNNNNNNNNNNNNNNNNNNNNNNNNNNNNNNNNNNNNNNNNNNNNNNNNNNNNNNNNNNNNNNNNNNNNNNNNNNNNNNNNNNNNNNNNNNNNNNNNNNNNNNNNNNNNNNNNNNNNNNNNNNNNNNNNNNNNNNNNNNNNNNNNNNNNNNNNNNNNNNNNNNNNNNNNNNNNNNNNNNNNNNNNNNNNNNNNNNNNNNNNNNNNNNNNNNNNNNNNNNNNNNNNNNNNNNNNNNNNNNNNNNNNNNNNNNNNNNNNNNNNNNNNNNNNNNNNNNNNNNNNNNNNNNNNNNNNNNNNNNNNNNNNNNNNNNNNNNNNNNNNNNNNNNNNNNNNNNNNNNNNNNNNNNNNNNNNNNNNNNNNNNNNNNNNNNNNNNNNNNNNNNNNNNNNNNNNNNNNNNNNNNNNNNNNNNNNNNNNNNNNNNNNNNNNNNNNNNNNNNNNNNNNNNNNNNNNNNNNNNNNNNNNNNNNNNNNNNNNNNNNNNNNNNNNNNNNNNNNNNNNNNNNNNNNNNNNNNNNNNNNNNNNNNNNNNNNNNNNNNNNNNNNNNNNNNNNNNNNNNNNNNNNNNNNNNNNNNNNNNNNNNNNNNNNNNNNNNNNNNNNNNNNNNNNNNNNNNNNNNNNNNNNNNNNNNNNNNNNNNNNNNNNNNNNNNNNNNNNNNNNNNNNNNNNNNNNNNNNNNNNNNNNNNNNNNNNNNNNNNNNNNNNNNNNNNNNNNNNNNNNNNNNNNNNNNNNNNNNNNNNNNNNNNNNNNNNNNNNNNNNNNNNNNNNNNNNNNNNNNNNNNNNNNNNNNNNNNNNNNNNNNNNNNNNNNNNNNNNNNNNNNNNNNNNNNNNNNNNNNNNNNNNNNNNNNNNNNNNNNNNNNNNNNNNNNNNNNNNNNNNNNNNNNNNNNNNNNNNNNNNNNNNNNNNNNNNNNNNNNNNNNNNNNNNNNNNNNNNNNNNNNNNNNNNNNNNNNNNNNNNNNNNNNNNNNNNNNNNNNNNNNNNNNNNNNNNNNNNNNNNNNNNNNNNNNNNNNNNNNNNNNNNNNNNNNNNNNNNNNNNNNNNNNNNNNNNNNNNNNNNNNNNNNNNNNNNNNNNNNNNNNNNNNNNNNNNNNNNNNNNNNNNNNNNNNNNNNNNNNNNNNNNNNNNNNNNNNNNNNNNNNNNNNNNNNNNNNNNNNNNNNNNNNNNNNNNNNNNNNNNNNNNNNNNNNNNNNNNNNNNNNNNNNNNNNNNNNNNNNNNNNNNNNNNNNNNNNNNNNNNNNNNNNNNNNNNNNNNNNNNNNNNNNNNNNNNNNNNNNNNNNNNNNNNNNNNNNNNNNNNNNNNNNNNNNNNNNNNNNNNNNNNNNNNNNNNNNNNNNNNNNNNNNNNNNNNNNNNNNNNNNNNNNNNNNNNNNNNNNNNNNNNNNNNNNNNNNNNNNNNNNNNNNNNNNNNNNNNNNNNNNNNNNNNNNNNNNNNNNNNNNNNNNNNUAAGACUUUUAAGUUCUUUUGUUCAUGUAAUAGACUUAACAGACUUCUUUUGAUUGUAAAGGGCCGUGUCCCUACUUAUGUUUUGUGACUGUGUCUAAGAUGGCCAUGUGAGACUUAGACUUCUGCUGUGUGUUUUUAAAGUUGUUUUAAUGAAGUUUAAAUGUGUGGAUGUAAAUAAGUUUUUUUUUCUUCAUUCCGCACUAUUUUCAUUAUUGAAUGCAAUGAAUGACUAUGUGGCUCGUAUAAGACCCUUUCGGGGUCGAAUACGCCAUGUUAUGACUAGGGGGUACUCUCGGGUCGUGACAUUGGUACAUCCAGAAAAGAUCGGGUCUCCCCUCUCACAUUUAAAUUGACCAAGGAGCAACUUGAGAAAGACCAAGAAAGGGAUCAGAACAUGGAAAAUAUCAUGACACAACUUAACAUUUUUUCCAAAAAUGUCAUGGGAGCUGGUGCUCGAAGUGUCAAUGUUGUGGGUGUCGGGGGUGUGUUAAUCCUUAUGAGGCUAUGUUUGAGGCUUUGUACAAGGAAGAGGUGAACUUCCUAGCCAACCAAGGAGGUGGUUAUCGUUCAAACUACCCGAGGUAGGGUGGUAACCAAGGUUGGAACAUGGAUGAAGGUUGGAAAAAUCGUGAUAGAGAGUGAAGGGAUCGUAACCCUACUUGGAAAGAGAGAGAGGGGGAGAAAUAUAGAUAUGUUCCUCCCCAUGAGCGCCAAAAGCCUAAGGAUUCCAAGGGUGGCCGGUCUGAGGAUAUGCUGUCUCGUAUUCUCAACAAGGUUGAGGGGUUCGACAAAAUUUUGAAAGAAAUGAAGGAAGAUGUGUCGACCCUUAGCCAGACAGUUACUUCUCACUCCGUCUCUAUCAAGUAGUUGGAGACCCAAAUGGGUCAUAUUUCGUCUCAUUUGAACCCGAGACAACAAGGGGGAUUCCCUAGUGACACUAUGGCCAACCCCAAGAAUGAAGUUUGAGUGAGGAAUUGCGUCGUGCCACGACGUUAACUAAGGCGCUGCUUGGGAGGCAACACAAGUUUUAUUUGUUUACUUUUUCCUUUUAAAAUAAUGGUGUGUUGAUUGUGCAUGUUAAAGUGUGGAAUGUGUUUGAAAAUUACAAAUUGGUGAGCUAAAGGUCAAGUCGGCGACUCGCCGAAGAGGUAGGCGAGCCCGACUCAGUCCAUCGUUGGACUCAAGAAAUUUAGAAAUUGGAGUCUGUAAAACUCGGUGAGCCCAGGAGCAAAUCGGCGUGUCGCUGAACAGGUCGGUGACCACGACUUUGUCCGUUGUUUGGACCCCUAGUUUAACUGGAGGUCCUGUAAAACUCGGCGAGGUAAGUACUCACUUGGUGUGUUUCCAAAUGGGUCGGCAAGCAAAACUUAUGUCGCUGAAUGGGAGAGAACUGGAUGGUUUUAAAGGCCAAAGGUUCAAAAGUUCAAAAGUUCAAAAUCUUUCACAUUCCCUCACUUUUCAACUUUCCAAACUCACACCCGCACUUUAUUUUGCUAUUAUUUUUGUGUUUUUAUUGCAUAUUAGUCAUCAAUCUUAUGUUUGGAGUCGGAUAUCUUUGCCGCCUAACAUUUCAACUGAUUUAUUCAGUAUUAAAGGUUGGUUUCCCGAACCCCAAACUUAUAUUUAACGAUUUUUACUCAUUUGCAAUUGUUUUUAGUUUAGUGUUGUGUGUUGGGCCUCUCUAAAUCGUAAUUGUGUCCUUAUUUACCCGUUUUGAAUUUGAAUAUCGUGCCUAUAAUGCUUAACGGUUGAUUUCCUGAGAUUUCAUGCCUUAAAAUUGAUCAAAAUUGUUGGGUUGUGCUAAUUUGUUGUUGGGUCUAGUCGGGUGAAGUCUAAGUAACCCGCAUUUGUGCUAAAUGACAUAUUUUUCUCGAUGAUGGAGUGUUUAACGUCAUUCCUAAGGGCGAAAGUCGUCAAAUGGCCAAAUUUGGCCAGACCGGGAGAAGUAUGAGUAUCCCGAGGGCAUGGGUAGUAUGGGUCUAAGUCUAAUUGAAAGAGUGUAUGCUUUGACUUUGUUUUCGGGGGCUGCGGGGUUGAAUUUUGGAAGUUGGGUUGAAAGCAGGCACGAUGGGCAGUUUGGUGAGCUGGAUUGAGCUCGCCGAACCACUCGACGGUUCGCUGAAUCCCUUUAUAUCACCUUUAAUUUCAUUCUAAAUUGAGUUUGGGUACUGUAACUUUCAGCAAGAAGCCUGAGUUCACCGAGUGCACUCGGUGACUUGCCGAAGGUUUUCUUUGAUCACCCUUUCUGCGCCUCUAACCCUUAAAAUGAACUCUAACUUUCAGCGGGCUAGUCUUUGCUCGCCGAAUGCUGUCGGCAAUUCGCUGAAAGGCCCCUCCCAUCGCCGACAUGCCAUUUUUCUGAAAAAUUUUUGAGCUAAUCCUUUCUGCGAGCCCGAUCUGGCUCGCCAAAGCGAUUCGGUGACUCGCCGACCGGUUCGGUGAGCCUGUCUGCAACUAUUUUCUGGAACUUUGUUUGAACUAUUUCUAACUCUUUUUGAUGAUUUUGUAGAUAUAGCUAGAACCAACCUUGAUAUGCCGCCCCGUAAAAGAACACGGGGCAUAGCUAUAAGUGAAAGAGGAGCCAACCCUCCUAAAAUGGGAAGAACAAAGCCUCCAAAGGGAGGUAAGGCCAAAGGGAAGAAGCCAACAUCUGAGGUUUCAGAGCACAACUCUGGCAGCGAGGGAGCCUUUGACUCCCAAGCUGUAUUAUUUGAGCCGGAGGAUGACCAACCAUCACAGUCCCGGAGAGCGGAGAUCCGUGCUAGAGCUCGUCCUGACUCAACAAGAGUCCUGGCAGCCACCCCAGCAGUAGCUACAGUGCCAGCUUCGUUACCUCCUGUGGCUCUAGUGCCACCAGUGGUUCCUCCUCCCCGAUUAGUUAAUAGAUUGAAAGCCGAUGGUUUGCGAACAAUUUUAGAGGAGAAAUUGGUAUUCACAAAGGGCCUUGAGGGCAGAUACUCCUCAGUGAGGGACACCCUCCAGUACCACUGCUUUGAGCAGUUCACCAGACCCUGAGGCCCAUACAUACCUACAUUGGUUCAGGAGUUUUACUCGGCAUAUGGUGACCUGGUCCCAAAAGGAAAAAAGAAGGCCAACACUUUUAGACUGGUGGGGUCCAUCAUGAUAUGGGGGACUGUAGUGCAUUGUAGCCGUGAUCACAUCAAUGUGGUACUUAAUUGAGGUUCAGUCUUUCACUACCCAAAUGUGGCUACCACUACGACAUCAUUGGAUGAGCUCAAAGGCUGGUUAGCUCCCCUUAUUUCUGACACCACCCCGAGGUGGAUUGAGGCCGAAGUUCCGAUCGAGAAAAAGGACUUGAGCGUAGCUGCACGAUAUUUGUUUGGAUUCAUCAGUAGCUCCAUUAUGCCGUCCCAGAAUGAGUCCAUCCUCCGCAUCCUAAGGCGGCCUGUCUCGGGUCAAUCAUAUCCAGGAAGAGUAUUGAUAUGGGAUUGAUCAUAGAGCAGGAGAUGGCCAUGGGGCCCAAACAGCAUCAGACAUCCCUCCCUUUUCGGGUCUUGAUCAUGUACACUUGGAAGGAGGCUGACGGGAGGAGAGCAACUCCGGUAGAUGCAUCCCCAGAGGUGGACAUUAACUCUAUACCUGCAAAGGCACCUUUGCCUACUCCGGCCUUCGGGCCUUCAGAUACCUCCACUUCCUCCCGGACUCCUGGUACUUCUACUGCUUCUCAGCCGACCAAGAUCACUCAGGCCAUACUCCUGAGGAUGGGCCACUUAGCCCAUUCGGCGGAUAUGAGGGCUACUCGAUUAGAGGCAGCUAUGCCAUGGAUUAUCGAGAGUGCUAUCUUAGCUGCACUGGCUCCCCUAUGAGCAUAUAUUGACACUCUCACAAUGAGAGUUGAGACUUGUGAUAGUAGACAAGGGGAGACUUCUGAGGUAACGACUUUGAAAACUGAGGUGGCAGAUCUCAGGAAGGACGUGGACUACUUGAAGUCCACUGACUUCACCUCACUAUUGGAGGCAGAUGAUGAUGUUGAUGCCCCGAUGAAUUCUUAGAUUCCUCCGACCACCACCAGAGACGUACGUGUAACACCACGGAAACUAGCAAGUUGAACUAGUAAGUUCUAGAGCCUUUUGUAAGAGGUUUGGAGUGUGGUUGAGGAUUAAAACUUGUAAAAACGAUUCCCGUACUUAGAAUAGAGGUUUAGGGGCUAUACGUCAAGGUACGACCCCCCAAGGACCACCCAGGUGGUCCUUGGGGAGGAACCCUCAAACAUCCCCAAAUCUGCAAUUUUAGGCAACAGGUACGAUUAACCACCUACUAGUCGUAGGUGGACCCACGUCCCGUAGGUGGGGGUCGUGGGUCAAGGCUUGAGUUGGCCUGAACCUCUUAGCCUCAUCUACCACCAACGAAGCAGUCAGCACUGGACGUGAACCCACCCACGGUCCGUGGGUGGGUGAUCCGUAGGUCCUGGCAGUUUUAACAUUUUUAGUUUUAGUUAGGGCUUUAGGGAAUUAAUUAAGUAAUUAGUUAGGGCUUAGGGAGGUCAUUUAAUUAGUUAAAUAACCACCUAUAAAUACCUAAGAAAACCUAAAACUAAGUCAUAAGCUCAAUUAUCUAAGAACCCCCAUAAUCCUCUCAAGAAAUUCUCUAUCUAGAAGCAAAGAAGAAGAAGAAGAGAAGAGAAGAAGGAAGUUUUUAAUCAGUUUAAGCAAGAUUUAUUUAGGGAUAUGAAUCAAGGUAUGUUUAUCUUAUUCAUCUAUGGGUUCUUCCACCCAUAGAUCCUCCAUAGUUUCCCCUAAUUGUGAAGUGAAAAACCCAAUUCUAGCUAGGGUUGUGCUUACAUUGUGGGUAGGGUUUGUGUAUGAUUCCAAUCUAGUGGAUAAUACCUAAUUAUGAUUGAUUUAGCUUUGUUUAGUGAUAUUAUGAUGAAUUCAUGUGAUUUCUAUGGUAUACCCUAGCCUGAAUUGAUGAAUGUGAUAUUUGUGAGUUUAUGCCAUUAGUGGCAAAGUUGAAGGUUCAAAGGUGAUCUUCCUAAAUCAAUGUCAUGUAUACUAAUUGAUCAAAGUUAGGACCAUAUAAUCAUGAAUUGAACUAGACUUUAUUGAAUAUGAAGGAUCUUGACUUGUAAAGUUAGAAUUGAACCUUUAUGAAUCAAUUAUGACUAGAAUCACCUUCUAAUGAAUAUUGUGAUUGAAAUACCUUGAAAUAUAGGUAUAAAUAUGCUAGUAAGAAGUAAAGCUUGAAAGUAGGGCUUGUAGCCAUCAAUGUUAGGGCUUUAGGGGUAAAGUCAAUAUGAUGUGAUCUUGUUGUGUAGUCUCUAUCUCUUACACACUUAUGCAUGAAUUGCUAGGAGAUCCAAGGGUUCUCUCACAUAUAAGGAUUCUAGGUUGGCUUAAUAACCUAAAAUGAAUCAAGGCAUGUUAGACUAGAAUCGCUUGAAGUUGUGAUGUAUGAUCCCUCCAUGUAUAGCUUGGUUAGUAGGAUAAUACCAAGGCUGAUAGCUUAGGAUGGAGGAUCUAUACUCUCCUAAGGGAUGAUUGACUUGGCAUUAUAAAGAUGCAUUUAAUGGUAGCAUGAGUUAGGAGUAGUCAUGGUAGCCUAGGAUUGAGGAUUCAUACUCUCCUAAGGGUAGCUUGAACUAGCAUUGUUAGGAUGCCUUCAUGGUAGCAUGACUUGGUUUUGACAAGACUAUUUCAUGGUAACUUUGGGAGCAAGGAUAUCUUGAGUUAGGUUAGUCAUGGUAGCUUGGGAUUGAGGACUCAUACUCUCCUAAGGGUAGCUUAGGAUUGAGAAUCAUACUCUCCUAAGGAUAGCUUGCAUUUGUAUCAUAGUAUACUUGUAAGGGCAGCAUGACUUAGUUGGUCUAAGACUAUUUUAUGGUAGCUAGGAUAGGACACUUGUACCUUUCCUAGAGUAGCUUGGACUUGCAUGUUAGUAUGUCUUCCAAGGUAGGUAGCUUAGCUUAACCUAGUUAUGUUAGUAAGAUGAUAGCAUGGUCUAGCCUAUUAGUGGGUUAUUCCUUGGUAUCCUUGAAUUGAGAAAUAGUGUUCAUUCAUGGGUUAUGACUUGCCUAGUACUAAAUAGAGAAGUACCUUAUAUGAAUAAAGGCAAAUAGAAUAGAGGGACUAGUCCCCAACUAGAGAGCAUUCAUGAUAGUCUAAAUGAGUACUUAGUGUGGGUAGUAGUUUGGGAUGAUAUCCAUACAUUGCACAAGUGUGACUUCAGGCUAGGUAUGAAGGGUUCCUACACAUAGUAUAGUUUAUCUUGGGUUGUUCCUAUAGUUGCCUUCAAAGAUAUGAUUGUCUAAAGGUGAUAGUUUCCUUAUCUAUAUGAAGAUAGCCAAUAAUAAGACCAAUGUAGGGUGAAUAUGACUAAGAUGAUUUCAAGGUUAUGCUUAGUGUGAAGGGUAGUAUGGGAUGCCUUUCAUGCAUUGCACAAGUGUGCUUUAAAUUCACUCAGAAGUAUGGUGCCCUUAUAGUAGAAAGGCUUAAGAUUUAACCAUGCAUAUAGUCUAUGAUUAAGAUGACCAAAAAGGGAUACUUGGCUUGGGUGGUAUUAUGGGAUGCUAUUCUUGCUUUGAAGAUGUAUGUGCUUGAGGUUACUUGAGAAUGGUGCUAUUAUGGUAUAGAUGACUAAGAGUCAAUUAUUCUUAUAUGACUAUGACUUAUCUCUUAUGCUCAUUAACUAUGUCUUAUGUUGACUUAUGUUUAUAUGAUGAGUACACUACACCAUUUUAGGCCUACGGCCACCCCCGUAAAGUGUAGCCUAAACUACCGAAAAGUGUGGCCUUUGAUAAACGGCUACACUUUUGGACUUUAAGCAACACUUUUCCUGGGGUGCCCAAAAGAAGCGUAACCUUAGAGUUAAGGCAACACCAAGUGUUUCCUUAUCAACGACGCUUAAAAGCGUAGCCUAAAUGGCAAAAUGGCCACGCUUUUAUGUACCUCAUAUAACAACAUUUCUAUCUCAUACAACUACACUUUUAAGCGUGGCCUUAGCUUCUUUUUUGCCCACGAUUUUUAAGUGUUGCCUUUUAUAUCUAAUGUAUGACAACGAUUUUAAAGUGUUGCCUUUUCUAUCUAAUGUAUGACAACACUUUGAAGUGUAGUCCUUGCCCAUGUGCAUACCAUAACUUACAACCCUAUGGCUACACUUUUAAGUGUGGUAAUACUAUUUUGGCUAUAAAAUAUUUAUAUGCCACAAUUUCUAAUUAAAAAAACACCAAUAAUUGUUAUGCAAUAAAUAAUCUCAAGCAUUAAAUUGGCUAAUAAGUAAUUCAAAUAUGUAAAUCUGCAAUAAAUUUCAAAAGAUAGUAUGUCUUGUGUGUACACAUACUUAUAAAGCAAUAUUCUACAUAUGUGUACACCAUAGUUCAUCUGAGGUAGUGUUUCUUGGAGUAGCCAGAACUAACCAGCUUGCAGCUCCCUGGGGCAAAGAUGUGGCAGAAGAACAACAUUUGCUUGCUUGUUGAUGCUCGUACUUUUGCCUGCUUAUGCUAACUUACUUUGUUUUGAAGGAACACAGUAGGUUGCGGUGGAGUUAUACGUGUACGGUCAGAGUCAGUCUGUGUAAAAUGGACAACAAUAAAAUUUUGGGUAAGUGCAUGCGUUCGAACAGAGUAUUCUGCUCGGCGUCAUGCCAGAAGAAGUCUGUUCUCUAUUUCGUCAGCUGGAGAAGUCGGAGUUCCAAAAUCCUACAGAAGGUGUUACAAGUAUGCACUGUAUUAGUUAAACUAUGUAAAAGCGAAGAUUCAAAUGAAGAUGGUACGCUUGAGCCACUCUAAUUAACUAAAAGGUCAAAUGACAGCUAUAUCGAGUAGCCAAUAAGGGUCGUAUAAUCCAAAAUCAGUUAGUAAACUUUCAGGAGUAUGGUCUCCAAAUGCUGCAUAGCAAAAACAGUUAUAGCACAUGUAGAAAACUGUUGUUACUGAUACACUAAUUAGAGUUGCAUUUUUCAUUGUUUUGGCUUCUGAGGGUGGGGAUUUAAAUGAUUGCAUCCUAUAUUAUAUAGGAAAUUACUACGGCAUCAAGUUAAACUACGAGGAAUGAAUGAAAAAUGCUCCAUAUCGUUACCUGAAUCUCCAUAAGGAUGAGGGAGUAAGAAUUGGCAAAAGCAAUAGCUUACAAUGCUUGUAAAGUUCUCCAAACUUUUUGCAUUUCAGUUACAGUUCCAAUGCUAACUCCAAUUAAACUUCCUCCAAUUUUUUAGUUUCUUCAAAUAAAAAAGGUACAUAAAAGUUAGAACUUGCAAUGUUUCCCGGACCUCCAAAAAUGUAGCAAUAGUAGGCUAGAAGGUGACAAACCUGCUACUUGAGCAAUGCCUAAACCUAGACUGAUCGUCGAGUUAGUGAAAGACAUUACAAUAGCAACAAUUGAAAGCCGUCAAAUUUGAUCAAAAUCUUGAAUUUAUGAGAAGAUGGAUUUCUAUUACUCCAAAUAUGAUGUAAUAAGUAACAAAAGAGAAUAAAAGCAUAACAAUAGUAUUUAUAAACCUAUGCAUCAAUGGUAGUCCUAGAAUGUGAGGAAUCAUAGCUUGGUUUGGCAUGUAGUGCCACAGAUGGUCCUUGGGAGCUGGUUGUGGGUACCAAACAUCUCCACUGUAUCCUAAAUUUGGGGGAAAGUAACCAAAAGAAAGCACUCAAUAUAGUUUUAAAUUAUUUCUUUCUUCAAAGGAUUCGGAAAUUCAACAAGAUAUGGAACUACUUCCGAAUUUCGAUAAAAUAUAUUGAAGAAAAGAAAUAAGCAAGAAUUAAAGAAAAAAAAUAUAAUGAUGUGUUCAAUUUAUAUUAAAGUUGAGGGCUCAUCUCUGGAUGCUGUGUUCAGGUUAUGUUAAAAUACCUGCAAUGUGACCGUUGUUACAAGCAUCAACAACUGCUUGAGUGUCCAUAAUUGCUUCUCGAGCACUGUUUACAAUUAGAAUUCCCUUCUUCAACUUUGCGAUUCUUUCCUUGUCAAACAUUUCCCUGGAUCACAUAGUUAAAAUUGUGAACAAUUUACGAUAUAGCACAUGGAAAUAAACAAUGACCUUAGUGAUAUGAGAAGAGUGAUGUAUGGACAGAAACAACUCUUACAUCUCCAAGAAUCUUAAAAAUACUUCAUUGGCAAUCAUAUUAUUCUGGCAACACAAGUUGCUGAGAACAUCUAUCAUCCUACUGCUAAUACAAGUUGUGUGAGAUCAAGGUGGAGAGGAAAUUAAAGGACUCAAGCAGGCAGCUAAAACAGUAAAUCAUUCUAUUUUUUUCUAGAGAGUUGUCACCAUACUUGAUGUUCCUACUUAACAAUCAUUCAUUAGCUUACAAACAUUAGAAUUUAAAAAUGGUGAAAACUAGAGAAAAAGGGUUAGCAAAACAAGUCAUCACAUAGCUAAAUGCAGAUUACCAGUAAAGCCACUAGAGAAAAACUGGGAGCCUGUCAUGCUAUCAAACUUCUGUUUUCGUACAGUUCUUAGUUGGAGAUGGUAAGCAAGGACUACAACUUUUAACUUUGCAACACACAUCACAACUGAAAACUACCUAAAUGAAUGCUCAACAUGUAGUUUUUAUAAGCAAAAACAAAAAAACUACCUAAUAAAGAGACAUACAAAUCAAAGAAGCCACAUGACGAUAAUCAAAAUAUCCUAAAGAGUUACACUUACAAAGAUGGUGGAAGAUAGUGAAUGUACAGUUGAUGAAGUCAAUAUCUCCAAAGUUAGCAUCUUACAAUAUUUCUUAGUUAUACAGAGUGUGUAUCUAAAAAAAACAAUAUUCAGAAAAUUAGUCAUAUUAUUCAUCCAAACUAGAGUGAGCGAGUUCAGAAUGACUACAUUGUACGCUUACAACUGCUUAAUGUUAUCUUCUGGAGUGUUGUAUCCGUCUCCAAAAGAAAGAAAUAAAUUAUCGAGACCACUAUAACAACACAAUAUUUGUGGCAAGUGUGCUGAAGCUUGGACUACUUUCAUGGGCUUAAAGUUGUUGAUAUAGUAGCUAAGGGAUGGUCCUGAGUACUCCCUAAAGAUAAUAAACCACAAAUCAUAAGCAAGUGUAAAGAAGGUUCCGAUACACCUAUAUUGCACGUGACGAAUAAUUUUAUCUAAAUAAUACUAGUGUGAAUAUGAAAUAUAAAUAACAGAGUAAGUGGAAAUGUGAAAUAUAAAUAACAUAUUGUGUAGUUCUUAACUCUUGCAUCUAUCAGACGACUUCUUUAGAUUUUCAAUUUUAUUUAUAGUCGGAGCACCAACAACUGAUUGUGAUGCUAGAGCUUUGCCUCAUCUUGCUAAUAAGCUGAAGAGGCACAAAGAUGCUUAGAACUAUCGAGAAGCCAAUGGUAUCAUUCAAUGGGCAGUUGAUGUAGUCACAAAUCUUGUUAAUGAAAAUAGUAGCAUCAAAACUCGUGUUAAGUUAGUUUAUUUGUAUCUAAAAACAUUGCUAUUGCUGCAUCUACAAAAAUGGAAAAAGAGAACAAUGAAAGAAGAUCGUGGAUUCAAGAUUGAGAUAAAAUACCAACCGAUUAUGUUGUUGAUUUCCCCUUCUAUCUUAAAGGGCAUAUUAUUGUUACCUUUUAAAAAUGCAUAUUUGACUUUGUUAGCACAUAAUAACUACUGCCUGAAUAUAGUUGUGAAUUAUCCGACUAAUAGUAUAUAUUGAGCAUCAUGGUGGUCAGUACUAACCACAAAAGAACAAUCUCUAUUCAUAUGCAAAGAAUAUAGCUUACCUGAAAACACCAAGAAUUGGAAGUCCCUUCUGCAUAGCUAUACUUCUCUUCAUGAGAAGCACUACAGCCGCACCAUCACUGACCUGGCUAGAAUUCCCUAGAAAGAUCAUGUAAUUAGCAUUAAGUUCCAAAUUCGAAGUAGAAUAAAUAUUUUAACUUAGUGGGAAACUAGUACCUGUAAUUGUUGCUCCGUCUCUUUUGAAUGGAGGCUUCAGCUUCGCCAGGCCUAUCAAAUUUGUGGUUGGCAGAAUGCAUCAAUAUAUUGUCCCUAUUCCAGCCCAAAUUCUAAACCCAUGUAAUUUAAACUAACAGAACGACAAGAAAGGAAAAAGAAAAGAAAAAACCACAUCCGAAAAAGAAAUUGUCACUAUGAACUUUGAAGAGAUUAGCACUAAAGUAAAUACUAGAUAUAUGAACUCAUUCCAGCUUAAAUCCUAUACCUAUUCAACUUAAACAAAUAGAACAACAAGGAAUUUUAAAAGAAAAAAAAACCCACAUCCCAAAAAGGAAUUGUCACAAUCGAGUUACCAUUCUCACAAAAAAAAGAAGGAUUUCACAAUGAGCUUCGAAGAGAUUAACACUAAAGUGAAUACAACAUACAUGAAUCUACUCCAGCUUAAAUUAUAUACUCAUGUCAUUUAAGCUAUCAGAACAAUAACAAUGGUAAAAGAAAACAAACCCACAUCCCAAAAACAGAUUAUUCACAAUGAAGUUUCAACAGAUUAUCACUGAAGUGAAUGCAAAAUACAUGAACCUACUCCAGCUCAAACGCUACACCCAUGUAAUUUAAGCUAUCAGAAAAACAAGAAUGGCAAAAGCACAAAACCCACAUCCCAAAAAGGGAUUUCAACAAUGAAGUUUCAAGAGAUUAACACUAAAGUGAAUACAACGAAUCAACAAACAAACAAAAAAUUAAUUGAAUCAGAAAAACUAAAAGUGGAGCGAGAUAAGCGGAAUCGUAUAAGUGCUCUUCAACUCUGUUUUCCAUCUUCAGCUCUUCAGCGGUUCCGUGAGAAAAGCGAUCUUCAGCUCUUCAUCAAUUCUUCGAUUCUAAUUUGGGGUUUCAGCUCUUUAGCUCGCUCUUCUUCAACUCAAUGUUCUUCAGCUCGCUCUUCAGUUCUCCAGAGAAAAGUAGUGUGUCAUUCUUCAGACAAAAGAGAAAAGUAGUAUGUCGUUUUUCUGAUUAAUGUUUUAUGAAUUAUUUUUUUUGGCCAAUAAAAAUGGGAGGGAGAGUUAAAAAUGUUGGAGGGAGAGUUAAAAUUUUAGUGAAAAUUUUAAGCAACACUUGUAAUGUGUUGUUUUUACAAUUAUAAAAAUAGGACAUUUUAAAAGUGAAAUCAUUUAUGCAAAUAAGUGUUGCCAAUUAUAUCAUAUUGUAACAACACUUAUAAAAUGUAGCCUAUACCAGUUUAGGCAACACUUUACAAGUGUUGUCAAUAUUAUUGAAGCCAAAAGUUAAAAACUUGGACUACGCUUUUAAAGCGUUCCCAAUAGUAUUUUAGGCAAUACUUUACAAGCGUUGUCCAGAUUUAGUGUGGCCGUAGACCUAAAAUGGUGUAGUGUUAUGUUUAUAUGAUGCUUAUGUUGGAGAUCAUGAUAUGACUAUGAUGAUUAUGCUAUGACUAUGUUAUUAUAUCUUAUGCUUAUGUAUUAUGUUGACUAACCAUUUUGAGAUGCUCUUAUGAUGUUGUGCUAGCUUUCAUACUUGGUACAUUUUGUACUAACACAUAUUGCCUACAUUCUAAUCAAAUGUAAUGUUUCGGAGAUUGAGUUGCUUUGGAGGCUAGGUUUCCAAGAAUCAAGAAGAGUUGAAGAAUUGGUGAGUCCUCAUAGCUUCGAGGACAAACCCAUAUUUCCUUUAUGUCAUUUCUUUAUGUUUUAGACUGUGUAUGGGCUGCGUCCCAAGAGUUUUAUUCAAGAGUAUGUUAGAUGGUUUGAGACAAAAGUGUAGUAAAGACUUUCGCUUGCUUAUGAAAAUGUUUUCGAUUGUAUGGUUUUAAAUAAGUUUUAAAUUUUCCAUACUUUUAUAAUAUCUUAUGUUAUGAUAAUGCUAAGGGCUUGUAUGAGAACCCUUCGGGGUCAAGUACGCCAUGUUACGUCUAGGGGGUACCCCUGGGUUGUGACAAACUUGGUAAUCAGAGCACAAUGUUUAGAAUGGUUCUAGGAUUGUCUCAAACCACGUCUAGUAGAGUCUUGUUCAUAAAUGUGAAGCGCACCAUAUUUAUGAAUAGGAGGCUAUUGGAUGCUUAGGAAAAGUCUCACUUCUUCAUUCUCUUAGUCGUGCCAUAGAGUUUGGCUUUAGUAGGCCUUUCUUCUAAUCCGUGCUUGUUGUUUUUCAGGGUAUGGCUAAUACAAGGGAGAAUGCUAGGAGAGAAGAGGAAGACAAUGUGGAACAAAAGGUUCCCCUCCAAGUUCCUCUACAAGCUCCUCCUCAAGUUCCAAAUGACUCUCCAAUUGAGAAUGUCACUCUUGCGGAGUUUAGGACUUUUUUUCAAUUAUUGGCUCAAGCCUUGACGGCGCAGGCCAAUAGAGAGGUGGUAGCUCCGGCAAACCCAAUAAGGGAGAUGGGUGCUUUUAGAAUAAGAGAGUUUUUGAGGAUGAACCCUCCGGAGUAUAGUGGCUCCAAGGUGGAGGAGGAUCCAAAUGGGUUCAUAGAAGAAGUUUAUAAAGUGUUAGCUGUCGUGGAGGUGACUUCUAUAGAGAAAGCGAAACUAGCCGCCUAUUGACUUGACGUAUCCAAGUGCUUCAUCCAAUAGUAAGCGUACACGGUCGUUCAAUAGUAAUAUAACCCAACUAGUGAGUUGGGGUCGUGUCCCAAGGGAGCGGUUUGUAACCGAGAAUUAAGAGAAAAGCAAGAAUGUGUUCAAGUUAAUUAUAACUAUAAACAUUUACGAGGAAAAAGAUAUCAAAUUAAAGGGUGACACAAGUGUCAAUUAUCGAAGGGGUUUUUGUAAUCAAUUAUCAAAUAAAACGACAACUAAAAACGAAAAUGCAAAUAUGAGGACGAGAUUCGUGGGAUGUGAUAGGAAUAUGGGCUAAAAUAAACAACCGGGUAAAUGCUAAUAAUAGUAGCUCGCUGUAAAUUGGUAACUAAGUUAGACUUUAAUGGGGGUAAUGAAGCACUGCCUUCGCCUUAGUCCAUUCACUCUCUCGAGCUGAACCCAUGACAACCCAAUAACCACCGACUAUCGAUUCAGUAGUUUUGGUUUUAAAACCUCUCUCUCGAUCAAGUCAAAAGCACGAAGAUAAAAUUGUAUUUGCAACUACAACCCCUUUAAAUUCAAACACAACUACUGAACGAAAUCAACUUUAAAUAGCGAAUAAACAAUCAAUUAACAAUACCCAGCAGUGAAUUCAACCCAUAUUCACAUAUUGACACCCCAAGAAUUGGGGUUUUAGCUAAACAUAGUAAAAAGAUAGAAAUCAAUACCGAAAAGUGUUUCCAUCAUAUGGGUACGAUAGAUAUUGUCUUUACACACGUCAAAGAUGAAGAAUCUUCAAUACCCACUUCCAAUUGCUUAGAAAUGGAAAUCUUCAAAGCUAAGGAACAAAGUCUCCAAAACUCUUAAGUUCUAAAAACUGAAAAUAAUGUUUGAUACUGAUUUCCUCCAAAAUCUGAUAUUAAGCUAAUAAUUGAAACAAGUAUUUAUAGUUGUCAAAAAAAUGUGUUGCGAAGGACCACUCGACGCAGUUAGUCGGGAUUGCCGAUAAACUCGGCGAUCUGCCCUUUGGUCUGGUUCAUCGCCUUUUUGCAUUGGCCUUCAGCAAAUUCAAGUUCUGUAGCAUUGGGCGAUGGAGUACUACAUCGCGGAAUCAUUCAGCAACUUGCCGACUGCUCCUUUAUCUAGUCGACUCGAUUUUCUCCUUCAGAGCUUGGCACACUGGAACAUUAGGCGAGACCAUAGCCAUUCAGCGACUCGCCUAAUGGCUUAGGCGAUCCUCAUGCCGUCUUUUUUGUUUCUUUUCAACUGCCUUGUUCCUUUCUGCACAUUAGUGUCCAUGCUUUGUCUCUAAUUCCAAAUACUUGAAACUCAAGGAUUUUCAUCAGCUAUUGAAACAAAAUAUGCAUUUGAGGACACUAAAUCUAUCAAAAUAAAGCCCUAAAGGAGUCCAAAUCGUGGACUCAUCAACACCCCCAACUUAAACUUUUGCUUGUCUUCAAGUAAAACUCAAGUUCAGCUGUUCAAAAAGGAUGUCUCAAACAGUUCUACACAAGACUCAAGCAUGAAUGCACACAAAAGGACUCAAUGUACUCGUGCAAGGAUCAAUUGUGCACUCAAAGAUUCAAGUUGUGACUCACCAUUACCAAAGAAUAUCAAGCUCACUAUACUUGCUUCAAAUGCAAGUUCAAGCUCAACAAAGGUAUUCAAAUUGCCCUUACACAAAGAAUGAUUCCAUAUUCACUCAAUGGUUCAAUCAAUUAAAGUUCCGGAAUCAAGAUCAACACUCACACUUACAAAGAUAAACACAAUGCAUGAUUUCACCCAUAGGUUUGCCCUUAUUUUCCAAUCGACUUUUGCUUCAGCUCAUUCAAAAUCAAAAGAUCUUUUGAAGGCUUGUAAUGGGGCUGCGUGUAAUGGUAUGGUCAUUUAGGCUUAUAGGAUGAAAUUCUCAUGAAAUCCUCAUGAAAUGUGAUGUGAACAACACCUUCUUUACUUUUCUUCAUCAUUUUCAUUCAAGCUCAAACGUCACCUCUUAUUCAUCUACCAUGGAUUGUUGGAAACCCCAUUUUCUUUUAUUUUCACAACUUUUUCUUUCUUUUUAUUUUUCAAUCUUUUCUUGUUUUUAUUUAUUUAUAUGGAGUGUUUCCAUUUUUCUCAAAACAUGGGCAAAAGGGACUUCUUUGCAUUUUCUUGAUUUGCCUUUUAUUUUCAUCACACCCCCAACUUAGGCUUUUUUUAGCCUAAGUUGGCUAUUCACACAAACCACAAAUCAUGAGGAUUAUGGGUAAUGGAUCGAUAAAAGGUCACAAUGUUAUCAAGUUUCUUCCAUGAAAAGGUUAAGGCUCAAAAGGUGCUCAAAAGAGGUUCGCACACUCACAAGGUAUGCCACAAAAUAAGUAAAAUUUCAAAUUGGUUUACACUCUUUAAAGUUGCCUAAGAUCAUCUCAAGAAAUUGCAUCACUUAGUCAACCGGACUAACGGGGCAAAUUCUAGGUGUCAUCACACAUGGUUCACGGUAAGCUCAUCACACAAGGUAUUGACACCAAUGUUAAACAAGACUUCACACUUUCGCUAGUGUUCAAUGUUCAUCACAAGAGACUCAAUUCGAUACUUGGCUAGUCAUAACGAGAUGCAAAGAGUUCACAUAUUGUCUAUGCAACUUCAAUUUGCCUCGUCGUAGUCACACAUUCAUUUUUGAUCGAUUGUGAGCACUAUUCAAGUCAUCGGUAUUGAUCAAGACCGACACUCAAAUUUGCAAGAGAACAACCACAUUCAACUCAUACGAGAGGUGGCAAUUUUUUUUCGAAAGGGUCAAAAACCAUUUACAAUUAAAAACAAGGAGCCACAAGCUCAAUAAUCCACAAAAGCAGUGUAAAAACACAAUUUUUAGCUCAAAGCCCAAAUAUAAACAAAACAAGAAUUACGAGUGUCACACAAAAGGUGAGCCUCACCCCACCACUAAUAAAGACAUUUGUCCUCAAAUGCAAAAAAGCUAAUAUUAUCCAAAAAUUAGAAGAAAUAAAGACAGAGAGGGAGGUAAAGAGGGGGAUCUUGUCUACGCAGUCGCUCCAUCUAUCUGGGCAUCAGUGCCCGGUGCAUCAGUACCCGGGGUUACCUCAGAAGGAGCAACAAUAUCUGAUCCACUAUGAGCUGCCAUAGAAGUCUUGGUCAGUGAUGUCUCGAUCACUGAUUGCCUGAUCGUCUCCUCAGGAUCCGGUAAAUCUCCAUAUAUGCUCUCCUCUCUUAUCCCUAUCUGCUCCUCGUCGGUCUUAGCAUACGACUCAUCAAUUGCUGCCUUAUCCAUGCGUACAUCUCCGGUUGUAACCAGAGGAAUAACUGAAGUCUCAGGAGAGUCUCUGUCUUCUGCUGCCUCUAGCAAUGAGGUAAAGUCAGUAGACUUUAGAUAGUUGACGUCCUUUCUCAAGUCAGCUACCUCGACUUUUAAAGCCGUAAAAACGGAGGUCUCCUCCUGCCUACUCUCACAAGUUGUGACUCUAGUAGUCAGAUCCUCCACAGAAGCCUGGAGGGGGGGGGGGCAGUGCAGCCAGAAUGGAAGCUUCAAUCAUCAAUGGGACAAAUUUCUCUAACCGAGUCACCCUCACGUCAGGUGAAUGGGCCAGAUGCUUCUUCAGGAUCAUUGCCUGAGUAAUCUUGGUCUAUUGGGAGGAAGUAGCGGUGCUUGGACCCUGUGAAGAUAAAGAAGGAGGGGCAGAAGUACUUGAAGACCCAGAGGUUGGAGUAGGCAAAUACGCCUCUGUUGGUAUCGAAUCAAUGUUCACCUCCGGGGAUGUGUCCACUGGAGGUGUCCUCCUCAUGUCAUCCUACUCUCUAGUAUAUUCUGCCUCAAUGCGCCGAAUGUCAGUGAAGGAGGAUGGGGUGACAUCAAAAUCUCUAACAGCAUCCCCGGGCACUCCAACACGCCGGCACAUCUCUGUGAUCAGUACUAGGAAUGACAAAGAGGUCUUCCUCUGCUUGGCUCUCAUAGCCAUCUCCUGCUCUAUGAUAAGGCCUAAGUUAAGCCGCCUCUUCGAUAAGAUAGACCCCAAGCAUGCUGAUUUUGCAUGUCGGAGGAUAGAUUCGUUCUGUGAAGGCAUAAGUGAACUACUGAUGAAUCCGAACCAAUAACGGGCAACUAUAUUCAAAUCCUUCUUUUCGAUCUCGACUCCCGCCUCAAUCCACUUAGGAGUGGUAUCAGAAAUAAUGGGGGCAAGCUAACCCUUUAAAUCCUCCAGACUUUAUGUCGUAGGCAAACCUUUUUAUGAAAGUGCAGUCCCUGGAGGCCUAUCUAACAUAACAUUAAUGUACUCCUCACUGCAGCUCACUUCUGCACCUCGAGCAGUGACCGACUUAACCGGUUUGAACUCAUUGGCUUUCUUUUUACUCUUUGGCACUAGCUCACCAUAAGCUGUGUAGAACUCACGGAUCCAUGAAGGAAUAUACGGACCUCGGGGCUUGGUGAAAUGAACUGCUGCCACUGUAAUAACUCCUCUACACUGGAGUACUUGCCUUCCAGACAUUCUAUAGAGAGCAGCUUCUCCUCGAGGAUGGUUCACAAACUAUCUCCUUUCAACCUGUUGAGGAGUCUAGGCGGAGGAACAACUGGUGGCACAGGAGCCACAGGUGGUGCCGGAGUUGGCACUGAUUCUAUUGGUGUGGAAGCAUGAGGGGCUCUGGUAGAUGUGGGGUGAGAUCUAGCUCGGAGCUCAAACUACCGAGACUGUAGAGGCUGGUCAUCAUCAGUCUCAGAUAGAGCAGCCUGGGAGCCAGCAGUAGCCCUGCCAGACCUAGGUCUCUUGCCUUUUUCUUUUUCAUAUGGUGGAGGUUCUUGCCUUCCUCUCUUUGAAGGAUUCGAUCCCUCUUUGUUGAUUGUGAUCCCCCGUGUUCUUUUACCGGGUGGCAUGUCUAUGUUUGUCCUUACCAUACAUGCAACACAUCAAGAAAAAGUUAAAAAUAACUUAAUCAAAUUCAUAGAAACACAGUUGCAGAAAGACUCGUCGAACCAGUCGGUGAGUCGCCGAAUCGCUUUGGCAAGCUGGAUCGGGCUCGCCAAAGGGAUUGGCUCAAAAUUCUAGGCAAGUCGGUGAAGGGAAAGGUCUUUCGGUGAAUCGCCAACAAAUUUUGGAGGGCAAGAAUUAGCUCGCCAAAAGUUACAGUGCAAAAAGGGUUCAGGGGUGCAGACAAAAGGGUGAUCAUGAAAGCUUUCGGUGAGUCGCCGAGUUCCUUCGGCGACCUCAGGCUUCUCGCCGAAAGUUAUAGAAUACAACAACACAUAAAGCAUGAAAUUAAAGGUGAGAUGGGGACAUUAGGCAAACCGUCGAGUGGUCAGGCGAGCUCGAUCCAGCUCGCCAAACGACCUAACGUGCCUAUUUUCAAACCAACUUCUUGAAUUCAACCCCGCAACCCCCGAAAACAAAAUCAAAACAUGCACUAGUUAAUUUAAGACUAGACCCAUAGCACCCAUUACCCCAGGAUACUCCGACUUUUCCCAAUUUUUCCAAAUUUGGCCAAUUGACAACGUUUGCCUUUAAAAUUGAAGUCACCCGCUCUAUCAUUAGGCAAAUUACAUUGUUUGGCACAAAUACGGGCUACUCAGACUUCACCCAACCAAGCCAAAUAACAUGCAAGCACAACCCCAUAAGAUUUAACAAAUUUCAACGCAUAAGAACACGGGAAAUCGACACUAUAUGCAUUAUGGGCAAGAUUAAUAAUUCAAAUCAGUCAUUUAAACAAUCUAAUCCUAUCAGAGAGGCCCUGCACACAUUAACAACAUACUAUUUCUUGCAUAAGAGUACAAAUUACUAAAUAUAAAUUUGGGUUUUGGAAAACCAACCUUAGUUGCCGAUUAAUAAAUACUGAAAAGCUAGGCUGUAAUGUAAUCCACUCCAAACACAACUCUGACAACUAAAAUACUCUUGAAAAUACGAAAAUAUCGAAAAUACUAAAUAUGUGUGAGUUUGGGAAGAUGAAAAAUGAGGGAAAAUGAAAGAGUUUGGAAUUUAAACCUUUGGCCCUUUAGUAAACCGUCCAGUCCUCGCCCAUUUGGUGACGUUAGUCGUGGUUUCCGACCCACUUGGCGACAUGCCGAGUGGUCACUUACCUCACCGAGUUUUACAGGACCUUCAAUUUAUGUGGGGAUCCAAAUGGCAGACAAUAUCGUUGUCGCCGACUCGCCAAAAAAUUCCUGGUUUUCGCCAAAGGUUACACACUCCAAGUUAAAUUUGUCUUGAGUCCAGUGGCGGUCUAAGUCGGGGUCGCCAACCCUUUCGACAGUGCACCGACUGGACCUUUUUCUCACCAAUUUCCCUCUUUCCAAACGCUUUCCACACGUUAACCUGCACAACCAACAUACCAUUAUUCUAAACAAAGAAUGGUAAACAAAUAAGAAAACUUGGGUUGCCUCCCAAGUAGCGCCUUAGUUAACGUCGCGGCACGACGUAAGUCCACCUUCAAACCUCAUUCUUGGGGUUAGCCAUAGUAUCACUAGGCAAACCCCCCUGCUGUCUCGGGUUGAGAUGAGACGAUAUAUGACCCAUUUGGGUCUCCAACUGCUUGAUUGAUACUGAAUGAGAGGUGACAGUCUGACUAUGGGUAGACACAUCUUCUUUCAUUUCUUUUAAAAUUUUGUCUGACCCUUCAACUUUGUUGAGGAUACACGAGAGCAUAUCCUCAGACCUACCACCUUUCGAAUCCUUUGGGUUUUGGCGCUCAUGGGGAGGUACAUAUCUAUCCUUCUCCCCAUCUUUCCAAUUUGGAUUACGGUCCCUCAAUUCAUGAUCUCAAUCUUUCCAACUUUCAUCCCUAGCCCAACCUUGGUUACCAUCCUGCCUCGAGUAGUUUGAACGAUAACCACCGCCUUGGUUGGCUAGGAAAUUUACCUUUUCAUUAUACAAGGCCUCAAACUUGAACUCAUCCAGAUUAGCACACCCGACAUCCACAACAUUGACACUUUGAGCACCAGCUCCCAUGACAUUUUUAGACAAAAUAUCAAGUUGUGCCAUUAUCUUGGCCAUGUUCUGGUCCCUCUCUUGGUCCUUCUCCAUCUGUUUCUUAGUCAACUUGAACGUGAGAUGGGAAACCUGGUCUUCACGGGUAUACCAUGCCCUGUUUAUGAUAGUCAUGCCAUCCAAGAGCUGAGCCGCUAUCACAUAAGGUUGCUGCAUCAAACCUCCCGAAGAAAGUUGGUCAGCAACACCCUUAUUUACCGAAUCAAGACUCCGGUAAAAAUACUGCAACAUCACGUUAUCAGGCAAGCCCUGGUUUGGGCAUUGAGCACCAACUUCUUGAAUCGCAACCAAGUUUCAUGCAUUGGCUCUCUUUCUAGACAUUUAAAGCUCUGAAUGUUGUCCCGAAGAUUCAUCAUCUUCGAGGGAGGGAAAAGUCACACUUGAAAUGUGGUGACCAACUCCUCCCACGAAGUGAUUGAUUCAUGUGGCAAUUCAGCCAUCCAUUUGCACGCUUCUCCCAUAAAAGAGAAUGGGAACAACCUCAACCUCACAAAUUCUUGGGAGUUAUUCUUGAAGGAGAAUGGUUCGCAUACAUCCACAAAGUUUCUAAUGUGCUCAUGGGGAUCCUCAUGAGCCAAACCACUAAAAAGCCCCUUUAGUUGCAAGAGUUGCAACAUAGUACUCGUGAUGUGAAAUACCGUAUUCCCUUCGGCCGGAGGCAAGUGAAUGGCACCAAUACCGCCCAUGAGAUGGGGGUCAUUAGCAUGAGGCUCGUUGACAUCGUUGAGGUUUCCGAUGUCGUCUCGAUGGCCUACUUGGCUGCCAUUGCUGCCGUUUAUGCUCAUACUUCCUAUUUUUAACACACAAACAAGCAAAAAAAAACUAAGAAUUAAGUAAGUAGAACUAUAACUAAAAAGAACAAAAUUCAACUUAACUAAAAAUUCUCAAUUAACACCACUCCCCGGUAGCGGCACCAUUUUUGACUUGACGUAUCCGAGCGCUUCAUCCAAUACUAAGCGUCCACGGUCAUUCAAUAGUAAUAUAACCCAACUAGUGAGUUGGGGUCGAGUCCUAAGGAAGCGGUUUGUAACCGAGAAUUAAGAGAAAAGAAAGAAUGUGUUCAAGUUAAUUAUAGCUAUAAACAUUUACCAAGAAAAACAUAUCACAUUAAAGGGUGACACAAAUGUCAAUUAUCGAAGGGGGUUUUGUAAUCAAUUAUCAAUUAAAAUGACAACUAAAAAUGAAAAUGCAAAUAUGGAGACGGGAUUUUUGGGAUGUGAUAGGAAUAUGUGCUAAAAUAAAUAACCAGGUAAAAGCUAUUGAUAGUAACUCGUUGUAAAUUAGUAACUAAGCUAGACUUUAAUGGGGGUAAAUUUUCUCUCGAACAAUUUACCCCGAAUCAAAUUGGUUUCUCUCGAACACCGAUAAGCGGCAAUGAAGCACAUCAUUCACCUUAGUCCAUUCACUCUCUCGAGUUGAAUGUGUAGGAGAGGGUUUAGGAUUCACUCUCUCGAGUUGAACCCACGACAACCCAAUAACCACCAACUAUCGAUUCAGUAGUUUUGGUUUAAAAACCUCUCUCUCGAGCAAGUAAAAAACGUGAAGAUAAAAUUGUAUUUGCAACUACAACCCCAUUAAAUUCAAACAAAACUAUUGAAUGAAAUCACUUUAAAAAAUGAAUAAACAAUCAAUUAGCAAUACCCAGCAGUAAAUUCAACCCAUAUUCACAUAUUCACACCCCCAAGAAUUGGGGUUUUAGCUAGACAUAGUAAAGAGAUAGAAAUCGAUACCGAAAAGUGUUUCCAUCAAAUGGGUACGAUAGAUUUUGUCUUUACACACGUCAAAGAUGAAGAAUCUUCAAUACCACUUCCAAUUACUUUGAAAUGGAAAUCUUCAAAUCUUCAAAGCUAAGGAACAAUGUCUCGAAAACUCUAAGGUCUAAAAACUGAAAAUAAUGUUUGAUAAUGAUUUCCCCCAAAAUUUGAUACUAAGCUAAGAAUUUAAAGAAGUAUUUAUAGUUGUCAAAAAAAUGUGCUACAAAGGACCACUCGACGCAGUUAGUCGGGAUCGCCGAUCCACUCGGCAAUCCUCCCUUUGGUCUGGUUCAUCGCCUUUUUGCAUUGGCCUUAAGCAAAUUUAAGUUCUGUAACAUUGGGUGAUGGAGUACUGCAUCGCGAAAUCAUUCGGUGACUAGCCGACUGCUACUUUAUCUCGCCGACUCAAUUUUUUCCUUCAGAGCUUGGCACACUGGAACAUUAGGUGAGACCAUAGCCAUUCGGCGACUCACCUAAUGGCUUAGGCAAUCCUCAGACCGUCUUUUCAUCUUUGUUUUCAGCUGCCUUGUUCCUUUCUGCCCAUUAGUGAUCAUGCUUUGUCUCUAAUUCCAAAUACCUGAAACUCAAGGAUUUUAAUCAGUUAUUGAGACAAAUGCAUUUGAGGACACUAAAUAUAUUAAAAUAAAGCCCUAAAAGAGUCCAAAUCGUGGACUCAUCACUUAUCAAUUGAAGGAUGUUUCCUAAAUUUGGUAUGAGCAAUGGAAAGAUAGUAGGCCGGUAGAAGUUGGUCCUAUAUAAUGGGAAGCAUUUAAGUCGGCAUUUCUAGAUAGGUUCUUUCCCCUGGAGUUGAGGGAAGCCAAGGUGGGAGAAUUCAUCAACCUUAAGCAAGGUAGCAUGAGUGUUAAAGAGUAUUCCUUGAAAUUCACUCUAUUGUCUAAGUAUUCCCCAUCUAUGAUAGCAAGUCAGAGGGAUAUGAUGAAUAGGUAUGUGACGGGGGUGUCCAAAAUAGUAUCACAAGAAUGUCGUACCACAAUGCUCAAUGAUGAAAUGGAUAUCUCACAUCUUAUGGUGUAUGCUCAACAAAUGGAGGAAUAAAAACUUCAAGAGGAAAGAUCUAGGGAUAAAAAGAGGUCUUGGAUGGAUAAUGAUAAGUCCUUUCAUGAUGGGUCCGAUGUACAUGGUUGUUCUAGGAAUCGACAAAAGUUUUCCGGACAUGGCUUUUCUAAUGCUCCUAGGAUGAGAGGGUGUCUACCCCUAGGCCCCAAGGGAUAAGUAAUGAGUCCCUAUGGCCCUCUUGUGCUAGGUGUGGUAAGAGGCAUGAGGGUAGGUGUUUGGCUGAUAGAGAGGGGUGCUUUUGUUAUGGUGAGAGUGGCCAUAAUAUGAAAGAUUGCCCUAAGGCUAAGGUUACAAGAAGAGAGGGUAAGCAAGUUGCCUUUAGUAGUGUGGAUGUGGAGCCUCAAUAGAAGAAUAGGUUUUAUGCUCUCCAAUCUAGAGAAGAUCAAGAGUGAUCUCCUCAUGUCCCUUCCGGUAUGUGUUUUAUGCUUUAGUAAAAUUUUCAGAUUUCCUGUCUUUUAUUACCUGUUAUGUUGGACUUGGAAGUUGUUUUUAGCAUAUAUGAUGUUUAGAAAAGUUUGUGUAAGCUUACUCUUAAGGGGGAGAUAGUGUGCCUACCUAGUAGAGUUAUUGUGUGUUUAUAUGUUACCAUGAUUUCCUUAUAUGCAUGUUCAUGAAAAUGCCUAGGUCUUGUUAGAAAUGACUUGUAUGCAUCGUUCUCCUUAUGUUGUAGUGCAUUUGAGUAGAAUUGCAUAUAGACUUCAUGAGUUGAAUUAUGAGCAUGCCUUAGUUUUUGGAGUUGAAAGGUUCCUCCUUGAAUUAAUGCCUUAUGAGAAGAAAUUUGCAUUUAGGCUUCAUGAGUAUGUGAUGAGCAUGUUUUAGCUAGGAGAUAUUAGUUCCUCCUUAAAAAUGAGUAGAUAUAGAGUUUCAUGUAUUUUUGGUUGGUGGAAGUAGUUCUUACUCCCUUGUGUUGCAUUGAAUAUGUUUAGCAUGGAAUUGAAGUUUUCUUCCUUGGUUUUGUGCAUUUAGAUGUAGUGCAUGCAUGAUGGGCUGUUAGCUUAGAGUUGUGACUUCAAUAAGUGUCUAGAAUUGAUAUUCGAGGACAAAUGAUCCCAAGGGGGAGAUAAUGUAACACCCCGGAAACUAGCAAGUUGAACUAGUAAGUUAUAGAGCCUUUUGUAAGAGGUUUGGAGUGCGGUAUGAGGAUUAAAACUCGUAAAAAUGAUUCCCGUACUUAGAAUGGAGGUUUUAGGGGCUAUAUGUCAAGGUACGACCCCCCAAGGACCACCCAAGGGGUCAUUGGGGAGGACUCUCAAAACAGCCCCAAAUCUGCAAUUUUAUGCAGCACCUACGAUUAACCACCUACUGGCCGUAGGUGGACCCACGCCCCGUAGGUGGGGCUCGUGGGUCAAGGCCUGAGUUGGCCUGAACCUCUUAGUCUCAGACACCACCUACGAAGCAGCCAGCACGAGCCGUGAACCCACCCACGGUCCGUGGGUGGGUGAUCCGUAGGUCCUGGCAGCUUUAACAUUUUUAGUUUUAGUUAGGGGUUUAGGGAAUUAAUUAAGUAAUUAGUUAAGUCUUAGAGAGGUAUGUUAAUUAGUUAAAUAACCACCUAUAAAUACCUAAUAAGACCUAAAACUAAGUCAUAAACUCAUUUCUCUAAGAAUCCCCAAAAUCUUCUCAAGAAAUUCUCUCUCUAGAAGCAAAGAAGAAGAAGAGAAGAGAAGAGGGCAGUUUUUUUCUCCAUUUAAGUAAGCUUUAUUUAGGGAUUUGAAUCAAGGUAUGUUUAUCUUAUUCAUCUAUAGGUUCUUCCACCCAUAGAGCCGUCAUAGUUUCCCCCAAAUUGUGAAGUCAAAAACCCAAUUCUAGCUAGGGUUAUGCUUACAUUGUGGGUAGGGUUUGGGUAUGAUUCCAAUCUAGUGGAUAAUACCUAAUUAUGAUUGAUUUAGAUUUUUUUUAGUGAUUUUAUGAUGAAUUCAUGUGAUUUCUAUGGUAAACCCUAGCCUAAAUUGAUGAAUGUGAUAUUUGUGGGUUAAUGCCAUUAGAGGCAAAGUUGAAGGUUCAAAGGUGAUCUUCCUAAAUCAAUGUCAUGUAUACUAAUUGAUACAAAUUUAGGACCAUAUAAUCAUGAAUUGAACUAGACUUUAUUGAAUAUGAAGGAUCUUGACUUGUAAAGUUAGAAUUGAACCUUUAUGAAUCAAUUAUGACUAGAAUCAUCUUCUAAUGAAUAUUGUGAUUGAAAUACCUUGAAAUAUAGGCAUAAAUAUGCUAGUAAGAAGUAAAGCUUGAAAGUAGGGCUUGUAGCCAUCAAUGUUAGGGCUUUAGGGGUAAAGUCAAUAUGAUGUGAUCUUGUUGUGUAUUGUUUUUCUUCUACACACUUAGGCAUGAAGAUGCUAGGAGAUCCAAGGUUCUCUCACAUGCAAUGAUUCUAGGUUGGCCUAAUAACCUAAAAUGAAUCAAAGUAUGAUAGUCUAGAAUAGCUUCAAGUUGUGACAUAUAUUCCCUUUAUGUAUAGCUUGGCUUAGUAGGAUAAGACCAAGGUUGAUAGCUUAGGAUGGAGGAUCUAUACUCUCCUAAGGGAUGAUUGACUUGGCAUUAUAAAGAUGCAUUUAAUGGUAGCAUGAGUUAGGAGUAGUCAUGGUAGCCUAGGAUUGAGGAUUCAUACUCUCCUAAGGGUAGCUUGAACUAGCAUUGUUAGGAUGCCUUCAUGGUAGCAUGACUUGGUUUAACCAAGACCAUUUCAUGGUAGCUUUGGGAUAGAGGACUUAUACUCUCCUAAGGGUAGCUUAGGAUUGAGNNNNNNNNNNNNNNNNNNNAGGAUCCAUACUCUCCUAAGGGUAGCUUGACUAUGCAUUGAAAAGUGCAUUUCAAGGAUAACUUGAGUUAGGUCAGUCAUGGUAGCUUGGGAUUGAGGACUCAUACUCUCCUAAGGGUAGCUUAGGAUUGAGAAUCAUACUCUCCUAAGGAUAACUUGCAUUUGUAUCAUAGUAUUCUUGUAAGGGUACCAUGACUUAGUUGGUCUAAGACUAUUUCAUGAUAGCUAGGAUAGGACACUUGUACCUUUCCUAGAGUAGCUUGGACUUGCAUGUUAGUAUGUCUUCCAAGGUAGUUAGCUUAGCUUAACCUAGUUAUGUUAGUAAGAUGAUAACAUGGUCUAGCCUAUUAGGGGGUUAUUUCUUGGUAGCCUUGGAUUGUGAAAUAAAGUUCAUUCAUGGGUUAUGACUUGCCUAGUACUAAAUCGAGAAGUACCUUAUAUGAAUAAAGGCAAAAUAGAAUAGAGGGACUAGUCCCCAACUAGAGAGCAUUCAUGAUAGUCUAAAGGAGUACUUAGUGUGGGUAGUAGUAUGGAUGCUAUCCAUACAUUGCAUAAGUAUGCCUUAAGGCUAGGUAUGAAGGGUUCCUACACAUAGUAUAGUUUAGCUUGGGUUGUUGCUAUAGUUGCCUUCUAAGAGAUGAUUGACUAAAUGUGAUAGUUCCCUUGUCUAUACGAAGAUAGCUAAUAGUAAGACCAAAGUAGGGUGAAUAUGACUAAGAUGAUUUCAAGGUUAUGCAUAGUGUGAAGGGUAGUAUGUGAUGCCUUUCAUGCAUUGCACAAGUGUGCUUUAAAGUCACUUAGAAGUAUGGUGCCCUUAUAGUAGAGAGGCUUAGGAUUUAACCAUGCAUAUAGACUAUGAUUUAGAUGAACAAAAAGGGAUACUUGGCUUGGGUGGUAUUAUGGGAUGCUAUUCUUGCUUUGAACAUGUAUGCUUUUGAGGUUACUUGAGAAUGGUGCUAUUAUGGUAUAGAUGACUAAGAGUCAAUUAUGCUUAUAUUACUCUGACUUAUCUCCUAUGCUCAUUAGCUAUGUCUUAUGUUGACUUAUGUUUAUAUGAUGCUUAUGUUAGAGAUCAUGCUAUGACUAUGAUGAUUAUGCUAUGACUAUGUUAUUAUAUCUUAUGCUUAUGUCUUAUGUUGACAAACCAUUUUGAGAUGCUCUUAUGAUGUUGUGCUGGCUUUCAUAGUUGGUACAUUUUGUACUAACGUAUAUUAUUGCCUACAUUCUAAUCAAAUGUAGGGUUUCGGAGAUUGGGUUGCUUUGGAGGCUAGGUUUCCAAGAAUCAAGAAGAGUUGAAGAAUUGGUGAGUCCUCAUAGCUUCGAGGACAAACCCAUAUUUCCUUUAUGUCAUUUCUUUAUGCUUUAAACUUUGUAUGGGUUGUGUCCAAGAGUUUUAUUCAAGAGUAUGUUAGAUGGUUUGAGACAAAAGUGUAGUAAAGACUUCCGCUUGCUUAUGAAAAUGUUUUCGAUUGUAUGGUUUUAAAGAAGUUUUAAAUUUUCCAUACUUCUCUAAUAUCUUAUGUUAUGAUGAUGCUAAGGGCUUGUAUGAGAACCCUUCGGGGUCAAGUACGCCAUGUUACGUCUAGGGUUUACCCCUGAGUCGUGAUAGUACGUGGUUUUAAUUAAAGAAUUGUAGUUGCAAAUGCAGUUCUACCUUCGUAUUUUUGGCUUGCUCGAGAAAGAGGUUAUAAAACCAAGAUCAUUGAUUGAUGGUCUGUGGGUAUUGGGUCGUCAUGGGUUCAGCUCGAAAGAGUGAAUCCUAAAUCCUUUUCCACACAUUCAACUCGAGAGAGUGAAUGUACUACAACAUAGGUUGUUCUUAUUUGCAUGCUUGUCAAUGUUCGAGAGAAAUCAACUUGAUUCGGGGUAAAUUGUUCGAGAGAAAGUUUAUCCCCUCUAAAGUCUAGCUUAUUACUAAUUUACAGCUAUUUUCUAACAGUUGCAAUUAUCCAUUUGUCUACAUUAGCCUAUAAUCGAAUCACAUCCCAAGAACCUGUCUCAUUAUUGUUAUUUCGUGUUAUUUGUUGUUGUUGUAGCUGAUAGUUAAAACCAAAAUUCCCUGUUAUUUGACAUUCGUGUCACCCCUUGAUUUAAAUUAUGUCUUUAUUCGAUAAUGUCUAUUCCUAUGGCUGAUAUGACAACAUUCGUACUUUCCUAUUGAUACUUAAACACAUACCACUCCCUGUGGGAUUCGACCCAACUCAUUUAGUUGGGUUAUAUACUGACUAACGAUCGUUGACUCUUAGAACUGGAUUAAGUGUCUUUGAUAGCAUUAUUCAAUCAACCAAUAAUUGGUAUUCUCUUUUGGUGAAUGGCCAAGAUUGUGGCUUUUUGUUACUUUACUAGGGGUGUUAAACAAGGAGAUCCUUUAUCUCCUUCUGUAUUCGUUCUAACAGCUAAAGUUCUUGCUAGGGACCUUAAUAAUCUGUUCAGCUAUGCAGGGUAUCAGGUAUUUGGUAUACCAAAAUGGAGUGAACAGAUUAAUCAUCUUGCCUAUGCUGAUGACACUAUCAUUUUUGCUAAGGCAGACAAAGGUUCCUUGAACUUGAUAAUGAAGACUUUACAAGAAUAUGAAUCACAAUCUGGUAAAAAAAUCAAUAAAGAAAAUAGUGCAUAUUUUGUUUAUCACAAGGCAGCUCAAGGUGACAUCCAGAUGAUAGAAGAAUGUACUGGUUUUCCUAGAGGUAAGUUCCCACUAACUUAUCUUGGAUGUCCAAUUGGGCAUGCCAGGAAAAGGAAAAUUCAUUUUUCUAAACUCAUAAAAAAGGUUCAAAAUAAACUUCAAGUUUGGAAAGGGAGACUUCUGUCUUUUGGGGGUAAGACUGUAUUGAUCAAUAAUGUAUUACAUAGUGUUCCUAUGUAUCAGCUGUUUGCUAUCAUUCCCCCCAAGUGUGUCAUCCAUGAUCUUCAUAGAAUCUUUGCAAGAUUUCUAUGGAAUUUUAAGGAGGUAGGAAGAAACAAACACUGGGUUUCCUGGAAUAAUGUAUGUUUACCCAAAAAAGAAGGAGGACUAGGAUUUAGAUCCUUAUUUGAUGUUUCAAGCGCUUUAUUUGCAAAACUAUGGUGGAACAUUAGAAAAAAUAAUUCUAUGUGGUCUCAAUUUAUGUGGAAUAAAUACUAUAAAAGACACAUACCACAAACAGUAGAAUGGAGAGGAGGUUCCCAAACCUGGAAACAUAUACUAGCUGCUAGAGAUUUUAUUGAUCAAGAAAUAUGGUGGCAACCAAAUUGUGGUCUAACUAGUAUCAUGUUUGAUAAUAGGACACAAUUAGGUGCUCUAUAUUAUUAUCUUCCAGUGUCUUAUAAUAAUGAAUGGAAUGCAGAGUGAUGUUGAUCAAUUAUAUCAAGAAGGGAGUUGGAAUGAAAAGCUCUUAAGAAAUGUAUUCCUGAAAAUGUUGUAAAACAUAUUCUCAACAAAAUUGAGAUAUUCCAGGAAUCAGAGGAAAGGGAUAAUCCUAUGUGGAUGUUAAACAACUCUGGUAAAUUUUCAGUCAAGUCUGUGAUACUAAAGUAUGGCCAGGGGAGAUACAUGCUAACUAUGGGUAGGAAGCAGGAACCAUUAUGUAAAAAAUUUCGGGGGGUUACAAAUCUCUUAUACUACCAUCGAUCGACAGAGUGGAACGACUUUCUUCAAUCUACUUAAUUAAUUUAAAAGGCGACCCACCGCGCCAGGCUAUAAGAUAAGACACAGUUCUUGUACUACUUGAUUGACUAGUAAGAAAGAGCUUUCGUAAGAACUGAAAGACUCUUGUAUCCACGGAAAAAAACUAGGAAUAUCUGAUUCUAGAUCAAUAUAAUAAAAAAAGCAGGUUCUAGGGCAAGUGAAUUUGAAAGCAGUCUCUUUUAAAGAGAGUUAGAAAAGCUAAUCCAGUUGUUUCCUUGCCCUGGUUUGGUCUCUAGUUUGAUGGUUUGUACGUGCUAAAAAUCCGGUACAUUCCGUUUUGUUUCUCAUCCCAGUCUUUCGCAACACUUCAAGUUUACUUCUUUUGUUAGGUCUCAAGGACAUUAUCAGAACCCCUGGAGUUGAGAAUGCUAGUUUUGAUAGGAUUUGGGAGAAGGGUGUACCUUUUAAGGUAUCUUUCUUUUUCUGGAGAUUAGUAAAGAAAAGGAUCCCCAUUGGUGAGGUCUUGGCCAGAUUUGAAAUUGAGGAGGAGAUGGUGUGUUGCUUGUGAUCAGAUGGUGAAUGAAAGUUUUCAAUACCUAUUUGUCUCCUGCCCUGCUGCUAAUCAUAUGUGGAGUACUUUUGCUAGAGCUGCUGGUGUAGAAGGUCCUUUCCUUCAGAUAAAGGACACAAUAUACAAGUAGUGGAAUGCAAAUUGUCCAGCUAAGCUAAGGCCCCUAUUCAAUGCUAUACCUGGACUAAUACUCUGGAAAAUCUAGAAAAGAAGGAAUAGAGUAAGACAUGGUGACAAAAUGAAUGUGCAAGGCAUGAUGAUGGAGGUAAACAGGAACUUGCACAUGUUAGCUGUUCUCAGAUACCCUUGGCUGAGGAAUAUACCUGAGAAUUGGUCGAAUUUGGUGAAUUUCUUUGAAGGAUAUAAACCAAUUAUAGUUCCUAAUGUCGUAUACUGGAAACCUCCUAAGGAUGGGUUGGUAAUGUUGUGUUUAUACUUAUCUAAGUAAGAACUGAAGAUUACCACUUGGAGGAAGCCCCAAAUAAGAUCGAUUUGUACAUCAGUAUAAGGACACUGCAUAACAAUGUAAAGUUGAGCUUCAUUUGGAUUUAAUCGAAAGAGGUUGUGGGAUUACCUUUCACACAGGAACAUGACCAAGAGUUGUUGAGCUGAAGAAGUCUUCGAUGGUCAAGAAUACAUGGCGUUAGUGAGAUUUAUAACGUCUUAGUGUAAUCUAUCCAAGCUCGACACUAAUCUUCCCUAGUUCUUCUGUGAUUAAGAUCUAGCUCAUCUCUCAUCAUUUGCACAAAGAUCCUUUAAUGGAGGUCCACCUUUGUCGACAGUAUUGAAGAUUGGAGAACCGUUUGUUGAAGAAGGAUUCGAGACAUUGUUGUCUUUAAGAUAGUGAGGGUAAGCUUUUCCUUUUUGUUAUUCUGUUUAGUCUAGUUUCCUAAUUUUGACUUUGUUUCAGAUUUUGGGAUUGGGCCUUAUUUUGGGACUAAUCCCAUUAUUGAUGAUUUUCAUUUAUUUGUUACCUAUUAAUAAAGGGCGUUUAGCCACCUUUUGAUUAAAACAAAGGAUUGAAGAAUUCUUGAGAUGAUCAGAAUUACUUGAGAAAUAAUUGUUGAAGAGAGAGUUGAAAAUAAAAAGAAGAAAAUAAUGGGUGAUAAAAUCUUAAAGUGCAAAGUGCUUAAGGAAGUGUAAGUCAAUAUUAUAUAGUUUUCCUACCCAUUCCCUAGCCUACAUUACAACCCAUUAAAGCCCUAUUUGAUUAUAUUCAAGCAUGCUUAAUUAGUGGAGAUGUACAUAAUGGGCAAGCCUAUGGUUCUUUGUGCAUACAUGUGAAUUUUAUCUCUGAGUGUGAGUUGUUCUUUGAUGCCAAGUCCUUAAUUUAUAUUCAAUCUUUUGAUUUGAGUGUGUGGACUAUUUCUUCUUGUGAGGACACUUGUUUCAUGAUAGAUAGGUGAUGUUAUUAACUUUCUUUGAUGAGAAUAGGUGAGAAAACUUAAAUUUGAUGAGUUCAGAGUCCUUCCUUGAGGUUAGGAGGUUAGAUGUUUGUUAUUUAUUUGGAUGCCUUGCAUAAUGAGUGGGAAUGUACUUGACGUUUUGAAAUUUGUAUAUGGCCUAAUUGUUUGUAUCAAGAAUUUUGGAGAUGAGCUUUAAUGUUUACUUGAGGACGAGCAAAAGUUUAAGUGUGGGGUGUUGAUGUGAGGCCAAAAUACAUAUUUUAAUCAUUAUUUGCCUCAUAUUUAGUAUUUAUAUAUGUCCUUUUUGAGCAUGGAUUAUAUGGAUUGUGCUUAAUAGUAUAUUUUAUUUGUAGGAUUAAAUUGGUGAAAACAUGAAGAAGUUUGGAGCUAAAACGAAUUAAAGAUGGAAGGUUGAAGAAGAAAAUCAAACAGGCAGCUUAAUUGAUUAAAUUGAAUAUAAUAAUAUUAUAUAUAUAUAUAUAUAUAUAUAUAAUAUUAUNNNNNNNNNNNNNNNNNNNNNNNNNNNNNNNNNNNNNNNNNNNNNNNNNNNNNNNNNNNNNNNNNNNNNNNNNNNNNNNNNNNNNNNNNNNNNNNNNNNNNNNNNNNNNNNNNNNNNNNNNNNNNNNNNNNNNNNNNNNNNNNNNNNNNNNNNNNNNNNNNNNNCAUCUUUUCUUUGAAUGAUUCGUUGUAAUUGUUCUAUGUCUAUGUGGAGUUAAACUUCUCGUUCUUGGAUUAUAUUUUCUUACAAAAUGAUUGUUUAGUAAUUUUGAUUCUGCAUAAUUGUUUAUCAUAUUGGUUGUUCUUAUAUUCUUAUGAUUACUAUUUCCAUGCUUGAUCAGCAUAGAGAUAAACACAUUGUCUACUCUUGAAUUGAUUUGUGUAUAGGAUAGGGAUAUACCUAGGUACCUUGCUUGGCUCAAAUACGGGAAUACAACGUAAUGCUCCAUAGUUGGUUUAGUCUAUCCCCGCUCAACGAUGUAGUUAGGCUGUCAACUGUGGUAGACGGUUAGAGGUCGGGAUAUCAUGACUAUAUUAUCAGCCCCUUGAAUCAAUAACUAGAUAAUCAAAUAAGUUGAUGAAAUUGAUGCUAAGCGUAAUUGUCAGUUAAAUCAUAAUCCUAGAUCGAUUCAUUCAUUGAUAGUGUAAACAUCUAUCUUUUCUUAGUUAAUUAUUUUUUAGUAAUUUUAUAUUUAUUUUUAGUUUAGUUAAUAUAUAUUCAUCUUUUGAAAUCCUCCCUUAAAUAAAUAAUUAGAAUUAAUAUAAUUUAGUAAGAAUAAUUAAUUGACAAGUCAUUUGGGUUCGAUAAUCCGAUUCUUUUAAGAGCCACUAUAUUACUUGUGCGACCACGUACACUUGUGUGUGCAAUUGGUAGCAACAAUCAUAAUGCACAUAUUUUAAGUAAACCUCACCACACAAGGCACUCAACACAAUUAUCGACCAUAACUCUACAAGUUAAGCUCGCAUGCAACGACCAUAGCAAGGCUAACCUUGACAAUCUGACUAGUAACAAUUAGAUGCUAAGAGUUCACAUGACUUAUGCAAUUCAAAUUGCCUCGUUGGACUUGCACAAACACAUCACUCAUCAAUAUCACUAUUCAAGUCAUUAGUAUUGACCACCACCGACAUUCAAAUGUACAAUAUAACAUUUUCAACAUUCACGAUCAAGCAAACAAGAGAGAUACCAAUGAGUCAAAGCCAACAUUCAUUCAUAUUCAAGCAACACGAAGAAGUUUCGAACAAAAAUAAUAAAACAACAAAAUAUCCAAAACAAAACAAAAUACAACCAAUGGGAUAGGUAUCGAGAUACCUUCACCCUACCAAAGUUGUGACCUUUUCGGAGGGUUGUGACUUUUCUACAAGGUUGCUACUUUUUCGAAGAACUGUGACUUUUUUGAAGGGUUGUGACUUUUCCGAAGAGUUAUAACUUUUUCGAUGAGUUGUGACCUUUUUGAAGGGUUGUGACUUUUCUAAAUUGUUGUGACUUUUUUUUUUGAUAAGGCACAAUAAGCAUUUUUCAUACCCUACCCUUUGUUUGUUAUAAAAAGAGGGGUUCCUCCAAAAUUUUAAACUACAAUUUUUUAAUGUUUUUCAUUGUUCUUCUUCUUCUUAAAACACUUAAUAUAGUAUAUCUUCUAUAAAUUAUAGUAUAUUUUUUUGUUUAUAUUAUAUUAAAAGAAGACACCAUUUCACAUUGAAUGGUUACGACUUUUCCAAAGACUUGUGACCUUUUCAAUGAGUUGUGACCUUUCCGAAAGGUUGUAACUUUUAUGAUAAGAAACGAUAUGCACAUGAUCAUACUACCCUUUGUUAACUCUAAAUAGAGGGGUUUUCUCACAUUUUUAAACUACAAUUUUUUUAUGCUUCAAUUCUCCUCUUCUUAAUAAAAAUCAAGUUUGAUUUACAAACCUUGACAAUUUAAAAUUUCACUGAAAUUUAAUCACUCCCUAGCAUGAAUGUUAAAUUAAUAUCAAUUUAGUAAAUAUUCUAUAUUUUAUAUCAAUAUUUAUUUAUAUUAUAUACAUUGAAAAUAAGAACUCCAACAAUACAAUAAUAACUAAGUAAUGCACUUUGGAGGAGGGAGGAGAAAAUAUAUUUAAGAGGUGUAACUAAGAGAUUUUAAGAGUGGCUAGCUAGCUUUCAGUAGUAAUCAUAAGAAAGUUUACAUUCACUAUUCAUAGGAACUUAUACUUUUAUCAUUCAUUUUUAUAAUUGUUUUACUUAAAUUUUUUUUAUUUAAUAAUAUUCACAUUAUUUUUAAAUAUAAUAUACAUGGUUUGAUAUUCACGUGCAAUGCACGUGCGUCAAAACUAGUAUAUAUAUAUAUAUAAAGUGCGAUGUUUAGAAAUGCAAGAACCAUGGAUAAAUAGGAGAAAAAUUGUGGGUUGCAUUUUUAGUAUCUCAAAAUAUUUAUCACAUUAAAAAAUGAAAACAACGUGAUGGAACAAAUUUCUAACUCUUUCAUAUAUGUGACCAAAAAAAAAUAAUUGUUGAAGGAAGAAGUGGAACUCUGCAUAAAGUUAAGAUCACUCGGGGUGAGUAGAAAUAAAUGAUUUCUCAUAAAUAGUAAGAUCUCCCCCCCUCCCCUUCUCCCCUCUCUAAAAAAGAGGAGAGACGUGUUGGAAAAAUACUUAGUUGUUGAUCAAGAAAGAAAGAAAUGAGAGUCUUCGGACAUUGCUUGGGCUAAGUCAAACUUGGAAGUUGGGACGAGUGUUGUAUGAUUACCUAGUGAUUUACAAGUAUCCCUCAAUGGCUUGUUCCAGAGAAUGUUCUAGUCUAUUUCUAACUAGUGAUGGAAAGAGAAUGAGAAAGAGAGUCAUGAAAGAAAAUUUGAAAUUGAAAUUAAAGAAAACAAGUGUCUUUCGUAUAGAUCAAGAUAUGGUAGAUGUAAUGUAUCGAUAUUGUAUAAAUAUUAAUGAAAUGUAUCAGUAUUGUACACAUAGUAUAUAAUCAUGCAUAUAUGAUGUAUAUCUAUGUAUUAAAAAUAUACAUACAUCCAUAUGCAUUGUUUAUACAAUACAUUAUAUAACGGUUAAUUUCAAAUAUAUACGAUAGAGUUAUCAAUUUACAAUAAAUAUCAUCAUGUUUACUUACAUAAAAAAUAGUCAAAAGUCAUAGAAAGUAAACACUGAUUAUACAAUAUGUCUUGUCUAUACACUGAUUAUACAAUAUAGCCUUGCCAAAUGUCAUAGAAAGUCUACACUGACUAUACAAUAUAGUUUACUUAUACAUGAUAUAUACACUAACUAUACAUUAUUAUUAUACACUCUAAAAAACUGAGUAUAGCUUAACUAUACAUGAAGUAUAUAUUGACUAUAUGUGAAGUGUGCAUUGACUAUUCAAUCUAGAUCAACUUGAAAUCACCUCUAAGCAGUCCCAAAUUAUAAAUAUGAAAUCCUCUCGAUGUUUCAAGUCUUUUGAUAUAUAAUUUUCACAAAAUAAUUCACGUUUGCGAUAUGUCAAAUUUUUAAAAGAAUAAAAGAGAAAAUAAGAAGAGGAGGAAGAAGUUACAUGAAAAAUCAGAAAGAAAAUAAGAAGAAGAAGGAACUGUAAUAAAGAUCAAAAACAAAAAAGAAUAAGAAGUUUCAAGGAGAAGCGAAGCAAAAAGAAGAGGACAAUGCGGGCUAAAUCUUGGAAGGAUAAGUGUCGAAUGUCCAUAUAUAGUAUUAAAUAAAUUGUUUUUUAAGCUGACUAUUUUUUGUGUAAGAAAUAUAACCUAAUGGAUAUUUUGUGUAAUUUUUCCAAAAAAAUAAAACAGAGAAUAGGGCUGGAAUGUCCAAUUGAAAAAAAAUAAAGCCAAUAGCAGUGACAAAAACGAAAAGGAGAAACUACACAAAAUACAAAAUAAUUACAAUUCUAUAGCCUAGCCCAAAGUAUCUCAAUAAUUGUCCAUUCGCUCCAAUUUAAUUGCCGUUCUUGUCCCCUUUAGUUUAGGCUCAAUUUUCACCCAAGUUUAAAUCAUUUCAGCACUAAUUAAGAGUAAUUACAUGGCAAAAUGAGACUCUUACGCAUUUAAAUUUGUAACUUUCUCUUUCCCUUUUUUUUGAUCCUUUUGUCUUUUCCGUUUGAGUGCUACUAAAUGACCAUAAUUUUGUGACCCAAAAAUUACCAUAAUUAUUAAAAGAUGAAUAUAAACUUCUUGGAUUUUAUAAUCUUUUUCUUAAUAAGUUUUCCUCCAAAUCAUAUAUCAUAUAUUUAUAUAAAAGAGAGCCCUAGGCCCUCCUACGUGGCGCCACCACAAAUCAGGAUUUUCUUUUAAUUUAUUUAUUUCCAAAAAAUAGCCUUCCCUUUUAAUGAAGAGUUGCUACUUUGAUGAAGAAGUGCGACUUUUAUGAAAAGUUGUGACUUUUAUGAAGAGUUGUGACUUUUAUGCAAAGUUGUGACUUUUAUGAAAGGUUGUGACCUUUUCGAAGGGUUGUAACUUAUCCAAAGAGUUAUAACUUUUCCGAGAAGACACAAUAAUGAUUUGCUCCUACUACCCUUUUUUGUCUAUGAUUUCCUCCCAUUUUAAAACAACAAAAAUUUUGAACUACUUCUUUUUCUUCUUCAGGACAAUUAAAUAUUUGUGUACUUUGCUCCUGUUGAAUGGCUCACUGACACCAUUGUUUUUGUAUCAAUACACUGGUGAAUAAAAUUGUUAGAUCUUGAGAGGAUCUAUUACUUUAAACAUCGGGUACUAAAGGGAAUUAAUUUCCUUAAGGGGACACUGUGCAUUCAAGUUUCAGUCUAUUUUUGAAGAUCCUGGUAUGUUUUUUUACAGUCAUUAAUUUAUUCUUCCAUUAUUAAUUGUUGUUUUUGAGUACAUGCUUUUAAACAUUGUUGUUUUUGAGUACAUGCUUUUAAACAUUGUUGUUUUUGAGUACAUGCUUUUAAACAUUGUUGUUUUUGAGUACAUGCUUUUAAACAUUGUUGUUUUUGAGUACAUGCUUUUAAACAUUGUUGUUUUUGAGUACAUGCUUUUAAACAUUGUUGUUUUUGAGUACAUGCUUUUAAACAUUGUUGUUUUUGAGUACAUGCUUUUAAACAUUGUUGUUUUUGAGUACAUGCUUUUAAACAUUGUUGUUUUUGAGUACAUGCUUUUAAACAUUGUUGUUUUUGAGUACAUGCUUUUAAACAUUGUUGUUUUUGAGUACAUGCUUUUAAACAUUGUUGUUUUUGAGUACAUGCUUUUAAACAUUGUUGUUUUUGAGUACAUGCUUUUAAACAUUGUUGUUUUUGAGUACAUGCUUUUAAACAUUGUUGUUUUUGAGUACAUGCUUUUAAACAUUGUUGUUUUUGAGUACAUGCUUUUAAACAUUGUUGUUUUUGAGUACAUGCUUUUAAACAUUGUUGUUUUUGAGUACAUGCUUUUAAACAUUGUUGUUUUUGAGUACAUGCUUUUAAACAUUGUUGUUUAUGUUUAUGCUAAAAUAUGGUUAUAAGUAUUUGUUAGUAUAGAUAAAAUAACAAACGUUAAUUGAGUAAUCAAGCAAGUUUUCUCUACUAAAAUUGUUGAAGAUACAAUAAAAAAAACCCUUACAAAUCUCUAAUUUCUUCAUCAACAACGUCAUUCACAUACAAGGAUGCAAUUUUGUGUUCUUUAGAAAAUCCUCUAAGAGUUAAUAACUUUGCAUGCCCAUAUUUUUUAGUUUUUAUGUUUUUUGUUAUCUAUUUUUACUAAAUUUUAUUAGUGGAUAUUAUGAGUACUUUUAGGAUUGAAAGUUGAUUGAAGUGUUAGUCAAUUUUUUGAGGUAUGUUAUUUCAAAACAUAGGACCUUUUCUAGUUAGAAUGAUUUGUUAUAAUCCUUGGAUAUCUCAUAGUUUACUCCAUUUAAUAUUUGUUUUUUCUCGCUGUUUUGUUGCUUCCUUAAAAUUGUAUUGAUUAUUUUUCGUUUGGUAUGUAUAUGAUCUUACUCGGAUAACUCUUUGUCCUUAUAAUGUUAUAAAAGAGAAUCCUAGAUCCGCCUACGUGGUGCCACCACAAAUAAGAAUUUCCUUUUAAUUUAUUUAUUUUCAAAAAUAGCCUUUCCUUUUCACGAAGAGUUGCGACUUUUAUGAAGAGUUGCGACUUUUAUGAAAAGUUGUGACUUUUAUGAAAAGUUGUGACUUUUAUGAUAAGUUAUGACUUUUAUGAAAGGUUGUGACCUUUCCAAAGGGUUGUAACUUUUCCAAAGAAUUGUAACUUUUCCGAUAAGACACAAUAAUGAUUUGCUCACACUACCCUUUUUUGUCUAUAAAUAGAGGACUUUCCUCUCAUUUUAAAACAACAAAUUUUUUGAACUACUUCUUGUUCUUCUUCUUCUUCUUCUUCUUCUUCAGGACAAUUAAAUAUUUGUGUACUUUGCUUUUGUUGAAUGGCUCACUGACACCAUUGUUUUUGUAUCAACACACCGGUGAAUAGAAUCUUUCUAUCUUGAAAGGAUUUAUUCCUUUAAACAUCGGGUAAUAAAGGGAAAUAAUUUCCUUUAGGGACACUGUGCAUUCAAUGAGCUCGAUAUUUUCCAUUAUGUUUCAGUCUAUUUUUGAAGAUCCUGGUAUGCUUUUUAUAGUCAUUAAUUUAUGCUUAUAUUAUUAAUUGUUAUUUUUGAGCACAUGCUUUUAAACUUUGUUGUUUAUGUUUAUGCAAACAUAUGAUUAUAAGUAUUUGUUAGAACAGAUAAAAUAACAAAGGUUUAUUGAGUGAGUAUUCAAGCAAAUUUUCUCUACUGAAGUUGUUGAAGAUACAAUAAAAAAAAGUCCUUACAAAUCUCUAAUUUCUUCAUCAACAGUGUCAUUCACUUACAAGGAUGUGAUUUUGUGUUCUUUAGAAAAUUCUCUGAGAGUUAAUAACUUUGCAUGCCCAUAUUUUUGGUUUUAUGUUGUUGUUAUCUAUUUUACUAAAUUUUAUUAGUGGAUAUUAUGAGUACUUUGAGGAUUGAAAGUUGAUUGAAGUGUUAGUCAAUUUUUUGAGGUAUGUUAUUUCAAAAUAUAGGACCUUUUCUGGUUAGAAUGAUUUGUUAUCAUCAUUGGAUAUAUUAUAGUUUACUCCAUUAAAUGUAUGUUUUUUCUCGCUGUUUUGUUGUUUUCUUAAUUAUAUUAAUUAUUUUUCGUUCGGUAUGUAUAUGAUCUCACUUGGACAACUUAUUCGUCCUUUUGAUGUUUUUAUUUUUUUCCUUCUCAUUCAGCUCUUCUAAAUAUUUUGGUGUGAGUUAUGACUAUUUUCGGCAAGUUUAACUUGAAGAAUAUGAAACAAAACCUACUCUAAAUAAAAUUAAUAUCUUAAACUACAAAAGAUAUGUCUAUUAACAUAGAUUUGUUGUCCUUCAUGUCCCAAGUCAUUGUUGAGCGUUUGAGUUAUCUAGGCCAGACUCAUUUUAAAUUUUUUAAAGUUCGAGAAUAUUUCUUUAACAUGAGUCUAGAAUCCAACAUUUUGAUCUACUUGUACUUUCAUAAUGCAACAAUUAUAAAUACAUAUUUCUGAAAAAGUUGUAAAGUUGCAUUUAUGUAGCAUCUAGAAGGGCCUUCAGAGCAGAAGUUUAAUGAAGAAUGAAUUUCUCAAAUGGUCAACUAUAUUAUUUUGCUGUUGUUUCAAAUUUAAUUUUUUCUCCUUCUAUAAAUUUUGUUAGAGUAACAAAGUAACAAUAACGAAAAGUGGUGAACAUUUGACCAAAGGCAAGUAGAUUGUCUCUAAAAAGAUUAUUUAUGUUGUUGUGGUGUACAUUUUUUAAUGGUCUUAACUUAUUUAUAACUCAUAUUGAUUAUCAAAAAUUUCACAUAAUUUUUUUUCACAAGGAGUUAUUGGAACGACCGGCUUCCGUCGUUAUAUAAAAGCCAAUGAGGAAAUUUUUUGGGCCAGAAAACUUUUUCGUAGUAACUUGGGAUAUCCCAACCUAGUCCAGAUUUGGAUGAAAUUGUAGUCAGUAAAGUCUAGGGAAAUCUGGUAGCAAUUGGGUGAUUUAAUUAUGAUUUUGAUUACUUGGGUAGAUAUCUAAGACGUUAAGGAACCCAUACGAUGUUACAGAAUUGAAUUCGGGUGAGUAGAACUCCCGAAAUUGGUCUUGGCGUGAACAUGUAGUUCUGAUUGUCGUUGGUUGAAGGUAUGUUGUGAAAGGGAGGUAUUGGAAUUAUUAAUUUUUCUCAUUUGUUCCGUACAAGCCGCUGAGGCGGGAUUUUUGUCGCUAGGGCGGGGACGUUGUAGCGGGGUGGGGCCGAUGCGACUUAAAGUCGGAAAUAAACCCCAAAAAUGUUUUAUUCUGCAAUUUUCAAACUUGAGAGCUAAGGAACAAAGCCAGGAGUCUUCUUAGCAGUUUUCCACCAUUCUUGAGGCUAAAGGUAAGGUUUUCACUACCCAAAUCCAUUUUUCGAUCCGUAGAACGUAAUCUAAUUGAUAAUUAUCGAUGGGGGAGGGUUUUGAUAUGGAAUUUAGGGUGGAAACAACCUUAAAUUGGAUAUUGGGAUCAACAGUUUGAUCUAGGGUUAAUAGGAUUGAUCGUAAUUCGGGUAAUUAGUUAUCGUUUAUUGAUUCCCGUGUUAUAAUUAUUGUUUGUAGACCAAGAACAAGCGGAACGAAUCCAAAAAUGGAAGAAUCAAGUUUCUUAGGGGUUCGAGCUUGUUUCGAGGUAGGUUAUGGUUGUGAUUUCAUAUUGUGUGAUACAUGUUUGUUCUUGCUUCAUUAUGAUGCAUGUAUGUAUGUGGAUGUUGCAUUAUUGAUCACACUAAUCGUAAAUGAGUAUGAACAAAUGACUAGAUGCCUUGAAUCACUUCUUGAUUGUAUGAUUAUUGAGAAUAUACUUGUGAUUGCGAUUGUGAUUGUGGCUUGUGGAAUGGAUCGGGUAUUGCGUUUUCUACUCAAUAACUUGGAUCUGUUGCCACGUUCCGGCAUAAACAUGGGAUCGAUUGCCAUGUUCUGGCAUAAACAUUGGAUCGGGUACCAUGUUCCGAUAUGCUAACAGUUUGGGUUUGGGUUCCAUGAGAGGACUAAUGACUUGUUGUAAAUGCAUGUUGUUGAGAAUGUGAUGAUCGAUGUUGUACAUGUUCAAUAUUUGCAUGUUUAUAAUGUGAUAUUUACUUAUGUAUGUUGCACUUAGUGGGAUAGCCACGUGAACCUACUAGUACAUUGUGGUUGUGUACUGAUAUUUCACUUGCUCUUUCUUUGUUGAGUAUAGGGCAUCUUCAGAUGAAUAUUGACAGACCUCGUCUAGAAGAUCAGUGAUCGCCGAUCGAAUUCAUGGGUGAUCCAGUUCUUCCAGGCUGCCAUGAGUUCUCUUUUUGCUCAAUCCAUUUCAUAAGGACUUAGACUUUCUAGUUGGUUAUUAGUGCAUUAGUUUGGGGUUGUAACCCUUCUUGUUUAGACUUAUGGAUCUUGUUAGAGUUUUGGUAUGUUGACUUUCAGGUUCUAGGUGUUACUUCAAUAUUUGUUUAGUUGAUGGACCUUGUUUGGAGUUUAUGGGAACUCUCUAUUUCUUUUCUUAGCAUUUAACUUGCUUCCGUAAUUUAAAUGCCUUAGUAUUAUGCUUAGAGUUGGUUAACUAAUUAGUAUUAGUGGUUCUCCCACCGGAGGGUUAGUGUGGGUGCCAAUCACGAUGGUCUGGGUCAUGGAAAAGUCGGUAUGAGAGCCUAGGUUCGUUGAUCUCGAUGUACCAAAACGAGUCUGGUAGAGUCUUGCGGAACAGUACGGAGACAUCUGUACUUUUCUUCGAGAGGCUAUAGGACUUUAGGAAAUUUCUCUGUUUUCUCUUGUCUCCUUUCGUGCUAUAAGUUGAUUCCAAUUGGUAUCUGGAGAUUCGAAUUGGUAUCUAACCUCCUUCACUCUUCUGUCCGCAGAUGGUUAACACUAGAUUCAACGGCGUCAGUCCCGUAUCUCCCAUCAAUGGUCCAGCUAAGGAAUCUGUAGCGAGAGGUCGCAGUCGAGGCAGGGGUAGAUGAAGAGCUAGGGGUAGAGGCCGUGGAAGAGUAGCACCUACUAGGGAUGGAGCACCAGUUGAGAAUGUUCCUAGGAAUAAGGCCCCUCAUGCGCACCAUGAAGAGGUAGAGGAGGAUGUUGAGAUUGGGAAUUAGUAGUAUAUUGGACAAGAAAAAGAGGUGCUCAUUGAGACUACAUGUAUCUUCCCUUAGACUCAGUGUUAGCCCAAUAGAUUAUGUCGUUCUUGAAAGGAUUGCUUGGUCCUGGAGUGCUUCCCUUUGUUCAAGCAGCUCAGGCUCCCGCCCAUCCCCCUGUUGCUAACAUUGCCCCUAAGACGGGUGGAACUGGAGGUAUUGAUGCUUUCUUUCAUCCUUUGUUGGGUCAUGUUAUGACUGGUAAUGAGCAUGAAAUGUUGACUAAGUUUUUGAAGCUAAAGCCUCUUAUAUUUCUUGUUGCGGAGAGUGAGGAUGGUUAUGAUUUUAUCUUAGAUUGCUACGAGAGUCUUCAUAAGUUGGGAAUUGUCCAUCAGCAUGGGGUUGAGUUUGUGACUUUUCAGCUUCAAGGUGAGGCUAAGUAGUGGUGGAGAGCUUAUGUGGAAUGCCGAUCUUCAACUUUACCCCCACUCUCUUGGACUCAGUUUCAUGCUCUGUUCUUAAAAAAAUAUGUGCCCCGGACCUUGAGAGAUCGUAAGAAAGAUGAAUUCAUGUCUUUGGAGGAAGGUGGUAUGAUUGUGGCUACUUAUGAGGCUAACUUCCAUGCGUUGUCUAGAUAUGCUACCCAAUUGGUGACUACGGAAGAAGAGAGGAUACAUCUGUUUGUUAGGGGACUGAAUUCUGAGUUACAUGUAUUGUCUAUUCAUAUGACCUCCCUCUGCAAGAAAAAGCUUCAAUGAAGUGACAAAAUUUGUGAAUUAAAUGGAGGGGGUGAGGCGAAACGAUUAGGCUAAGGCAUUGGAUAAGAAAGACAAAAAUUCAGGCAACUUUCAGGGAUCUUACUCUAGAGGUUCAGGGAGGCCAACACUUGCAGCCCGGCCAAUUCAGUCCGCUUUGCCCACUUCUACAUGUAAUUACUCCGUAACUCCACCUCAGAUUUUGAUUCAAGAUUGCCAGUGUCACGCCCAAAAUCCCAUUAAGGCGAACCGACACCCGUUGCCGAGAAGGCUCGGGAGAACCAACCUGUAAUCAUGCUCUAUCUAUGAACAUUUAAAGGUGCUGCCAUAGUGGAUAACAUGUUUUCAUGAAAGUAGACAAUAUUAACAAGCCAAAAGAAAGUGCACAUGACUUGGCCGUUAGGACCAUGAUGUCUAAGACACGAGGCACAACCACACUUCACUAUACAUAGUCUACAAAGCCUCUAAAUGAUAAAACAUUAUGGGGUUAAGGUCGGCACAGACCCCGCCUUACACUCAGCAACUAUACAAUACCAAAAUACAUGCUAUAGACCCGGAAAGCCCCGAAUCAACCUAGAGCUCACCAAUAGCCGUUGGAUGUCCUGUUCUCCUACUGGAGAGAUCUACUAGUUUCUGUACCUGCAACAUGAAUUGCAGGUCCCCCGAGAGAGAUGUUAGUACGGGAGAAUGUACUGAGUAUGUAAGGCAUAAAGUACUAUAUGUGAAAUAAGAACUCAAAUGAAAUCAUAUACCAAUGUAAGAAUACAAGACCAACUUUUCUCAUAUUAUGGAAUCAGGUACUUUACAUUCUUUUCUUUACUUUAUCAUUCUUUACUUUACACUCUAUGCANNNNNNNNNNNNNNNNNNNNNNNNNNNNNNNNNNNNNNNNNNNNNNNNNNNNNNNNNNNNNNNNNNNNNNNNNNNNNNNNNNNNNNNNNNNNNNNNNNNNNNNNNNNNNNNNNNNNNNNNNNNNNNNNNNNNNNNNNNNNNNNNNNNNNNNNNNNNNNNNNNNNNNNNNNNNNNNNNNNNNNNNNNNNNNNNNNNNNNNNNNNNNNNNNNNNNNNNNNNNNNNNNNNNNNNNNNNNNNNNNNNNNNNNNNNNNNNNNNNNNNNNNNNNNNNNNNNNNNNNNNNNNNNNNNNNNNNNNNNNNNNNNNNNNNNUCAUAAGUCGUGUUGGAGCUGGUAGGCUGCCUCUAUGUGUCGAGGACGAGUCUAGAUUUCAUGUCAAUUAGUAGGAAAUCGAAAAGCCUUACAUACCUUAUUGUACCACCUUGUAGUUACCUUGAAGUACCUUCCUUUCUUUUCAAAUACUUAUCUACAAUAGAGUAGGUGAUAAACUAGUAUUAGUAGUUACUAAACAUGCUUAGGCAGUCCAAUCUCACUCAACAAUAAUGCUCGGGCAUCAAACCCGUAAUUACCAAACAAAGGGUGUUCUUUCAAUCCCUAUCUUCUUUUAUUGCAUUUGUACACUACAUAGCUAUAUUUCAAUAUCGACAAUUUACACCCUUUCCUGACAUCAACCAAGUUGUCCCCAAUAUGUUUACGCAUCAACCUGUCACAAAACAGUCCUAACAAUCCAACAUACAAUAGAGGAUGUGAAACCAUAGUUUCCCAUCAUCAUCCCACGAGUUCUUAUCAACAGUAUACUNNNNNNNNNNNNNNNNNNNNNNNNNNNNNNNNNNNNNNNNNNNNNNNNNNNNNNNNNNNNNNNNNNNNNNNNNNNNNNNNNNNNNNNNNNNNNNNNNNNNNNNNNNNNNNNNNNNNNNNNNNNNNNNNNNNNNNNNNNNNNNNNNNNNNNNNNNNNNNNNNNNNNNNNNNNNNNNNNNNNNNNNNNNNNNNNNNNNNNNNNNNNNNNNNNNNNNNNNNNNNNNNNNNNNNNNNNNNNNNNNNNNNNNNNNNNNNNNNNNNNNNNNNNNNNNNNNNNNNNNNNNNNNNNNNNNNNNNNNNNNNNNNNNNNNNNNNNNNNNNNNNNNNNNNNNNNNNNNNNNNNNNNNNNNNNNNNNNNNNNNNNNNNNNNNNNNNNNNNNNNNNNNNNNNNNNNNNNNNNNNNNNNNNNNNNNNNNNNNNNNNNNNNNNNNNNNNNNNNNNNNNNNNNNNNNNNNNNNNNNNNNNNNNNNNNNNNNNNNNNNNNNNNNNNNNNNNNNNNNNNNNNNNNNNNNNNNNNNNNUAGCUUUAUAAAGUCCAACAAGCACCUCAAUUCUUUUAUUCGUUUAUCGAGCGUAAUCUCCUUAGUUUAAAUCAAAACUUAUAUACACUUGAUCACCUUAACUUUUAGACUUACAUAUAGCCCUUCGAUCCAGAAUUUAAAUACUUCUAAAAUUUAACGUUCACUCGAUCGUGCAAUAUUGCAAUGUACGGGAGUUACCCUUAUAGCUUCUUUAUUGUCACCAUUCAUCUAGGAAAUCAAGUUCAUUACUUAUACCACCAAGCUAAAUCAAGUUCCAUAUGUGUAGAACUUGUACACGUAAAAUACGGGGUGUUACAUCCUCCCUCCCUUAGGAACAUUCGUCCUCGAAUGCUAGUAUAAUCAGAUAGCUUAAAUAAGUUCAAACCUUAGUUUAAAUCAACUUUUAACCACAUAAUAAAUACCCUUUCAUGCGUACCUAUUAAUGCCCUCAUUUUGCACCUUGGACUUCCCCUUUAGGUUCAAAUAAAUAAGGGUACUUGGAUUUCAUCGCUUCCUCAGCUUCCCACGUUACUUCUUCAACUUGUUGGUUUUUCCAAAGCACCUUUACUGAAGCCAUUUCUUUAUUCCUUAGCUUUUUAACCUGACGAUCUAGAAUAGCAAUAGGUACUUCUUCAUAGGUGAGAUCCCCUGUAACUUGUACAUCUUCAAUAUGAGUGAUAUAAGAUGGGUCACCUACGCACUUCCGAAGCAUUGAGACAUGAAACACCGAAUGAACUGCUGAAAGCUCCUGAGGUAGCUCUUACUCAUAUGCAACUUGGCCAACUCUUCGAAUAAUCUUAUAUGGCCCUAUGUAGCGUGGACUCAACUUUCCCUUUUUACCGAAUCUCAUUACCCCUUUCAUUGGCGAUACUUUCUAGAACAUCCAAUCUUCUAUAGAAAACUCUAAUCCUCUUCUUCUAACAUCUGCAUAUAAUUUGUGUCGGAUUUGAGCUGUUGCUAGCCGUUGUUGUAUCACGGUGCCAUUUUGGUGAUCUGCACUUCCUUCCAUAUAAAGCUUCAUAAGGUGCCAUUUUGAUACUAGAAUGAUAACUAUUAUUGUAGGCAAACUCAAUAAGUGGCAAAUGAUCAUCCCAGCUACCUUUGAAGUUUAAGACACAAGCUUGAAGCAUAUCCUCAAGUGUUUGGAUUGUGCGUUCUACUUGACCAUCCGUUUGAGGGUGGAAGGCUUUACUUAAAUUCACUUGUGUUCCCAAACUCUUUUGGAAUGAUUUCCAAAAAUUUGUAGUGAAUUGAGCUCCUCGAUCAGAUAUAAUAGAGAUUGAAACCCCGUGUAGCUGAACUAUCUCUUUAAUAUAUAACCUUGCAUACUCUUCAGUUGUAUAAUUAGUCUUAAUUGGCAAGAAAUGUGCUGACUUGGUGAGUCUAUCAACUAUUACCCAUAUGGAGUCAAACUUACGAAACGAGCGAGGAAACCCAGUGACAAAAUCCAUGUUGAUCAUGUCCCACUUCCAAGUUGGAAGCUCCAUACACUGCAUAUAACCUCCCGGCUUUUGGUGCUCUACUUUGACUCGCUGGCAAUUUGGACAUUGAGCCACAAAUUCUGCAAUGUCCUUCUUCAUGUCCCUCCACCAAUACACUCCUUUCAAGUCAUGAUACAUUUUAGUUGAUCCCGAAUGGAUGGAAUAUCUUGAAUGAUGUGCUUCUGUCAUUAUCCUCCUUCUUAGCCCAUUAACAUUAGGUACACACAAUCUAUUUUGACAACAAAGUACUCCAUCUUGUGUAAGCUCAAAUCCCUUUGUCGUACCUUGAUUUACCUUGUCCUUGAGUCGUUGUAGAGUAAGAUCUUUGAACUGAUUCUCUUUCACCUCAACUACUAAUGAAGAUUCUGUCGCAUUAUGCACUACAAUUCCUUCUUUUGGGGUUUCAAGAAGACGAACUCUCAAACUAGCUAGUUGACGUAGAUCCUUCGCCAUCCCUUCUUUUUCCACGGUCUGCUCAUUAAUACGUGAUAUUGUCUUGCGACUGAGAGCAUCGGCUACUACGUUUGCUUUCCCUGGAUGGUAUAGUAUAUCAACGUCAUAAUCUUUUAUUAACUCUAACCAUCUUCGCUGCCUCAAAUUCAGAUCCUUCUGCUUGAAGAUGUAUUGGAAACUUUUAUGGUCUGUAUAUAUGUCAACAUGAACCCCAUAUAAAUAGUGAUACCAUAUACUUAAAGCAAAUACAACCGCUGCUAGCUCAAGAUCAUGUGUUGGGUAGUUUCUCUCAUGUGGCCGACUCUUGUAAGCUUCUUUCACAUGCAUCAUUCCACUGAAACUUAGUUUCCUUGUGUGUUAGCUUAGUUAAAGGUGCAGAAAUAGAAGAAAAUCCUUCAACGAACCUUCUAUAAUAACCUGCCAACCCUAGGAAGCUACGAACCUCUGUGGGUGUUGUUGGUCUUGGCCAAUCUUUCACGUCCUCUAUCUUUUGUGAAUCAACCCUUAUUCCUUCAUCAGAUACAAUAUGACCCAAGAACGCCACUGAUUUUAACCAAAAUUCACAUUUGGAGAACUUGGCAUACAACCACCGAUCACGAAGAACUGGUAAUACCUGUCGUAAGUGAUUUGCAUGGUCCUCUUCUGAUCUUGAAUACACUAAGAUACCAUCUAUAAAUACUAUCACAAUUUGCAUGGUCCUCUUCUGAUCUUGACUACACUAGGAUAUCAUCUAUAAAUACUAUCACGAUUUGCAUGGUCCUCUUCUGAUCUUGAAUACACUAAGAUACCAUCUAUAAAUACUAUCACAAAUACAUCCAAGAAUGGCUUGAACACCCUAUUCAUCAAAUCUAUAAAAAUUGCCGGUGCAUUUGUUAGCCCAAAUGACAUAACGAGAAAUUCGAAAUGACCAUACUGUGUUCGGAAAGCUGUCUUGGGUAUAUCCUUCUCCUUCAUCCUCACUUGGUGAUAACCUGUUCUCAAGUCAAUUUUUGAAAAACACUUGGCACCUUGUAACUGAUCAAACAAAUCAUCAAUUCUGGGGAGAGGGUAUUUAUUCUUAAUUUUCACUCUAUUCAGUUGUCAGUAGUCGAUACACAUUCUCAACAUGCCAUCCUUCUUACGUACAAAUAAAACGGGUGCACCCCAUGGGGACACACUAGGCCUUAUAAACCCUUUUUCUAACAAGUCCUUUAAUUAUCCUUUAAUUCACGUAAUUCUGACGGGGCCAUUAUAUACAGAGGAAUAGAGAUAGGUUGAGUGCCUGGAAUUAAAUCAAAUACCAAACUCUACUUCUCGUUCUGGGGGUAAACCUGGAAGCUAUUCAGGAAACACAUCAAUAAAUUCAUUUUACUACCGGAACAGAUUGAAGAGUCGGUGGUUCUGCCUCCACAUCUCUCACUCUAACUAGAUGACAUAUAUACCCUUUUGACAUCAUCUUCCUCGCCUUCAAAUAAGAAAUAAACUUACCCUUUGGCACUGCAACAUUGCCUUCCCAUUCAAGGACUACCUCAUUUGGAAAGUGAAAGUGCACUCUCUUAGUUUGGCAAUCCACCGUGGCAUAACAAGAAGCCAACCAAUCCAUACACAUUAUAACAUCAAAUUCAACCAUUUCUAGUUCAAUUAGGUCAGCCAAUAUAUCAUGAUCAUAAACAGUUACUAUGCAGUUAUGAUAGACCCUUCUUGCUAUAAUAGACGCAACAGUUGGUGUAGACACUUCAAAUGGUUUAUUCAAUAAUUUUGGUGUUCUUUUAAGCUUCCCAGCAACUAGUGGAGUGAUAUACGAUAGUGUGGAACCAGGAUCAAUUAACGCAUAUACAUUAUGUGAAAAGAUGAACAAUGUACCUGUUAAUAUGUCAGGUGAAGACUCCAAGUUCUGUCGACUCCCUAGAGCAUAUGUGCAAUUUUGGACUCCGCUAAAACUAGCUGCUCCUCUAACACCUCUACCACGACCUGUAGGAACCUGUUGACCUCUACCUAAAGGAGGAACCAAUGAUGACGAUGCAACAGCUGAUCAAGUAGGUUGUGCUAUAUCACCCAUGCGCCUUUUAGGGCAAUCUCUCAUUUGGUGCCCUGGCAUACCACACCAAUAACAGGCAUCUGUUCCAAUACAACAUAUAUCUAAAUGACUCCUCCCACAUUGUUUACAAGGCUGUCUAUGAGGCAUUAUUUGGCUUGUACUGCCCUGCUCUGGAUAUCCCAAUGUCCGUGAACCUUGGCUCUCACUCUUUUGCCUAAACUGACUGCCUCUCGGCCAUUGAAAUUGGGGUGGAGCGCUAGCUGUAGAGUAGGGAAAUGACGGCCUAGUUGGUCUAUUAGAAAACUGAGGCUUAAACUCACCUUGGGGUGGUGUAAACUACCCGGUAGACCUAGCCCUCUUGGACUGACCCCUUUCUGUCUCUUGUGCCCUUCUUCUCUGUUUUUGAUCCUCCAAUUUUUGUGCAAAAGCUUCUAUCCUUGCUAUAUCCAUGUCUUUAUUUAAAGAAGCAAUAGUACAAUAUCUAACCAGAUACGAAUCCAAUCUAUCCACAUAUUGACGAACUAUAUCCUCUAUAGUAGCAACUACAUUGGGAGCAUAUCUGGACAAGGAAUUAAAUUGGAGACUGUACUCUCUCACGCUCAUACCCCCUUGGUGAAGAUUUAAGAACUGAUCUGCGCGGGCCUCUCGAAUCUUCAAUGGCAAAUAAUGAUCAAGAAACGCCUUUUUAAAUUCUUUCCAAGUAGUUGGAGGUGCAUCUGUACUCUUAGAUUGCUUCCAAGUUUCAUACCAUAAUAUAGCCACACCUUUUAAUCUAUAUGUUGCUAGCUCAACAGCUUCUUUACCACUCACGUGCAUAACAUCCAAAGUUCGUUGGAUUUGAUCAAUAAAGUCUUGCGGAUCUUUAUUAGGAUCUGACCCGGUGAAUGAUGGAGGGUCCAAAUUAAGGAAAUCAUGUAUCCGCAUGCUAGCUGCCCUAUCUGCACCACCAAUACCCGCAACUGGGACUUCUUGCCUUUGACCCUGGCCAACAACAAUACGAGUCAAUAAUUGAACCGAAUUCCUCAAAUCUUGCUCGGUAGCAUUAAUAGUAGGUUCUUGAGGUGCAGCUUCCCUCGUUAGAUCUUAUGGAGAUGGAGGGGUCGGUGAAGUCUGUGAUAGAGACUCAUUUUGAGCCUCACUUUGAACAGCUUGAUUAGGUGGUGGUUGGCUGGUCCCUUCUUGGGUAGCCAUAUCUACUCACUUACAUGUACUUUUACUCCUCGUAACAGGCAUCUUUGCUAUAAUAAAGCAAUUCAGAAGUUAGAUACGAUUCUCCUACAACAUUGGUUCUAUCGCACGAUCUAAGACAUGAAAGAAAAGAAACAAUUCCUAUAUGUCUCAUAGCUUCCUGUUUAUAAAUGUGGUGCACAACACAUCCAUAAGCAAGACUCUACAAAGACACGGCUUCGUAGACUCCCUAGGAUGACCUGCUCUGAUACCACUUUUGUCACACCUAAAAUCCCAUUUAGGCGAACCGGCACCCGUUGCCGAGAAGGCUCAGGAGAACCAACCUGUAAUCAUGCUCUAUCUAUGAACAUUUAAAGGUAGUGCCAUAGUGGAUAACAUGUUUUCAUGAAAGUAGACAGUAUUAACAAGCCAAAAGAAAGUGCACAUGGCUUGGCCAUUAGGACCAUGAUGUCUAAGAAACGAGGCACAACCACACUUCACUAUACAUAGUCUACAAAGCCUCUAAAUGAUAAAACAUUUUGGAGUUCAGGUCGGGACAGGCCCCGCUUUACACUCAGCUACUAUACAAUACCAAAAUACAUGCUAUAGACUCGGAAAGCCCCGAAUCAACCUGGAGCUCACCAAUAGCCGCUGGAUGUCCUGUUCUCCUACUAGAGAGAUCUUCUAGCUCCUGUACCUACAACAUGAAUUGCAGGUCCCCCGAGAGAGACGUCAGUACGGGAGAAUGUACUGAGUAUGUAAGGCAUAAAGUACUGUAUGUGAAAUAAGAACUCAAAUGAAAUCAUAUACCAAUGUAAGGAUACAAGACCACCUUUUCUCAUAUUAUGGAAUCAGGUACUUUACAUUCUUUUCUUUACUUUAUCAUUCUUUACUUUACACUCUNNNNNNNNNNNNNNNNNNNNNNNNNNNNNNNNNNNNNNNNNNNNNNNNNNNNNNNNNNNNNNNNNNNNNNNNNNNNNNNNNNNNNNNNNNNNNNNNNNNNNNNNNNNNNNNNNNNNNNNNNNNNNNNNNNNNNNNNNNNNNNNNNNNNNNNNNNNNNNNNNNNNNNNNNNNNNNNNNNNNNNNNNNNNNNNNNNNNNNNNNNNNNNNNNNNNNNNNNNNNNNNNNNNNNNNNNNNNNNNNNNNNNNNNNNNNNNNNNNNNNNNNNNNNNNAGAUUUGACAAUGAACAUGUAUUGGAACGUGCAGACAUGUUAAAGAGUGAGAACAAGGUCAUAAGUCGUGUUGGAGCUGGUAGGCUGCCUCUAUAUGUCGAGGACAAGUCUAGAUUUCAUGUCAAUUAGUAGGAAAUCGAAAAGCCUUACAUACAUUGCUGUACCACCUUGUAGUUACCUUGAAGUACCUUCCUUUCUUUUCAAAUACUUAUAUACAAUAGAGUAGGUGAUAAACUAGUAUUAGUAGUUACUAAACAUGCUUAGGUAGUCCAAUCUCACUCAACAAUAAUGCUCGGGCAGCAAACCCGUAAUUACCAAACUAAGGGUAUUCUUUCAAUCCCCGCCUUCUUUUAUUGCAUUUGUACACUACAGAACUAUAGCUCCCGUCAAUGCUCGAGCUGAGGAAUCUACAGCGAGAGGUAGUGGUCGAGGCAGGGGUAGAGGAAGAGUUAGGGGUAGAGGUCGUGGAAGAGUAACACCUACUACGGAUGGAGCUCAUGUUGAGAAUGCUCCCCGAAAUAAGAACCAGUUUGCGCAUCAUGAAGAGAUAGAGGAGAAUGUGGAGGUUGAGAAUAAGGACGAUGUUGGACAAGAAGAAGAGGUGCAGACUGAUACUACAGGUAUUCCUCCCUUAGACCCAGUGUUAGCUCAAAAGAUUAUGUGGUUUUUGAAAGGAUUAGUUAGUGCUGGAGUGCUUCCCUCUGUUCAAGCAGCUCAGGCUCCCGCCCACCCCCCUGUUGCUAACAUUGCCCCCAAGAUGGGUGGAACUGGAGGUACUGAUGCUUUCUUUCAUCCUUUGUUGCGUCCUGUUAUGAUUGGUAAUGAGCAUGACAUGUUGACUAAGUUUUUGAAGCUAAAGCAUGUUGUAUUUCUUGGUUCUGAGAGUGAGGAUGCUUAUGAGUUUAUCUUAGAUUGCUACGAGAGGCUUCAUAAGUUGGGAAUUGUCCAUCAGCAUGGAGUUGAGUUUGUGACCUUUUAGCUUCAAGGUGAGGCCAAGCAGUGGUGGAGAGCUUAUGUGGAGUGUAGAUCUUCAACUUUACCCUCGUUUUCUUAGACUCAGUUUCAUGCUCUAUUCUUAGAAAAAAAUCUGCCCCAGACUUUGAGAGAUCGUAAAAAAGAUGAGUUCAUGGAUUUGGAGCAAGGUGGUAUGACUGUGGCUGCUUACGAGGCCAAGUUCCAUGCUUUGUCUAGAUAUGCUACGCAAUUAGUGACUACGAAAGAAGAGAGGAUUCGUCUGUUUGUUAGGGGACUGAAUUCUGAGUUACAAGUGUUGUAUUUUCAUAUGACCUCUGCAGGAAAAAGGUUUAAUGAAGUGACAGACUUUGUGUAGAAAGUGGAGAGGGUGAGGCGAGACGGUCAGGCCAAGGCAUUGGCUAAGAAAGCCAAAAAUUCAGGCAACUUUCAGGGAUCCUACUCUAGAGGUUCAUGGAGGCCAACACUUGCAGCCAGGCCAAUUAAGUUGCUAUACUUUCUCUAUAGGUAAUUACUCGGGAAAUCCACCUCAUAAUUUGAUUCAGGAUAGCCAAGGAGAAACGCCUUCGAGGGGCAGCAGACCAUCUUUUGAUCGUAUAUGUUACAACUGUGGAGAACCUGGGCAUAUGAGGAGAGAUUGUCCCCACCCUUGCAUGAUGGAUUUCGUACAGCAGCAGACUAGAGAGUGGUACCCGCGGGAAAUUGUAAUAAUGGUCGAGGGCAUCCACAAGGUGGGCUAGGAGAAAAUCAGCGAGACCGUGGAGGUAGAGGAAAUGGUAACGCAAGAAGGGGUAACGUUCAACUAGGCAGGGAAGUUGCUCGACAUGAGAAUAGGGCUCAGUGUUAUCCCUUUACGGGAAAGAAUGAGGCAGAGGCGUUAGACGCAGUGAUCACAUAUAUUAUUCUUGUCUGUGACCGGAUGGCUAAUGUGUUAUUCGAUCCAUGUUCUACUAAUUCUUAUGUAUUCAUGCGAUUUGCCUCCGAGUUUGAUAUGAUUUGUGAUUUACUUGAUGCCCCUAUCCAUGUUUCUACCCCAAUUGGAGAGUCUGUCAUAGUCACCCAUGUCUAUCGUGUUUGUCCUAUUUUUUUUAUGGGUUUUCAAACUUGGGGUGAUUUGGUGAUUUUGGAUAUGACUGACUUUGAUAUAAUCUUAGGCAUGACUUGAUUGUCCUCAUAUUAUGUUGUGCUUAAUUGUAAUACAAAGUCUGUAACUCUCGAAAUUCCAGGAAGAAAAGGGUGUACAAGCUUAAGCAAGAUAAGAUCAUAUCCUCUAUUCGAGCUAGAAACCGGUAGGGCAGGGUUGUUUGGCUUAUUUGGCUCAUAUUCGGGAUGUUGAGGUUGAGUCUCCAUCUAUUGAGUCUAUUCCGGUUGUGUCAGAAUUUAGAGAAGUGUUUCCUACGGAUUUUCCUGGUAUGCCUCCGGAUAGAGAUAUAGAUUUCUGCAUUGAUUUAGAACCUGGUACUUGUCCUAUUUCCAUCCCUCCAUAUCCCAUUGCCUCGACAGAAUUAAGAGAGCUUAAGACUCAAAUCCAUGAGCUUCUUGAUAAAGGAUUUAUUCGUCCUAGUGCUUCCCCAUGGGGUGCUCCAGUUUUGUUAUUUAAGAAGAAGGAUGGUAGUAUAAGGAUGUGUAUAGAUUAUCGACAAUUGAAUAGGGUCACCAUUCGAAAUAAUUACCCAUUGCCACGAAUAAAUGAUCUUUUUGACCAAUUGCAAGGUGCAUCGAUUUUCUCCAAGAUUGAUCUAAGGUUUGGUUUCCAUCAAUUAAAAAUUAGGCAUGAGGAUGUGCCCAAGACGACGUUUAGAACCCGCUAUGGGCACUAUGAAUUUCUAGUUAUGUCGUUUUGGUUAACUAAUGCACCGGGAGACUUUAUGAAUGGGGUGUUCAAGCCAUUUCUUGAUUCGUUUGUUAUAGUCUUUAUUGAUGAUAUUUUGGUCUACUCGAAAAGUGAGGAAGAGCAUGCCGACCAUCUUCGUAUUGUUCUGGGUGUUCUUGGGAACCAAAGGUUGUAUGCAAAAUUUUCUAAGUGUGAAUUUUGGUUGACUUAGGUUGCAUUGUUGGGGCAUGUAGUUUCGAAAGAAGGGGUAAUGGUAAAUCCCCAAAAGAUUGAGGCAGUUAAGAAUUGGGUUUGGCCUAGCUCUAUGAUGGAAGUUAGGAGUUUUGUGGGACUCGCUAGCUAUUAUCGUUGAUUUGUGAAGAACUUUGCUUCUAUUGCCACUCACUUGACUAAUUUGACCAAAAGGAGAUACCAUUUGAAUGAACUGAAAAAUGUGAGGAGAUCUUUCAAAAGCUCAAGACUCUUUUGACCACCGCACUCAUUCUAGCAUUACCAGUUGAAGGUAAAGAUUUUAUUAUUUAUUGUGAUGCUUCACAUUCUGGUUUGGGUGUCGUGUUGAUGCAGGAUAAGAAUGUUAUAACUUAUGCAUCACGUCAAUUGAAAGUGCAUGAGAGAAAUUAUCCAACACAUGAUUGAGAGUUGGCAGCGGUAGUAUUUGCUCUUAAGAUCUGGCGACAUUACCUCUAUGGUGUUAAGUGUGAGGUAUUUACUGAUCAUCGCAGUUUGCAACAUGUGUCCACUCAAAAGGAUCUCAAUUUGAGACAACUGUGGAUGGAGUUACUCAGGGAUUAUGAGGUGACCAUUCAAUACCAUCCGGGCAAGGCUAAUGUUGUGGCAGACGCUUUGAGUCGAAAAGCGGUGAUUAUGGGUAGUCUAGCUUGCUUGAGUGUAACCAAGAGACCUUUGGCUAAGGAAAUUCCGACCUUGGAGUCUAAGUUCAUGCAGUUGGGCAUCUCAGAGAAAGGUGGGUUGUUAGCUAGCAUUGAAGUUAGGGCCACGUUCAUUGAGGAGAUCAAGCUAAACAAUUUGAGGAUGAAAACUUGAGUGAACUUAAGAAGAAGACUUCGAUGGUAAGGCACAAGAGACCACUCUUGAUGCGGAAGGUGUGCUCAACUUUAAAGGAAGGAUUUGUGUUUCUCGAGUUGAUAACUUGAUUAAAAAGUUGUUGAUAGAAUCACAUAGUUCACGAUAUUUUAUCUAUCCUGGUGUGAUCAAGAUGUACCGAGAUCGAUUUGAAGCGAAUUUAUUGGUGGCCGAGCAUGAAGAAAGACAUANNNNNNNNNNNNNNNNNNNNNNNNNNNNNNNNNNNNNNNNNNNNNNNNNNNNNNNNNNNNNNNNNNNNNNNNNNNNNNNNNNNNNNNNNNNNNNNNNNNNNNNNNNNNNNNNNNNNNNNNNNNNNNNNNNNNNNNNNNNNNNNNNNNNNNNNNNNNNNNNNNNNNNNNNNNNNNNNNNNNNNNNNNNNNNNNNNNNNNNNNNNNNNNNNNNNNNNNNNNNNNNNNNNNNNNNNNNNNNNNNNNNNNNNNNNNNNNNNNNNNNNNNNNNNNNNNNNNNNNNNNNNNNNNNNNNNNNNNNNNNNNNNNNNNNNNNNNNNNNNNNNNNNNNNNNNNNNNNNNNNNNNNNNNNNNNNNNNNNNNNNNNNNNNNNNNNNNNNNNNNNNNNNNNNNNNNNNNNNNNNNNNNNNNNNNNNNNNNNNNNNNNNNNNNNNNNNNNNNNNNNNNNNNNNNNNNNNNNNNNNNNNNNNNNNNNNNNNNNNNNNNNNNNNNNNNNNNNNNNNNNNNNNNNNNNNNNNNNNNNNNNNNNNNNNNNNNNNNNNNNNNNNNNNNNNNNNNNNNNNNNNNNNNNNNNNNNNNNNNNNAGGCACUCUAUGGGAGGGGAUGUAGAUCACCCAUAGGAUGGUUUGAGGCUGGAGAUGUGAAACCUUUGGGGGUCGAUUUAGUGAAGGAUGCUCAAGAUAAGGUGAGGAGUACUCAAGCUAAGCUUCUAGCAUCCCAGAGUAGACAACAGAAGUAUGCGGAUCAUAAGGUAAGAGUUAUUGCAUUUCAGAUCGGUGAAAAUGUUCUUCUUAAGGUAUCCCCCGUGAAAAGGGUGAUGAGGUUUGGUAAGAAGGGCAAGCUAAGUUCGCGAUACAUUAGUCCCUUUGAGGUUCUUGAAUGUGUAGGGCCCGUGGCCUAUAGAUUGUCUUUACCUCCUAAUCUAUCGGGAGUUCAUCCAAUAUUUCAUGUAUCCAUGUUGAAAAGAUAUCAUGGUGACGGAGAUUACAUCAUUAAAUGGGAGUCACUUGUUUAGACAAAGACCUACAAUAUGAGAAGGAACCAAUUGCAAUUCUGGAUUUUAAUGUGCGUAAGCUGAGGACCAAGAUUUAGUCCGUUAAAAUUCAAUGGAAGUAUAGUCCAGUCGAGGAACCUACUUGGGAAACCGAGAAGGACAUGUGAGACAAGUAUCCCCAGUUGUUCGUCGAUUCAGGUACUACUCCAUUCUUUCCUUAGCCUAUUUUCCUAAGUUUGUCACUCGGGGACGAGUGAUGGGUAAAUUGGUAUCUAUUGUAACGACUGGUUUUCGUCGUUAUAGAAAAGCCAACGAGGAAAAUUUUUGGGCCGGAAAACUUUUUCGUAGUAACUUGGAAUUUCCCAACCUAGUCCAGAUUUGGACGAAAUCGGAGUCAUGAAAGUCUAGGGAAAUCUGGUAGAAAUUGGGUGAUUUAAUUAUGAAUUUCAUCACAUGAGUAGAUAGCUAAGACGUUAAGAAACCCGUACGACUUUACGGAAUUGAAUUCGGGUAAGUAGAACUCUCAAAACUGAUCUUGGCGUGAACGGGUAGUUUCUGGGUGUCAUUGGUUGAAUGUAUGUUGGAAAUGGGGGUCUUGGAAAUUAUUAAUUUUUCUCACUGUUUCCUUGCAAGCCGCUGAGGUGGGAUUUCUGCCGCUAGGGCGGGGCCGCUAUAGCGUGGUAGGUGCCGCCAUGGCGGGGCAGACGCGACUUAAAAUCAGAAAUAAACCCCAAAAAUAUUUUAUUCAGCAAUUUUCGAACUUGAGAGCUAAGGAACGAACCCAGGUCUUUUCUUGACAGUUUUCCACCAUUCUUGAGGCUAAAGAUAAGAUUUUCACUCCCCAAAUCCAUUUUUCAAUUUGUAGAACGUAAUCUAAUGGGUAAUUAUCGAUGGGGGGAGGGUUUUGAUCUGGAAAUUAUGGUGGAAACAACCCUAUUUGGGAGAUGGGGAUCAUGGGUAUGAUCUAGGGUUGAUAUAAUUGUUAGUAAUUCGGGUAAUUAGUUAUUGUUUAUUGAUUCCCUUAUUAAAUUAAUUGUUUGUAGACCAAGAACAAGCAGAACGAAUCCGGAAAGGGAAGAAUCAAGUUUCUUAGGGUAUUCAAGUUUUGUUAGAGGUAGGUGAUGGUUGUGAUUUCAUGAUUGUGUGACAUAUAUUUGUUCUUGCUUCAUUAUAAUAAGUGUAUGUAUGCGAAUGUUGCAUUAUUGAUCACACUAGUUGUAAAUGAGAUAGAUGAAUGAUGAAUGCCAUGAAUCACUUCUUGAUUGUAUGAUUAUUGAGAAUGUACUUUGUGAUUGUGAUUGUGGCUUAUUGAAUGGAUCGGGUGUUGCAUUCUGACACACUAACUUGGAUCGGUUGGCACGUUCCGACAUAAAUAUGGGAUCGGUUGCCACAUUCCGGCAUAAACAUUGGAUCGGAUACCACGUUCCGGUAUGCUAACGGUUUGGUUGGUUCCAUGAGAGGACCAAUUAGUUGAUACGAUUGCGCAUCUUGAGAAUGUGAAAUUGUUCGUUGUUCUUAAAUGAUGGUGAUAUUGUAUAUGUUCGGUGUAUGCAUGUUAUNUUGUAAUGGCUUAUGUAUGUUGCACUUAGUGGGAUAGUUGUGUGAUCCUACCAGUACACUAUGGUUGUGUACUCAUACUACACUUGCUUUUAUUUUUGUUGAGUACAGGGCAUCUUUCUGCGGCUAUUGACAGACCUCGCUUAGAAGAUCAGUGAUCGCCAAUUGAAUUCAAGGGCGAGCCAGUUCUUCCGAGCUGCUUUGAGUUCUCCUUUUUGUUUAGUCCAUCUUUUCAGACUUAGACUAAUUCAUUAGUUAUUCUUUUGUUUAGUUUGGGUUGUACCCAUUUUGUUAGACUAUGGUUUGUUGUUAAGAGUUUUGGUACAUUGACUUUCAUGUUCUAGGCAUUUAAUUUUCGCAAAUUCGUUGUUAGAUCUUUUGGAAGUUUAUGGGAACUUCAAUUUUUAGUUAUUUAAACCUGCUUCCGUAGCUUUAAAUUGUUAGUUGGGCUGUAGUAAUGGUUCUCCCGCCGGAGGGUUAGUGUGGGUGCCAAUCACGAUGGUCUGGGUCGUGACAAUGUAUCCUUUCAAUUUUUUAAUUAAAUGAGUUUUUUACAUAUUAAAGUUCUCUUGAUUUAUGGAAAUGACUAGUAGAUUGAAAUAUAUAUAUUUAGUUUAUGAUUCUAGUAAAAUAAAAUGGAGAGAAUAUAUUCACGAUAAUUUUAGAAAUAUACUUUACAAUAUCUCUUCGUAACACUAAACUUGUUAGCAUAUACAGUAUUACAUUUGCUUUUUUUAAAAUUUGACUUCUAUUAUAUUAACGCAUUAUAAUUAAAUAUUAAAAAUAAUAUGAAGGAACUUGUCACGAUCCAAAAAUGGAUGUGACGACACUCGUUUUUUCCCACCAAGAUAGUCAGCCUAAACCCAAAUAUAACGAUAAUAUGCGGAAGUUAAAAUAAGAAUGAAAGUUUAAUACUAAUACUAAAGCGGAAUACAAUGUCAACUUAAUUAAACCCCCAAAACUUGGUUGUCACGUGUACAAGCCUCUAAAGUGUUACAAUUGAUUCAAACGAAAAAAUACAAGUCUCAAAUGACAUUGUUUCUACAAUAAAACAAGAUCAUAAAUAAGAGUAAGAAGGUCUCCUGAGAUGACAGACAACUACCUCACAAAUCUCCAUAGGAAGCCUCGAAAAAGAAGAGAAUAGAAAGUAUCACAAAGAUCCAGACUCGUAACCUACAAUAAUGUUGAAGCAAGAGGUGAGUACCAAAUCACACGGUACUCAACAAAUAAACUUCUAAACACAAGCUAAGGGAAUAUAAUAUGGGUACUCCUUACCACCCCAAUCGAACCUCCACAACUACAACCUGCAUAAAAUCAGUCCAACCUAACAGUUCAUAAUUUUCAUAGCUCAACAACAACACUCUAACAAUUACAUAUCCUCAACAACAAACUCAAUAUUCAUCAAUCACAAAUUCCACAGAAAUGUACUCACAAGAUGAGCAACACAUAAGAUCAAGUUCACCAAUGAUAAAGAUGUGCAACGAAAUGCAAUGUCGAUUAUAGUGAUGCAUGUCUGACCUAAUAAUACACACUCUCUAUCUCUCAGUCCGCGACCCAUGGGGGACAUAUCUGUUCAUGAAUUCGUCGCAGCAUGCGACACGACCCUCGAUAAUAAAAUUCAUCGCGACGUGCGACACAUCCCUCGAUAAUAGAGUAUGUCGCGGUGUGCGACACGUCCCUCGAUAAUAGAGUAUGUCGCGGUGUGCGACACGUCCCUCGAUAAUAGAGUAUGUCGCGGUGUGCGACACGUCCCUCGAUAAUAGAGUAUGUCGCGGUGUGCGACACGUCCCUCGAUAAUAGAGUAUGUCGCGGUGUGCGACACGUCCCUCGAUAAUAGAGUAUGUCGCGGUGUGCGACACGUCCCUCGAUAAUAGAGUAUGUCGCGGUGUGCGACACGUCCCUCGAUAAUAGAGUAUGUCGCGGUGUGCGACACGUCCCUCGAUAAUAGAGUAUGUCGCGGUGUGCGACACGUCCCUCGAUAAUAGAGUAUGUCGCGGUGUGCGACACGUCCCUCGAUAAUAGAGUAUGUCGCGGUGUGCGACACGUCCCUCGAUAAUAGAGUAUGUCGCGGUGUGCGACACGUCCCUCGAUAAUAGAGUAUGUCGCGGUGUGCGACACGUCCCUCGAUAAUAGAGUAUGUCGCGGUGUGCGACACGUCCCUCGAUAAUAGAGUAUGUCGCGGUGUGCGACACGUCCCUCGAUAAUAGAGUAUGUCGCGGUGUGCGACACGUCCCUCGAUAAUAGAAUCUGGCGCGGUACAUGACACGUCCCUCGAAAUGGUACAUCCUCUUUAAUUUCAUAUUUUUCGUCAAUUCACAUAGCACUUGUCACAACCAUUUCUCGGAACCAAUGCAAAUGACAUGUUCACACAAAUAAUGAAGAGAUGAAUAUUUUCAUAAUAAUGAACAAUUCACAACAACACAAUCGUGAUACAACAUUAACAAUGAAUUAAUAAGUCUUUGAAACCAUUCUCAACACAUCACACACCAAUAAUUAAUCACAUUGCUUUUUGGUACCCCUUUUCAUCAUUAAAAUUAUUCAAUAUGGACAAGUCAACCCAUCACCAAGUCCCAUUCCUCCCCAACACAUACCACAAGAAAAUACACGAUUCUAUACACUUAACAAGGGUUUAGAAGUCCACUUGCCUUAGUUAAUCAACAAUUCACUCCGGAACAUGAGCCUUCUCCUUUCGUUGAUCUUCCAAAUCAAUGCAAUCUAUUCAAAUAAAUAAUCACACUAAGAUUUUGAAACUAACAACACCCAUAUUAUUAUAUGUCUAGUCUAGACCCAAAAAUUCACUCAAAUCUACAAUCAAGUUCCUCAAUCUUGAUGUCAAUUAAUACGUCAACUCUCAUAUUUCCUCCAAAUCUAGGGUUAAGUCUUAAUUCUUCCAAUAUCAUAAAUUUAAUAGUAUUCAAAUAAUAUAUACACCUAAUAUUCAAUUACCUAUCUUAAUAUAUCAAAACAUGAAUAAUAAUGUGAUAACCAAUAAAAAAUAAUCCAAAAUCGACAUCAAUUAAUUAUGCACCAUUACUGUCAACUACGAAAAUGCUCAUUAACUUGAUUAAAAAUGGAUUUAUUAAUCUAUCUUCAUCCCAUCAUCACAUCAUCAUUGUCUUAUGAUUUCCCCUAAAAUCAUUUGGUCGUAAUUCAUUCAUAAUUUGACACGUCAACUAGUAACAAUCACGUGCACAACAACAUCGAUUCAUUUUGAUUCUUGCCCAUGAUAUAAUAUUAUUUUCUUUUAAGAACAAUGCACAAUUUUUUCAAAUCCUAGCAACAUAUAAUAUGUAUAAUGGACUGAAAUUUUGAAGCUCUCACCUGAAAGCCGUCAUCACGCCGCAGGUAAUUUCUGAACCCAUUUCUUUUCCUUUCUAAAAUAAAUCAUACUAACUUAUUUUACUAUAUACAUGGGCCAAAUAGUAUAGGGUACUAAAAUAAAUUAUGAACUUGACCCAUUAAUCACUUACUAAAAUUAAUUAUUUUAAAAAUUUACCCACCAAUUAAAUAACCGUAGUUUAACGAGUAAAUCAAAAUUCCAUUUAAAAUUUAUGAAAAGGGUCUUUUAUGUAAGAGAGAGGAAUAGUUCUCAAAAUGACCUAACGGCACAUAACUAUUUUUCCCUUACAAAUAUACUCAUUUAUAUAAAAAAUAAUAAUUCAUAUAUACCUUCUAGAAAUACCUAAUUGUAUAAUAAACUUUAAAGAGGGGAUAUUCUUAUGUAAAAAAAAUAAUUGCUUUUUGUAGUAAAUUUAAAGUUAAAUGAAAAUUAUGUAACAAAAAAAUAAGAACGUAUUUUUUUUUAUAAAUUCAAAGUUCGAUAUCAUCAAUAAAAUUUAUCCAAGUAUCUUCAAUUUCACUAUCUUAGUUCUUUAAAUCUCUAUCUACCUCUAUUUCUUUUUUUAAAAUAUGAUAAUAAAAUAAAAAUUGAUUAAUCAUAAAAAAUACUAGCUCAAUUUCGUAAUAACUUUAUUGUAAAAAAGAUAUAAGAGGGGGAAAGUGACGAAUAAAAAUUGAGGGCAUAACUUUUAUCGUUUAAAAAGUGAAAUCUACUUCGGUCCAUUUUCUAAUAAAAGAAUGUUUUAUAUAAAUAUCAUUUGGCAUGUCUCAUAAUAAAAUUUAUCGUAUCAAUAAUAACUUUUCAGCCACAAUAAAUUAUUUAAAAUAAAAAUAUUGUUACUAAAUAAAUAUUUUUGCUUCAAGUUCUCAAAUUUAUGGCAACAGUUAAUGAUAUAAAUAUAUUUUCACUAUAAUAAAUUUGUGGUUGAUCAUAAGUUUGCCACGCGAUAUAGCAGUACUGAUCUUUUAAUCAUAAUAAAUUAUUUCAAACAAAAUAUUAUAGUUAAAACUAUAUAUUUUUGCUAUAAUUUGUAGGAAAAAUUGUAAAAAUAGUUAAAUGAUAUUGCCACAAUUGUUUUAUGAUUCAAUUUUGGCAUAAUUAAUAUUUACUUUGAGUACAAAAAAGUUAUGACAAUAAUUACUUUAAUAGUUAGAGAAAAGACAUAAAGUUACUACUGAAGUUGUCCCGAAUUUUCAAAAAGACACCUUACUAAACAAUUUUGAACAUAUAUUAUUAUAUCAUUUUUCGAUCAGCCCCAAAUUUUAAGAAGCAAGUGUGUUCACACACUAAUCAUUACAUGACAUGUGUUAAUUUAAUUAAAAAUGUAUAUUAUUUUUUUCAUUUUAAGUUUUUCCUUUAUCUUUUCUCUCUCUCUCUCUCUCUCUCUCUCUCUCUUUUUGACUUUUAAUUUUGAUUUAUCUUAAAUUUCACUUCAUCUUCCACCUCCCACUUUUCAAGUGAUUCCUCCCUCCUUUUUUUUUUUUUUCACCUCCCACCUCCCAUGUCAAAUUGAACCCCACUCCCAUUUUUCUUUCUUUUCUUUUUCUUGUUCUUCUCCGGUCAAAUUCUUUAUAGAAUUCAUACUAUUUUUUUAGAUUUUAUUGAAUUAUUGAUAACAAAAUUAAUUUUUUUUUUAAAGAAAAUUUAAAAUUUUGAAGGUAUCAUCAACUACUCAUUUUCAUAUAACUUCAAAAUUAGAAAUGAUAAUUUUAAAAGAAUCAAUGAAUUUCCCAAAAAUUGAAAGAACUUAAUUGAAAUCAGAUAAAAAUACUAUAUGAUACUUCCUAAUCAUCUUGAAAUCUAAUGGGUUUAUCAAAUUGUUCGAAAUGUAAUAAAAUAUUUAGAUAAAGUUUUAAAAUUAAAGAGAGUAAAACUAAUAGUAGUAAAAGAAGGAAGGUGAAGUUGUGGUAAAAAUAGUGACAUUGAAAGUGAGAAGCUUCAAUGGAUGGAGAUAGCUUUAAUAUAUUGUCCGAAAAUUAUAUGCCCAUAGUUUUUAUUAAAUCUUUUUUGACUUCUUCCAUGUAUGAUGCAAGAAGUUCUGAUUUGGAGAUAGCUCCCUUCUUCAUUUGUAGUUUCCUUGUUAUUUAUUUAAAAUGACUGAUAUCAUCUCUGCCUUGUAUGACUUCUAGUUGACGCUUACUAACCUCAAUAGAGUUGUUAAUGGAGUUUAUAAUCUCCUUUCCAUGGACCUUUUCCUCAUCAUCUCUCUGGAGUAAUUUACUCCAAAUUUUGUAUGGAAUUUUCUCCUUAAGCAAGGGAAUCCUUCCUCAUUCAUUUGAACUUCUAUCAUCCAUUUCAUUAUCCAUGGAAUAGAGAAUUUUAUGAAAAAAUACAUUAAUGGCAUUCCUUUAAAAUAUAUAUCAUCUUUUUGUAAUUUUAUUAAUUUGGGUGAUACAUCAACCCAUUCUGCAUAUAAAUUUUUGUAUUCUUCCGGAAUAUAUUCACUGAAGGGCCAUAUAAAAUCUACCACUAACAAAACCAAUUUGGUAUAUGUUGUUUAAAGACAUGGGAGCAUAUUUUUAUAAAACAUGAGUGCUUUCUAUUAGCAUUCUCAUAUAACAAGGCUUUAUUAAAGCUUUCGAUAUAAUUCCAAUAAUAAAAUUUGACCGCAACCUUUUGCUCUGCAUGGAUAUAUUCCCUUUCCUUCAUUGUACUUAUUUCCCAUUCCUCUGGGGUGAAAAUCUUUUUUAUAAUAGAUUUUGAAAAGUUAAAAACUUUUUUAGUACUGGCUGGGUAAAAGUGCUGGAAUUCAGCAGACCCAAUGGAUGAGAGUAUUAUCUCAUAAUGCAUUCUGUAUUUGUAAGUUGGGACAACAUAUGAUACUGUAUCAAAAUAUCUGAUCAUAAGCUACCAUGGAUCGUCUUUCCAUUGUAAGUCCAUAGGCUCAAGAAGUAUUACUUCAUCUUUUUCAUUUUUAUCAAAUACUUCAAUAUUUUCAUUUCCUUCAUCAGUGAUGGCUGAAGAAAAAGAUGGUGGGUUAGUACCCUGAACUUGUCUAAAUUGUAUAAAAUUCAUAAAUUUCUUAUACAUCGGAUGUUCAGUAAUAAUUCCCGAUGUGCUUGUGUAUGUUUCUGCAAUGUUCGAAGCUAUUAGCUUCUGAUUUUCUAUUUGAGCCAACACAUUAUCUCUUCCCAUGGGUGCUUUUCCUCUCCCUCUUCCUCUAAUAGAGGAAGAACUUCCAGACGACCUCAUCAUCCUGCUAUUACAAGAGAAAGAGUUAUUAACUUAAAUAUUCUCUAGUAAGAAAAUCGGGAAGACUAUUAUCGUAUAAUGUAUUUCAAAAUCGAACGGUGCCAACAAAGUUUGCCAUCUUGCAAACAUUUGUUUAAAAACAUCAUGCUUCACGUCUUUAUUAAAGAUGAAUUUAGCUGCUUGACAAUCCGUUUUUAUGAUAAAAUUUUGAUUAUAUAAGUCACCUUGGAAUUUUAAAACACUUUUGACUAUAGCUAAAAUCUCUUUUGCUACAGUGACACAAUUUUUCUGGCUAUUAUUCCAUUUUCCAGAAUAAAACUAGAUAAGAUACUCUUGCCCUUUAUUAGGAGAGAUUGUUUUAAAAUUCCUCCAUAUGCAAUGUCUGAAGCAUCUGUCACUACUAUCCUUUGCCAAUUUCGAUUAGCUAAAGUGAGACAGGGCAAAUUAUUAACCUUUGUCUUGAUAUGUUUUACUGCUUCCAUGUGGUCCUUCGACCAGGCUUGAAGAUUCUUUUUGAGUCGAUCAUACAAAAUGGACGUAUCUCCGGCUAGGUCCUUUAUAAAAAGAGAAAUGUAAUUUAGGCUUCCUAAAUAUCUUUGGAGUUGGGUUUUAUCAGUUAUGAUAUCAGGGAACUUGGAAGCAAAUUCUAUAUUGUGUCCUAAAACCCUGACAUUCGUUUGAAAAAUAUGCAUUUUUGGUUUAGAUAUGACCAAGUCAUUUUGGAUAAUGAUUUUCUUAAAUAAAUCAAGGUGUUUAAAGUGCAUUUCCAACAUUUUUUAAAAUACUAAGAUAUCAUCUAUAUAAGCAAUAAUAAAAUUGCUGAAAGGGUUAAAAAUAUCAUUCAUAAUCUUUUGAAAUUCUGAAGGAGUAUUUUUAAAACCAAAAGGCAUUACAUUUCAUUCAUAUUGUCCCAUUGGAACAUUAAAAGCUGUUUUAUAUUUAUCUUCUUCUGAAAUUUGGAUUUGCCAAUAACUUGAUUUUAAAUCUAAUUUUGAAAAUAUAAUUGCAUCAUGAAGUCGAUCUAUAAAAUCAUUUUUAUUACGAAUAGGUUAUCUGAUCCAUUUUAAAAUUUUACUAAGAGCUUUAUAAUUUAUAACUAAUCUAGGCACUCCACAUUCCAGCUCCGCCUAUUUAUUAACAUAAAAAGCAGUACAGGAUCAUCAAAGUCCUUAUUAAUCUCUUCUGCAAAAGAGUACUAAUUUCUUUCUUACAUAAGUCUUAGUAUUCAUAAUUCAUUUGGCAAGGUCUUGCCUUAGUGGGAAUAUUAUCCUCAGAAAAUUCUUCUUCGUAUGAAAGGUUGACUUCAUGCUUUUUCCUUCCCCAAAACACAUUUGGAUGGUCCCCACAUAUUUGUAGAGAAUUGAUUCUUUAAAUUUUCAAUUUUCCCUUGGAUUUUAGGAUUUUGUAAAUUCUCGUCUAUAGUGAGGCUACAAAUUUCAUUUUUAAGAAAAUCAAUUUGUUUAUUCUUUAAAGAAAUAAUAUAUUUAACUUCAUUUACAAAUUUUGAAAUUGGUUGAGAUAUAAAAUCUAUUCUUAUUUUCCUUCCUUCAAAAGUACCAGUUAUUCCGGUCUCAUCCCAUAAAGUUAUAGGAUAUAUAUGCCAGAAAAAAGGCAUUCCUAAAAUAAUUUCAUUAGAAAUAUUUUUUAUUAACACAAAUCUUUCAGGCAUACAAAUGUUAAUUGUACAAAUAUAAGCUUUUGGAAUUUUAUAUUCAAUAUCCAUUUUAUGACCGCUAGCAUUUCGAAGACUAUGAGUAGUCUUUUUAAAAUAUCUUGACGGAAUUAAACCUUCCUGAAUACAAUUUAAGUCAGCUCCGCUAUCAAUAAGAGCAAUACAAUCUUUUUUUAAGUUAUAAUCAAUAAAAAGAGUUAUUUUUGCCAAGGGUUUAUGAGAUGUAAUGAGCUCGAUAGUUUCCAAAAAUAAAUCCUUAUUAUUUGUAAACUCAUUAGGAAUAUCAAGAAGAUUACCUUCACCCGUAACUUGUUUUCCAUGAUGAUUAUUAUCAUCCUUAUUUUCUAUAUAAGUAAUUCUCUCAUGAAGAACUAUAUUGUGAUUUUUGAGAGAAGAUAUUUCUUUUUUGAGAUUAUUAAUCUCCUCAACCAAAUCUUGAAUUGUUGUAGGAAUAUGAUCCCUCUGAGACCUAAAUUUUAGCUGUCUCUUUACUUUUUCCAUAGUAUAAGCAUUAUUAUGAGUGAAAUUCUUUAGAAAUUCUAGUAUUACUAGUGGAGGUACUGGUAUUACCAAUUUUAUCAAUAAUUUGGGAACUUAACGUUGGAUCAUCAAUCAUUUUGAGCAUCUCUACCCAAUUAUCAUUACUAAUAACAUUGAUGUUUAAAUCUUUGAAUUGGGAAUACAACUGAUAGAAUUCGUCCUUGUCCUUAUUAUCACAAGGUUGGCCAAUAUGACAAGAUAUACAUUCUUCUUCGGAAGAGGUCAUAUAAUUUUCUUCAUGGAGAACCCUCAGAUCUUCUCCCGAGGACGAAUUUAGGAGGAUUUUGCAUAAGGAAUAUUUAAUAUUAUCUUCUAGAUCAAGACUCUUAAUCUUAUCUUUGACCUUACAAUCUCUAGCAUAAUGGCCUACUCUACCACAUUUGUGACAAGCAUUUGAUUUGUUAUUUCUAAAGUAUUCCCUUUUUCCCUUAUAAUCCAUUUUCCUUUUUUCACGCUUAUCUAAGCAUUUCUUUUUCUGUACUGCCUAUGAGGCUUUUCUUUAUAAUCUUUUUUCCCUCUGUGUUUAUUAGACUUCUUAGAGGAAUCAGGCAUAUCGAUUGCGAAUUGCUCGCAAAACUCUCCUAAUUGUUGUCUCUCAUUCAAAUGAUAUCUUUUAAUUUGUUGAUUCAACUUGAUCUCGUUGCACAAAGAGAGGCCUCCUUGGGUGAGAACACUUAUAAGUUUUCCAUAAGUAUAAGCGUCAUAAUCAAUACUCACCCCAUCUCCUCUAAGGGCUUUCCUAACUCUUUCUGCAAAUAAUGCAGGGAGUCCAUCUAUAAACUUGGACUUCCCAUGAGAGUUAUUAAAUUCACCAUAACUCUAGAUAGGAAAACAUCCUUGUACCACCUAAAUGAUGUAAGAGUUUUACAUCUAAGAUUUUGGAGCAUUGUCCUAAUGGUUUUACUAUUAUUUGACCAUCUUUCAAAAAAAUGUUCUAUAAUAGUUAGUACCAAGGUGCAGACUACAUUUGGAAUCAUCCCAUUUUCAUCCUUCACAACAUUCAAAAUAGUCAUACGUUGGGAUUCUGAGAGAUAAUUAUCCCACCAACCUUUUAAUUGGCCUGUAAAUCCAGCAAUAAUCAUGUUAGUUGUAUCCUUUUCAAAAUUCUUGUUAGCCUUGUAGAUCGUACUAUACAUAAGAAUUCUAUGAGCUAGAGUAUACAUUUGCCUAUCAGUAAAACAAUCAAUAUUUCACUCAUAAAUUUCCAUCCCGCUAAAACUAUUAGAGACGUAAUAUUAUUGCUCCUCCAGGAGAAUAUCUUGACGAGUUGGCCUAGGAUAGUAAUACAUCCUUUGAAUUGGUUUUCUAGCAUGUUUCUCUGAUAUUUUAUUAAUCUCAUCAACAAUAUUAUUCCUAUCAGUGGCAUCAUUUUCACUUAAUUGGAGGGGAUUAAUAUUUAACCCCUGAAACCUUUCUAGAAGCAAUCUUUCAAUAUUAUUAAGCUUUGAUAAUUUAAAGUCCUUGACUUUUGGAGGGGGUUGAAUAGUAGGAGUAGCUUUCUCCUUCCCUUUAUUAGGGAUUUUAGACCUUUCUAAUUUAGCACAUAAAUGAGUAAUUUUACAAUGUAAAGAAAGAAUAUGCUCUCCUAAAAUGCUUACAUAGACAUCCGUAUAAUUGUUUUGUCUUAUCAGUGUUUUAAUAUGCUUAGCAGAAAUAAGAGCAGUAUCACUUUCAAACAUUUCUACGAAUGCCGUAAAAUAUACGGUCUCAUUAUCUUUUUCAAUUUGGAAAGAUUGUUGAGGAGGUAAAAGAGAUUUGGUAAUAGUGCCAUCAGAUAGUUUAUAAUCUUGUUCUAACAUAGAAAUAUAAUCAUAAACGUAUUUUGUCAUGAACCAUGGUACAAAAGCAAUGGCUUUAUUAACCUUAGAAAGAUCAUUAGAAAAAUAUUCUUGGAAGAAUGUUUGUUGACUUUUUGUCAAAACUUUGAAAAAACCAUUUUCUAAAAAGUUCCCAUUUGGGUUGAAAAAAUUCAUUUGAAAUCUUUUUUCUUACCGGUGAUUCCGGUCUAAAAUCAAGUUCCGAUCUAUCCAUUCAAACCAUUUGGGAAGUCCAUAUCAGACAUAGAAGGCUCCAUAUCAGGAGUGACAAUCUGAUUUUCAAUUUUAAUAUUAUCAACACUUUUUCCUUCUUUCAUAUAAGAAGUGGAUGCUCUAAAGCUAUCUUCAUCUCUAAUAUGAGAAGUAGAUGCUCUAGAUGGCAUAUCAAUAUAAUCAACAGGGGAUAUGUAUGAUUAGUUAGUUCUAAGCAUUCUAGAAGGAAAACCUAUAUUAUCAGCAUAACUCAUCAAUAAAUUUUGAUUAGUAAAUUUAAUUUUUACUAUCCCAUCAGGUGUCUACUCGAUAUCAGAAAUGUCAGAAUUUCAAUUAUUUUUGGGUGGGGCUGCCUCCUCAAUUACCCACUCCUUAGGAAAGUCAAUUUUAUCACAUUUAAGGGGCCUUUUAGUUAUAACUUUAGACUUACUAAAAUUUGUUUCUAUAAGAAUCGUUUCAUUUUUAAAAUCCAUAGUUUUACACAUAGGAUUCAAAGUAUAUAAUGGUUUAUAGUAAAUUCUAUAACAAAUACAUAUAACUUCAGUACCAGGCAAAUAAUCAUAACCAUGCAAUUUUAUACUUAAUAUUAAAGUAUUUAGAGAUUUUUCAUCAUUCAAAGAAAUUUGUAAAUUAGGAUAGGCGUUAAAAUACACAGGGCCAUAAGCCAAACUAGUUUGAACCGUCCCUCUUAGGGAUUUUUUCCAAUUCUGACUUCUGCCAUCUCUUAAAGCUGCUAAGAAGAUCUCAGGUAAACCUAUUAAAGUGAGUGGUUUAAAAGCAACUUACACCAAACCAAUAUGCAUAAACCUAUAUGUUUCUCUAUAAGGGGCAAAAUCACUUUCAGACAAUAAUCUAAAAGCACCAUGAUCGGAAUCCAGAGGAAAAGUUUCCUCUGUGGUCUUGACAAUUUGUUUAAAUCCCAUUUUUUCAUAAGUACCCAUUUGGUAUAUAACCUUGGGCUGGAUUUUAGGAAUAGUCCAUUUAUUAAGAAGAUCUAGGUGUUGAGGCAUAUCAUACUCCUCUUUUCUACUGUUUUUAACAGUAGUAUGUUUUUUAAUGAUGUUCAUAAUUUUAAGAUGUGUCGGACCAACAAUUUUUGGAUUUUAAAAGGUGUGAAUGGAAAAUGAAGAGUUGUAACUUUUAUGAAAAAUUGUGACUUUUAUGAAAAGUUGUGACUUUUAUGAAGAGUUGUGACUUUUAUGAAAAAUUGCGACUUUAUAAAAAGUUGUGACUUUUAUAAGGUUGUCAAUUUUAUGAAAGGUUUUGACAUUUCCGAAAGAUUAUGACUUUUCCAAAGGUUUGUGACCUUUCUGGUAAGGCACAAUAAGAACCUUUUCACACUACCCUUUGUUUUCUACAAAUUGAGGGAUUUCCUCUCAUUUUAGUUGGAAAAAAAAUUCUAGACUUCUCCUACUCUACUAAAUCUAGUAUUCUAAGUGUACUUUACUACCAUUGAGUGGUUCGCUGACACCGUGGUUUUAGGUACCGAUACACCAGUGAGUAAGAUCGUUCUAUCCUGGGAGGAUAUAUUCCAUUAAUCUCGGGUACUUGAGGGGAAUAAUUUCUUUAAGGGGGACACUCUGCAUUCAGUGGGCUCGAUUUUCUUUCUUUUGAGAAAAAUAUUUUGUAUAUUGUUUCUAAUCUGUUUCUGAUUCUAUUUUCUCUACUAGUUUUAAUUUUCUAGUUUUUGAGAAUACUCUUUAAUCUUUGUUGUUUCUUACCAAGUUCUUCAAAGUUUUGUUCUAAGUAUCUUAGGAAUACAAGAUGAACAACAAUCUUAAAGAAAUUAAUAUAUUGUUGGUAUUUUUUGUAUUCUACUGAUUGAGAGAAACAGUUCAUGAAAAUAGAAGAUUAAUGCAUUACUUCUCCAGAAUUCGGUGCUUUGUUUAGCAUGGUCGAAGUGAGAAUGUAUUAGAAGGAUUGGUGGUAUUUCGGUUAAAGAUUACACCAAGUAACCUUCUUAUUAUUUAUCUAAGGAGGAAAAUAAUUUCUAAAAAAUUAACAAUUUUGAUAUUUAUCAUGUAUGUCUUUGGAAAAAAAUCUGCAAACCAUGAUUUUUGAAUGAAUUUUCCUUGAUAAAAAGUGUUACCUUUAAAAUUCUUUAGUUUGCAGAAUGACAGAUGCACAUUUUUUUUUUGAUAAAAUAGUAUGUCAAAAUGUUAUAAUUGGUAGCCUAUUUGAAAAGAAAAGCAUAUCUAUGUGUUAAUCUAAGAAUGCUUAAUUCUGUUUAGAGACUAAAAAAAAACUUUUGUAGUUUUGUACUCCAUGUGAAAUUUGAUUGUGUCUGAUAUUUGUAGACUAAAAACUUUUUGUAGUUUUCUACUUUGGAUAAAUUAGACUAUGCUAUUGGUUUGAAGAAUAUGAAUACUUCACAUAAUAAGUCAAUGUUGUACUUUUGAUUUUCUAUAAACUUCACUGUUAUAUAGAAACAAAUUGUACAAUUUUUUUGUCUUUAUUGUUAGUAUUCUAAAUACUAAGUGGUAUGUCUAUUUGUGAUAGAGGAAAACUACCAGUGACUUAGAGCUUGUGAUUUUGUGACUAUAUGGAAUGAACUUUGACAAUGUGUAAAGAUUGUCAAAGAGAAUUGAAGCACAAUAAUUCUUUUGUAGAAUAAUAUUUUCAAAAGACGUUUCAUGUUGCCAAUGACACUUUGAUAGCACGAGAAAAAAAAUAUGUGGAAAAACUAUUUGGAAAUGCUUGAAAAAUAUUUUUGAGAUCAUAUUUAAAAUGUGGGGUGUUCUAUACUUAUGAAAAAGAUAAAAUUAGACUUAGUGUCUAAUUUAAAUUUGGAAAACAAGAUAUUAAAUUCGAUGAUACUUUUGUAUUAUGUUAGGCCCACAAAAAUUUUGGAGUAUAUUUGAUAUUGUGGUCAUUGAGUUUNNNNNNNNNNNNNNNNNNNNNNNNNNNNNNNNNNNNNNNNNNNNNNNNNNNNNNNNNNNNNNNNNNNNNNNNNNNNNNNNGUGUUAGUUAAUAUGUUGUGACUUUUCAUGAAAAGAUAUGUCUANNNNNNNNNNNNNNNNNNNNNNNNNNNNNNNNNNNNNNNNNNNNNNNNNNNNNNNNNNNNNNNNNNNNNNNNNNNNNNNNNNNNNNNNNNNNNNNNNNNNNNNNNNNNNNNNNNNNNNNNNNNNNNNNNNNNNNNNNNNNNNNNNNNNNNNNNNNNNNNNNNNNNNNNNNNNNNNNNNNNNNNNNNNNNNNNNNNNNNNNNNNNNNNNNNNNNNNNNNNNNNNNNNNNNNNNNNNNNNNNNNNNNNNNNNNNNNNNNNNNNNNNNNNNNNNNNNNNNNNNNNNNNNNNNNNNNNNNNNNNNNNNNNNNNNNNNNNNNNNNNNNNNNNNNNNNNNNNNNNNNNNNNNNNNNNNNNNNNNNNNNNNNNNNNNNNNNNNNNNNNNNNNNNNNNNNNNNNNNNNNNNNNNNNNNNNNNNNNNNNNNNNNNNNNNNNNNNNNNNNNNNNNNNNNNNNNNNNNNNNNNNNNNNAAAAAAUGUCAAGUGUGUAUGGAAUCUAAGUAUGCUGAGCAUUCUUAUAAAUCUAUUGAAAGUAAUUCUAAUCCCUUAGAGUUGAUUUACACUUACAUUUGUGAUAUGAUGUCAACACCAUCUCGUGGUGGGAAAAAGUAUCUCAUAACUUACAUUGACUAUUGCAUUAGAACGACUAUGUUUAUUUGUUGAAUGGUAAGGAUGAAGAAAUAUAAAUGUCUAGACAAUAUAAUAUUGAAGUUGAAAAUCAGUUGGGAAAAAGAUAAGAAGCGAUAGGGAUGGAGAAUAUAAAUAUCCUUUUGCAGAAAUAUGUUUGGAAAAUUGAUUUAUCCAUCAAACUACUGCCCUAUUCACCUCAAUCUAAUGAAAUUGUAGAAUGGAAAAAGAAAUUGAACUUUGAAGGAAAUGAUGGCUACAUUACCUAUAAGUUCAGGUUUACCAUAAAACUUGCGUGGAGAAGCUAUCAUUACAGCAAAAAGGAACAACAAAAAGUUUUGUCUUUUCAGAAAGAUAGUAAUAAAAAGUUUUGUUUGUUCAGGACACAAUCUAUUCCAUAUGAGAAAUGGAAAGGAAGAAAAUCCAACUUGAAAUAUUUGAAAGUGUGGGGGUGUCUAGCCAAAGUUCAAAGUCCAAGUUCCUAUUCAUAAAAGGAUUAAAAUAGGACCUAAGACUGUGGACUGUAAAAUUAGACUUGAGCAGUCUAGUGAAAGGUCUAAACGACCUUGAAAAGAACAAAAGAAGAAUGCACUUAAUAAAGAGACUCAGAGGCGUAGUUAAUGUCAAAGGACGUCUACAUCCCUCGAAUAUGAUUUUGUAACAUUUCUUGUAUUUUCUGUAUACUCAUCAUUUUGAAAAGAUGUUGUCAAUAGUGAGAUUGGUUCAAUCUUGAGCAAUCCUAUUGGAAGUUGGUUGGGCUUCCUCCAGGAAAUAAACCUUUGUGUAACACCCCAGAUUCGUGAAGGAAAUUUUUUUAGAAUUUUCAGAUUUGGUAGGUGCCCAAUCCGCAUCAGGAUUUGGACAACUUUUAAGUCAAGGGUGUUUUUGUAUUUUCCCACUCUUCUUUUAAUUCCUAAAUUAAAAGGGUUUUAGUUAGUCAUUUAAAAUUCUAGAAACCUAACUAGAACUUACCUAAGUCAUUUAAUUAACUAAAACAAAAGAAAAGAAGAGAGUAGAGAGAGGGGCGGCCAAAACCCUAGCCGCCGCCGGAAAAUGCUAGAAAGUCACCGAAAAAGUCAAGUCCAGCCCUAGUUGAUAGUAUUUCGUGGAGAUUUCGUCCCCAGCUAUGUUGGAUUUCACUAAUGGGUCCCUUUCACCCGUUAGAACCCUAGAAUUCAGACGAUUCUUAAUUCAUGCUAUGAACGAAAUUAGGGUUCUUGAACGUUUCUUGAUUUUGGGUUUUAAAUGUUAGAAUGAUCCAAAUAUUGAUGAUUUUUCAAUGAUUAUGAAUGAACCCUAGUAGUUUCUAAAGUUACAGCCGAUUUUCAUGAAGAGACUGUUUUAAAAACGUUCCGAUUUAGAAAUCACAUUUUUAAUUAUAUGUUCUAACGUCCAAACAGCAUGUCACAUUUUAGCUAUGUUUUAUUGUUCCAAAUCAGCAUGUCACGUCUUCUUCAGAUUAUCGUAUGAAUUUCAGAACCCUAGUUAUGUAUUUCUUUAGUUCUUGAAUUACAUGUGUUAGGUCAGACUUUAUCAUAAAUCAGUUAUACCAGCCUCAAUAUUAUGCAUCAAUGUCAGUUUAAAUUGUUGCGUUCAGUUUGCAUGUCUAGUUUUGAGCUAUCCAGAAAAAUUACAAAAAAUCAGUCAUAAUUAGUUUACUACUAAAUUCAUUGGGACUAGCAUAAUACCGAGUUGGACUAGGGUUUAGCGUACCCAAAUAGUCCCAGAACUACUAGCCAAGUAGGUUGUAACUCCCUUCCAUGGGAAACAGAUUAGUGAUCACGCCAGCAUGCCUUUAUACCUCUGGCAGGGUAUAUUGGGUCCUCUCGAUGGGACGUAUACAUCAGACUCCACAUUCAGCUCAUGUGGUUUUAUUAUCGGUAAUUAGUAGCUCGCAUAAAUCAGUCAGACUCCAUUUGCAUUGACCAUGUUCAGUAUUCAGUUUCAGCAUGUCAUUGUUGGCCAUUGCAUACAGAUCAGUCAUGUUUAGUAUUUUUCAGCAUUCUAUCAUAUCCAGAUAUAUGUCAUUGCUUUUUUUUUUUGCUUGUUCAGUUAUAUAUGUAUUUCAGUGAUACUUCAUCCUCAUGCUCGGUACCUUUCAGUACUGACGCAUAUAUUACGCUACAUCUUCUUGUGAUAUAGGUUCAGGCUCUCAGCAUCCAGAUUGCACUUAGAUCGUUUUCUAAUCUUCAGCUCAGCAGAUUAGUAGUGGUGAGUCCUCAUCCUCUGAGGACCAGAGACAUGAUAUCCUUACUGCUUUCAGUCUUUAGUUUCAGUUUUGCUAGAACUAGUUGGGGCAUGUCCCAAUAUUUCUAGUCAGUUUAAAGGCUUACUUUCAGACAUAGUUAGUUUCAGCCUAGUAUGAGUUAAAUAUCUUUUGUAUUAAACUCUCUCAGUUAUAGUAUAUGGGUAUUCCCCCUCUUUUCUUUAUUUAUGUUUUUAGAUUCCGCAUCAGUUAUUUUUAUUCAUGUUAAUUAUAGUAUGCUCAGAUUAUGCCAGUAGGGUUAGCUUGGGAUCACUUCAGUGAUCAUGCCUCCUCGUAGAGUUAAGCUAGGAGAGCUAAUGCCAGGAACGUGAAUGCAGCUCCUCCAAUCCCAGAUCAGGAAGUUUCAAAUGCAGAGUUCAGGAAUGCCUUCAGAUGUUGGCUCAGAGCAUGGCCAACCAGAACAACCAGCGGGUUCAAGCUCCUGUGAAUGCUAAUGUUGGGUCAGCCGCAGCUAGGGUGAGAGACUUUGUUAGAAUGAACCCUCCAGAAUUCUUAGGGUCGCAAGUUGGAGAAGAUCCCUAAAACUUCAUUGAUGAGGUCAAAAAGAUCUUUGAAGUGAUGCAGGUAACUAAGAAUGAUCGGGUUGAGCUAGCUUCUUACCAAAUUAAGGAUGUGGCUCGUAUCUGGUAUACUCAGUGGAAGGAUAGUAGGGGUACGAAUGCAACUCCUAUUACUUGGGAUUGCUUUAGUGAGACUUUUCUGGACAGAUUCUUCCCUGUUGAGUUGAGAGAGGCAAGGGCCCAAGAGUUUAUGAAUUUGAGGCAGGGUAACAUGACUGUUCAGGAGUAUGUGAUCAAGUUCAACCAACUCUCCAGGUAUGCUCCUCACAUGGUUGCUGAUUCUAGGGCACAGAUGAACAAGUUCUUGUAUGAAGUGUCAGACUUGGUUAAGACGGAGUGCAGAAAUGCUAUGUUGUUGGGAGAUAUGAACAUCUCUAGGCUCAUGACUCAUGCUCAGCAGGUUGAGGGUGAUAAGCUUAGGGAACAUGCCAAGGAGAACAAGAAUGCUAGAACAGGCAACUAUGACUACUCUCAACAGAAAUCGGGUGGUGGUAAUCACUCGCAACAUAAAUUUUGAGUGCCUUCAUCAGCUAGUGUUCCAUCUCCCAGGUUCCAUAAUGAUCAGAAGGGUAGGGCGUCAGGCUCUAAGUCUCAGGAUGGUGCUUCAGGUACCAAAUCAUACCCUACUUGCCCUAAGUGUGGUAAGAACCAUCCGGAUGAGUGUCUUGCUGGGAAAGAAGGAUGCUUUGGGUGUGGUCAGUCUGGUCACAAGUUGAAGGAUUGUCCUUCUAGACAGGGUCAAGGAGGAAAUAAUGGUAGAGCUCAGUCUACAACUUCAGCAGCACCAGCAGGUCGCCCGACUCAGCAGGGUAACUCUUAUGGUACAGAUGGCGAACAACGCCAAAACAGGCUCUAUGCUCUCCAGGCUCGACAGGAUCAGGAAGGUUCUCUUGAUGUGGUCACUGGUACGUUACGAGUCUUCGAUCUUGAUGUUUAUGCAUUGUUAGAUCCAGGGGCUACUUUGUAUUUUGUAACUCCUUUCAUAGCAGUCUAGUUUAGUGUUAGUCCAGAAACUCUCUCAGUACCUUUCUCAGUCUCUACUCCAGUUGGUGAACCAGUUAUAGCUAGACGGGUAUACAAAAAUUGCCCUGUCACAGUCUCUCAGAAAAUCACCUCAGCAAAUCUUGUAGAGUUAGAAAUGGUAGACUUCGAUGUCAUUCUAGGCAUAGAUUGGUUACAUUCAUGUUAUGCCUCAGUCGACUGUAGAACUAGGAUUGUUUGCUUUCAGUUUCCAGAUGAACCAAUCCUAGAAUGGAAGGGUAGUAGCUUAGCGCCUAUGGGUCGAUUCAUUUCUUACCUUAAGGCCAGAAAGAUGAUAUCUAAGGGUUAUCUCUAUCAUCUAGUUCAGGCUAAGGAUUCUAGUUCUGAAUCCCCAACUCUUGAGUCAGUUCCUNNNNNNNNNNNNNNNNNNNNNNNNNNNNNNNNNNNNNNNNNNNNNNNNNNNNNNNNNNNNNNNNNNNNNNNNNNNNNNNNNNNNNNNNNNNNNNNNNNNNNNNNNNNNNNNNNNNNNNNNNNNNNNNNNNNNNNNNNNNNNNNNNNNNNNNNNNNNNNNNNNNNNNNNNNNNNNNNNNNNNNNNNNNNNNNNNNNNNNNNNNNNNNNNNNNNNNNNNNNNNNNNNNNNNNNNNNNNNNNNNNNNNNNNNNNNNNNNNNNNNNNNNNNNNNNNNNNNNNNNNNNNNNNNNNNNNNNNNNNNNNNNNNNNNNNNNNNNNNNNNNNNNNNNNNNNNNNNNNNNNNNNNNNNNNNNNNNNNNNNNNNNNNNNNNNNNNNNNNNNNNNNNNNNUGAGGAAGAACAUGCAAGUCACUUGAGAGUGGUUCUGCAAACUUUCAAAGAUCACCAGUUAUUUGCGAAAUUUAACAAGUGUGAGUUUUGGUUACAAACAGUUGCUUUCCUUGGGAAUAUUGUGUCUAGUGAAGGGAUUCGAGUAGUUUCCCAGAAAAUAGAAGUGGUGAAACAAUGGCCCAGACCUACCUCAGCUACAAAUAUCAGGAGUUUCUUAGGUUUAGCAGGUUAUUACAGAAGUUUUGUGGAAGGAUUCUCAUCCAUAGCCUCACCAUUGACUAAGUUGACCCAGAAGAUGGUCAAGUUUUAGUGGUCAGAUGAUUGCGAGAAAAGGUUUGCAAAAUUGAAAACUAGGUUGACUACAGCUCCUGUCUUGACUCUACUAGAGGGUUCAGAUGGUUAUGUGAUUUAUUGUGAUGUGUCCAGAGUCGGCCUAGGUUGUGUGUUGAUGCAGCGAGAUAAAGUUAUAGCUUAUGCUUCCAGGCAGCUUAAGGUGCAUGAGAAAAAUUACCCAACUCAUGACCUCGAGCUGGUAGCAGUGGUGUUUGCACUUAAGAUUUGGAGACAUUAUUUAUAUGGUGUUCAUGUAGAUGUGUUCAAAGAUCAUAAGAGCCUUCAAUAUGUGUUCACCCAGAAAGAGUUGAAUCUUCGCCAGAGAAGAUGGCUAGAGUUCCUCAAGGAUUAUGAUAUGAGUGUGCAUUACCAUCCUAGUAAGGCAAAUGUAGUAGCAGACGCUCUUAGCAGACUAUCUAUGGGUAGUGUAGAACAUGUUGAAGAAGAGAAGAAAGAAUUAGCAAAGGAUGUUCACAUACUUGCUCGCUUAGGAGUUCGUCUUAUGAGCAUAUCAGAUGGUGGUGUAACAGUUCAGGAUGGGGCAGAAUCUUCUUUGGUAGUAGAAGUUAAGGAAAAGCAAGACAGUGAUCCAAUAUUGCUAGAGCUUAAGGGUGCGGUCCAGAAGCAGACAAUGGAGAUAUUCUCCCAAGGGGGAGAUGGUGUGCUUCGCUAUCAGAGUCGAUUAUGUGUUCCUGAUGUGGAUGAGUUGAGACAUCAUAUCCUUGCAGAAGCCCAUAAUUCCAGAUAUUCUAUUCAUCCAGGUGCCACUAAGAUGUACCGCGAUCUGCAGGAAGUCCACUAGUGGAAUGGUAUGAAAAGACAUAUAGCAGAUUUUGUGGCUAAGUACCCCAAUUGCCAGCAAGUCAAGGUAGAACAUCAAAUACAGGGAGGUAUGACUCAAGAGAUUGAUAUUCCUACUUGGAAGUGGGAAGUGAUCAACAUGGAUUUCAUCAUAGGGUUACCUCGUAUUCGCAGACAGCAUGACCACAUUUGGGUGAUUGUUGAUAGAGUUACUAAGUCUUCUCGCUUUUUGGCGGUUAAGACUACAUUUUCAGCAGAGAAUAAUGCCAAGCUUUACAUUAAUGAGAUUGUGAGGUUUCAUGGAGUUCCUUUGUCUAUUAUCUCAGAUAGAGGUCCUCAGUUUACCUCUAAUUUCUGGAAGUCAUUUCAGAAAGGUCUUGGUACUCAGGUUAACCUUAGCACAACAUUUCAUCCGCAGACAGAUGGGCAGGCAGAGCAUACCAUUCAGACCUUAGAGGACAUGUUGAGAGCUUGUGUGAUCGACUUCAAAGGUAGUUGGGAUGACAACCUUCCUCUUAUAGAGUUCGCCUACAACAAUAACUACCAUUCCAACAUUCAGAUGGCCCCUUAUGAGGCAUUGUAUGGGCGUAGAUAUAGAUCUCCUGUUGGUUGGUUUGAAGUAGGUGAAGCAGCAUUGAUAGGGCUAGAUUAAGUCCUCUAUGCUAUGGAGAAAGUGCAACUCAUCAGAGAUAGACUUAAGACAGCCUAGAGUCGCCAGAAGUCUUAUGCAUAUGUGAGAAGAAGGGAAUUAGAGUUCCAAGUUGAUGAUUGGGUUUUCUGAAAAUGUCACCUAUGAAAGGGGGGAUGAGAUUUGGCAAGAAAGGGAAGCUCAGUCCUAGAUAUGUAGGCCCUUAUAAGAUCUUGAAAAGGAUUGGGAAAGUGGCUUACGAGUUAGAGUUGCCAGCAGAUUUAGCAGCAGUGCAUCCAGUCUUUCACAUCUCACUUUUGAAGAAGUGUGUGGGUGAUCCAGCAUCCGUGGUUCCAUUAGAGAGCGUGGCGGUGAAAGAUAGCCUUUCUUAUGAGGAUGUACCAGUUGAGAUUCUCGAUCGUCAGGUUAGAAGGUUGAGAAAUAAAGAAGUUGCUUCAGUCAAGGUUUUGUGGAGGAGUCAGUCAGUAGAGGGAGCUACUUGGGAAGCAGAAGCAGCCAUGAAGUCCAAGUAUCCUCACCUCUUUCCUUCCCAACAAGGUUCAUGGUUAACGGGCAAAGGAUCAAGAUCUAUCUGGGAAACGCAAAAACUGUGCAAUUUUCAGAUUUGGCAGGUGCCCAAUUCGCAUCAGGAUUUGGACAACUUUUAAGUCAAGGGUGUUUUUGUCUUUUCCCACUCUUCUUUUAAUUCCUAAAUUAAAAGGGUUUUAGUUAGUCAUUUAAAAUCCUAGAAACCUAACUAGAACUUACCUAAGUCAUUUAAUUAACUAAAACAAAAGAAAAGAAGAGAGUAGAGAGAGGGGUGGCAGAAACCCUAGCUACACCCUAGCCGCCACCAGAAAACACUAGAAAGUAGCCGAAAAAGUCAAGUCCAGCCCUAGUUGAUAGUUUUUCGUGGAGAUUUCAUCACCAGGUAUGUUGGAUUUCACUAAUGGGUCCCUUUCACCCGUUAGAUCCCUAGAAUUCAGACGAUUCUUGAUUCCAUGCUAUGAACUAAAUUAGGGUUCUUGAACGUUUCUUGAUUUUGGGUUUUAAAUGUUAGAAUGAUCCAAAUAUUGAUCAUUUUUCAAUGAUUAUGAAUGAACCCUAAUAUUUUCUAAAGUUACAGCCGAUUUUCAUGAAGAGACUGUUUUAAAAACGUUCCGAUUUAGAAAUCACGUUUUUAACUAUAUGUUCUAACGUCCAAACAACAUGUCACGUUUUAGCUAUGUUUUAAUGUUCCAAAUCAGCAUGUCACGUCUUCUUUAGAUUAUUGUAUGAAUUUCAGAACCCUAGUUAUGUAUUUCUUUAGUUCUUGAAUUACAUGUGUUAGGUAGACUUUAUCAGAAAUCAGUUAUACCUGCCUCAAUAUUAUGCAUCAAUGUCAGUUUAAAUUGUUGCAUUCAGUUUGCAUGUCUAGUUUUGAGCUAUCCAGAACAAUUACAGAAAAUCAGUCAUAAUCAGUUUACUACUAAAUUCAUUGGGACUAGCAUAAUACCGAGUUGGACUGGGGUUUAGUGAAAAUCAGUCAUAAUUAGUUUACUACUAAAUUCAUUGGGACUAGCAUAAUACCGAGUUGGACUGGGGUUUAGCNNNNNNNNNNNNNNNNNNNNNNNNNNNNNNNNNNNNNNNNNNNNNNNNNNNNNNNNNNNNNNNNNNNNNNNNNNNNNNNNNNNNNNNNNNNNNNNNNNNNNNNNNNNNNNNNNNNNNNNNNNNNNNNAUGCCUUUAUACCUCUGGCAGGGUAUAUUGGGUCCUCUCGAUGGGGCACAUACAUCGGACUCCACAUUUAGCUCAUGUGGUUUUAUUAUCGGUAAUUAGUAGCUCGCACAAAUCAGUCAGACUCCAUUUGCAUUGACCAUGCUCAGUAUUCAGUUUCAGCAUGUCAUCAUUGGUCAUGGCAUGCAGAUCAGUCAUGUUUAGUAUUUUUCAGCAUUCUAUCAUAUCCAGAUAUAUGUCAAUGCUUAUUUUUGCUUGUUCGGUUAUAUAUGCAUUUCAGCGAUACUCCAUCCUUAUGCUCGGUACCUUUCAGUACUAACGCAUAUAUUGUGCUACAUCUUCUUGUGAUGUAGGUUCGAGCUCUCAGCAUCCAGAUUGCACUUAGAUCGUUUUCUAAUCUUCAGCUCAGCAGAUUAGUAGUGGUGAGUCCUCAUCCUCCGAGGACCAGAGACAUGAUAUCCUUACUGCUUUCAGUCUUUAGUUUCACUUUUGCUACAUCUAGUUGGGGCAUGUCCCAAUAUUUCUUGUCAGUUUAGAGGCUUACUUUCAGACAUAGUUAGUUUCAGCCUAGUAUGAGUUAAUAUCUUUUGUAUUAAACUCUCUCAGUUAUAGUAUAUGGGUAUUCCCCCUCUUUUCUUUAUUUAUGAUUUUAGCUUCCGCAUCAGUUAUUUUUAUUCAUGUUAAUUAUAGUAUGCUCAGAUUAUGCCAGCAGGGUUAGCUUGGAUCACUUGUGGUCCUAGGUCCCGUGUCAGCAUCUCGGGGGUAGCUGGGGCGUGACACUUUGGGUUCAAAGUGAAUCCGCAAAAGGAAAAUGAAAUUCGAUGGAAUUAUUGAAAAAUAUAAAGCAAGACUUUUUGUCAAAGGCUUUGGACAAAAACAAGGUCUUGAUCUUUUCGACACAUACUUGCCAAUAACUAGAAUUACAUUCAUUUGGAUGUUAAUUGUGUUAUCUGUGGUAUAUGAGCUCCAAAUUCAUCAAAUGAAUGUGAAAAAAAACACUCUUAAACGGAUUAUUGGAGGAAGAAAUUUACAUAGAACAGCCCGAGGGUUUUGUGGUUCCUGGUAAAAAAAACAAAGUGUGCGAACUUGUUAAGUCACUUUACGGACUUAAACAAGCACCCAAAUAAUGACAUAAGAAAUAUGACCAAACCAUGUUGGCAAAUGGAUUUAAGAAUGAUGGAAGUGAUAAAUGUGUUCAUAGUAAAAUCACAAGGUCAUUUUUUGUUUGUAUAUUGGUGAUAUGUUGAUCAUCAAUAGAGACACUAAUGACAUAAAUGCAACUAAAUGUUCUAGAAAGCAAGUUUGAUAUGAAAAAUCUUGGAGUUACUGAUGCGAUCUUUAGGUAUAAGAAUCCUUAGAACUACAUAAUGUUUAGCAUUGUCACGGUCUCAUUGCAUUGAAAAGGUACUUGACUAGUUCAAAUAUUUGNNNNNNNNNNNAUGAAGAGUUGUGACUUUUAUGAAGAGUUGUGACUUUUAUGAAAUAUUGCGACUUUUAUAAAAAGUUGUGACUUUUAUCAAAGGUUUUGACAUUUCCGAAAGAUUGUGACUUUUCCAAAGGUUUGUGACCUUUCUGGUAAGGCACAAUAAAAACCUUUUCACACUACCCUUUGUUUUCUAUAAACUGAGAGAUCUCCUCUCAUUUUAGUUGAACAAAAAAAUUCUAGACUUCUCCUACUAUACUAAAUCUAGUAUUCUAAGUGUACUUUACUACCAUUGAGUGGUUCGCUGACACUGUGGUUUUAGGUACCGAUACACUAGUGAGUAAGAUCGUUCUAUCCUGGGAGGAUACAUUCCAUUAGCCUCGGGUACUUGAGGGGAGUAAUUUCUUUAAGGGGACACUCUGCAUUCAGUGGGCUCGAUUUUCUUUCUUUUGAGAAAAAAUAUUUUGUAUAUUGUUUCUAAUUUGUUACUGAUUCUAUUUUCUCAGUUUUAAUUUUCUAGUUUUGAGAAUACUCUUUAAACUUUGUUGUUUCUUACCAAGUUCUUCAAAGUUUUGUUCUAAGUAUCUUAGGAAUACAAGAUGAACAACAAUCUUAAAGAAAUUACUAUAUUGUUGGUAUUUCUUGUAUUCUACUGAUUGAGAGAAAUAGUUCUUGGAAAUAGAAGAUUAAUGCAUUACUUCUCCAAAAUUCGAUUUUUUGUUUAGCAAUGUCGAAGUGAGAAUGUAUUAGAAGAAUUGGUGGUAUUUCGGUUAAAGAUUACACCAAGUAACCUUCUUAUUAUUUAUCUAAGGAGGAAAAUAGUUUCUAAAAGUUAACAGUUUUGAUAUUUAUCAUGUAUGUCUUUGGAAAAAGAUCUGCAAACCAUAUGAUUUUUGAAUGAAUUUUCCUUGACAUAAAGUGUUACCUUUAAAAUUCUUUAGUUUGAAGAAUAAGAGAUGCACAUUUUUGUUUGAUAAAAUAGUAUGUCAAAAUGUUAUAGUUGGAAGGCUAUUUGAAAAGAAAAGCAUAUCUAUGUGAUAAUCUAAGAAUGUUUAAUUCUGUUUGGAGACUAAAAAAAACACUUUUGUAGUUUUGUACUCCAAGUGAAAUUUGAUUGUGUCUGAUUUUUGUAGACUAAAAACUUUUGUAGUUUUCUACUCUGGAUAAAUUAGACUAUGCUAUUGGUUUGAAGAAUAUGAAUACUUCACAUAAUAAGUCAAUGUUGUACUUUUGAUUUUCUAUAAACUUCACUGUUAUAUAGAAACAAAUAGUACAAAAAAAUUAUCUUUAUUGUUAGUAUUCUAAAUACUAAGUGGUAUGUCUAUUUGUGAUAGAGGAAAAAUACCAGUGACUUAGAGUUUGUAAUUUUGUGCCUAUAUGGAAUGAACUUUGACGUUGUGUAAAGAUUGUCAAAGAGAAUUGAAGCACUAUAAUUCUUUUGUAGAAUAAUAUUUUCAAAAGAGGUUUCAUGUUGCCAAUGACACUUUGAUAGAAUGAGAAAAAAAAUAUGUGGAAAAACUAUUUUCAAAUACUUGAAAAGUAUUUUUGAGAUCAUAUUUAAAAUAUGGGGGGUUCUAUGCUUAUGACAAAGAUAAAAUUAGACUUAGUGUCUAAUUUAAAUUUGAAACACAAGAUAUGAAAUUCGAUGAUACUUUUGAAUUAUGCUAGGCCCACAAAAUGGAGUAUAUUUGAUAUUGUGGUAGUUGAGUUUCUCUUUUACUAGUAUAUGGUAUGACUAUUAUAAAACAACCAAAUUAUAUGUAUACUUGUUCAAAAUGAUUGAGUUCUUUUAUGAAAAAGUGUUACUUAAUAUGUUGUGACUUUUCAUGAAAAGAUAUGUCUAUUAAAUAUAACUAUUUGUGUAGACAUGAAAAUUGGUGAAUAGUCAUUUGCCAUGUUUUGUAAAAGAAGCAUUUAGACUAUAUUGCCUUUAUUGGACGAUGAAACUUUGUUCAUGGGUAGUUCUAUAACAAUCAAAUUGAAAGCUAUAGAAAGGUCCUUCCGAAAAGGACAUUUGACAAGGUGAUGACUCUAAACAAUGUUUGUAUCACACAAAAUUGUAAGAAUAGGAACAAAAUAUUUGAGAGAAAAAGCUACCUCGCGGAGAGCUUUUCAAACUCAAUAUUUUUUUUUGUUCCUACUUGCUUGAGUCAAACUGUUGAACACUUGGGGCAUGUCAAUUACAAAACUUUGUAAGGAAAAUUGAUCAACUUAGAAAUUUUGUCUAAAUUUGAGUGCAAUAAAUAAAAAUGUCAAGUUUGUGUGGAAUCUAAGUAUGCUGAGCAUUCUUAUAAAUCUGUUGAAAGGAAUUCUAAUCCCUUAGAGUUGAUUUACACUGACAGUUGUGAUAUGAAGUCAACACCAUCUCGUGGUGGGAAAAAGUAUCUCAUAACUUGCAUUGACUAUUCCAUUAGAAACGACUAUGUCUAUUUGUUGAAUGGUAAGGAUGAAGCAAUAGAAAUGUCUAGACAAUAUAAUAUUGAAAUUGAAAAUCAGUUGGGAAAAAGAUAAGAAGCGAUAAGGAUGGAGAAUAUAAAUCUCCUUUUGCAGAAAUAUGUUUUGGAAAAUUGAUUUAUCCAUCAAACUACUGCCCUAUUCACCUCAAUCUAAUGAAAUUGUAUAAUGGAAAAAGAAAUUGAACUUUUGAAGGAAAUGAUGGCUACAUUACCUAUAAGUUCAGGUUUACCAAAAAACUUGUGUGGAGAAGCUAUCCUUACAGCAAAAAGGAACAACAAAAAGUUGUCUUUUUAGAAAGAAAGUAAUAAAAAGUUUUGUCUGUUCAGGACACAAUCUAUUCCAUAUGAGAAAUGGAAAGGAAGAAAAUCCAACUUGAAAUAUUUCAAAGUGUGGGGGUGUCUAGCCAAAGUCCAAAGUCCAAGUUCCUAUUCCUAAAAGGAUUAAAAUAGGACCUAAGACCGUGGACUGUAAAAUUAGACUUGAGCAGUCUAGUGAAAGGUCUAAACGGCCUUGAAAAGAACAAAAGGAGAAUGUACUUAAUAAAGAGACUCAGAGGCGUACUAAAUGUAAAGGACAUCUACUUCCUUCGAAUAUGAUUUUGUAACAUUUCUUGUGUCUUCUGUAAACUCAUCAUUUUGAAAAGAUGUUGUCAAUAGUGAGAUUGGUUCAAUCUUGAGCAAUCCUAUUGGAAGUUGGCUGAUCUUCCUCCAGGAAAUAAACCUUUGGGUUCAAAGUGAAUCCUCAAAAGGAAAAUGAAAGUUGAUGGAACGGUUCACAAACAUAAAGCAAGACAUUUUUUCAAAGGCUUUAGACAAAAACAAGGUCUUCAUCUUUUCGACACAUACUCGCCAGUAACUAGAAUUACAUUCAUUUGGAUGUUAAUUGUGUUAUCUAUGGUAUAUGACCUCCAAAUUCAUCAAAUGAAUGUGAAAAAAAACUCUCUUAAACGGAUUAUUUGAGGAGGAAAUUUACAUGGAACAGCCCGAGGGUUUUGUGGUUCCUAGUAAAAAAAACUAAGUUUGUGAAUUUGUUAAGUCACUUAAUGGACUUAAACAAGCACCCAAACAAUGACAUAAGAAAUAUGACCAAACCAUGUUGGCAAAUGGAUUUAAGAAUGAUGGAAGUGAUAAAUGUGUUCAUAGUAAAAUCACAAGGUCAUUGUUUGUUUGUAUAUUGGUGAUAUGUUGAUCAUCAAUAGAGACACUAAUGACAUAAAUGCUACUAAACGUUCUAGAAAGCAAGUUUGAUAUGAAAAAUCUUGGAGUUGCUGAUGCGAUCUUAGGUUUAAGAAUCCUUCGAACUACAUAAUGUUUAGCAUUGUCAUGAUCUCAUUGCAUUGAAAAGGUACUUGACUAGUUCAAAUAUUUGGAUUUCAAUAUUGUCAAGUCUCCAAUAAAUGUGAGCUUUGCAUUUCAAAAGAGUGAAGGCUAAAGUACUCACAAUUGGAUUGUGCUAGAGUAUUGGAAAGUAUGAUGUAUAUUACGAAGUGUGCGCGAUCAGAUAUAGCAUGUGUUAUUAAUGAAUUGAGUCGGUUCAUGAGUGAUCCCAAUCGAACUCAUUGGAUGACAAUGAAAAGAGUUUUGGGGUAUUUAAGAAAUACUCAAAACUAUGUCUUGCAUUAUAACAAUAUCCAGCAGUAUUGAAAGGACAUAGUUAUGCAAAUUGGAUCACCAGACAAAUGAAGUAAAAUCCACGAGUGGAUAUGUAUUUACUCUUGGUAGAGGAGAAGUCUCUUGGAAAUCUUCCAAAAAAGACAUGUAUCGCUAGCUAUACAAUGAUCUCUGAGCUAGGUGUUCUAGAUAAGGUUGGUGAAUACGUUGAAAGACUCCAGAAUUUCUUGAUAGAUAUUCUUUUUUGGCCAAAACCAUUGGCAUUAGUAUGCAUACACUUUGAUAGUCAAGAUGCAAUAGGUAGGGCAUGGAGCAUAUGUAUAACAGAAAGUCUUGUCAUAUAAGACAUAGACAUAAUACUAUUAGAAACCUACUCUUUAGUGGAAUUAUCACAAAUGACUAUGUAAAGUCAAAGGAUAAUGUGUCGGAUCCACUUACAAAAAGGCCUAACUAGAGAGAAAGUUGAAAGAUCAUCUAAGGGAAUGGGUUUACGGCUUAGGACAAGUCAUCAUGGCGGUAACUCUAACUAGCAGACUGGAGAUCCCAAGAGCUAGGUUCAAGGAGAAAAACAAAGUUGUGACCAAAGGUUCGGCAUUGUCAACCAACUCAAUCCAUUCUCAUGAUGAAGACAAUUCUCGGGAACAAGGAUACAACAUUAAGGCUUGUUAAUGAGUUAAUAAAGCUUAAUGGUUUUAAUGAUUUGCUAAGUUUGGAAGAGUUGACCAAAUAGUGUAUCUACGCGAUAACACGAUUAGAAAUCACCUAUGUGAGUGUGAAGUAUAAGCUGCUUCAAAGACGAUGAUUGUCAAAAGCCCAUCUCUCUAUACACUCAUGAAACCAGGAGGUGUUCAUGGCUAAAACGAACACAACCGUAAGAAUAAUAAAUGGUAAAGGCUUAAUUGUGUGACAUAUGGUUGUCUAAGUAUACACCAAAGCUCGACGGUUGAAAGAUAUCGCAUCUACCGAUUGACCGAGUAUAUCCAACAUAUAUUCACUACAGAAAGUCCAAGGGAAAACCUACUUAUCCAGACACAAUUAAUUCUUCCUUGUAAAGUACACAUACUUGUCCGUUUCUUUGUCUUGGAGUCAUUCCCCAUUCAUGCGGGGAUUGUUGGGUUUUAAAAAGAUGUGAAUGGAAAAUGAAGAGUUGCGACUUUUAUGAAAAGUUGUGACUUUUAUGAAAAGUUGUGACUUUUAUGAAAAGUUGUGACUUUUAUGAAGAGUUGUGACUUUUAUAAAAAGUUGCGAUUUUUAUGAAGAGUUGCGACUUUUAUGAAAAGUUGCAACUUUUAUGAAAAGUUGCAACUUUUAUGAAAAGUUGUGACUUUUUAUGAAAGGUUUGUGACUUUUUAUAAAAGGUUGUGACCUUUUCGAAAGAUUGUGACUUUUCCAACGGUUUGUGACCUUUCCGGUAAGGCACAAAAAGAACAUUUUCACACUACCCUUUGUUUUCUAUAAAUUGAGGGAUUUCCUCUCAUUUUAGUUGAAAAAACAAAUUCUGGACUUUUCCUACUCUACUAAAUCUAGUAUUCUAAGUGUACUUUACUGCCGUUGAGUGGUUCACUGACACCGUGGUUUUAGGUACCGAUACACCAGUGAGUAAGAUCGUUCUAUCCUGAGAGGAUAUAUUUCAUUAACCUCGGGUACUUGAGGGGAAUAAUAUUCUUAAGGGGACACUGUGCAUUCAGUGGGCUCGAUUUUCUUUCUUUUGAGAAAAUACAUUUUGUAUAUUGUUUCUAAUCUGUUUUUGAUUCUAUUUUCUCUACUAGUUUUAAUUUUCUAGUUUUGAAAAUACUCUUUAAACUUUGUUGUUUCUUACCAAGCUCUUCAAAGUUUUGUACUAAGUAUCUUAGGAAUACAAGAUGAACAACAACAACACCUAUCUCUACUAUCAACCUGGCUCUGAUACCAUGUAACUACAAAUAUACAUUUUUCUUCGGAUCUUCGCUUAAAGAGGACUCUUCUCCAUCACUACAAUUAGGACUAGAAUCUCUCCUGAGGACGAAUUUAGGAGGAUUUUACAUAAAGAAUCUUUAAUAUUAUCUUCUAGAUCAAGACUCUUAAUCUUAUUUUUGACCUUACAAUCUCUUGCAUAAUGGCCUAGUCUACCACAGUUGUGACAGGCAUUUUAUUUGUUAUUUCUAAAGAACUCCCUUUUUCCCUUAUAAUCUUUUUUCUUUUUUUCACGCUUAUCUAAGCGUUCCUUUUAUCUGUACUGCCUAUGAAGCUUUUCUUUAUAAUCAUGUUUUUCCUCUGUGUCUAUUAGACUUCUUACAAGAUCCAGGCAUAUCGAUUGUGAAUUGCUCGCAAAACUCUCCUAAUUGUUGUCUCUCAUUCAAAUGAUAUCUUUUAAUUUGUUGAUUCAACUUGAUCUCGUUGCACAAAGAGAGGGCUUCUUGGGUGCAAACACUUAUAAGUUUUCCAUAAGUAUAAGCGUCGUAAUCAAUACUCACCCCAUCUCCUCUAAGGGCUUUCCUAACUCUUUCUGCAAAUAAUGCAGGGAGUCCAUCUAUAAACUUGGACUUCCAGUGAGAGUAAUUACAUUCAGGUAGUUCCAUAACUCUAGAUAGGAAAACAUCCAUGUACCACCUAAAUGAUGUAAGAGUUUUACAUCUAAGAUUUUGGAGCAUUGUCGUAAUGGUUUCGCUAUUAUCCGACCAUCUUCCAGAAAAAUGUUCUAUAAUAGUUAGGACCAAGGUGUAGACUACAUUUGGAAUCAUCCCAUUUUCAUCCUUAACAACAUUCAAAAUAGUCAUAUAUACGUUGGGAUUCUUAGAGAUAAUUAUCCCACCAAUCUUUUAAUUGGACUGUAAAUCCAGUAAUAAUCAUGUUAGUUGUAUCCUUUUCAGAAUUCUUGUUGGCCUUGCAGAUCGUACUAUACAUAAGAAUUAUAUGAGCCAGAGUAUAAAUUUGCCUAUCAGUAAAACCAUCAAUAUUUCACUCAUAAAUUUCCGUCUCGCUAAAACUAUUAAAGACGUAAUAUUCUUGCUCCUCCAGGAGAAUAUCUUGAGGAGUCGGCCUAGGAUAGUAAUACAUCGUUUGAACCGGUUUACUAGUAUGUUUCUCUGAGAUUUUAUUAAUCUCAUCAGGAAUUCGUAUCAAUGGCAUCAUUUUCACUUAAUUGGAGGGGAUUAAUAUUUAACCCCUAAAACCUUUCUUGAAGAUAUUUUUCAAUAUUAUCUAGCUUUGAUAAUUUAAAGACCUUAACUUAUGGAGGGGGUUGGAUGGUAGGAGUAGCUUUCUCCUUCCCUUUGUCAUGGAUUUUAGACCUUUAUAAUUCAACACAUAAAUGGGUAAUUUUAUCAUGUAAAGAAAGAAUAUGCUCUCCUAAAAUGAUUACAUAGACAUUAGUAUAAUUGUUUUGUCUUAUCAGUGUUUUAAUAUGCUUAGCAGGAAUAAGAGUAUAUCAUUUUCAAACAUUUCUGCGAAUGCCGUAAAAUAUACGGUCUUAUUAUAUUUUUCAAUUUGGAAAGAUUGUUGAGGAGGUAAAAGAGAUUUGGUAAUAGUGCCAUCAGAUAGUUUAUAAUCUUGUUCUAACAUGGAAAUAUAAUCAUACAUGUAUUUUGUCAUGAACCAUUGUAUAAAAGCAAUGGCUUUAUUAACCUAUUAGGGAUUUUUUCCAAUUCUAACUUCUGCCAUCUCUUAAAGCUGCUAUGAAGCUCUCAGGUAAACCCCUUAAAGUGAGUGGUUUAAAUGCAACUUGCACCAAACCAAUAUAUAUAAAUCUGUAUGUUUCUCUAUAAGGGGCAAAAUCACUUUCAGACAAUAAUCUAAAGUACCAUGAUCAGAAUCCACAGUAAUAGUUUUCUCUGUGGUCUUGACAAUUUGUUUAAAUCCCAUUUUUUCAAAAGUACCCAAUUGGUAUAUAACUUUGGGCUGGAUUUUAGGAAUAGUCUAUUUAUUAAGAAGAUCUAGUUGUUGAGGCAUAUCAUACUCCUCUUUUCUACUAUUUUUAAUAGUAGUAUGUUUUUUAAUGAUGUUCAUAAUUUUGAGAUGUGUCGGACCAACAACACCUAUCUCUACUAUCAACAUGACUCUGAUACCAUGUUUUUGGCAGGAUCGCUUCGAUGUAACUACUGGUUCGUUUACGAUUCAUGUAAUCUAAGGACGAAAAUAACUUUUACGGUUCCUCAACAUAGCCCUAACAAUACAUCAUCAAUGGCUAAUAUGGGCUUUACCAGGAACAUCGGAUUAAGCCAAGAUCUUCCCAUCCCUGACUACACUACUAUGACCUUAGAGACAUUGGAACAGUCCUUUUCUCACCAUGUCUUGGUAGAUUAAGUUGUUGUUAAUCCAACACGAGUUGUUUAGCCUAUCAUUUAGGCUAUUAAAUUUUUUAAUAAGUUUUAAAUAAUAAAAAAGGAAAGAGCAAUACCUUAAUUGAGGAUCUCUGGCAGUAACUCUCCAAAGUAUAAAGCAACAACAAUAUUUUAUUUAAAUACUAGUGGAAUGCAAAGAAAGUAAUACAAGAAGGGUUGGCAAAAGUCUGCCCUCUAUUCAAAGAAAGAGAUCCUUAUAUAGAAAGGACCUGAAGAAAAAUCUAAAAUUCAUGACAUAAGGGAUUACAUCAUGUUACAUUAUUGGACCAACAUUGGGGUCCGUAACUUUAAAAAAGCAUAUAAUUAUUCUAACUUUUAUAAAAGCUAGUGUCUUAUCACUUAGUCUUUUUUGGUCUCCUUUCCCACUGAAUUGGAAGAUUCUUCUAUCUGGUUCUUGAACUGUUGAAGAAAUGUUUCAAUGUCCAUCUCUUCCGUGCUAUGAACACUUUGGGACUCUCCUGCUAUACAGGUGUCUUCUUCGUCAUUUGAUGUAGCCAUAGAUAUAUUGUCCGAAAAUUCUAUGCCCAUAGUUUUUAUUGAAUCUUUUUUGACUUCUUCCAUGUAUGAUGCAAGAAGUUCUGAUUUGGAGAUAGCUCCCUUCUUCAUCUGUAGUUUCCUUGUUAUUUGUUUAAAAGGACUGAUAUCAUAUCUGCCUUGUAUGACUUCUGGUUGACUCUUACUAACCUCAAUAGAGUUGUUAAUGGAGUUUAUAAUCUCCUGUUCAUGGACAUUUCCCUCAGCAUCUCUCUAGAGUAAUUUACUCCAAAAUUUUGUAUGGAAUUUUAUCCUUAAGCAAGGGAAUCCUUCCUCAUUCAUUUGGACUUCUAUCGUCCAUUUCAUUAUCCAUGGAAUAGAGAAUUCUAUGAAAAAAAUACAUUAAUGGCAUUCCUUUAAAAUAUAUAUCAUCUUUUUUGUAAUUUUAUUAAUUUGGGUGAUACAUCAACCCAUUCUGCAUACAAAUUUUUGUAUUCUUUCGAAAGUAUAUUCACAGACGGGUCAUAUAAAAUCCACCACUGACAAAACUGGUCUUUCUGCAUGCAAACCGGAAUAAGAUAUAAAAUUAGCCUCAGAUGCAGGAGAGCUAUUGGAUGACCCAUCUACUUGCAAGGAGACUUGUUGGGACUCUUUUCUACCUGACUAAUUAUCGCCCAGACAUUGCUUACACUUACAACAUAGGAGGGCUACGAUUGCUCUUGUUGAUACAGUUUCAUUCUUUUAGGCAGUUUCGUAUUCUAAUGAUCCCGUCUUACCUGAUGAUUAGGAUUUGCUUUCCCUAUUUGAAAAAACCAAUUUGGUAUAUGUUGUUUAAAGACAUUGGAGCAUAUUUUUAUAAAUCAUGAGUGAUAUCUAUUAGCAUUCUCAUAUAACAAGGCUUUAUUAAAGCUUUCGAUAUAAUCCCAAUAAUUAAAUUUGACCGCAAUCUUUUGCUUUGGAUGGAUAUAUUAUCUUUCCUUCAUUGUACUUAUUCCCCAUUCCUCUGGGGUGAAUAUCUUUUUUAUAAUAAAUUUUGAAAAGUUAUAAAAAAAAAUUAGUAUUGGCUGGGUAAAAGUGCUGGAAUUUAGCAAACCCAAUGGAUGAGAGUAUUAUCACAUAAUGCAUUCUAUAUUUGUAAGUUGGGAUAACAUAUGAUGUUGUAUCAAAUAUCUGGUCAUAAUCUGCCAUGGAUCGUCUUUCCAUUGUAAGUAUAUAGAGCAAGAAGAAGUAUUACUUCAUCUUUUUCAUUUUUAUCAAAUACUUCAAUAUUUUCAUUUCCUUCCUCAGCGACGGCUGAAGAAUAAGAUGGAGGGUUAGUACCCUGAACUUGUCUGGAUUGUAUAAAAUUCAUAAAUUCCUUAUACAUUGGAUGUUCAAUAUUAAUUCUCGAUGUGAUUGUGUAUGUUUCUGCAAUGUUCGAAGCUAUUAGCUUCUGAUUUCCUAUUUGAUCCAAAAUAUUAUUUCUUCCCAUGGGUGCUAUUCCUCUCCCUCUUCCUCUUUCUCUAAUAGAGGAAGAACUUCUAGACGACCUCAUCAUCCUGCUAUUACAAGAGAAAGAGUUAUUAACUUAAAUAUUCUCUAGUAAGAAAAUCAGGAAGACUAUUAUAUGUUCCCUUCUUAUAAUGUAUUUCAAAAUCGAACGGUGCCAACAAAGCUUGCGAUCUUGCAAACAUUUGUUUAGAAACAUCAUGUUUCACGUCUUUAUUAAAGAUGAAUUUAGUUGCUUGACAAUCCAUUUUUAUGAUAAACUUUUGAUUAUAUAAGUCACCUUGGAAUUUUAAAACACUUUUGACUAUAGCUAAAAUCUUUUUUGCUACAGUGGCAUAAUAUUUUUGGCUAUUAUUCCAUUUUCCAAAAUAAAACUGGAUAAGAUACUCUUUCCCUUUAUUAGGAGAGAUUUGUUUUAAAAUUCCUCCAUAGCUAAUGUCUAAAGUAUUUGUCUCUACUAUCUUUUGCCAAUUUGGAUUAGCUAAAGUAAGACAGGGCAGAUUAUUAACCUUUGUCUUGAUAUGUUUUACUGCUUUCGUGUGGUCCUUCGACCAGGCUUGAGGAUUAUUUGUGAGUCGAUCAUACAAAAUGGCCGUAUCUCCGGCUAGGUCCUUUAUAAAAGGAGAAAUGUAUUUUAGGCUUCCUAAAAAUCUUUGGAGCUGGGUUUUAUCAGUUAUGAUAUCAGGGAACUUGAAAGCAAAUUCUAUACUUCUUUGAAUAGGAAUUAUUUUUCCUUGUUCUAUAUUGUGUCCUAAAAACCUGACAUUCGUUUGAAAAAUAUGCAUUUUUGGUUUCGAUAUCCAUUUUGGAUAAUGAUUUUCUUAAAUAAAUCAAGGUGUUUAAAGUGCAUUUCCGAUGUUUUUGAAAAUACUAAGAUAUCAACUAUAUAAACAAUAAUAAAAUUGUUGAAAGGGUUAAAAAUAACAUUCAUAAUCUUCUGAAAUUCUGAAGGGGCAUUUUUUAAACCAAAAGGCAUGACAUUCCAUUCGUAUUGUCCCAUUGGAACAUUAAAAGUUGUUUUAUAUUUAUCUUCUUCUGAAAUUUGGAUUUGCCAAUAACCUGAUUUUAAAUCAAAUUUUGAAAAUAUAAUAGCAUGAGGAAGUCGAUCUAGCAAAUCCUUUUUAUUAGGAAUAGGAUAUCUGAUCCAUUUUAAAACUUUAUUACGAGGUUUAUAAUUUAUAAUUAAUCUAGGCACUCCACAUUCAUGCUCCGAAUGUUUAUUUAUUAACAUAAAAAGUAGUACAGGACCAUUGAGACUUUGAGGGCCUUAUUAAUCCCUUCUGCAAAAAAAAGUCCAAAUUUUUUUUUACAUAAGUCUAAGUAUUCAAAAUUCAUUUGGUUCUUCAUAUGGAAGGCUGACUACAUGCUAUUUCCUUUCCCAAAACACAUUUGGAUGGUCCCCACAUAUUUGUAGAGAUAAUUACUACUACUACUACUACUAGUAGUGUGUGUGUUUUUCAAUUAAUUAUUAUAAACAGUUAUACUUUUAAUGUAAUUGAUUUUAAAAUUUAUAAUUUCAAGAAGAAAAUAAAGAAGAAGAAAAAAAUAAAGAAAAAAAAACAUACAAAAAGAACAUUUUUUUUAAAAGGGAAAAAGUAAAAGGGAAAGAGAAAGAAACAAAAAUGUGUAAAAUAAUAAAGAAAAAAAAUAAAACAAAAUGUUCAGUAAAAGAAGGAAAAAAAUGCAAAAAAAAAAUGAGAAAAGAAAAAAAAAUUGAAAGGGAAAAAUCUUCCUAAUCCCUUAUAAUUUUUAUCCAAAACUAAUCUCAAAUCCCAUAAAACUUUAUCUCCUAUUUUAAAUCCAACUCAAAAAGACAAUCCUAAAAUUACCCAAACUCUAAAAUCUCACUCCUACACAAUCCCUAAUUCCUAGCAACUAGACGACUAUAUAUACUCAAGAGACGAAUUCAGAUACAACAUACACGCAUAAACCACAACAACAACAAAAAUCUUCCUUUAUUUACCAUUUUUUCAAAAGAAAAGAGUUUGAGAAUUAGUGAGGUCAAGUUUGAGUCCUUGUUCGAGUUUUCAUGUGCGGUUCUUGAUUCAAGAAAAUAUUUACGAAAGUUCAAGAUUAAAAUUUGUAAAGGUCCAACUCUUGACGUUAACUCUAUUUUGUUUGAACCAAGUUGCAUGCUUAUACAUAAUAUUUUUUUUAGUACAUAAUAUAUGAUCGCUCUUCGUGGAGGAGCAAGUUGCCGCUCUUGCCAGAGAUGUGUGACGGUUGCGCUCGAGAGCCAUUCAUGUGGUUAAGGUCCGUUGGAGGCAUAGUCCAGUUGAGGAGGCUACCUAGAAACCGAGCAUGAUAUGCAAGAGUAGUUUCCUGGCUUGUUUGAGCCUCCGGUACUUCUUGACUCUUACUUUCACAGACAAAAGUCCUUUAUCAUAGAACUGACCGUUUCGAUCAUCUGGUCGUUUGUUUAGUUUUUAUGUGAGUUUUAGUGUUUUGGAGCUUCUGAACCUUAAACGGCCAGUUUUGAUCAAAUGUUCAAGAAGAUGACCUCAAAAUCUAAUUCUGACGAUUCCAUCCACUUUGUAAGAGUUAUUUUAGGCUAGUAGAAUGGUUGGCAUGACUCCCGAAGCUUUCAGUGCGAGUCUAUGCAAUUAGGCGUUUUAACUUUCAAGUUAAGACUUAAGUUUGACUUUAGUCAACAUUCCGAGUAAACAAGCUCGGAUGAGAAUUAUGUCAGCGCGAUUAGCACCGAAUUGUUGAAUUUGGUCUAGAACCGCCUUUCAUUUGGAUCCCGAGGCUUCCAGGCGAAUUCUGAACCCCCUUGUGGAUUUUGGCUUAAAUUGGAGUUUGGGUGUGGGACUUACUUUUUGCCGAGAUGACCUCGUAUGAAAAUUUUAACUGCUCAGUUGAGUCUGGAAUAUCAAAUUUCGUAGUGUUGCUUAUCUCGUUUGCAAGCACGUGGUUCCGAACGAAUUCAGAGUUUAAGCAAACUAGCUGAAGUGCUGAUAUCUGGUGCAGGCUUCUAGCGACCAUAAAUCAGACUUUUAGCUACCAGAAAUGGACUUUUAGCGACUAGAAAUGGACUUUUAGUGACCAGAUCUCGGAUAUUUAUACUGCGAACUUGCAGCCUCAUUUGCGAACUUGCAGCCUCUUUUAUUAUUUUCAAAAGGCGAUUUCUCCUCAUCCGAGCCCCNNNNNNNNNNNNNNNNNNNNNNNNNNNNNNNNNNNNNNNNNNNNNNNNNNNNNNNNNNNNNNNNNNNNNNNNNNNNNNNNNNNNNNNNNNNNNNNNNNNNGUAGUUGAUACUCAAAUGCAAGUCAUUGCAAGUGAGCGAAAUUGUGAACAGUGAUGGAGAUGAAUUCCCACAUAAGGAUCUAUCUACCUACAAAGAUUAAGCCAAUUCCACCAUGCCAAUCCCGAGUUCUAGCAUAGUGAUUUUAGGGGAAAUGCGAUGGAAUCGCCUGAGCUGCACACUAGAUUUCGAACUGAUUCCAAGGGGAUAAACAACAAAUUAAGCACAUGGGAGGAUUCACCAGGUCAAGGCGCAUCUAAAGAUGUAAUGGUAGCCAAUUCCAACGGCAAUGAAAGUCUCGCUGGAAUUUCUGUUGAAGAUGCCGGAGCUCUAGUGAGCCAAGAGUUUCAAACCCAAUAUCAAAAUGAUCAGGAAAGGGAGAUACAUCACCCCACCUCUAAAAUCUCAAGUGUGGAUGCAUUCUACAAAUCAAACAAGGGGAUCAUAAUCCCCGAAGAACAAUAGAGGACAAAUUUGGACAAGGAAGUUCAGGUGAGCGAGCUAAAAAAUUCCCAUAGUGAUAUCAGCUGAAUGAUCAAAAGAGGAAUUCUAAUAGAGAACAAAUUGAGGAAGCUCAAAGCUUCUUGAAUUUUUCCUUUAGAGCAGCUAAACGUGGUCUUGCAGAUAAAGAAGUACCUUGAGGGAGUCAACAUGGUAAGAACAGUGAGGGGAACAAUGAAGAACAAGGCUGGAAUCAACAAAAGGAAAAUAAGUUGCCCUCCACCGCUGUUCAGCAAAUGCGUAGCAACCAAAAAAUCCAAGGUAAGUAUUCUAACACUUCUUCAAGUCCUGUGAUUUCUAACUCAAUAGGUGUAGUUGAUACUCAAAUGCAAGUCAUUGCAAGUGAGCAAAAUUGUGAACAGCUAACUUCAUAUAUGCAGAAUAGUGAUCAAGGGACUAACACUUCUGAUAUACCUCCCUCAAAUAAGCCCCACAACAAUGAAAUCACCAAGGAUUAUGAUAAUAGUCAUCAGUCUCAAAAACUUCCCACAUCCACCCCUCAUGACCUCAAUAAACUCACUUCCAAUUUUGAGAAACAUACUCUUAGCCUUCAGAAUAAACACCAUGUGCAUCCAGAAAACUCCCACAAAAACACCAAUCAUGUGACUUCCUCCAAUACCUACAAAAAUAAACCUGUCCCUGAACCUGUUCCAUUUACAGUCAUUCAGUCUUAUGCUACCAGGUUGAGAGCCAACCAAGCCAAGAAUGAAGUUCUCAUUGAGCUAUCUGUCCCAAAAAUCACUACUAGACAAGGUCUUUCUGCAGUUAUCUUCAAAAAGGAUGAUUACAUGGUAAAUCUAGCUGCUAGAUGUAGAUUUAAUUUAGUGGGAGAAUUCACCCACACUAUGCCUAAAAUUGAGCUCAUUCCCCAAAGCUUCAUCCUCCAAACUCAGUUAACCGAAGGAGACAAGAUAGCUCAUUUCAAUGUAAGGCACAUUUAUAUAGAUCUUGAUUAUGAGGAGGACCAUGUCUUUGUAUGGAACAAACAAAAGAUGUAUAUUGAAGAGCAACUAAUGAGAUUGCAAGUCUAGACUCCUACCUUUACUCCGGAAGAAGAAACUCCCAUUGUUCCUAUAUGGAUUACAUUUCCUGAGUUUCCUUGGCAUUGCUAUAACAAGGAACUUAUCACAGCCUUUGUUAUCUCCUAUUGGUAAGACCUUAUACUUAGAUGCAACAUCACUUCAGAAAACUAGAGGAAAGUAAGGUUACAAAUGGAUGUUACCAAGGAAAGGCCCCCCCCCCCCAUGUUUGGAUGGGAUUUGAUGAAGAGUACUUUACUAUUGGUAAAUAGCAAGCUAUUCAAUAUGAGGGACUCCCUAAUUAUUGUUCCUAUUGCAAACAUCAAGGCCACCUAUUCCAUGUGUGCAAAUCAAGCUAAGGGGUGAAGACAAAAAGAGGAGAAAGGAAGUUGAAAACAAGAUCCAUCUAAACCUUCCACUUCCACCAACCCCACCCCCACCCCCUCUCCCCGCGGCAGACCAAACACCAGUCUCUAUUCAUCAAAAAAAUUCCAAUGAUUAGUACAUUUAUUUGGAAUGCUAGGAGUAUCAAUACCCAAGGUGCAAUGGAAAGAAUCAAAUAUCUCAAAAAGAUCCAUCAUACAAUUAUUAUUGCUAUCAUGGAACCUUUUAUCAGACAACUAUCAAAUUCAAAAUUUCAAAACUCAGUUAACAAUGGAGUAUGCUGCUCAUAAUCCCAAUGGGAAAAUUUGGUUGUUUUGGUCUCGGGAUGUGGAUUGUAACAUUAUUGACAAUGAUGAGAAACAAAUCACUUGUGAGAUUAAGACUACUAUGUUGCCUCAGCCUUUUCUCAUCUCUUUUGUUUAUGCUAAAUGUAGAGACUCUCUUAGAAGACCCCUAUGGGAUAGACUUCUACAUCAUGCUAAUACUAUCUUACCUUGGUGUUUUGUGGGUGAUUUCAAUGUUAUUAGUUCCCCGUAAGAAAAGCGUGGAGGAUUACUGUAACACCCCGGAAUCAAGGAGUCUAGAAAUGGGCCAAGUGGGAAACUCACAAGCCCAAGAAGUGGACCAUGGAACCCUCCACAGAGUCACAGACGGGCCGUGAAGGGGACCACAUUCCAUUAAGGGGCUCGUGGUAGGUUUCCAGAACCUGCCCCAUGCAGGCUUUACUUUGACGGACGCCUAGACAGCUUGUGGUGAGGUUGACGGGCCGUCAAAGUAGUCGUCAAGUAGGUCAAGUUAGUAGGGGUCCUCCCUAGGUACUGGUUAAGGGUCACAGGCAUCACAACAGCCCGUGAAUCCCCACAUUGACCGUGAGGUCGUCCAUGAAGGGUUUUCAAUAGACUUAGAGUUUAGGGUCAACUUCAAACGAUCAUAUCUUUUAGCACAAAAUGAAUUAGGUGGCCCAUGACCUAUCAAAUUAAAGGUCUCUGAGUCCUCUUUCCAACGCCACCGAGUUUGCCCAACUCCCAUCUCGGAAUAAAAAGUUAUUCCCGCAAUAGUGAAGCACUGUCAGACUGAAUUUCUUCACGACCCGUUUGACGGGCCGUGGUGGUCAUGACGACCCGUGAUGGGCUUCUAGUAAGCUAAUUCGGCAGUUUUUAAGUGAGGGGUUAUUGGGUCAUUGUUUUAACUCACAACUAAGUCGUUUUUCCUUCUACCCAAAGCCCUAUAUAAUGAUUCUAAACCCCCAAAAUCACCCAAACUAAAUUCAUUCUCUCAAAUUCUCAAAAGAACAUUAAGAUCCUCCUUUCAAAUAUUCCUCCCUCUAGAAAUUGAAGAAAAGUUGGAGCUAGGAUCAAGGUCAAGUCUCCAUUCCUCAAGCAUUUGUGGGAUUUGUUAUCAAGGUAUGAUGACUUUUCAUCCAUGGAGUCCCCAAGAUUCCCCAAUUGAAAAGUAGAAAUUCUCCAAUUUGAGUUAGGGUUUUCUUCUAAUGUUGUGGGUCUUGAUGAAUGUAGAUCCAAUUUAGUGGAUUAUGAUUGUUUAUGAUUGAAUUGAUAGGAUUACAUAUUUUUAGGAUGAAUUUACAUGUACCCAUGCCUAACCCAUGUAUAGAAAGAUGAAAUUGAUGUAAAUGAGUUUUAUGCCACUAAAGGAGAAUUUGUGGGUUUAGAUGUAUUCUUAUAGGAUUGAUGCGAUACAUUAAAAAUUGUUUGAGAUUUAAGCAUAUAUGAUGAUUUAUGAUUAGAAUUGUCUUGAGAUUUAGGCAUAUAUAAUGAGGAUGAGAUGAAGGGCUUUGAAAGUAAAGCUUCUAUUAUGAAUUGAUGAUUUAGAUGUAAUUGUUGUGGAAGGGAUAGUUCCCAUAUAAAUUGCUUAUGUAUGAAUGUGAAUGGUAUUCUAGGUUGAAAGGCCUGCUCACCUAAAAUGAAUCUAACAACUUACGAGUUAUGGUAAUAAGACAUAGCUUGGAUUGGUAAUGUGAUGCACCUUCAUGUUAGCUUGAAGUGGUAAGGAGAUGAUAUCCCUUCAUGUUAGCUUGAAUUGUUAAGGAGAUGAUACCCCUUCAUGGUAGCUUGAAUUGGUAAGGAGAUGAUACCUGUUCAUGGUAGCUUGAAUUAGUAAUGAGAUUCCUCUUCAUGGUAGCUUGAAGUGGUAAGGAGAUGAUACCCCUUCAUGUUAGCUUGAAGUGGUAAGGAGAUGAUAUCCCUUCAUGUUAGCUUGAAUUGUUAAGGAGAUGAUACCCCUUCAUGGUAGCUUGAAUUGGUAAGGAGAUGAUACCUGUUCAUGGUAGCUUGAAUUAGUAAUGAGAUUCCUCUUCAUGGUAGCUUGAAGUGGUAAGGAGUUGAUACCCCUUCAUGGUAGCUUGAAUUGGUAAGGAGAUGAUACCUUUUCAUGGUAGCUUGGAUUGGUAAGGAGAUGAUACCUUUCCAUGGUAGCUUGGAUGGGCAUGAUGAUGUGCUCUUCCAUGGACAAUGGCUUAGCUUGGAUCGUCAAGAUGACGUGCCUUCCAUGGAUAAUGAGAACAACUAAGAAUUGACUACUUCUCACAUCAAGUUAGCAUAGUUAAGAUGAAACAAGGUUACUUCAAGGAAGUAUCGUAAGUAAGUUUUAAGAUGAGAUUCACUUGUGUUGAUCAUGGUUUAUGACUUAUGUUGUUUAACUCUUAUGCUUAUGUUGAUGUUUAUGUAAGCUAUCAUAUUUAGUACAUGUCUGUACUAAGGCAUACUCUUGCCUACAUUUCUUAUCCAAAUGUAGGGUCCGGCGAUAUUGACUCUCAUCUCCGUGGCUAGGAUCUUAGUAGAGGCAAGACUUGAAGAUUGGUGAGUCCUCAUAGCAUUGGAGGAUAUAGCCACCAUUUCCUUAUUAUCUUUCAUUUUAUGUUUUGAACAUUGUUGUAUGGGCUGUGUCCCAAGAUAUUCGUGUUUUAGAUGGUUUUCAGACAAUGUAAUAGACUUCCGCUUUUGUUAUGAAACUUUGAUGUUGUUGAAAAUGUUUUAAAUUUCGGCUCAUUUCUAUUAUCUUAUGUUAUGAAAGCUAAGUAGCUUGUAUGAGGCCUCUCGGGGUCUUGUACGCCUUGUUAUAUCUAGGGGAUACCCCUGGGUCAUGACAAUUACCCUAUCAUAUGAUCAAAAGUUUUGAAUUCAUUGGAGUAGUUGAAGCUUGUGGGCUUAUGGACCUUGGCUCUAAUGGACAAAAAUUCACUUGGUCCAAUCAAUGAGGCAUUAAUUUCAGAAUUUGGAAGAGUCUGGACAGAGCUAUGGUGAAUGACAAAUCGUCGGAGAUCAUGCCCCACACAUCUAUCAAUCAUCUACCCUCUGUAGGAUCUGAUCACUGUCCCCUUCUGAUGGAAAUGAAUGAAAUUCAGCAUAUACCUAUCAGACACUUUAAGUUCCUAAAUUGCUGGGCUGAUCAUCACUCAUCCCUAGAUAUUGUGAGUAAGUGCUGGAAUAGAGAGAUGGAGGGCAAUCCUAUGUGGCUCUUCCACCAAAAAAUAAAAAGACUUUCAGCAACCCCUUGUUAUAAUCCAGAAUUUCUCUUCAUGCAAUUAAUGUUGAAUAUAUCAGAAUUCUCAAGAUAGAGGAAUCUAUCCUCAAGCAGAAAACUCAAUUACAACGGUUCAAGGAGGGAGAUAUGAACUCUGCUUAUUUUCACGCUUUGAUAAGAGGCAGGAGAAGGAAGCUUCACAUCCAUAAGAUUCAAAAUGAUCAAGGUGAUUGGGUUCAGGGUGAGGAAGAUAUUGCUCAAGCUACCAGUGAUUAUUUUCAGAAUAUCUUUACUGGUGAGGAGAAGUUUAUUCAUGAAGAGGCUCUGAAUUGCAUUCCUAGAAUGAUUCAAAACAAUACUCUUCAAGCUAUACCAACUAUGGAAGAAUUGAAAUAUGCAGUUUUUCCAUGAACCCCAACUCUGCAGCUGGUCCUGAUGGUACGAAUGGGAGGUUUUUCAAUCUUGCUGGGAUAUCGUCAACAAAGAUCUACUGUCAGCAAAAGAGGUAUGGUAUCAUCUCAAGAUUGAGUAUGAAGGAGAUGAAAUAAUUCGAGGGAUACAAGUGCUAAAUUUAGUGCGUGAGUUUGAGCUGCAAAGGAUGAAGGAAAGUGAAACCAUAGAGGAGUAUUCUGAUCGACUUCUUAAUAUAGCAAAUCGAGUCUGAUUGUUGGGUUCCACUUUUAACGAUUCAAGGAUUGUUGAGAAAAUCCUUGUAAUGGUACCUGAAAGAUUUGAGGCUACUGUUACAACCUUAGAAAAUACCAAGGACUUGUCCAAAAUUACACUAGCAAAGCUCUUAAGUGUUUUUCAAGCACUAGAGCAAUGGCGUGUAAUGAGACAGGAAGGAGUUGUUGAAGGGGCCCUAUUAGUUAAACAUCAAGAUGAUGGAAGAAACAAGAAGAAGCAGAACAAGAAGAUACAAGGACAUAAUAGUGAGAAUUUUGCUAAAAGCAAGAAGGCUAACUAUCCUCCUUGUCAGCACUGUCGAAAAAAAGGGCACCCUUCUUUCAAAUGUUGGAGGAGACCUGAUGCAAAAUGCAGCAAGUGCAAUCAACAGGGUCAUGAAGCUGUAAUUUGUAAAGCCAAAAACUCAGCAGCCUGAAGUUGAAGCUCAAGUUGUUGAUCGAGAAGAAGAAGAUCACCUCUUUGUUGCAACUUGUUUGACAAGCCUAGAUUCAAGUGAAAGUUUGUUAAUUGAUUGCGCUUGCUCCUAACCACAUGACUGACAUCUGAUAAGAUGUUGUUCAAAGAAUUGUGGAACACUGAGACAAAGAAAGUUAGAAUUGGAAAUGGCGAAUGUCUUGCUCUGAAAGGCAAGGGUGCCAUAGCCAUUACAGUGGCUCUAGAACUAAGCUUAUCCCAAAUGUUUUGUAUGUUCCAAACCUUGGUCGAAACCUUCUCAGUGUUGGUCAAUUAAUGGAGAAUGGAUUCAGUCUGUUCUUCAAAAACAAAACUUGUGUGAUAGAAGAUCCAUCCGGCAAUGAGAUAUUCAAGGUCAAAAUGGAUGGGAGGUAUUUCCCACUCAAUCCUUUGGAAGAAGAGCAGACAACUUUUCUUAUGUCAGGCAACUCUACAGAAGUUUGGCAUAAAAGAAUGGGUCAUUUUCAUCGUCCAGGUAUGAUGUUCUUUCAAAGAAAGGAACUUGUGAAUGAUACCAAGAUUGCAGAAUCGGUGGACAAAUUGCCAAGCUUGUUUACUUGGAAACCUUUUCCAAAACAACUUGGAGAGCAUAAAAAAAAGCUUCAGCUCAUUCAUACAGAUCUGUGUGGACCUCACAAAACACCAUCUUUAAAUGGUAGUCUUUACUACAUUGUAUUUAUUGAUGAUCUAACAAGACUGACCUGGAUUUUUUUUCUUAUAAGUCAAGUCAGAUGUAGUUGAUGUGCUUUGGAAUUUUAAGGCAAAGGUGGAAAAUCAAAGUGGCUGCAAAAUUCAGACUUCAGGUCUGAUAAUGGGAAGGAGUACACUUCAAAUCAGUUCAAAUUACUUUGUGACAAAGCUGGCAUAGAACAUCAGCUAACAGUCCCUUAUACUCCACAACAAAAUGGAAUUAACGAGCAGAAAAACAGAACUAUAAUGGGUGCAUGCUACAUAAGAAACAUAUACCAAAAAGGUUCUGGGCGGAGGUUGCCAGCACUGUUGCUUUUUUGCAAAGCAGAGUUCCUUCUAGAUCUGUAAAGGAUAAAACACCAUAUGAAGCAUGGUAUGGUCAUAAACCCUCAUUGCAAUUUCUCAGAAUUUUCGGCUACUUGUGUUUCGCUUAUAUACCACAGGUUAAAAGAGAUAAGCUUGAUAAGAAGGCAGUUCCUGGAAUCGUUAUAGGCUACAAUUUUUUCUCCAAAGCAUAUAAGGUCUAUGAACCUCAAACGGAGAUAAUUGUCGUAAGUUGAGAUGUCCACUUCAUUGAGGACCAACAGUGGAAUUGGGAGAAGCCCGAAAACAAUCCACCAGUUGACAAUUUAUUAGAUCCAAAAGAUCUAGUAGAUGAUCCUCCUGUUAGAGGCAUGCGGUUGAUCUCUAAUAUCUAUCGGAGAUACAAUACUGCAAUUUGUGAGCCCGCAAGCUAUGAGGAAGCAGAGGGGAUGACAAAUGGGUGGCAACAAUGAAGGAGGAGAUGAUGAUGAUCGGAAAAAUCAAAUCUAGGUGCUUGUUGAGAAACCUCUAGACAGAAAGAUCAUUGGUGUAAAAUGGGUCUUCAGGACAAAGCUAAAUGCUAAUGGCUCCAUCAACAAACACAAAGCGAUGCUUGUAGUGAAAGGUUACGGUAAGAUCUUUGGAGUAGACUACUCAGAACUUUCACACCAGUUGCUCGACUUGACACAAUCAGAUUGCUACUAGCCAUUGCAGCGGAAAAAGGUUGGAAAGUUUAUCAACUUGAUGUUAAGUCGGCCUUUCUCAAUGGUCUUCUACAGGAGGGGAUUUAUGUUGAGCAACCAAAUGGUUUUGUUGUCAAGGGGCAAGAAAAUAAGGUUUGUUUGCUAAAGAAAUCUCUCUAUGGUUUAAAGCAAGCACCAAGAGCUUGGUAUAGCAAGAUUGAUGAUCAUUUGCUAAGUUUAGGCUUCAAGAAGAGUCUAUCUGAGUCUACACUUUAUAUUAAGUAUUCAGGUGCAGACAUACUGAUUAUUUCUUUGUAUGUUGGCGAUCGCUUUGUCACAGGAAGUAAGGUUUUCCUAAUUGAGGACUUCAAGUUGGAAAUUAUGAAGGUCUUUGAAAUAACAGACCUUGGACUGAUGGUGUACUUUCUUGGAGUGGAGAUUAAACAAAAUGAAGACAAUGUGUUCAUUUGCCAGAGAAAAUAUGCUCAAGAAAUCCUAAAGAAGUUUCAUAUGGAAGACUGCAAAGUUAUGAGUACUCCAAUGAACCAAAAGGAAAAGUUUUCCAAAGAUGAUGUAACAGAAAAGGUAGAUGAGGCAUAUUAUAGAAGUCUUAUUGGCUGCUUGAUGUAUUUGACUGCAACUAGGCCUAAUAUUCUAUAUGCAGUGAGUUUUUGUCUCGGUUCAUGCAUUGUGCAAGUGAUUUACACUUUAGAGAAGCUAAAAGAAUUGUCAGAUACAUCAAGGGAACUAUCAACUAUGGUGUUAAGUUUCACAAAAGUCAGAAGUUUAGACUUAACGGAUUCUCCGAUAGUGAUUGGGGUGGUGCACCUGAUAUGAAGAGUACUUCAGUUCUUUUUCUUUUGUGUCUGCCAUUGGUCUUCUUGCAUUUUUUGUUGAUUCUGGUGAGUUCUUGAUGGCUGUUCUUUGGUACCUGAAACACUAGCAGAAAUAUUAUUUUUAACAGGUUGAGAAUUAAUUGGUAGAGUAACUACCUGAGUGUCAUUUCAUUGUGUUGUUUUGGUUUUGUUUUUGUUUGCUGCUUCAGCCUCCUUUCUUCUUCUAUAUUCAUCAUCUCUCCUCUUGACUUUACAUGUAUGAACUUUAUGGCCUUGGUGUUUGCAGUAAUCACUAUCUUGACUUGUUGGAGCCUGUGGAAAAAUAGAUGUGCAUGCAAAUAUGGUGGAAACAAAUCUACUAUGACUAGAGCGAUAUACUUGGUGCAUAAAGACAUCAACUUUCCUUACAUCAGAUGGCCAUCCAAGUGGAGAUUAUCAAACCAAAUGAAAAAUCGCAUGUUCUAUCUCAAAAACAGGACAACUCGCUUUGAGAUAAUGGAGAAGGGGAAAUAAAUCCUACACUGUCGGCUCUAUCUCCAAACAGAAAUCCUAACGACUCUAUUGAAACAACUGAGAGAUCGCAAAGGAAGUAUUCUCAGAGAAUUAACUCUCAAUCAGUCGAAGUGCAAAUUCAAAGUCGAGUUGAUAAUGAGGAACUUCGAAGGGACUCAACUAUUGGGGAAUCUUCCCUACAGUUACAUGAGCACCUCACUGCAAUGUCGAGUGAGUUGGACGUAGGUAUUGGCCGGAGAAAUUCAAAGGAACUAGCCGGAGCUCCAGCGAACAUUGAAACUCACAGUUCCUCACCUCUCACACUCCAAGGAACAUGCAACAAACUCAUACAAAGGCAUUCCAAUUCUCCUGCACACCAAGUGUUUGAUGAAAAAACAAACUUGGAAGGAGAUGGUCCAGUCGUGAAUCAAGAACACGCAUUGAGCUUGAGCAGCCAGACUCAGACAAGCAAGCAGUCAAAGGACCACAAUACUCUAAAUCAUUUAGAAAAGAACAACAGUUCUAAUUUCUCGUUUGAUGCUAAACACUAAUGCCCAGGUUCUCACUCCAAGCUUUGUUCGACAGGGACAAAUUAAGGGGAAAUUGCAAGGUGGAACCAACAAAGUCUGGAUAGCUAAAGACAUCUCUUUUGACAAACAAAAAGAAGGAGAGGAAAGGCCAAGAACUCAAUUACAAGCAGAGGAUCAAAAUCCAGGUAAGACAACAAAAAACAAUUCCAUUAAUUAUGUUGGAACUAAUCACGAGUCCAAUUUGCAUUCUAAUGCAAAUGGACACAAUAGCAUUGCUGGAGAACCUUUGUUGCAGGAAAAUGAGCACAUACAAGAUAAGGUCGAUCGCAACAAAGAUUCCAACAACAAAAGCAAACAACAAGUUGGAAAUGGAAGUAAUCAACAACCUGCAGAGAAGGUUACCUAUGCCAAUGCCAAUCAAUUCCCUAGAGUAUCCAAUAACUUUGCAAAGCAGGUUCCCUACCAUCAAAGAAACAAACCAGAUGUGAGGCAGCCAUCAAUGUACAAGGAACAGCCUUCUCAGAACCCUCAGCACAAUUCAAAGAAUGAGAAUACACCUGAACCUGCUCCCUAUACUGUGGUACAAACAUUGACAGCUCGAUUAAGGCAAAAUCAGUCCAAAUAUGACACUCCCUUAGAUGAUUUCUUGGUCAAGCUGGCUGAAAGGUGGAAGUAUACUUUAGUGGGUAAAUUUAGUAAUACUAUGCCUAAAGUGGAGUUGAUUCAAAAAAAUUUCAUUCUUCAAACUCAACUGUCCGGAGGGGUUAAAAUAGCACAUUUUAACUCUCGACAUGUGUACAUUACUUAGAUAAUGAAUUGGAUUAUAUCACUCUGGACAAAGCAGAAAAUGACCAUUGAAGGUCAAUUGAUGAGGAUCCAAACCUGGACACCAAAUUUUAAGCCGGAAGAGGAAACUCCAAUUGUGCCUAUAUGGGUUUCAUUGCCUGAACUACCAUGGCAUUGCUACAACAAGGAAUUUCUAACUGUCUUAAUGCACCCUAUAGGCAAAGUACUAUAUCUUGAUACAGCCUCCAUUCAAAAAACUAGAGGGAGCGUUGCCAAAAUCAAAGUCCAAAUUGAUCUCACAAAGGAGAGACCUGGACAUGUUUGGAUGGGCUUUAAUAAGCAUGAUCUUACUAUUGGAAGGUGGCAAGCUAUAUAGUAUGAAAGUGUUCCGGAUUACUGUAUGUAUUGCAAGCAUCAAGGACACUUGGUACAUGUAUGCACAGUCAAAAGAAGAGAUGAUGAAUACCAAAAGAGAAAGGAGCAAGAAGCUGAAAAAAGGAAUAAAAACAAUCCUGAUCAGGCAAAAAUGGAACAGAAAAAAGAGCAGCAGCCUGAGCACAAGGAAAAAGGGGACAGCAAUCCUAAUAUCAAUCAACAACUUACCAAUGCAUUGGAGGACAAGCAAUAGGAGGAAGGAGGGCAAACACAAAGGAAAAAGAACAACAACAACAGAGCAAAUAAUCAGGACAGAUCUCAAACUGUUGGAGAUAAACAAGCUCAAGACAGACUCCACCAAGACACCAGACAAUCAGGUAUGAACAAUGUUAUUAAUACUCACAACACUUACAUUGACCUUGUUGAUCAGGUUCAAUCCAGCAGCCAAGAAUGAAGGAAUACAGCAGGUACAACAACAGGAUAUUCCGGAGCACCAAACUAAUAAAAAUAAUACUGUUGAGAUUCCUGCACCAGUAUCCCAAAUACCUUAUAAUAAUAAUGCUAGCAAAAAAGAUCAAGAAAAAACAAACAUGAUCUUGAAGACCACAGGUAUUGACUCACUACUCCCCACCCCUCAGAAUCCCUGUAUUACUUGUGAUUGUGUUGUUGAUGAAGUCUAAGGAGGUAUGGAUGGGGUUGUAAGGAGAAACACUCUAACUUGCAGGAAGGGGUUUCCAAAGGGGGGAAUUUGACUCAUGUUCUGCAACCACUAGACAUAUGCAUUCAAACCACCAGAAUAAAAAACAAGAGCAACAGCAGGGUAUGAAACAGCCUGAGAAAUCACAGAAAAAUCUGCCGAAUGUUGACACUGGACAGGUUCAGGAUAAUUCAGAUCUGCAAAGUAUGAGUAAAGAAGGGGUUGAGGUUUCAGAUAAACAGGGCCAGCAGUUGUCCAGAGAAAAAACAGAUCAGAGGAAAGGCACCAAUACUCCUUUACAAAAUGCUAAAAGUAAAGGGGUUCAAAAAGAUAAUACAGACCAGCAGCAGCAGGGGGGGAGUGAUACUCUUAUGAAACCUCCAACAAUAAAUCCGGAGGUAAAUUAAGCAAGAAGAAAAGGGACGCAAUCAAAAGAAAACAACAAAUGGAAACUGUAAAGCAAAGGCUCAAUGGGGAAACCAUUCAACAACAACAGCAGUAUCAAGAUGACUAUGGGGUCUUGAAUUCAGAAGAUGAGUUUGAUCAAGAUACACAAUCUAUGGAGGAAAAUGAAGAAGAGGAAGAGGAAACAACAGCUCACUUAAUUAAAGCUUUUGGUUCCACCUUUCACAGUGAAUAUCAGGAGGAAAUCCAAGAAGCCACUAAUCAGCAGGGUUUAUCUCCUAGGGGUAGAUCACAAGGGAAGCAAAGCAAACAGGCUCUCACCAGCACAUCUGCUACCUUAGGCAGACCAAACACUAGGUCCAGAAGUAGAGGCCUCUAAUGAUUAAAGCUCUAUUGGAAUGCUAGGAGUAUUAACACCCAAGGAUCUUUGGAAAGAUUGCAAAAUCUCAAGAAAAUGCACAACUUAUCUUUGAUUGCUAUUUUGGAACCAUUUCUCUUGAUAAUUGAUCUUCUCAACAACUACAGAAUCCAGUUGAAUAUGGACAAGGCUAUCUCAAGAAAAUGCACAACUUAUCUUUGAUUGCUAUUUUGGAACCAUUCUCUGAUAAUGAUCUUCUCAACAACUACAGAAUCCAGUUGAAUAUGGACAAGGCUACCUGCAAACCAAAUGGAAAAAUUUGGUUAUUGUGGAAUGUUGAAACUGAUGAGCAACAUAUCACUUGUACUUUUACUCUUGUAGAAUGCAAAAAUGAGUUUAUGAUGUCCUUUAUCUAUGCUAAAUGCAAAGAUCAGCUAAGGAGGCCCCUUUGGGACAGGCCGAUUCAUUAUUCUAACAGGAACAUUCCCUGGUGCACCAUUGGUGACUUCAUUCAAUGUGAUUACAUCUACUGAAGAAAAACAAGGUGGAGUUCCAUACAACAUGAAUAAAAGUUUUGAAUUUCUCAGUGUUAUAGAAGAUUGUGGCUUAUUGGAUCUUGGUUACAAUGGGAGUCACUUUACCUGGUGCAACCAAAGAACUGAGGAAGCAAGGGUGUGGAAAAGACUCGAUAGGGCCAUGGUUAAUGAUCAGUGGCUAGAAAACAUGCCUCAAUCCACUAUAUCUCAUCUUCCCUUUGUAGGAUCCGAUCACUGCCCCCUUCUCUUGGAAAUGGCUGUGAGAAUGAAUCAGAAUACCAAGUACUUGAAGUUCCUUCAUUUCUGGACAGAGCACAGUAAUUUUUUACACAUUGUUAAGGCCUGCUGUGACAGAGAAUCUAAUGGAAAUCCUAUGGGGAAGCUGCAUCAGAAAAUGAAAAGGUUGUCCACAACUCUUAGCAAUUGGUCCAAGCAAGAAUUUGGGGAUAUAUUUAGCACUGUUAAAAGCUAUGAAGAUAGGGUCAGAAUUGCUGAAGAGGAAAUGCUGCAAAACAACUCACAGGCCAGCAGAGCUAAACUUCAUCAACUCAAUGUUGAUUAUAUCAAAUACCUCAAGUUGGAAUCCUCUAUACUCAAGCAAAAAACUCAACUCCACUGGUUUAGAGAAGGAGAUGCUAACUCUAAAUAUUUUCAUGUUGUGAUGAGAGGAAGAAGGAAAAAAUUGUUCAUUCACAAAAUUUGUACUGACAAUAAGGAAUGGGUUCAGGGUGAUGACAACAUUGCUAAAACUGCUUGUACACACUUUCAACAUAUCUUUUCUGGUCAUGAGAAUAGAAUUGUUGAAGGUAUUUUACAAUGUAUUCCAAGAAUGAUCACACCUGAGCAAAAUCAAAAACUUCAAGGCAUGCCUACAAUGGAGGAGCUACAGCAGGUAGUCUAUUCUAUGAAUCUUAAUUCAGCUCCAGGUCCGGAUGGUUUUGGUGGAAAACUUUACCAAGUAUGCUGGGACAUCAUUAAACAUGAUAUUCUUGAGGCUGUGAAGUCCUUCUUUUGUGGUUCCAUCAUGCCUAAAUUCAUGUCACAUGCUUGUUUGGUCCUUCUUCCUAAAGUUGAGCAUCCUAACAAGUUCAAUGAAUUUAGACCUAUCAGCUUAAGUAACUUCACAAACAAGAUCAUCUCCAAGCUCCUAUGCCUCAGACUGGCUCCAAUACUUCCUCUUCUUAUUUCGGAAAAUCAAUCAGGGUUUGUUAGAGGAAGGAGCAUUUCUGAAAAUAUCAUGUUGGCUCAGGAAAUUAAUCAUGGCAUUAAAAAGGCUAAUGAAGGAGACAAUGUUGUGAUCAAGUUUGAUAUGGCAAAAGCUUAUGACAGGGUUUCGUGGUCUUUCACUUGCUUAGUUCCGAGGAAAAUGGGAUUUGGGGAAACCUUCAUUGAUCUUGUAUGGAGAGUUAUGAGCAAUAAUUGGUACUCGGUUAUUAUUAAUGGUACAAGGCAUGGGUUCUAUCACUCCACCAGAGGUCUCAAGCAAGGAGAUCUGUUAUCACCUGCCCUAUUUAUUUUAGGUGCAGAGUUCUUUCGAGAAGACUUAAUCUCCUUUAUCAAAAUCCGGGUUACAAAGGUUUCCAAAUGGAGAUUAGGGGACCAGAAAUUAAUCACUUGAGCUUUGAGGAUGAUAUAAUUAUUUUUACUUCUACCACCAGGAGUUCUCUGCAGUUUAUUAUGGAGACUUUGAAUACCUAUGAAGAGGUCUCAGAUCAGCUCAUAAACAAGGCAAAAAGUCAUUUCAUGGCCCCUACAAACACCCCUUCUGAUGUCAUUCUACUGAUUGAGGAAAUUACUGGUUUUUCACAGAAAUCCAGUCCUAUCACUUACCUGGGGUGCCCUUUAUAUAUUGGAAGGCAAAGAAUUAUAUACUAUUCUGAGCUUGUGGCAAAAGUGGUUAAAAAAAUCAGCGAUUGGCAAUCCAGAAUUCUCAGUUUUGGAGGCAAGGCUACCCUCAUUAAACAUGUUCUACAAUCAAUCCCCAUUCACACCAUGGCUGCAAUAUCCCCUCCUAAAACAACCAUCAGGUAUAUUAAGAGGGUUACUGCUGACUUUUUCUGGGGAUGGGAUAACGAGAAGAGAAAAUAUCACUGGGCUUCCUGGGAGAAUCUUAGUUUUCCUUACGAAGAAGGAGACAUUGGAGUCAGACAACUUGAAGAUGUAUGCACCUCCAUGCAAUUCAAACAAUGGUGGACCUUUAGGAGUAAGAACACUCUGUGGGGGGACUUUUUGAGGGACAAAUAUUGUCAAAGAGCCCAUCCAGUUGGCAAGAAGCUGGAUACAGGUCAGUCUUUGGUUUGGAAUUACAUGAUGAAGAAUAAAAGCAUUAUGGAACCCCAAAUCACUUGGAGAAUUAACUCAGGAACUUGUUCCUUCUGGUGGGAUGACUGGACAGGGGAAGGUCCACUGGCAUACCAAUGUUCUGAGAUCAACAGCCUAAACAAUACCACAGUUGCUCAUUUUCUGCUUGAAGGUAAAUGGAAUGAGACCCUUGUGAGACAAAGUGUUCCCCCUCUUCUUGUACCAAAAGUUUUGAGCUUCCAAUUCCAUUACCUGGCAGAAACUGUUGAUGUACCAGUUUGGAAGCCUACUGAAAAUGGGCUGUUCUCAUGUGCUUCAGCUUGGGAAUUCGUCAGAAGGAAAAGGGAGAAAAAUCAAUUUAAUGCUAAAAUUUGGCACAAGAAUGUUUCUUUCAAAAUUCCCUUUCUCACCUGGAGGGCCUUGAGAUUUAAACUCCCAGCCAAUGACAAACUCAUAUCUUUUGGCAAGGAUCCAGCCGACUGUUACUGCUGUCACAGACCAGGCCUGGACAGCAUUGAUCAUAUUUUCAUGUCUGGUCAAGUUGCCAGUUAUAAUUGGAGGUUCUUUUCUGCUGCCUUUGGUAUCUUUCACAACCAUUCUUCUGUGAAAAAUCUGUUGAUCAACUGGUGGGGGAUGGAAGCUAAGAAUGAGGUGAAAAAGCUGUUAAUUCAAUCUCUUCCUCUAUUCAUCUAUUGGAACUUAUGGAAAAUAGGUGUGCAGUCAAGUAUGGGGGCAAACAUUCCAACACCUCCAGAGUUAUCUUCCUGAUUAUCAAAGACACUGCCCAGUUCUUAUAUACUGCUUUCCCCUAUAUUCAUUGGCCUUAUAACUGGCAUGCAAUUUUUAGUAAGAUUGAAAACUGCAAGCAUGAGAUGAAGAUCAGGGAAGUUAAAUGGGAAAGGCCUCCGGACAGCAUCUACAAAUUAAACACUGAUGGAAGUGCGCUUAAUAACCCUGGCAAAAUUGGUGGAGGAGGUAUAUUGAGAGAUCAUCAAGGUCAAAUGGUGUAUGCUUUCACCAUAGCCCUUGGUAUGGGCACCAACAACAUGGCAGAAACUCAAGCUGCUGCACAUGGACUGUAUUGGUGUCUUCAACAUGGUUUUAAGAACGUUAUUUUAGAGGUUGAUUCUGAGUUGCUCGCCAAAUGGAUUACUCACAUCAUCAAACCACCUUGGAGGAUACAACACCAGGUUCAGGAGUUAAAUCAAGCUUACCAACCAGUUAGAGUUUUUUCAAUGCAAACACAUAUACAGAGAAGCAAACAGCACUGCAGAUUUCCUGGCCAAGCUCAGUCAUAAGUCUGACAUAAUCCAUCAUUUCUACAUUCAAUCCCAACUGCCCACUGUUGCUAGAGGCUGCUAUCUUCUUGAAAAAAUGGGAAUGGCAAAUUUUAGGAGGAAGAAAUUGAAGAGAAUCAAGAAAACACCAUGACUGGACACUAUUUUAUACAUAGAUGUCUCUAUAGAAUCUUCUUCCCCCCCCCCUUCAACUUGGCUAUGUGCAUUUGGUUCAUAGCCCCUUUGAAUAGGUUAGGUGUUUAUUUCUUUUCUUACUAUUGUAAGGGGAGAGUCUCCCUUGUCUAUGUUUCCUAGAUUCUCUGUAUCGAGAGGAGUCCUCUCGUUUAGGUGCAUUUUAUUAGGUUUCACUUUAUAGUAUGGGGAUGAGUUGACUAUCCUUAGUAGGAAAGUCGACUCAUGAACCAACAUAGGAUCGAAGGUAAGGUUUGCGUCCCCCUCCUUGUAUUAUGUUGUUUUGCUUAUAUAUGUUAAGGCCUAGGGCUGUUGCUAAGGCCCUGACCCCCCCAAGGGUCGUUAAACAAAAAAAAAGAAAAAAAUCUCUAAACCCUAAACUGUAGGACCUAAAAUCUUAACUGUAAUCUCUAAACCCUAAACCUUAGGACCAAAACCCUAAAGCCUAAAACCUAACACUAAACUCUAAAUCCUAAGCCUUAGUGCAUAAACUCUAAACCUUAGGGCCUUAACCCUAAACGCUAAACUCAAGACCUAAAGUCUAAACCAUAAAUCUUAAACCCUAAACCCUAAACCCUAAAUCCUAAACCUUAAGGUUUAAACCCUGAAUCUUAUAGCAUAAACCCUAAACCUUAAGGUUUAAACCCUGAACCUUAUACUUUAGGGAAUAAACCCUAAACUUUAACCCCUAAACCCUAAACCUUAGAGCCUAAACCUUAAAUCCUAAACCAUAAACCCUAAACUCUAAAACUUUGGGCUUAAACCCUAAAUCCUAAAUGCUAAACCUUAGGGCAUAAACCCUUAACCAUAAAUCAUAAACCCUAAACCUUAGGGCUUAAACCUAAACCUAACCUUAAACCCUUAACCUUAGGGCCUAAACCCCAAAUCCUAAACCCUACACCUUAAGGCAUAAACCCUAAACCCAAAACCAUUGGGCCAAACCCUAAAUCUUAUGGCCUAAACCCUAAACACUAAACUCUAAACCUUAUGGUCUAGACCCUAAAAUUGAAACCCUAAAUCCUAAAAUCUAAACCUUAGGCCCUAUAUCAUAAACUCUAAACCCUAAACCUUAGGUCCUUAACCCUAAACAUUCGGGCCUAAACCCUAAACCUAAAUCCUAAGCCCUAAGCCCUGAACCUUAGUGCCUAAACCCUAAUUAAGCUUCUUCUUGAUCAUUCACAGGUAGCAUAUCUUUAUCCAAUUCAUCUUCAUAGUGAACCACUUUUUGCUCUUCCAGAGGAUCAUGGGCAUUAUCAGUAAUCUCAGGGAUUGUGUUGAUGGUGCAUUUUUCCUUUGAACUAGCUAGUCUUCUUCAUUUUUUUUUCUGGGCUAAAUAUUGCUGUUUUUCCUUCUUUUUUUCCUCCUCAAGAGCUAAUUUUUCCUAUCUUCUUCUAUAAGCUUCUCGUUUCUUAUAACUCAUCUGCUCUGAAGCUUUAUUAUUUAGCCAUUGUUUUUCAAUGGUGUUUCUAUAUGAGUCCCUUCACCCACCUCAUCAGACUGAUGUAAAACAACAUUAGAGUUCUCUUUAUUUUGUUGACCUUCCUACGUAACAUUCUGUUGCUGCUGCACCUGACUCAUGGUCUGAGUUGCUGCCUGAAAAUGACCCCUUGAAUCAGCUUCUUUAUACACAGGAUUCUCUUUUUCUUGUUGAACUAGAGCAUUAACCUCAACCCUGCCUGAGUUCACCUUACCCUCAUCAUCACUGUGACCCAAUUCAGACCCCUCCAUAGACUCAUAAUCUAGAGAAUCUUCAGCAUCAGGGUCUAUAUCUUCAAUCAAAAUUGGACUCAGAUUCUGAGUGUCAUUCUGUGUAGUCAUGUUGAUCCUGUUGUUGAUGUUACCUUGUAUCAUAGGAGCUUCAUAAGUUGUGGUAGCAGGAGCUCUAAGGUCAAUCCUAGAGUCAUCCAUAUUAGAACUACCACCCCCCUUUGAUUCCCCUUUCUGAAAGUUAGUGAUUUUCUCCUGCAUACCCCCUUUCACACCUCCAGACUUCUCAGAUCCAGAUAAAACAACACAAUUAUUAAUGGGGUGGGGUUGAUGGAGAAUUGAGUUAUUACCUUGCUUAUUGUUGGCAUCCUAGCUUUGCUUGUUAUGAAAUACUUUUGGGGCAACACUGGGAAUGGGGACAGCAACACUGCCAUGGGGUUGAGGGGUUGGAAGCAUUGAGUCAAUACCUUGCUUAUUGUUGGCAUCCUUGAUUUGAUAGUCCUGAUAAACAUUAGGGGCAACAUUGGGGUGGGGAUUGGAACACUACUAUCGGGUUGAGGGGUGGGGAGCAUUGAGUCAAUACCUUUUUGUUGUUCCUGACUGGUCUGAUUCUGAUGUGGUACUGGUUUAUAACCUGACUUUGUUUGGUUUUUGGUUGAUUCCUCUGAUUGUUUAAGGAUAGCCUCUAAAUUUCUUUUUAUGUCUGCCAUUGGUCUUCUUGCAUUUUUUGUUGAUACUGAUGAGUUCUUGCUAGCUAUUCUUUGGUACCUGAAACACUAACAGAAAUAUUAUUCUUAACAGACUGAGAUUUAAUUAGUAGAGUAAUUACCUGAGUGUCAUUUGCUUGUGUUGUUUUUGUUUUGUUCUUGUUUGCUGCUUCCACCUCCUCUCUUCUUCUAUAUUCAUUAUCUCUCCUCUUGACAUUACAUGUAUGAACCUUAUGGCUUAUGGCCUUGGUGUUUGCAGUAAUCACUAUCUUUACUUGUUGGAACCUGUGGAAAAAUAGAUAGGCAUGCAAAUAUGGAGGAAACAAAUCUAAUAUAAAUAGAGUGAUAUACUUGGUGCUUAAAGACAUCAACAACCUCCUACUCAUCAACUUUCCUUACAUAAAAUGGCCAUCCAAGUGGCCUAAGUUGAUACAGUUUGGAGGAAAUUUCUUCCAUGAUAUCAAAAUUACUAAGGUAAGUUGGUUUGAGCAUGUGGUUAAAAUCAACUCUGAUGGUAGUGCUUAGACAACCCAGGAAAGAUGGGGGGUGGUGGUAUUGUUAGAGAUGCCCAAGGUGAUUUAAUCUAUGCUUAUGCUACUCCACUAGGCCAUGGUACCAACAACCAAGCAGAGAUUGAAGCUGCUCAAUGGGAUCUAUCUUGGUGUCUAAAUAAUGGUUUCAACCAGGUGAUUUUGGAAGUAGACUCUGAGUUAGUGGUUUACUAGAUAAAACAGCAAGCUGCUCCACCUUAGAAUUUGCAGCAUGCUGUAGCUAACCUUGAUCCGACAAGAGUGAGAUGCCAAAUUUUAGAAAAACUCAAAUUCUCUAGAAUACCUUGAAACCUGGCCUAAGAUCAUUUUUAGUACUCCCUUUGUUUCAAUUUGUUGGUCUUACCUUCCUUUUUAGGCUUUUUAAAAAAGAAUGCCUCUUUCCUAAUUUGAAAACUCCUUAAUUUCAUUAUCCCGCAUGGAAUGUUUGUGACCAGAAAAUCAAAGAACAUUUCGGUACAGUAUACAGUUUUAGUUUUAAGACUACAAAAUUCAAAAGUACUCUGUACUUUCUUAAACUUUGUGUCAAUUCAAACAAAGAUAAACAAAUUGAAACUGAGGGAGUAACAACCUUUGAUCAUUUUUAGUAUCUACUAUACAUGCAAGAUUACGAUAUUCCAUUACCAGCAAGAAGACACAUUCAAACAUGCAGUUGCACUGACUAAAAACAGUAAAUUCAGGCAUCUCUCUCUCUCUCACUCACACACACACUAUCAGAUAAAAAAAGGAGCUUACUUUUGUAAUGUUGAUAGAAGUAGAUUUAGACUCCUCAUUGAGCACAAUGUGAAUGAGGAAGAAAGUGUAUAUUUGGAAAGCAUUUCGAUAUGAUGCAACUCGAUCAGCAAGCGAACACUCAUCCUCCUCACUGUCAUUCUUCUCUUCAUCAGCAUUUCCAUCCUUCUGCUGAGACACCCUCCAGAGAGAAUCCAUAGUAGGGAGCAGAACACUGAGAUUGGACCUAAGUGACUCCACAAGAUUGAGCUUACAGCCAGGAGUAAGGCAAGGAAACUCCUUCAUUAACGAAUACACAAGAUCGAACACAUCCUGCUCCUCCACGCAGAAUAGCUCUUUGUCAGAUAAGUCAAAGGAGACACAUGUUUAAUUGCAAAACAAAAAACAACAAAUUUACAGAAAUGAGUUGGAAAAAUAAAAAAAGAAUGACAACCCAGAUGGAAAAUUCAAAAAGAAAACAACAAAAAAGAGAACCCAGAUGGAAAAAUGGCAAGGAAUGUGAACCAAGUAGGAAAAUCGAAAAAAAGAAAGAGAACCCACAUGGAGAAUUUCAAAAGAGAAGGCAGAUUCGAGGAGAAUGAAGUUCUAAAUUGCCUAAAGCUAUGUGCAGCCGAUAAGGCUCCUGGUCCAGAUGGGUACACAAUGGGUUUCUUCAUCAAGUGUUGGGAUGUACUGAAGAAAGACAUCAUGGACACAUUUCAAAACUUUUAUGAGCAAGAAGUCUUCGAGAAGAGUUUCAACGCUACCUUCAUUGCACUCAUUCCAAAGAAAAAAGGAGCCAACGAGUUAAGGGACUACAGACCAAUUAGCCUCAUAGGGAGCAUUUACAAAAUACUCUCCAAAGUUCUCACAGAAAGGUUGAAAGUUGUGAUAGACAAACUGGUGGACUCACAGCAAAUGGCUUUUAUAAAAGGGAGACAAAUUAUGGAUGCAGUGUUGAUUGCUAAUGAAGCUGUAGAUUCCAGGAAUAAGCAGAAGAAACCUGGUAUUCUAUGCAAGCUGGACAUAGAAAAAGCAUAUGAUCAUGUGAAUUGGAAGUACCUUCUGAAGAUUUUAGAGAUGAUGGGAUUUGGACAAAAAUGGUUGAACUGGAUUAGCUUCUGCAUUUCUACAGUUAGCUUCUCUGUUCUGAUUAAUGGGUCCCUGCAGGUUUUUUUCAAACUCAAAGAGGACUCAGGCAGGGUGAUCCAUUGUCCCCUUUCUUGUUCUUAAUUACUAUGGAGGGGCUGAAUAAUAUGCUCAAGACAGCAAAUAUGAGAGGAUGGGUAAAAGGUUUUGAUGUGGCUAGAGAAAAUACAGAAAGCUUGGAAGUGACACGUCUUCAGUAUGCAGAUGAUACACUUGAUUUUUUGUGGAGCUGAGGAAUACCAACUGAAAUACUUAAGGGUGAUCCUGGUGCUGUUUGAAGGGGUAUCCGGGUUACACAUUAACUGGAUAAAAAGUUCUAUGUAUACUAUCAAUGAGGUCAACAACAUAGACUUGUUAGCUUCAAUCCUAGGGGAUAAAGUAGGUACUCUACCUACAACAUAUUUGGGUAUGCCAUUGGGAGCAAAAUCCAAGUCCUUAGAAAUUUGGAAUGGUGUGAUAGAGAAGUGUGAGAAGACGCUGGCCAGAUGGAAAACUCAGUACUUGUCAAGAGGGGGAAGACUGGACCCCUCAUUAACUCAGUCAUAGAUGCUCUCCCAACUUACAUGUUGUCUCUAUUUCCCAUCCCACCAGGGAUAACUAAAAGACUAGACAGCAUAAGAAGGAAGUUCUAGUGGCAAGGAAACAAAGAGAAUAGAGGCCUUCAUCUAGUUAAAUUGAAUGCAGAGACAGUUGAAAAGAAGAAUGGUGGUCUGGGAAUAAAGAAUAUGGAGCUACAUGGCAAAGCACUCUUAAUGAAGUGCUUGUGGAAAUACUCAAAUGAAAACCAAACACUUUGGAGAAGAGUGAUAGGUGCCAAAUAUGAGAAUGAAGAUAGUUGGAUGACUAAGAUUGUGACCACACUUUAUGGGACCAGUUUAUGGAGAUCCAUAAGAGCCUUAUGGGAGGAAGUUAAACCCAAAUUCAAGAUGAAAGUGGGGAAUGGGAACAAGAUCAAAUUCUGGAAGGAUGAAUGGCAUGAGAAAGGUAACUUGGAAACUCUUUUCCCUGAUAUUUACAAUCUGGCAAUGUUCCAACAAAGAACUAUUGCAGAACUAUGGACACCACAAGGGUGGAAUUUCAUCUUCAGGAGAUAACCAAAUGACUGGGAAGUGAUGAGUUUGGCAGAAUUCCUCAACAUGGUUGGACACUUUACUGGACUUCAUGCAUAUGAGGAUAUGCUUUGGUGGAAAGGCAACAAUAGAGGAGAGUUCAAAGUGUCUAGAGUGCAUUUGUAUAUAAGGUUUGAGUACAACUCAUGUACUUUUGUGAUAUAAUACAACGUUACCAUUUUACAAAAAGAAUUUCAAAAGAGAUUGAAAAUUUGGUCUUGGGAGUUUCGGUAAGGUGAAAACCCAAGAUGGGAAAUACAUACGAUGAAUUCUUCCAAUUCAGAAGGACGAAGAGCACUAACUAAAGUGGGAUUUUGAAUUGAGGGGUGACUGCAAUCUGAGUCUUCCUCUUCAAGAGGGCCUAAACAUUUUUGGAAAUAUGAAAGAUUGAGCCAUUUAAGAGUAAGGUUUGAAGAUUUCUAUAGCGUAAAAUGGUGGGAAUUUCCUGAUCUGAUUUUGAAUAAGCAUAAAGCGAUAAAGAAGGGAGGCGGGGUGGGGGUGGGGAGUAAAGUUUGAAAUGGGAAAUGUGGGUUUCUUUAAGCGCAUUAACGAAGGGUACUUUCCCUGCCAGAAAUUGCAUUUUCAGCUCUUGACAUCUUUUUGCCUCAAGUUCACUUGGUUUCUUCAAAUAUCUCCUAAAUCAACUCUCCAUUUCAUUUUCCUGUAAAUAUGGAAAAAAAAACACAUUAAAAGCACAAAUUCUAAACUUAAGUAAGCCAAAAUAACUACAAAAAGUGCCUCAAAUGAGUGGAAAUCCACCACUCAUCGACACCACCGACUUAAAAACUUUGUUUGUCCUCAAGUAAAGAAAAUCAAAAACACAAGAGGCUCUUAUUUCAAAACACACCACAACUCAAUUUCCCUUUCUCAAUCAAGCACAAAGGUAAUGACUUCGGUUGGUACUAACAAAUAGUCCUCAGAAAAGAAAUCCUCUCAUUCUCAUGAAACAUUUUCAAAAACCAAGAAUCAUUUAAGUGAUGGUACUAGCAAAUAUUCCACAUGCAAACUUUUCACAAAAGAAAUCCUCUAAUUCUCAUGGAACAUUUUCAAAAAACAAGAAUCAUUUAAGUGACAACAACUCAAACCCAAGAAAUGACUCAACUCAGUAACUCUUUCACAUGCUCCCUUGAUUCAAUUAGGAAUUUUCAAAAUCACCACUUUUUCAACUUACAUGCCCUCACAAGAAAGAAGUGUCCCAAAACCACACACACAUAUAAACAAGACAAGGGACAAAGAUGCAACACUCACACUCACAAAGAAUCAUCUCAUGCACACAAAUGUCACACCAUAGGCUUGCCCAUAUUUUCCAUCAACAUUGACUCAACUCCAUUUGCUUAGAAAUCUCAAAGGACUUUGUUAAGCUUGUAAUGUAGGCAUAGGGAAGGUUAGGAUAUCAUUAAGGUAUAAGUGACUACACCCUCCUUGAACACUACACAACUCAUCAUUUCCAACUUUCUCCACUUCUCUUCACCAUGCACAUUCCACACUACUUUUAAUUUUUCUUUUCUUAUUUCCACUCUAGAUGCCCCACAUGCAACCAUUUUCAACUUUUGGAGAAUUCAAGCCUCAUUUAUUCAUUUUCUUUCUUUCUUUCUUUUUCAAAGUUUUUUCUUUCUUUAUGAUUUCCCAUCCAUUCUUCAAUUUCUCUCCUUUUUUUUUUCUUUUUUUUUAUAUCAAACCAUCAUUUCGUAAGCAUCCCUUCAAUGAAUUUCCGAUAACACCCCAACUUAGGCUUUUAGCCUCAACUUUCAGAACCUCAAGUUCAAGGAGGGAAGGGUUCAAAAGAGGGUUACUUUUUCAAAAAGGAUAAGGCUUGUAAUGUGGUUGCCAAUAAAAAGGAUUAGGCUCAAAGGGGACAAACUAAGGGAAUAUAUUUAGUACAAAGGUGGGAUUUUUAGGCCAUGUGGACUUCAAGAACAUCAAAGAAAGCCUAAGAUCAUUUCUCAAACCAAACUCAAUCAAGACCAACAUUUCAAGACCAACCGGGCAAGUUCUAGGUGACAAAAGCAAACCCAAGGCAUUAUUCAACAACUCACCACACAUGGCCUGCAAAUCAAUCAAGAUGGUUCAAAAUCUUACUUCCUUUUAAAAAUACAAAUAGUAUUGAACAUUUUAACUGGUAACGAAUCAAAAGUCACAAAAAGAGUGGUAAGAGUUGUCACAAAAUCAUUCAUAACAUGAUCAACCUUUUAAAAAUUGAGAGGUAUGCUCAACGCUAUUCACAUGAAUGACUAUGCUCUUAGUACCAACCAAGUCAAAACCUUCCCAAAAAUAUGAUGAUGUUGCUCUUAAGAAAGUCGUCAACCAAUCCAUUAUCAGGCAACCUCAUGCAUCUAUUCGGGAACAGCUACUCAGAAUUUGCCACAAUCAACGCCAAUCAAACACUCACAAGCAAUCGACAAUUUACACUUAAGAAAGUCAACACUCUCUAUCCAUUAUCGGGCAUCGUCAAUCUAAAUCUUAUUAUCAAAACAAAAACAAAGAAGCUACAACCUACAAAUCAAAAACUAAAAUAGACCAAUCCAACACAAUAUCAACAAAAACAUCCACAAUAUCAAAUCCCGACAAGGGCACACCAAUCCAUAACAAAGAAAGUAAAGUAUGCCCGACAAGGGCACAAUCAUUGUAUGCAAAAACAAUCAACUAAAUGACUACAAGGGAGGCACCCCCAACUGAAAAUGAGAUUGUGUCCUCACAGUCAAAAUAUUAAAAGAGAAUACGAGGGACUCCCUGAACUGCAUCACUCUCAGCUGGAGCCGGUAGGAAAUGUGAGGUCCUCCUCAUCCGAAGCACUACUACCACAUAAGCUCGUAAGCUUUCCCUUUAUAAAUGCUACAGAGGAGCAAACCAUCAGAAAGCGGGAGGAAAAGAAGUCGCACUCUGAUCAAGGUUCCAGCACAAAACAAAUCGCACAUCAGGUCUCACAAAGGCAGCAAGAAAAUGCAAGCAAGAUGGGUAACACAAUGCUACAAACACAUCAUCAACAACACCAUGGUAGUGGCAAAUCAGGUCCUCGAUAUAGUGGGGAAGGAAGAGAGAAAACACAACAGAUGCAAGGUCCUCAAGAUAAUGAAAUCAAUAACAGUAGUAGUCCUCAAGAUCAAAUACUGAAUAAUGAAGCUGCAGCCGUGACAAUAUUUGAGAAUAACAAACCUGUAGCAGAUGCGGAGCAAGUCGAGAAAGAGGCCCUAGCAUUGGCAGAGUUCCAUGAACCACUUCAAGUGGAUUUUACUAGUGUUGGGGUAGUAGGUGAUGAUUCUGAUAUGAUUGCAAGGUACCCUUGUGUCCCAGAAACAAUUGUUGAUUAAGACUAAUGAUCAACACAAGGAUAUUGUACCUGCAACAAAAGCACAAUUAGAAUUGGCCCAGAAGCAAGCUUCUCCUGUGCAAGUACUACAUGAAAUUGUUUCUCAUCAGCUAACAGGUAUCACAGAAGUUACAGAAGUUACAGUACAGAUAAAUAAUCAGGAAAAAGAUGUAAAAAGAGAAGAUAGAGAGAAAAGAGAGGGACAUCAAUCAGUUGGUGAAGGAUCCUGAUUUAUCUCCACAUGCAUUCUCAAAAGGUACCCUUCGGGGUGGCCCAAUGAUUUGGGCUUGGGACUUCCAUGUUGGAGGUCUCAAGUUCGAAACCCCGGGUUUGCCUUCUGGAUCGAGCUCGUCGCACUGGGCUUGCCUAGUGCGGGUUACCUCUCCUAUGUGGUUUGCGAGCUAUUGCAUAGGAGCGGGGGUUUUACCCUGUGCGCACCUAAAGGGUAGCGGCUACGGGUUUCCUUUGUUAUCAAAAAAAAAAAAAAAGGUAAAAAGUGCAAGGCCAAAGUUGAUAGUAAACCUACAAGGACACUUCCUAGGAGUGGAAAAUCAAGUAUUAAUGAAUCUAAAAGCUUUAUUUUGAAACAUUAGAUCUGUGAAAUCCCAACAUUCUUUUCACAGAGUGCAAAUGCUACACCGACAUAAUGGUUUUUCCAUUAUUGCAUUGAUGGAACCUUUUCAAUAUACUAGGCAUAUACAAAAUUAUAAGAAGAGAUUGGGCAUGCAUUUUGCAAACUAUAAUCAAAAUGGAAAAAAUUGGGUUUUUGUACAGGAAUAAUUCAUGUAGAAGUACUGGCAGAUUCAGAGGAACAACUCACUAUUCAGCUUUCUUUCCCAAGUAAUUACCACUACGGUAUAUGCUAAGUGUGAAGUUACUAAGAGAUUCCAGUUGUGGAUUGAUAUUUACCUCUUGAGUCAGAACAUGAGACUUCCCUGGCUUGUUGGUGGGGAUUUCAAUGCGAUUAUGAAUGAUGAGGAGAAGAUUGGAGGACUUUCUGUAUAUUCAACUGAAUAUAAGGAAUUUUCUUAUUGCAUUAAUUCGUGUGAUCUUUUUGAUAUUAAUUUCAAAGGUAUCCCUUUUACAUGGUGAAAUGGGAGAAUAGAUGAUGCUUGUAUUUUCAAAAGGCUGGACAGGAUUGUUCUUAAUCAAACUUUUCUGGGCCUUAUGGGAUGUGUAGAAUUGGAUCAUCUGGCUAGAGUUGGAUCUGAUCAUGCUCCUUUGCUAAUAUCUCAUAAUUAGGUUUUAUUACUCUAUUUUUAGAUAUUUUAAUUAUAUUUAGGUGAAUCCCCACACCUGUAUCCAUACAUGGAUCCAUAUCCCCGAAUCUUAAAAAUUAGAUCAUGAAGGAUUCGACCUCUUGAUCCGCACCCGAGUCCGAGCAACUUAGUGUGAAACAGUUGAGGUCACAACGAAGGUGGAAUGACAAUUUGUUAAAUCAUCUUUUUCCGGAGGAGGUGUGUAAUCACAUUAUUGAGAAAGUUGGAUAUGGAGAGGAUACAGAUGAGUGGGACAAGCUAUGGUGGAUGGCACAUAGCUCAGGAAAAUUCAAUGUUAGUAGUGCUUGGGAGAUUUUGAGAAAUACAAGUAACAGGAAGAAUUCAAGUUCAUUUGGAAAAGGAAUUCCUUUUAAAGUCUCUUUUUUCAUAUGGAGGUUAUGGAAAAAGAAGCUCCCAAUUGGGGAAUUUCUAAUAAGAAUAGCCCUGGUAGAUGAUGUAAGGUGUUGUUGUUGUGAAACAUUAGCCAAAGAAUCCUACGAGCAUCUUUUUAUUACUUGUCCCGUAGCUACCACUUUGUGGAAAACUUUUGCAGCAGCAGCAGGUUUGCGAGGCCUUUUCCCACAUCAGAAAGACACCAUGUUUUAUGCUACAUGUUGUGUCAAACUCUGACCACUUUUUAAUGCUGUCCCUACUUUUAUAAUGUGGCAAAUUUGGAAGAGGAGGAAUAUGAUAAGGCAUGGUGGUAAGACAUCUGUGCAAGGUAUGAUGAUGGAGAUAAAUAGGAACCUUCACUACUUGGCAAUUACAAGGUAUCCUUGGUUGAGGAACUUCGCUGAUAGUUGACCUCUGAUAGUUAAAUUCUUUGAAGCCUAUACCCCAUUAAUUGAAUGUAAAGUGGUGAAGUGGAAACUAACUAACGAAGGUGUCUAAAGUGCAAUUCAGAUGAAGCUUCAAAAGGAAAUCCGGGACCUAGUGCAAGUGCUUUCUACAUUAGAAAUGAUGCAGGAGAGUUUAUAUUUGCUGAAGCUAAAAGCUUGGAAAGUGCUACCAGUUUAGAGGCAGAAGUAGUGGCGUUGAGAAGUGGACUGGAAUUUUGUAUUUUAAACAAGGGAAAAGGGUCUGAUAUACCCCUCAACUUUGUCAUUUGGAGCUGAUAUGCCCCUGUUAUGAAAGUGGCUCAUAUAUACCCUUACCAUUAUACAAACGGCUCACAUAUACCCCUACCGUUACAAAAUGAGCUCACAUAUACCCUUCAUUUAACGGGAGUGAAAAAAUUAGUUUUAAAUUUAUAUAUUUAACCUUAAUUUUUUUUUAAAUCAUUUAGGUGUAUAUAUGAUCCUUCUAGCAAAGUUCAAGGUAUAUUCUAAUCUUUUUCAUACAUAAAUUAUUUUUUUGACUUCUUUGAUUAUCAUUAUUUGAGUUUCUUAUUCUUAUUUUAUUUUUUUCUUUUAUUCCUUAAUGUAAGAAAAAAAUUUAAAACAAUUUUUUUUUGCUAUAUUAUAAUUUAAAAUUAUUUUUUGGCUAUAUUGUAAUUUAGUUUUUGUAUUUGGAAAAAAAAUUGGGUCAUCUAUAAUAAAUUUUACAAGAAUAUUAGUGAAACAUAAAAAAAUUUGACCAUCAAAAUAAUGAAUCUAAAUUAGUCAUUGAAACAAAAAAAAAAGUCAAAAAAAUAUAUGUUUGAGGAGGAAUAAGUAUACCCAUAUGGGAUUAUAUUUUGUUUAAAAAUUUUAUUAAAAAAUUAAACUAAAAUUAAUUUUUUCACUUCCGUUAGAGAAAAAGGUAUAUAUGAGCUAUUUCUAUACCAGUAGGGGUAUAUAUGAGUCACUUUCAUAACGAGGGGUAUAUCAGCUCUUAAUGACAAAGUUGAGGAGUAUAUCAGGCCCUUUUCCCUUUAAACAAUUUGCUGCCUGUUAUCUUUGAAACUGAUUCUUUCACAAUCAAACAGAUACUAGAUGGAAUAUGGGAAGUCCCAUGUAACAUGCUUGUGAAAUCAAGAUGAUAAGCAGAUUAAGGGCUCAUAGAGAUGUGGAAAUCGAGCAUACACUAAGGGAGGGCAACAUGGUAGUGGAUGUUUUUUGCUAAUCAAGUUUUCUGUUUUGUAGGUACUCAAAGAUUAACAUAUAAUUCAAUACAAGAAGUCCCAAAUGAAGGAACAGCUAUAAUAAACAUUGACGGGAAUCAAAUUCCCAAUAUAAGGCUCACAAGAUGUCAAAAUGAGAACUUCAGAAUGCUACAAUAACGAUAUUAACUGUAAGGGCUCACAACAAUCACAAAGAUUUUCACUGGAAGAGAAACAGACUUACUAGAUCGUGUGUGAAAGUUGCAAUUGGAUCUAAAUUUUUCUCUCCUCUUUGGCAGUGGUAUUAAUUCUCUGUGAGCUCAACCUGCCGAGAAAGGGAAUUACUUAGAAAUGAUUUCAAUUUACAGUGUCACGAAAUUCAGUUUUGUUCAAUUAAAGAUUCAACCCAGAACACAAUUUAAGAUUCAAGAUUUAACACAGAAGCACAAUUCAACAUCAGACCCAGCUACACAUUGAAUCUGAAGUCAUAAACAAUCCAUUAAUUAUCAUAAGAAUGGCUACCCCAAUCCAAGAUUCCAGACGAGUUGAAUUAAAGUUGGGAAAAAAACAUCUGGGUUAGGAAACAGCACCCAAAAGAACAAGAAAAUCGAGAUUAUGGAUUUGAGGAAAAGGGAAAAUGGGUAGCAUCAGCUUAUCAUAAGAAUGACAAAAAACAAAGAGCAAAGAAAAACUUUAUAUGUAUAACCCCUCAACAGGGAAAGGGCCGUCUUGAACAUCCUCGAUUUCAUCAUUUUGGUCUUGAAUACCUUCUGAUUCUUGUGCUGCCGCUCCAUUGCUAAUCUUCUUGAUGCUACUUGAGAGAAACAGAUGAUUGAAAGAGAUGGAAGAAUGGAGGCAAAAGGAAAUAUUCAAAAGCGCGAUGAUCCUCUUUAUAUAUCUCCAACUCUCUUGCCCAAAUGACUUUACAGCUUUUUUAUCAGUAUCUACUCUUAAAUGUAAAAUUCUAAAAAAAAACCAUCAUUUAAAUUUUAUAUCGAUUUUUGAAAGAAAAUUGUAGUGAAGGAUAAACUAUUUAUAUAAGUUACUACCACGUUAUGUUUUGUUAACAGCUACUACCUCCUCUACAUUGUUUUUAAAUUAUUUGGAUGAAUAAAAGAACAAAUGAUCCGUAUAAAUUAAAGAGAUAAGCAUUAAGUUCUAGUUCCCUCCGCCUUAAAUAUUUUCAAAAUGAGAAUCUUGUAAAUGAAACAUGAAAUGGUAAUAACUGAAUGAACAGACAAUAGACUUGGAGAAAACUACCUUUAGUAAUAUCAGAUUCACCAAUUUCCUCUUCUUCUUUUACAGUCACAGUGAUGCUCUCCGAGCUCUCCACUUUCUGUUGAUGGCUUUGAGCAUUUUUGGCAGUAAGUUCUUGUUCCUUCCUCUCAAUGUCGAAUUUAUUCAACUUUUCUUCAAACUCCUCAAUGCAUGAUUCGAGUUCAGGUUUAGCAAACUUCUUCCCCUAAAUGAAGACAUUCAAAUAGGCAGAUAAAGUUCACUUGGUUUCUUCAAGUGCGUUAGCAAAGGGUACUUUCCCUGCCAGAAAUUGCAUUUUCAGCUCUUGACCUCUUUUUGCGUCAAGUUCACUUGGUUUCUUCAAAUAUCUCCUAAAUCAACUCUCCAUUUCAUUUUCCUACAAAUAUGAAAAAAACCCAUAUUAAAAGCACCAAUUCUAAACUAAAGCAAGCCAAAAUAACUACGAAACGAGCCUCAAAUGAGUGGGAAUCCACCACUCAUCAACAACCCCGACUUAGAAACUUUGUUUGUCCUCAAGUAAAGAAAAUCAAAAACACAAAGGUUCUUAUUUCAAAACACACGACAAAUCAAUUUCCCUUUCUCAAUGAAGCACAAAGGUAAUGGCUUUGGUUGGUACUAACAAAUAGUCCACAUGCAAAAUUUUCACAAAAGAAAUCCCUCUCAUUCUCAUGAAACAUUUUCAAAAACCAAGAAUCAUUUAAGUGACAACAACUCAAACUCAAGAAAUGACUCAACUCAUUAACUCUUUCACAUGCUCACUUGACUCAAUUAGGAAUUUUCAAAAUCACCACUUUUUCAACUUACAUGCCCUCACAAAAAGAAGUGUCCCAAAACCCCACACACAUAUAAACAAGACAAGGGACAAAGAUGCAANNNNNNNNNNNNNNNNNNNNNNNNNNNNNNNNNNNNNNNNNNNNNNNNNNNNNNNNNNNNNNNNNNNNNNNNNNNNNNNNNNNNNNNNNNNNNNNNNNNNNNNNNNNNNNNNNNNNNNNNNNNNNNNNNNNNNNNNNNNNNNNNNNNNNNNNNNNNNNNNNNNNNNNNNNNNNNNNNNNNNNNNNNNNNNNNNNNNNNNNNNNNNNNNNNNNNNNNNNNNNNNNNNNNNNNNNNNNNNNNNNNNNNNNNNNNNNNNNNNNNNNNNNNNNNNNNNNNNNNNNNNNNNNNNNNNNNNNNNNNNNNNNNNNNNNNNNNNNNNNNNNNNNNNNNAAGGGUUCAAAAGAGGGUUACUUUUUCAAAAAGAAUAAGGCUUGUAAUGUGGUUGCCAAAAAAAGGAUCGGGUUCAAAGGGGACAACUAAGGAUAUAUUUAGUACAAAGGUGGGAUUUUUAGGCCAAGUGGACUUCAAGAACAUCAAAGAAAGCCUAAGAUCAUUUCUCCAACCAAGCUCAAUCAAGACCAACCGGGCAAGUUCUAGGUGACAAAAGCAAACACAAGGCAUUAUUCAACAACUCACAACACAUGGCCUGCAAAUCAAUCAAUAUGGUUCAAAAUCUUACUUCCUUAUCAAA
rnacentral:lncRNA from 1 species